rnacentral:lncRNA from 1 species
GUUUUCUUCAAACUAGUUGAAGCAAGCCAAUAUGUGUGCGCGAAAUCCAACUGUAGCAAUGAUCAAGGCCCGGCUAUCCAUUUCCCAUUGAACAUCAGGCGCACACAUCAUUGUGGAAAUUCUGGGCUUGAAUGCAAUGGGAGAUAUGAGCAGCAAAUACUAAUAAAAUUAUUUGUCAAAGACACAGAUUACAAGCGUCAGGAAAUCCAAGUCUAUUCCCCAAGUAACUGCCUGCUGCUAAAGCUUGUUGAAAUCCCAAACAUGCCACCCUCUCCCUUCGUGCCAGUAGUCGAUUACAUGAUUAAUUUCAUAAACGUUACCUUAUUCAGUUGUCCUACUUCUGUUGCAAUACGAGAUACGUAUGGUUGUCAAGUCCCCUGCCUUGGCGACCGUGGCAAGAGAACUUAUGCCAUUGAUUCUGGGGUUUAUUUUGAAACUCUCUUCCAGAAUCUAGAAUCCUGUACAAAAAUGUAUGAUGUUUUAUCAGUUCCAAUAGCCGAUGAAUAUUAUGUUUUUCGUUUCAAAUGGUCUAUACCAAAUUGCAGAAAAUGUGGAGAGGGAAAGAAGUGUGAAUGGCAGAACAAUGAAAUUAAAUGUCUUCCCUGGAGGAAACCAAGUAAGGAUAACAUAUGUAUUCAUUGCUAGUUUUAAACAUCUUUACAUUUAUGUCUUAGUAAUUAUUAUUUGAAGGAUGUUGUCCAAUCCAUUUUUACUAGGAAUAUUACCUGACAGUCUCGUUUAAAUUCGCAAUGAUCUUCUACAGGCAACACAUGGAAAAAAGUGGUUACAGGUGGAAUCCUGUGUGCUUUGCUUCUUGUUCUACUGACGAUUGCAGCAUAUCGGGUAUAUAGCGCUGAUAGAAAGGAGAAAGAGAGUCGAUUAAGAAUUGAAAGAUUCUUGGAGGACUACAAAGCACUCAAACCAAGCAGGUAUUCGUACGCAGAUAUUAAGAGGAUUACAAAUCAAUUCAAGGACAAGUUGGGCGAAGGAGCCUAUGGAACUGUCUUCAAAGGAAUGCUCUCUUCUGAAUUCUUCAUUGCUGUCAAAGUCCUCAACAGUUCCAAGGGAGAUGGGGAAGAGUUCGUAAAUGAAGUGCGAACGAUGGGUCAUAUCCACCACGUAAACGUGGCUCGCUUGGUUGGAUUUUGUGCUGAUGGAUUUGUACGAGCUCUUGUUUACGAGUUCUUCCCCAAUGGUUCCCUGCAGGAUUUCAUUUCAUCUGCAGAUAGUAAGAAUUCAUUUCUUGGUUGGGAUAAGCUACAAGAUAUUGCCCUAGGCAUAGCCAAAGGAAUUGAAUAUCUUCACCAGGGAUGCGAUCUACGAAUCCUGCAUUUCGACAUCAAACCCCAUAAUGUUUUGCUAGACCAAAACUUCACUCCAAAAAUUUCUGAUUUUGGUUUGGCCAAGUUAUGUUCCAAGGAUCAAAGCUUGGUGUCCAUGACUACAGCAAGGGGGACCAUGGGCUACAUUGCACCUGAAGUGUUCUCCAGGAAUUUCGGAAAUGUGUCGUACAAGGCAGAUGUUUAUAGCUUUGGAAUGCUACUGCUUGAGAUGGUAGGAGGAAGGAAGAAUAUUGGUUCAAUUACGGAUAACACUACAAAUGAAAUUUACUAUCCACAGUGGAUUUAUAAUCUUCUAGAGGAAGGGGAUGACCUACGAAUCCACAUUGGGGAAGAAGGAGAUGGUAAAAUUCCAAAGAAACUUGCAAUUAUAGGGCUAUGGUGUAUCCAGUGGCACCCGUCGGAUCGUCCUUCCAUGAAAAUAGUGGUUCAGAUGUUAGAAGGAGGAGGAGAAAGCUUGAGUAUGCCGCCUAAUCCCUUUGUGCCUACUGGUUCUACAACUAGGAAUGCAAGACACCUAGAGCUAGAAGCUAUUGCUGAAUUAGAGUAAAAUGUAUAUGCAGAUAUGUAGACGUAUAGAUAUAGUAAUAUUUAUAUUGAAUAAGAGGCCGUUUGAUAACCAUUUCGUUUUCAGCUUUUAAUUUUUAUUUUUCACUUUUUUGAAAACUAAAAACUAAAAUCUUGUUUGGUAAAUACUUUUAGUUAAAAAAAAAUGAAGACUGAGAACUAAAAUGUGAAAGCUCAAAGGAAGUAGAUUAAAAGUAGUUACCAAACAAACCGGAAUCUCAAUAAAUAAAAAAGAUUGAAUUGCACAAUGCAAUCCAAACCAAUCAAAACAUUUAAAAUAGCAAAAAAAAAUUAAAAUUCUAGUUGAUUAGAUUCUAAACAUAGUAAAAAUGAACAGAUCCGAUGAAAAAAACAAAAAAUUCUCAGAUAAAAAUAGGGAUAAAGUAAAAUAUUUAUAAAUAGCUCUUUGUCUCUUAUGCCAUCAAUUAUUUCUAUAGUAUAUACACGUUUUUGGAAAAAUUAGGUUCCCAUCCCUUAUUUUCAUAUUACAUUGAUUGAAAUCUUAUUAUUUUUCUAUUUUAGAUCAAGGUCCCUUGACUUAUUCUAUGUCAUCAUUUUAGUAUUUAAAAUAUUACACGUUAUCAUAAACGAAAUCUCAUCCCUUUCUGCAUUUAAGGCAAAAUAAACUAUAUGAGUAAGUUUAAAACAAGGAAAAUCCAUUUGAACUCCUCCAUUCUUCUUCUUCUCUUAUAAACAUCUGGAAUCUACAACACCCCAAACCCAAUUUUCUCCAUUUUUUCUCCUUUCCUGAAUUGAUCCAAUGCAUAUAUGUUGAAUAAACCUAUUGUGAUUAAAAUACAAAUUAGCAUCAAUGGUUUUAUUGGCUUGUGAGAUUUGUGUGGCAUAGGCAAGGCAAUGCAGGCAUCGUUUUCUCAAGGAAUCUGGUUGAUUCAAACAUGCAGAGACUGUAGAGUGAGUGGGCUAUGUGAAAACUGUACCAUUCUGAAGUCAUUUUCUUUUGUUCUUUAUAUUUUUUUUUCUUUUUCUUUUAUUAUUAUAUAUUAGUCUUGGUUAUUCAAUGCCUGGUUGGCUACACUUAUAUCCAUGGGUACAUUUUUAAUCUACAUGUUUCGUUCUAAUAUAUCUAUUGCUAUAAUAUGUUUUGGUUGGUUCAAAUUUGUUUUACAUAAAUAUAUGGGUACAAAGUUUUUGGAGAAUAUUAUGUAAAUGGUUUUUAAGGUUGCUGCAUUUUACGUACCCACAUAUGCAUGUCUAUAAAACAAUGUGGUAUGAUGUACAUUCUUUUCUUUGAGUUUUUAAAUGUACCCAUGAGUUUUUUUGUAAAUUCGGUAUGUACCCAUAUGCUAUUUAUGUUAUGGGUACAUACAUUAUUUUUGGUCUAAGUUCAGGGUACAUUGCUUUUGUAUGUAUGAAUUCAAGGGGUACAUUAUUUCCCUUAAUACUACUCAAUAAAAUUCACAAAAUAUGUGUAGUGUGCAUGAUUUUUUAUUGUAGAAAUUGUUUUUUUUUAAGUCUCAUAAUUCAUGAAAUUUGUACAUAUAUGAUCCCAUAAAUUUUUUAAUUUUAUUAAAUUUCUUUUAGACUUGAUCGAUUGAUUGAAUCUCAUCAUACUAGGAUUUUGAAUUACAUAAAUUCUUGGAUUUAAAUCCCUUAAAUGUUGGACUGCAAUCAAUAUUUUAAAUUAUAGUUUUUUAUUUAAGAUAUCAAAAAGAUGACAUGGAAAUAUAGUAAUACUAAAAUGCUGAGGUGUACAAAGUCAAAGGACUUUGAUCAAAAAAUAAAAAACAAUAAGAUUUCAAUCUAACAAUUAAAUUGACUAGGGACCGGAACCAAAAUGACCCUAGAUUUUUAUUGAGUUUAAUCUUAAUCAAAAAAAGACUUCUUGUAUCACAGAAAAUACAAGAACCAUUAUUUGAAUGAAAUAAAAGCUAUGGGAUGGAGAUAUAAAUGGAUCAUUUUAUUCACAAUCGGAUUAUAUUUAUUUGAUACACUAUUGUCAAUAUGAAUGUUGAGAAAAAGACUACAAAAGAAAAAACAAUUUAUAAAUAUAACUAACAAUUCCAAUUUCAAUCAAUUAGACAAUUAGAUAAUACAUCAGUAAACGCGGGGUGACUCAGUGGUUAGAAACGAAUUUUAGGCUCGUAUUCUAUACAAUACGUCUUGGGUUCGAUUCCUGACAAUGGUGAAUCACGCGACGGUAGAUAUAGGGGUGUUGUUGGAAGUUUUGAGACUCAAGUCCUUUAUAUAGAUUUAGUGCUUUAGUUUAGUAAUUAGAAUAUGGGUCAUUUGGAAAUGGAUUGAAGGUUUGGGCCUUAUGGUUGUGUGGAUUAGGCUUGUAUAAUAUAGCCUAAAUACAAUUAAUAUUAAUUAAUCAAGACAAGGGCCUUGGGCCUUACUUGGGGCCUUGGAAUUUAAAAUUAAUCUGAUUCAUUAAUUUUAAUUUUCGGAUUAAGUUUUUAAUUAAUUUAUUAUUAAUUAAAAACGUUUUGAUUAAAAGACACAGCUCUUAGAAAAGAGUUAUGAACCUUCAAAUACACUGAACUGGUAUUUGAAAGGGUGUGAAACAACCUAUAUAUCUGCAAUCCAUGGUAUCCAAAUAAAUCAUCUUUUCUUCUUCCUUUUCUUCCGUACAAACUUUCCAGAGAGAGUAAACACACAAAGCAAUUCGCUAGAAUUCUAUAAUUUAGUGCGGGUUAUAGGAUUAGGUAGUUGUAUCCUGGUCGAGCAGACGUUAUAGAACCACAAGCACAAGAGUGGGACGGAAUUACUGUUCGAAUGACAUAGCUUUUACGUUAGCCUCUACCUUCUGUAAUCAAGUUAGUACCGUUGACAUUCUUAUAUUAAUUUCUGUAUUUAUUGUAUACUUUUCAUUUUGUAUAGCAAGUACCUUUUGUUAAAUAAAAAUUGUGAAUUUCAAGUUCUGUUUAUUUCUGUUAUUCUGUUUAUUUCUGAAUUGUUCUCCAACACCCCUAUAUCUACCGUCGCGUGAUUCACCAUUGUCAGGAAUCGAACCCAAGACGUGUUGUAUAGAAUACGAGCCUAAAAUUUAUUUCUAACCACUGAGUCACCCCGCGUUUGAUUAUAUUUCACUUAGACUUAUCUUGCGGUAUAGCAUGUCAUCCCCGCCCAAGUUUUUCUGUUGGCAUUGAGUUUGGGAUACCAAAACUUGCCAAACAAAGUAGAUUGAUUAGUAAGCGAAGCUAAUUAUUCGACUAAACAUUGUUUAGAAUUUUAAUUAAAAGAAACAAUAUGAAUCUGUUUAUUUUUUUUUUUGACAAACUAUAACGUUAAGGAGUUAAAUUGUUAGUUAUUAAGAGUACAAUGAUAGGUGAGGAUCGAACCUCCACCAGAGUGCAUAGACAUUAUUGGUUCUACAACUGCGGUAAAUCACAUAAAACAAAACGUAAUACUUUGAGGAUGGAAGACACUUCGUGGAUAGCGGGCAAUCAACACUAUCAGUUGCUAUCCAAAACUUGGAAUUAUGUUUAUUGUCCGAAGGAUUUUUCUUCCAUUAAAUUGCUAAGGAAGAUGAGGAUGGGUGGAGUGUCUAAAUGUCAAGGUUGACAAGAACGUGUAUGGUGUUCAGCUUGCGAUUGAGAUUUGUUAGAGUGGCACAACAAACCACAUAAAAUUUUCUAAAUGAUAAGCUUGAGUAUAAUUUUUUAUCACGUAUUUAUCUUUAAAAUCAUUAUAAUUAGAUUUUCUCUUAAUUAAUAUAGACCGUUAGAUUCAUCUAAUGACCCAAGUUUUUUUCCUCUUUUCUUUCCACUCUUUUCCAUUCACCGUGUAGCAGUCGUUCUUCCCCAACUACGUUUCUUAUUUUUCUUCACAAAAAAUUUGUAGAAAAUAUUAAGAAAAGAAAAGUCAUCAAUAUCAGACUCGACCAGGUAAUCGUUCCAACCUUCCCAGCAACUCUCAGUCUUAACUAGGCACCAAAUUUUCUCCGCCACCUAACUCGUCAUUCAUUCAUGGGUGUUUCAAGCUUGGUGAAAAUUGAUAGAGUUCCAUGUGUGUACACGGAUGUGAACAUAUUGGCCACUCUCUAAGAAUGAGUCAUUGGAAAAGUUGAAGGAAAGAUGUAACCGAUGAAAUUAAUGGAUUGGAAUUACAAUGAAGUCUGUGUUGGUUUAUCACAAAGAACCCAGAUACAAAAUUUUAAAAGCAAACAAUUUCAACUUCUCAAAUAUUAUCUAACAAACUUUCAAUGAAAUGUUGCUCAUAAUUGAAAAAAGGUUGACGAAGGACGGAGUUGGGGUUAUUUUAGAUGAGGAAGAGUUAAAAGAAGGAAGCACCAUUUAAUUAAUAAAAGUGAUUGGAGAAAUGGUAAUUCAAUGGUGGGCGUUUUUAAGGUGUGGACCUUGUAUCACACCCUGAUCCCAACAUACAUUGAGGAUCGACACGUGACAUGGGGACAUAGGGGACAAAAAUCUUACAUAAGAUACAGAAUGAAAUACUAUAUAAUAUCCCAAAAUGAAUAUGAUAGUGGGUUCACCCCUAUAAAAUACAUACGAGUUUGUACAUUCACAAAAAAAUAAAAAAAAUAAAAAUAAAUAAAAAUAAAAAACACACACACAACUCUCGCUAGGCCAAGACUUGCCCAUGGUGCUCAAAGGAAAGUCCCAAAAGAAAUAGUACAAUGAAGGAUAAAGGGGUAACCUAAACACUCCAAGUCUCUGAUCUCUGCACUGCUACCCCCACCGGCUCCUCGUAAUCUACUCAGACCUGUCACAUGUACAAACAGUGCCUACAUUGUGGGAAUGGUGCACCAGGCAAACAAAAACCCGGAUAAGCUGCAAAACUCGUGUGAGUGACAAUAAUGCAACGUAUGUGAUAAUCAAGAAAAACAGACCAUCGAUCACAGUUUAUAAAUCUCAAAUAUAACUUCAUACUUAUGAAAUCAUAAUCAAGUCACUGAAAACUUCGAAUGAGUCACCCAGACAUCUAACGACUUUUCUAAAUCAAAUCUCAGAGAUUCCCAAAACUAUCGUUCACAAAUACACUAAAAACUAGGGCUAGAGUGACACAGUUCAGCCAAAGCCUACAUAAGUAACCAAAUAAGAAGUGGCCCCCCAUAGCGGAUUAACCAAGCAGAGCCACUCCUGAGAAAGUAACCAAGUAGGUAGUGACCCCCAUCACGGAUUAACCAAGCAGAGUCACUCCUACGAAACUGUUAGGUAGUGAUCACCCAUUACGGAUUAACCAAGCAUGAUCACCCCUAAGCACGUAUGGCCAUACCUAAGAAAUAAGGAUCGCCCAUCGCGGAUUAACCAAGCACGAUCCAAAAAUAUUAUGGGUCCCCUAUCGCCGAUUAACCAAGCAUGACCAUCCAUGUACCACUGCUACAUGGUGUAAAUUCGGUGUCACCUAACCUCGUGACACUAGGGUAACGGUCCUCUAGUAGCCCUCACGUUUUUCAAACAUUUCAAAUAUAUAAUUUAAAACACAAUUCAUAAACAUUUCGAAUAGGGAAGUCACAUAGUGUUUAAUAAUGUAGGUCAAUGGCAAACUUUAAAAACAAUUAUUUAGCAUAAAACAUAUUUUAGAAAUCCAUGCUGUAUCCACAAAGUAUACUAGCACGGGAGAUUUUCAGGGUAAUAACUCUAUCACAUAUAUUAAAGUCACUCACCUGGAGUCCGCACUAACGCACCCUGGCACGAAUAUCAAGACGUCGCGUACUAUCAUCUGCAACAUCCCACAUCGACCAACGAAGAGGGGGUGAUGUGCCUUCUAUGUACAUGCCCACCUCCAUAGCAUGAGGCAUUUUGGGAGCUCACUGGCUUCAUAUUCCAUCGGAACUCCAAAGUUAAGCAAGUUUGGGCGAGAGUAGUCCCAGGAUAGGUGACCCAUUGGAAAGUUAUUGUGUGAGUCCUAGAAACAAAACCGUGAAGGCGUGGCCCGAGGGGGCCCAAAACGGACAAUAUUGUGCUACGACGGAAUCGAGACUGAGAUGUGACAGAAUGGUAUCAGAGCCACUCUGCCGUGUGGUGCGAGUGUGCCGACGAGGACGUCGGGCCCCUAAGGGGGGUGGAUUGUAACAUCCCACAUCGACCAACGAAGAAGAGGUGAUGUGCCUUAUAUGUACAUGCCCACCUCCAUUUAGCACGAGGUCUUUUGGGAGCUUAUUGGCUUCGGGUUCCAUCGGAAAUCUGAAGUUAAGCGAGUUCAAGCAAGAGCAUUCCCAGGAUGGGUAACCUACUGGGAAGUUCUCGUGUGAGUUCCCAGAAACAAAACUGUGAGAGCGUGGCCAGGGCCCAAAGUGGACAAUAUCGUGUUAUGGCGGAGCCGAGAUUGGGAUGUGACAUUGUCACCUAAGACAAAGUACAGAUCCACAUUUAGAGUUCUUCAAGUAUUCACAUAAUAAAAAAUUUCCAUACGCCCCCUACAACUAAUGAACAGAAAUCGAGACACGUUGACAAAAAGUCAACCGUCGAUCAACGGUAGGGUCCACAACCCUACAUAACUCGAUCCGCAAUAUCCAACCACUGUAUUUGUGAUUCAUAAGUUCAUAAGGUCUUCAAAUCCUACCUACAAUAACAUACUAAACUUUGGUGAUGAUCUAAUGGUCGAAUCAUCAUUUGCUAUAAUGUUCAAAUGACGCAAAUUCAUCAAUCAGAUGUCAAAUAUGGAAUCAGACAUCGAAUUUAGCUUAGGAAUGUCAAGUGGUGUCUCGAGCACGCACCGCCGUGCGCAACAGCUGGCAACCUAGAUUCGUCGGAAAAAUCACCUAAUUCCAAAAUGAAUGUUGUGAGACGUGGAGUAAAUUGUAUACCUGUGAAGAAGCCCAAUUUGGCCGGGAAGUGGCCUGAAAUCACUUUAGACCGUCGGAAACCCUAAAAUAGGUGAAUCUCGAUUCGUCAUCCCCGGUAUUCCACCGUUCUCAAACUUGUUUAGGGUUUGCUCAUGGUCUCAAAAGAAUGCUAAUGAUGGUGGUGAUUGAAAGAGAACGUUUCAGAAAUAGUGAAUCACCAAUGAGGGUUUCACGAAACCGACAUGGGUGUUCCUCGUGGAACCAAGACCAAAUCUCAACGGUUUUGGCUAGAAAUGGAUGCUGGGAUGUCAUGGUGAAGUUUGGUAGUGAUGGGAGGUUGAAGAAAGACAAAAAAAAUCGACAAAAAAAUCGUCGUCGGAGUCGCAAGAAACGAGUUAGAAAAAUGAGUCGUCGGGUCUGAAACGUCGAAGGCUUUUGAGACAACUACUUACUCUCUCUUCUCUGAUUAGUCACUCCACUCACUCUCUCAUUUGAUUGGUCCAGCCUUCCCACAUGGUGGGAGUUCCCUCAUAUAGUAACCCAAAAUUUACUAUUUAAAUCUGGUAUUGAACGUCCGUAACUUUUUCGUUAUGGUUUCGAUUCGCAAACGGUUUUCACCUAUGCGCUCGUAUGAUCGAAUUAUACUCAAAAACAUUAAUUAUGACCUCGAAAAGGUCUACGAGUUUUAAAAGAUUAAUUACAAAAAUUCACACCUUGUAACUAUACGAUUCAAAUCCUAAAAUUAACGGAAUUAAAAUAAACUAAAAAUAAUGUAAACACGAAAUACAGACUUUAAUAAUGAAAUACGUAAUUAAUAGUGGAAUUCCGGGGAUGGGAUUUCACAACUUGCGUCCGGACCUUCAAUGCGGAUCAAAAUCCAAAGGUCGUGAUCUGACGAGCUCAUGCAUAGAACAGAGUUGUUGUGACCCAAUGCAAUUCAAAACUUUUAUGUUUUUUUAUUUACUGGGUACGUUUUUUAUUUACUGGGUACAUUUUUGCAAGACGUUAAAGAAAGCGCUUCUUGGGAGGCAACCCAUGUAUUCAAAAAAGGAAGAUCUAUGAAUCGCUCUACAAUUAGUUUUGCGUUUCUAAAAACCUUCCCUUUUCUGCAUUUCUAUUUUGCCAUGAUUGUCAUUUUUUAUUUUUGUUGUUUAUUUAAUUAUUUUUGGGUGUGGGUUUAUUUUUGAAACAUUGACAGAUAUGCAAGAUAUUCUUACAUUCAUUUUCAUGAAAAAAAGAAAAGGGAACAUUAAGCAGGAAAUUACAAGAGGGAGCCUUCACAAAGGCUGCUUAGGAGAAGUCUCAGUAGUCGGCGGAGCCCCAGAAGAAGGAGGCAGCGGAGGUUGAUCAUUUGGAGCUUCAGUACGCGGUGCAGCCCCAGAAGACGAAUGCAAAUGUUGUUGGAACAAACCCACAAACCGCUGAUGAUCAAGUAAAAUCUGACAAUCAGAUUCCUGCAUCUGGUCAAUCUUCCUCUUCAUGUUUGUAGCAUAAUUAUGUGCGAGCCUGUGCAACUGUUUAUUCUCAUGCUUAAGCCCUCUAAUCUCCUGCUUAAGACUCAUCACUUCAGCCGCCAAUGAUUCAACUUGACGGGUUCGGGCAAAUAGGCGUUGGGCCAUAUUAGACACGGAACGUGCGCACUGCACACUGAGAGCUAGAGAAUCCUUUACAUCCAACUCAUCAGACCGUUUGGCAAGUAGUCUAUUAUCUUUGGGAGUGACAGGGUUCCUGACCACCACCGCAGCUGUCAUAUCAUUCUUCAUCACCGAAUCCCCAACGAUAAGGGGACCAGUAGGGGAUAUGAAGGAUGGGCGCCAUAUGUUGUCUGGAGAAGGCGGGACUGCCUCUUCACCAAGGUUCAAGUCAAAACGACGAUCGGAUGGGCCAAACAUUUUCACAGGUGUUAAAGAAAGAAGAGGUCGGACAAGUCAAGAUCGUAGAAGUGCAAGAUGAGAGUUUUUACAGGCAGAAAUUCAAGUGUGCUUUGAACGUCCUACGUACUUCUAUAAAAAUCAGCACUCGAUGGGAUUUCAGAGAUCGAAGAGGCAAGCUCAGAAAUCGAAGAGGCCAACUAAAAAAAUUAAAGAGGCGCUAGCUUUCUCAAAAGCUGAGCUUGCUCAGAAACCACGGCCAAUCUUCUUUUCCAGAUUUGUCCGCACUUGUCACAUGCAACUCGACGGGAUUUCAGAGAUCGAAGAGGCAAUUCCAGAUAUCGGAUAGGCAUCUGCUUUUGCAGACGUGUCAACAUCUGUCACAUGCAGAGUAAGCUUUGCGAAAAUCACGGGCAGUUUGUGAAGCGCCGAUUCCAACCAUCUGCUUUUGCAGACGUGUCAACAUCUGUCACAUGCAUAGUAAGCUUUGCGGAAAUCACGGGCAGUUUGUCGAAGCACCGAUUCCAACCAUCUGCUUUUCCCGACGUGUCAACAUCUGUCACUUGCAGAGUCAGCUUUACGAAAAUUACGGGCAAUCUGUCGAAGAUCUCUUGUGAAGUUUACUAUUAAAUCAUCCAACGGUUGCUGACAAGAGUGAAAGAAUAGUACCGACUAUUAAUUCCUAUAAAUGUCAUCCUUCACCCUCAAUUGCAAGGCAGACAUACAUAACCCCCUUCUUCUCAGAAAAUGCCUUUCCAACACACCCUCUCGAGUCACUCAGUGUUCCUAAUUCCUUGGGGUACCUCUGCAAACAACUCAUCCAAAGCAAAAGUAUUUCAUAUCAUGAAGGUUGAAAGCAAGAGUAUCUCAUAUCAUGCUUUCUCCCUGUCCUUCUCCUUGUCUUUGUUUUAGGACAAGGAGAAAGAGAGCAAUCAGCCAGCACUUGGUAUCAAUCUUCCGAUCUGGAACCGACUGCCUGGAACCCCUUCCUGAUUGCUUACCUAGCCUUGCUCUCGAGAACUCAUCUUCAUCAUCUUAUGCUUCCUCUUCGUCUACCACAUCUGCCUGGGGAACAGAUAAGGGAAGUGAAAAUGAUACCUCGAAGCAUGUGGAAACAAUUUACCAAUUCAUCCUUAGCUAGGGACAAGGAGAAAAAAAGCAAGAGGUGGGCACUUGGAAAGAUUGAAGAAAGAAACAGACCAACACCUCUACCUCAUGCCUGCCCGCCGUGCAGAAGAAUCAAGCAGAGAAGAAUACAGACUGCACAAUCAAAUCAGGGAACUCUCAUAUUUCUCGCUCAGAAUUCCAAACCAGUUCAAGAUCAACGCUGUGGAAAGUCAACAAGAUCAUCUAUCUCCAAAACCAGAUUUGCGUUCUUAAACUCUACUCUGUCUGGUUUUUACUUUGCUAUACUUGUCAUGUUUAUUCGUUGUUUGUUUGUUUGCUUGUUGUUGUGUGAGUUUAUGUUUAAAACAUUGAGGACAAUGUUUGAUUUAAGUGUGGAGGGAUAACCAUUGUUUUGCAUGAAAUUCGUAGGAGUUUAUCACCCAUUACUUCUAGUGUUGUUCCUUGCUGUUUUAAGUGUUUUAAGCUGUUUUGGAGUGUUUCAGUGUGUUUUGACAUAAAAAUCCGAAAAUCUCAUAAAAAUUUGAAAAAUUGUUUUGAAAAACCAAAAAAGAGUUGUUUUUGUAUGUUUAUUUGUGUUUUAGGGUACCUUCCAACACAAUGAUGAGGAUUUGGUUUUUAAUUACAUGACUGUUAAAGAGAAUUAUAAACAUGGAUGAAAAUUUGAUUUACUCUUUGGUGUAUGCUUGGUUGUGGUUAUAAUUUAUGAAUUCACAUGCAAUCAUAAAGGAAAAAUCAAUUUUGUAACAUGCUUGAAAGAAGGAACUCAAAUGUACGCUACAACCUUGUGAGACUUGAGCCUAGACGUUUAUUUGGAGAGUUAAUAAUGUGCAUUUUUGUUUUCUAAAGUCGUUGUAUGAUCUCAUUAUUCUUUGCUUGGUUGCUACCUAGAAUGCGUUCAUCAUUAUAGAUCCACAUACUAGAACUCAUGCCCGUUCCAUUCAAAGCAUGACAUUAAUUUGCAUAACACAUAUCCAAGAUGAAGUUGUUUAGUGAACCAAAGCCAAAAUAGCCGAACCCACCUUUGUCAUUUGUUUUGUAGGUUUAAACCCCGUUGAGCCUUGUUUAGCCUAUUUUCUUUGUUAAACCACAUCAUCUCUACCUAACCUAGAAUAGGACUAUCCAUACCCUUGUUCUUGAAGUAUAGUGGAGCAUAACUUAGAAAGAAUUCAUUUUGAAACUUAUUGGGGGAAUUUAGAUUUCAAAUUUUUUGUGUGCCAAAGAAAACGGCAAGAGAAAAAAUUCGUGAAAAAAAAGAAAAAAGAAAAGAAAAAUUUGCAAAUUUUCCUGUGUUUAAAAGUAGAUGCCUAAAUUAACCCUUACAUUAAUUUUCCUUGAAUAAUUUCUCAUUCCAUCUAAUUUAGAUCCAUCUUGCUCACUAUUCUUUUUAAAUUUGUGGAUUUUGAAAUUUCAAAUGAGAAUGAAAUUGGAUGAGUUCAAUUUUCGUUUAAUUCUUACAAUUAAUAAGAAAUUCCGUCGAAAACAUUUUGAGUAUUGUUUAAUUUUUCAAUAUUACCGUAUUGUGUCAUUGAAAUAAUUAUCAGAGGAAUUAGGGAAUUCUCUUAAGGAACAACUCAAAAUGUAGUACAUGAUUAAAUAAUUCCUUUGAAUGGUCAACUAUGAUCAACAUAUCUUGUAUCAGAUCUUAGUCAAAUACCUGUUAAGAGUGUAAAUUUCUUGUGUGAAAAUGAGUGUAUCUAGUAAUUUUGGCAUUAGGAUGUUACUACAUUCUCAAAAUGCUGUUUUUUGAUUAAAUGAGCUGUGAGGUACUAAUCAAAUAUGCUCGAGGGUAAGAAUGGCUUAAAUUAUGUGAGUGGUGAUCUGGUUCAUGUUUCAUUAAAAAUCCCUGAGGCAAAUGUUGGAAGAUUUAGGUUAUGUUUUGUUUGUUUCGUUUGUUUUGUUUUGCUCGAGGACUAGCAAAAGCUAAGUGUGGGGAAUUUGAAUUUGAUAGGAGCAUUAUUAUGCGACUGAGUUAGCUUGUUCUCAUGCAUUUAUGUUGUUAUUUCUUAGUUAAUUAUGUAUUUUAAGCUAUUUUCGUGUGUUUGUAGGUCCAUAGGCCUUAUAAAGCAAUAAGGUGCAUUUUGGAGCAGUUUUGGGCUUGGAAUGGAUAGCACAUGCAUGGAGUAAGGUGAUGGACGAAAUUGAAGACUAAAGAGGCUUGGAAUGUGUUAAAAAGAAAGAAUAAUUAAUGACAAAGAGCUCAGCAACCAAACAGGGAACAUGAGUCAAGAUUACCUUAUUUUGAUUUAAUCUUUCCUAAUCUUCAAUGUCCCUAAGUUCCAACAACAUUCCUUGUCUAUUUCAUUCACUCAUUGCCUAGCACCACCCUUGUUCCCUCCAUCAUUCCAAAUUUCUUGCAUCAAUCAUCACUCCACCUUAACCCUUGACUCAUUUCUACACCAUUCCACCUCCCUUUCCUUUCUCUACCAUGUGCACAAUCAUUCAUGUUCCCUACUUGCAUUCAUUGUUGCAACACCACUCCAUUUUACCCCUCAUGCUUUGCAUCAUUACUUCACUUUCACCUUUGAAUCAUUUCAACACCACUUCAUUUUACCCAUGGUUUGCAUCAUUACUUCACUUUCACUUUCACCUUUGCAUCAUUACUUCACUUUCACCUUUGAAUCAUUUCAACACCACUCCAUGUCCCCCUCCAUUGCCUUGCCCUUCCUCUAUAAAAGGAAGUGUGUGUAACAUAAAUUUAGUUCAUAUAUUUUUUUAGAUCAUUCACUCCCAUUUCAAUACAACCUUCAUCCAAACACAUUCAUUCAUCUUCACAUCCAUUCCUCCAUACAAACAAACCUUCAAACACUCACCAACACCUUGUGCCAUAGCAAAGGAAGGAAAGGAAAAUGCUUGGACGUGCGUGCUGUCAACUUGGAUCGUUGGAGCGUUUAGGUGUUUUCUUUCUUUUGUUUCCAAUGUUAAAUUCAUUUUCUGAUUUUGUUGCAAUUAUGAGUGGCUAAAACCCUAUUUAGUUAGGGGGAAGUUUGAAGCCAUGAACAUGCUUGAGAUAUGAAUUGAUUUCUUCCAAUUGUGAUUUGAUAAGUUGUGAUUGCAAUUCAAUUAUCUAUUUUAUUCAUAACUGAUUCUUGUAUGUUUAUUAAGGAUGCAUACUUAAUUUUCAUGCAUGAAUUAGAUGCUAGAAUAUAAAUGAGUUUCACCUAAUCGUUACAAGUUUAUAUUCAUGAGUAGUGAAGGUUGUUUAUCACAAUCUGACACACCCCGUCCCGAAGGAGGGCGUGCUGGCCGUCACGUGAGAGUGACGUAACCAUUUACACAGUUCGGAAGCUUUAAAAAAAAAUUCCAAUUACUAAUAUAACACACCCGAGGGUGAGUCCUACUUUUGUGAAUUCUGUCAGAACACCGUUGGAUUCCUCGUGGCCACCAAAGCUCUGCUAACUUGAACCUGGGGCGCAAAACAAAAGCUUGAACUUGAACCUUUCAGGCGCAAAACAAAAGUUUUUUCGAAAACUUUUCAUUUAAAACAUUUCUAACCCCUCACUGUAAAACCUGUAUACUUUCCCAGAAAAUAGUGUAUAUAUAAACAUAUAUAUAAGCAAAAAUCUCGAAUCUCAAACCUUUAACACUUUUCAGAAAUAUAUAUAUAUAUAUAUAUAUAUAUAUAUAACCAUUUGAAAUCUCAAGACUUGAAUCCCAAAUCUUUAACAUUUUUCAAGAAAAGCAUGCCAUGCCAUAAAUCAAAAAUAUAAAUCAGGUGAAAUAAGGAAUCAAUCGGAGACCCUGCAGUUGGUCCUAUACGAUUAAUUCAAUAGCUCAUUAUCUCACUAAGCCGGAGUCACCACAGUAACCUAUACGGCCCUACUCUGCACAUCACUCAGAACUACGUAAGGUAGUCUAUACGAUGAAAGGUGUAAAAAUACGCUCUAGUGCUUCUCUCAUCAUAUCAUCAGCGCGCAUAACUAAGAUCACCCACUAGUCGGAAUCACGCCUAGUGAUCUAUACGACUAGCAUGUCGGAACCCUCACAUGGUCUGUACGACAUCCACCUACUUGGAUCCAAGGCGAGCGUGCGGUGUGGUGAAUAAAAUAAGCACUAACACCUAGGGUGCAGGUUAUGAGCUUAAAACAUCUUAUCAACAAUCAAUUAAAUGAAUAAAUGAACUCACCUGACUUACCUGUGCCUCCACCGCACCAUGCAACAUGUAUGCAUCAAAUAUCAAUUCGUAUAACUCAUACGCAAUUCACAUUUUUCAAUUAAUUCUAUGCAUGGCAUUUUUAAAACAUAUUUUCAUAUAAAUUCAUUUUAUGGGAAAAAUCAAUAGUAUAAAGGUAAUACAAAAACAAAACUGCCCACUCACCUGGAGUUCGCCCAACAACUCCCUAGCACCACACAUCAAGGCGUCAUGAAGAUUAGUGCCUAGAACAAUAAUCAAACCCAACCUCAGAAAUCAUGCCGAUAGAAUACAUAACUUAUAUAAGACGCGUCCCUACGUAGUUCGAUCCGGAUGAUCUGCAACUCGGAUUUCAAAUCCGUAACUUCCAGAGGUCCACAAUAUACCUCUAGGACAACAUCCUAAAAUUUCAUUACCAUCCAACGGUCGGAUCUCCGUCAAUUUCCAAAACUAAGUGCCGGUUAACAUUCUAUUUUAUGAACUUACAACUCCAAUUCCGGAAGAUCCGUAAAUCGGAUUCCCAAUCCGUAAGUUCCUAUAAUCCUCAAAUAUUACGUAUUACAACGUAUCAACGUUUGGUGACGAUCCAACGGUCGGAUCGUCAAUUCACAUUUUCACCUAACUACGAAUCGUAACCAACUUAGGUUCAAUUACUCAAUUUACGUCCAUCAAUUAUCAAAACUGAACCUAGAGCCUUAAUCACAUGCUAAUAAUGACAUUGGCGGGCCAUUGGCCAUGCGCCGCCGCGCGGGCCGCCGCGGGUGGCGGUUGGCCGCCCCCGGCUCGCCGGAAAAUUCAACUAUUUCCAAAAAUUACCAAAAUUUGCAGAUUUGAAGAUAUCAAUGAGUAGAACAACUUUCAUACCUGUGGCCAAGGCCAAUUUGGCCUGGAAGUGCUUCAAUUUCACCAAAACCGUGAAGAACCCUAGAAUUAGGUGUUUCCAAUUCGACCUUCAAACUUGUUCCAACGCCUCAAUUACCUCUUAGUAUUUGUUCUAGGUCCUAAAGGAAUGCUAAUGGUGUUAGUAAUUGAAAGAAAACAUUUCAAAAUUUCAAGAAUUUAAACAAAAGGGUCGCGGCACCCGUGUGGGUGUUCUUCGCGAAAUCACCAUGAAAUUUAAUGAUUCUUGGGGUGAAACGUGAAGAGGGAAGGCCUAGAUGUUGAUUAGGAGUGGUACCUUGACUCAAUUCGUCGGAAAUUUGGACGAAAAUGGUGAGAACCCGCCGAUUGGAAGUCGCGGGUCGCACGGGUAUACGGGUUGGGAAAACCCAUUUCUUCCUUCUCUCCUCCGCUUCUCGCCCUCUCUCCUUUCCUCCUUUCCUUCCUCUGGUUGGUCAGCUUCUCCCUCUCUCUUCUUCUGAUUCGCCUCUCCUCCUUCUUCUCCGAUUGGGCAGUUUUUGCCCAAUCUCUCUUCUUCUUUCUGUUUUCUGGUUCUUCUCACGCGCACACACACACACAACUUCCUUUUUCUCAUCCCAGCCAUCUAUUUCAUUCAUCAUUAAAUCUGGGUCGUCCAUUUUCAUAAAAGAAUUUCUAUUUUACUAAAAUUAUAAUUCCUUAAAAUCCCAAAUUUCAAACGUUAAUAACUUCUUCGAUAUAACUCCAAAUCACGAACCGUCUACGCCCACGCGUCCGUAACGACGAGUACUACGAGGAUAUGUCAAGAAAACAAAUCUUAGAUGGCACGACACAACGAUUAACCUCGAAUGAUGUGCGUGCCUCAAAGGGCAUUUUUGUAAAAUCCUUUAUGAAAACUUUAAAAAUUCUUAAAAUUAGGGACGGGCUGUCACACAAUCGCGUUAAUUGAAUUCUUGGCAAUUGUAUCAUGCAUUCAUAGUUAUAAUUGUCUCGUCAACACUUAUGAUUUUCAUUGAACGUAAUGAUCUCUGAUUGUAUCUCUAUUAUGCAUUAAUAUAGGGGACUUUUAGAGGAUGAUUUGGGUUGUCGCAUGCAUUCAUCCAAUUCAAUGAGUAAAGGAAAAUCUGAGGGUUAAUUUGUGCAUCACGGUUAAUCUGGGUGUUGAGCAUAAUAGUUUAUUGAAAAGCAAUUGGAAAUCGAUUCAUGUACAAGUGUGUCAUGUGUGAAGAACGGACCUCUAACUAAUCCAUCCAUCAUUUUAUUUCUCAAAUUCAUUUUAUAAUCUGCCUAGUUUUAUAACUUGCUUGUUUAUUUCAAAUUCAUCCAAACCAAAAUCCCCUUUUUACUUUCUUGUUUCAAAGUGUUAAAUUUCUGUUUUGUUUGUGUUUUUGAGUGUUUUGAUUCAAGCCAAAACACUAAAUUCAUCCAAAGUUGAUUUAAAGUCCAAAUCUGACUAGUUUGUGUUUUUAGGCAGUUUUGAGUGUUUUUAAGUUGUUUUGAAUCUUUAGAAUCUGUUUUGAGUCCCUUGAGUCUAUUCAAACAUUUUUAAUUUUGUUUUUAUGUUUUUGAGUCAGUUUAAAGGUUUUAGCAAGCCCUCCUAAUCCCCGGUUUAGAACGAUCCCUACUUGCAUUUAUACUACAAUUUGACAACAAGAGGGUUUAAUUUGAGUGCUUAACUUUCAUCGCAUCAUGUGAGUUCCCAGAAACAAAACUGUGAGGGCGUGGCCAGGGCCCAAAGCGGACAAUAUCGUGUUAUGGCGGAGCCGAGAUUGGGAUGUGACAUUGUCACCUAAGACAAAGUACAUGUCCACAUUUAGAGUUCUUCAAGUAUUCACAUAAUAAAAAAUUUCCAUACGCCCCCUACAACGAAUGAAGAGAAAUCGAGACACGUUGACAAAAAAUCAACCGUCGAUCAACGGUAGGGUCCACAACCCUACAUAACUCGAUCCGCAAGAUCCAACCACUGUAUUUGUGAUUCAUAAGUUCCUAAGGUCCUCAAAUCUUACAUACAAUAACAUACUAAACUUUGGUGACGAUCUAAUGGUCGAAUCAUCAUUUGCUAUAAUGUUCAAAUUACGCAAAUUCGUCAAUCAGAUGUCAAAUAUGGAAUCAGACAUCAAAUUUAGCUUAGAAAGGUCAAGUGGUGUCUCGAGCACGCGCCGCCGUGCGCAACAGCUGGCAACCUAGAUUCGUCGGAAAAAUCACCUAAUUCCAAAUGAAUGUCGUGAGACGUGGAGUAAAUUGUAUACCUGUGAAGAAGCCCAAUUUGGCCGGGAAGUGGCCUGAAAUCACUUUAGACCGUCGGAAACCCUAAAAUAGGUGAAUCUCGAUUCGUCAUCUCCGGUAUUCCACCGUCCUCAAACUUGUUUAGGGUUUGCUCAUGGUCUCAAAAGAAUGCUAAUGAUGGUGGUGAUUGAAAGAGAACGUUUCAGAAAUAGUGAAUCGCCAAUGAGGGUUUCACGAAACCGACAUGGGUGUUCCUCGUGGAACCAAGACCAAAUCUCAAUGGUUUUGGCUAGAAAUGGAUGCUGGGAUGUCGUGGUGAAGUUUGGUAGUGAUGGGAGGUUGAAGAAAGACAAAAAAAUCGACAAAACAACCGUCGUCGGAGUCGCAGGAAACGGGUUAGAAAAAUGAGUCGCCAGGUCUGAAACGUCGAAGGCUUUUGGGACAGCUACUUACUCUCUCUUCUCUGAUUAGUCACUCCACUCACUCUCUCAUUUGAUUGGUCCAGCCUUCCCACAUGGUGGGAGUUCCCUCAUAUAGUAACCCAAAAUUUACUAUUUAAAUCUGGUAUUGAACGUCCGUAACUUUUUCGUUAUGGUUUCGAUUCGCAAACGGUUUUCACCUACGCGCUCAUAUGAUCGAAUUAUACUCGAAAACAUUAAUUAUGACCUCGAAAAGGUCUACGAGUUUUAAAAGAUUAAUUACAAAAAUUCACACCUUGUAACUAUACGAUUCAAAUUCUAAAAUUAACGGAAUUAAAAUAAACUAAAAAUAAUGUAAACACGAAAUACAGACUUUAAUAAUGAAAUACGUAAUUAAUAGUGGAAUUCCGGGGACGGGAUUUCACACCUUGCAUCCGGACCUUCAAUGCGGAUCAAAAUCCAAAGGUCGCGAUCUGACGAGCUCAUGCAUAGAACAGAGUUGUUGUGACCCAAUGCAAUUCAAAACUUUUAUGUUUUUUUAUUUACUGGGUACGUUUUUGUAGGAGGAAAAGGGGAAGUCGAGAGAUUCUUUGCGCAUUAAAGAGGGAAAGAGAGAAAGGGGGAGCUAAGAGGUUCUUCGCGCGUUAAAUUUUUGCUUCUGAUUUUGCAACCUAGAAAUAAAGUAUUUUCUUUAUGGUUUAUGGUUCAAGAAUAUAAUGGAUACAGCCUAAAAAUGUUUCUUUUUUUAUUUUUUACUUUUUUUUUCUUAUGUUGGCUUUUGGUUUAUUUUUAUAAUGCACUAUAUAUUAACUAAAUUUAUAAACAUUUUGUAUCUUUGUUGCAGUCAAAUUAAUCAUAUGGGUCGGCAUGACGAAGUUCGACUGAGACAUACAGAUGUUUUGCAAUCUUAAGUCUAACCUGACACACCCCGACCUCAAUAUCUAGUGGACACCAAAAUUGAGGUGUGAUGGCCAUCAUCCGGAUGGGUGAUGAAACCAUAAUAUGCAUGAAACAUAACUAAAUUAUCAACCAAUAAAAUCUAUUGAAAAAUUUGGCAGAACAUCCCUUAAAAUAGGGAUAUGCCCAAAUUAAAAACACUUGCACAUGAUCAAAAUUAUUCAACACUUCCCCGAAGGGCCACACUUAAUGGGACUUCGACCAUCUAUUACAUGCAUGAGAAUAUGUUCAGAGCAUAAUUACCCAAACACGUCUUAUUAAAAUAUUGAGUAAAUACCAUACAAGAUAGAAUACGUCAGAGCUGUUGCAAAAUACCUCAAUGUCCGAUGUAAUCACUGAUAGAAUUACUGAAUCAUGUAUAGAUGGAAAGCUGAUAAAUACAUGUAAUUUGAGUGGAUACUUACCAGCAGCAUGGAUACAAUAUCAUCCACCGGUCGUAACUAAUGACAAGCUGAGAGUAUAACUGUAGUACCUCUUAUUAGUGCAAUGCAUGAUAUGAAUUCCAUCUCACAUAUAUAUGCAAGCCAUAAUCAAACCAAUAAACAUCCAACAAAAGCCACAAUCCUUUUAACAUUCGACCACAAGAUCAAUUUUCAUAUUUCCCAAACCUAGGUUCCAAAGCAUUGUUUCGAAUUAUUAAUACAAGAAACCACCACCACCUCAAUCAACUCCUAUUCCCAAGUGUAAGCAAUUACUAAAUGCAUCACUUUCGACUCUAGUCUUAAUUAGAUUACUUGGGAUACUCAUUCACACCAUCAGAUCCAAGUACUAUUUUGAUAAACUUUAAAUAGCAUGGUUAAAAUAAAUGAAACACUUUUAGAAAAUAAGUGAAGAUGUUGUUUACAAAUAUAGAUGCAUCUGUAUAUAAAAGCUUUGGCGGUUGAUCCGUAUACACUUCCAAAGAUAUAAGCAAGUUCAUUGGAAUAUACAUGCAUAGUUAAUGUAUUACAGUAUAAUUAAUAAGAAAACAAUUGCAUCCCUUUAAGAAUAUAUAUAUAUAUAUAUAGACACACACACAUACAUACACACAGGCCCUUUAUGCAAAGGAAUUUCCAUUUUUUUUCAAAAAAUGGGGAUUAGUUGUGGGGCCCACGUUGCAUUGAACUUUAACGAUCCGAACAGUCUAUUUUGUAAGUCUCGAUUCAUAUAUCAUCCUUGUAAAAAUUCAAUUCAAUCCGAACCCAUUUGCCUAUUUAAUUAUCAAGAUAAAAUUUUAUUGUUUCUUAUAUAACAAAGUAUUCGUUAAUUUCUUUGAACUCAAUUAGAUAUCUUAAACAUUUCCGAUUUGGUUAAUAUUUUGUAAGGAUGAUCUAUGUGGUGCAACUUGAAAAAUAGACGAUUACGAUCGUUAAAGUUCGAUGUGGUGUAAACCCUACAAUUAAUCUUCAUUUUUAUAAAAGAAUGGGAACCCCUUCCCUUAAAGGUUUCCUAUGUAUAUAUUUGUUCUCCAGACAUAUGCAGAAGGUAAUGUAAAACUAAUGAGAACUUAAAUGGAUAUUCCAUACAUAGGACAAUUCCAUAUAUGCUUUUUCAACAUUUAUAUCGAAAAGCCAAAUUGUUUUGAGGAAAUUAAUUGUAGCAAUGAUCCCUUAACUUUUAUCUUAUUGGAACAAUGGUCUCUCAACUAAAAAUUCAUGACCAUUGGUUCCUUAACACCACACAACGUGUAGUUAUGGUCAUUUUCAUUAACUCCGUCAGAACUUUUGUUAAAACAAGUAAUGUUAGAAGAAUCAUUGCUACAAUUAGGUUAAAGUUGGGGACCAUUGCUCUAAUUAAAUUAAAAUUGAGGGAUCAUUUCUCCAAAUUGCUUAAAGUUCAAGGACCAUUUCUACAAUUUUCUCAUCUAGUUUCCCAUAUUUACCCCAUGAUUCAGCUUCACAUGCAUUGCACAUGACUCAUUUUGACAAAAAAUUUAACAAAAUUGACGAAAAUGACCAUAAAUGCACGUUUUGAAGAGUUAAGAGACCAAUGGUCGUGGAUUUUAGUUGAGGGAUCAUUGCUCCAAUUUGGUUAAAGUUGAGGGAUCAUUGCUACAGUUUUCUCAAAUGUUUCGUAUGCGAAAAUAGGCAUUUGUAAAGUUUGGCUUGUUUAUGGCAUUAUUACUUUAGUCUAAAGUAAGGCUGGGAAUGGCACUGUAGAAAUGAAUAGUGUUCCAAUCCGAAUUUCAGUUUAAUUACAACAAUGCCAUUGCUCUUUGUGUUGCCUUUAGGUGAGCAGCCCGGCUUGCAGUCAGGCCCAAAUGUAUUGGUUUUAGCUGAGAAGCCCGGCCCUUGGUCAGGCCCAAAAUUUUAAAUUACAGUUUUGCCCAUACAAAAUAACAAUCCGAUUGUAUCGGGAAGGACAAUUUUGUCCUUUCAGUUUUGGGUGAGAUAAGGGGUAACAGGGUAAGUUUCAUUUGCUGUCGUUUAAUGAGGGUUUCGGGGAUGAGGGCUCUGUGUGUGUGUGGAUGAGAGAGAGAGAGAGAGAGAGAGAGAGGGAGAUGGCGAUGGAAGGAGAGCGAGGGGGAAGGGAAGGGUUCUCGGCACUGUUGCUGCAUGUGGAUUUCACAUGUGGGAGAGUGGGUAUGGUCAGAGAAAACCAUAUAGGUCAUUGGGAUUUCAGGGAAACGGGGUAGGGGUCAUGAAUGAACUCUGCUGAGAGUGUGGGUACCGGAUCUUGCGCUGCAUGCCUCAAAUCAAAGAUAAGUUCGUUUUUUUAUUGUAUUUUUUGUGGUAGCUUAGCUUUUGGAAUUGUUUAGUAUGUUAGGUCCGAUUUUGGGGGAUUUAUCUUUUUAGAGAGAGAGAUGGACAGGGAGAUAGAGAGAGAGAGAGAGAGAGAGAGGAGGAGGAAGCAUGACUGUGUGCAAUUUUUGGUGUUAAUUAAUGGGUUGGUGCGUAGGGUGAGUGACAGAGUGACAGAGUGAAGGAGGGACGUGUGGGAGGGUAUGAGUUUUCAGUUCUUUCUUUUGAUUCAACAGGUUAUACAUUGUUUGAAAAACCUUUUUUUAUUAUUUUUUUCUCGUUUGCUUUGUUAAAACCAUCAUUUGAAUUUUUGGGUUUCACUGUGUUCAUUUCUCUGCUUCUUCAUAAUUUGCUGGUGUUUGCUUUUCAUCCCUCUAUUGGUAGAUCUUUUUCUCAUUUCUUGGUUCCUUAUGUAUUCUUUGGUACAAAUCUAUUUACUUUUUGGCUGUGUGAUAAUCUUAGCAGGUGAACUAUAUGAACGUUUUUUUUGAAACGAGUUAAGAAGAUCCAGCUGAAAAGAGCAUGCAAGAUAGAGAACUGGUAUGCUGCUCGCCAGGGAAAGGCUGCUGGAGAGGCUGAGACGGAUGCCUCCUUCAAAAACCAGGUCAGUUUCCUGCUACUCGGCGUCUUAAUGUAUCCAAAUUGUUUAUCUUUUGAUGAAAUUAGCUGGCUUUAUUUUCUAUUUUAUUUAUCUGCAUAUUAUUUUGGUUUGUUGAAAUUUUGACUAUAGUCAUUGUGUCACAUGGGCGCCCAGCCCAACCCAAAUUAGUUGAGGAUAUUUAAAUCUUCACCAUGGUAUUAUAGUACUCACUCACAGUUGUGAAUACUAAGGUGCAGGCAUGGCAUGAAGAAGUGGACCGUGCACGCCAAGGUCAGAGGGAUGCAGAGGGCAAACUUUUUUCUUUGGAGGUAAGUAUCCUUUGUUUAUUGCCCAACAGUGUUGUUAUUAUCAAUUUGUAGCUUUGCGUUCUGAAUUUUUUGCUUUGUCAAACAACCUUUUUGAAAUGCUCGAUUUCAAGCCGAAGUCCAAAAAAUGAGAGUUGAGAUGGCUUCCAUGAAGAGGGAUGUAGAGCAUUACUCGCGCCAGGUGAAAUCUGCUUCCUCUCUUUUCGUAUAUCUUCAUAUGAAGAGUUUUACUAAGUUAUAUUGAGAACUAUGUUAUUUAUAGGUUAUAUUUUCCAUUUUGCAAGAACACAUGGAGCUAAGGAAGAGCUAUCGUGAACUCACUGAUCUACUGGUAAUGUCACUCAAACUGCUUUAUUUGUGCAUGCUGCUACUAUGCGCUUGAAUGCAUUUUAUUACUGGCGGGAUGCGAAGAAUGCUAGAUAUAUGUGCUGGAUCGCUUGAUUAGUGUUAGGGUUUUAACAACUAAUUGUUAGCAGCUAGAAGCUCUGGUUAGAUGAAUGCUAAUUUGAUUUUCCUUACAGUACUUGAGUGCCAGUUUCAUAUUGUUUGUUCCCUGCUGGAUACAUGCUGUACAGUUUCAUUUCUGUUUCUUCAUAACUUUCUUGGCCCUGCGAUAUAUGCAUAUUGAGUACAAUGAAUAUCCAUUGUUCUCUAACUGUUGGGCUUUACUAUCUUUGUAGCAGCCUGCCUAACAUUUUUUAGGCUCUACACUCUACCAUCCAAUUUAUGAAAAAUUCAAAGAUUGGACGGUAUUGAUUGCAUAAAUGAAAAAAAUACUAUGAUAUUAGAAAGGUGAAUGUAAUUGUGUUAGAAGAAGCGUCUAGCAUGAUGGGUAAUAUUUUAAGUUUGUAUUUCUAAAAUUUUUUCGUUCUGGAGUAUGAUUUACCUCAAUUGUUUUGUACUUUAAUCUUUACUAAUUUUCAUUGUGGAGUAUGAUUUGCCUCAACUAACAACUUUUCAUUGUUUAACUUUUUCCUCCCUUAGAUAGUUGCAUAUGUUUGAUUUGUUAAUCUGCUUCUUACACAUGUUGUUUCCUAAUGGUGUAGGUGGAUUGCCGGAUGCAUGUGCAGAUUACUUGAAUAGACGAAGCUAAGAAUGACUUAGUAUUAAGUGAGAAAGAAGCUUGGGUCAGUUGGAUUUUGACAUUUGAUUUAUUCAUGUUUUUUUGUUGCUUGCAAUGUUCUCUCAUUGUUUGUUCUGAGAUUCUGUGAUCUUAUUUUUCAUAGGAACUGACAUUGGUUUGCCAUAUAAUGUUUCAGGAACUAAUACAACAACUAAUCACCUUGCUUAGGUCUCAAGACACAUACUUAACAGGUUAACAAACGCUAACCUAUAAACUUAUCUACUAAGCUGGACCAUUAACCUCUGUUUAUAUCCCUGCCACUCAUCUUUUGGCACUUAUCAAUAGCAAAAUCUAGAGUUGUUGAAACCCCAAUUUUAAUGAAUAUUAUUUUUAGUUGAUAAUUAAAAUUAAUUGAUGAUUAAUCUAUUCCAUUGUGCAUUAUUUUAUCGCCAAAUACUUUGAAUAUUCAUUAGCAAAAGAUAUAGGGUUCACUAUUUAAUGAAUAGAAUUUUGAUGGUGGAUUGCAUUUCCUGAGUUAUAAAUGUGGUGAAUCCAUUAUUUACUAGCUGAAUAAUCAUAAUGUUUUGGCCACUUACCUUGAAUUUUGUUCAAAUUGAAGAAGUCACAUGUUUCUUUCUGUUGUUGAGGUAAUCUCUCUGUUGAAAGCUUCUAUUUCUUUUUUCUUUUUCUUUUUUUCAUUUGGGUAGAUUUUUUUUUUAUGGAUUUAUGUAUUUUUUUUCUUCAGAGAAUUCGAAAUGAAAUAAGAAUAGCGGAUUGAGCAUAAACAAAUUGAUGAAAUUUUUAUUUGAGUGUUUGUGUUGGUCCUUUUUUGAUUUGUUGAGGUUUGGAAUUAUUUGAGUUUUUUUGCUGUUAGUACUGUGAAGGAUGCUUGGCAAUCGCGAAAUGGGGGCUACCUCUUUGGAAAGAGAAGUCUCGCUAUCCAACCUCUCAUGAAUUACAAACAGGGUGCUUUCUUGCUGAAAAACCACUGAAUCAGUAGAACUUUCCUCGGUUCUUCAAUUCGAUUCGAAUAAUUUUUUUACCCAGAAAAGCCAGCGUUUCCUGGUGAGUUUUACAGCUUUCUCAAUGUUUUUUUUAUUUUGGAUUUGCAAAUUUGUUUUCUGUUCAAAUUUCCUUUUGUGAUUUUGGAGGUUUUGUUUAUCGAUUCUCUCACUCAUCUCUCAGCUCUCUCCCACUUUUGAGGUACAUGUCGUUGGAUUCCGUUUGCUGCUGUUGAUCUGCAGGUAAAGCUUCAAUUACCAUACAAAGUUUACAUUUUUCAUGAUUUCUUGAAUUUGGGUUUUAAACAAAGGAAAUAUUGCUAGAUUCUUAUCUUAUGUGCAAAUUACUGGCUAUUUGGAUUGGUGCUUGAGAUUUAGAGAAUGUCUCGCAGCUUUAAUUUCUUUUUCCUUCAUUAUUACUGUUUUCAAAAUUUUUAUUGCUGGGUAUUGAUAAUUUGUAGUAUGUGAGGGCUUCAAUAUGUUGGAAUUUUGAAUGGUUAUUGCUUCAUCGGAAUUUGGGUGGUCCAAAUUUUGAAUUAGAAGAAACCCAUUUGAUUAAUAUUUUUGGUGGAUUGGUUCUCUGUGUUUUCUUUGCUAUUUCUCCCCCAGUUGGAAAUUGGAAGCCCCAACUUUGAGCUCAGAGCUUGAAUUUCUCAAUCGUUCGUUUCUCUACACUCUCAUCAGUCACUCUUGAUCCUCUAUCUAAAGAACUGGGUAAUUUUCCAGCUCUAUCAAGUAAUACUCAAUUUAAUUGCUUAAUUGAGGUUUUUUGUUUCUCUUUUUCGCUCUUUCAUCAGUUCAUUGGCUUUGAUGUUGAGCUUAAGUAAAUGGGAGAUCAUUAAUUGGCAUUGUUCAAAAUAUAAUUAUGUGUUUUUGGAUUUGUGAAACGAUUUGCCUAAUGAUGAUAGUGGUUAAAAUAAAUUUUUCGUUAUGAAAGAGAACAUUGUUCUUCAUUUGCCUACGGUUUUAACUACAAAGUUAAACUACUAUGCUUUUGUUCAAUUGAUUGCAACUCAUGCCGCAGUUUGCUUCACAAACCUCUAUGGUUAGCUUCCAUACAGUAUGUUGCAAGUUUGAGGAUAUCUUUACAUCUUAAUUUUUGCUCUCUCUGGUUGCUUCAAGUUUGUAAUUUUACGUGUUACAUUGCUACUUGAUUUGAUUAUAAAAAUGCAAAAGAAAAUCCAUUUUGCUUUUAUUCAACUUAAAUGUAUCCUUUUGUUUGUUCAUAAUUGUGUUGAAUUUAUUCAACUUAAAUGUGUUUUAUUCAUCUGUUUACGCUUAAAACAACUGGUUCCCCUAGCAAUGCGCGGACCUAAUUUCUAGUACAUAUACUAAAAGCCAGCAGAAAAUUACUGUUCAUCAUGGGAGAUAGAGCACUGUUCAUUAACAGUGAAAGGGAAAAAAUGCCCUCGGUUUCUUCUUUACUUCACGUACUGUUUACGAAUUGCUACAGUAUAAAGUCCGUUUUGUCAUUCCUGUCCACGCAUCUUUCAUCGUCCGUUUCUCUUGCUUCGACCGCAUCUUUUUCGCUUUACCUUUCCUCUUCGUUUUUCGCCUUCGCUAGGCUGCAAUUUUCGGAGGUGGAUUGUUUGCCCUUCUAUUUCCAUGCUCUCCCCAUGCCCUCCAUUGAUGUGUGGUCACGGUUAAACUAUGUCAACAUUUUAUAUUAAUUUUUUUAUAGAAAUAAUAAAAUAAAAAGUAAUAGGUAUCCAGGAAAUUUUCGUCAAAAUAUCCAGGAAAUAGGUAUCCAGGAAAUUUGCUUUACCGAUAUUUUAAUAGGUAUCCAGGAAAUUUGCUUUACCGAUAUUUCGCCGAUAUUAUCGGUUUUUUGCUUUACCGAUAUUUUAAUAGGUAUCCAGGAAAUUUUCGUCAAAAUAUCGCGAUAUUAUCGAUAUUAUCGAUAAUAUCGCGAUAUUUUAGAUAAUAUCGAGACAUUUUGGUUUCUCGACAGUCAGUCACAAUCUCGCCGGAGAAUCAGAAUAACUCCGAGCAAGAACAAAACCUGCAACCAAACGGAACAAAAUCAUCACUAUCUUUCAACAAAAAUCACCACUUUAUACCAAAAUCAGUGACAAAAUUACACUAAUCCGAGAAGCAAGGGCUUGAAUUCGAGCAAGAUCUGGAAGAAAACAGUAGAAGCUGAGAAAUCGAGUACCUCACCGGCAGUUACAGUGCUAAAGAUCAUCAUCUUUGGAAGGCCGCGGAUCAGACGGAGCUGAGAGAUCAAUGAGUAAGCAUUUCAUAGAUCGUAUUCGAUGAGCAGCUGAAAGAGAGGAGAGAGAAAGCAGAGAGAGACGCGGACGAGGAGGAUCUCGCUGAUGGGGACGACGAAGGAGAGGUAGAGGUCGCGGCCCGCGGGACAUGGUGACGGGCUCGACGAGGAGGAAGGCGAAGGAGGAGCAGAGGAGAUGGGUGCGUGCGUGCUGCGGUGCAGAGAAGAGAGAUGAGGGAGAUAUGAGAGAGAGAGAGCCGAGAGGGAGACAGAAGAAAAAGAAAAGAAAACAGAAAGAAGAAGAAAAGAAGAAGGGAGUCGCGGGGGAACAAAGAGAGAAAAGAGAAAAGUGGAGGGGCUGCCACGUGGCCACUUCAGAAAGAAAGGGAUCCAAUGUUUUGGAUCCUGAUUGGGUAGUCAAAGAGGACCAAUUUGAUAUAUUAAAAUGUUUAGGGGAUAAUUACACAAAUAUAUCUUUAUAAAUGGGGGUGGGUGUUACAUAUUGCCCUAAAAAACUCCAAGUAAUUACAACAUCGUAUUAGAAUUGUAAUUGAUCCUUGUUAGAUUUGGUUUAGAAAUUCUAUGUAAUUUAGUGAUUGUUUCAUAUUAGAUUUAGAUUUGAAUUUUUUACUCCAUUCAGAUUUUAAAUGAUUAUAAUAGAUUUAAAAAUUUACGAACUUUGAUGAAGUUUAAUAAUUUUUAAAACUUUUAUGUAAAAUUUUAAGUGAAUUCCCUCAAAUUUUCAGGUAGCGAUUUGAGAAUGUUUAAAAUAUUAUGUGAAAUAUUUCUAAUUUUUUCGAGUUUCCCAGCUUUUUAAAAAUCUCUUUGAAUCAAUUUCUAAAUUAAUACAUUUGGAAUGUAUGAAUUUCUUAAAAAUCAUGAUCGAAUACCCCUUAAACUUUAAAGAAUCACUUAAAAUCCUAAUUAAAUGCCCUUAGAUUUUUAAGGAGAAUUAAAAUGUUUAUAAGCCCCAAUUGGAUGUACCGCUUAAUUUAACUAAUUGACACAACACAACAUAACCAGUUAAGAUUACAAAUUAACACAAAAGACGACUUGAUGCGAGGUCAUAUCUACAAAACUUGCCGCAAUAAGCCCCAAUUGGUGUGUUUAAACUUCUUUCAUUAAUUACUACAUAUUUUCUACACUCAUAAUGUUUGUCAGCUCGCUAUAUAAUCAACUUGAUAAUGUUAAAUCCAUCAUGCAAUGCAUUUCCUUCCAAUUUUUUGUGAUAAACUAAUAGAUAAUUGACUAAAUAAACAUCCUGCAAAGUUUCAAUAAAAAUUUUCAAGUUUUUUUUACAAUUUCCGUGAUUUUCAUGUAAUUUUUAUCGGUAUCGAUAUUAUGCCGAUAUUUUUAUCAAUAUUUCCGUGUUUUCGAGUACAUAUUUCCGAUAUUACCGAUUCAUCCGCGAUUUUCUCCCUUUUCGCCAGCCCCUCUUUUGCUCUCAAAUCCUUGCUCUUUCUUUUUCAAACUAGUCUCAGAAGAGAUCCUGGGUUUAUCUAAUCCUUUGUUGUUCGGCGUUUUGUUCUCAUCUUGCGAUCGUCGGGGCAGCAGCUUUAAGGUAAGUUUGUUUUUAAUGAUUUAUCCUCAAUUUACGAUGUCUGGGCUAACAAAUUUAAGAUCUUUAUUUUUCUUUUUGCUGUGGAUCUGCAGGUUUUGACAAGUUUUUUGUGAAAUUGGUGCUGUCAGUGGGUGUUAAUAUCAGGUACCCAUGUUCAGUUUUUCGUUUUGAUUUGAAGGAAUUUCUUGCGCAGAAGAGCUAGGUUUCUUGGUGAGUUCUUCGGGUUGUGCAUAUGGGUAAUUUUCUUUUAGGUAUAACCCUCUGCUUCUGCUGCUCUCUCUCUCUCUCAUCCCUGCCUGCUCCUCUCCAAUUGUUUGCUGUUCUUAAAUAUUGUGUUCAUUGCCUGAUACAAGGAGCUGCAGCAAUCUGUUUUAUCCUACACGGGACAACGAGGCAAUGGCGUGACAACAAGUGAGCUUGGAUAUCCAAAGAAAAAGAACAGUUGGUUCAUCUGCUGGAGUCUGAAGCUCAGAGAAGUGGAGGAAAAUUGCAGGUGUGCGAGAAAUUUUAUUUUGCUGAUAGGACUCCUUAUUUACCGAUGCAUUUUGAAUUAAUUGAAAAGUUGGAUUUGAGUUAACAGCUAUAAAAAUGUAGACAUGAUUGCUGAGAUUAUGCUAUGAAAGUGGAAUAAAAAAAUGGUAGUUUAUAAUAUUGCGUACCAAUUUUUUUCUCUCUUUUUUACCAAAUGAUAAGGGUGGUGGCUCAGGCCGCCCCCCUACGCGUCCCCACUCUUCGACAAGUUGAAAUCAUGGUGAUAGUUUAUGGGUUGCGGUCUUGGGAUUCUGCAAAUAGAAUAAAAAACAGACACUUAACUAUCUUGUUAUUAAGCAUUUCUGCAUCAUUCAGUUGCUCUUGAUUUUCGUCUUUUAAGCGCUCUUAUUUCUGCGAUCUGACUUGAGGAGGGGUUUUAGACCUAUGGUUGUGGGUGUUUUGUCUGACCCCAUUAAAUUGGUUUCCGAGAUUUGUAGACUUGCGAUCGGCGGUCAAACAUUUCGUGAUUCUUGCUUUUUUUCCGACUGGGAUUGACGAAUUUUGGCCGAAUCUGUUUCCUGUUUUCUUCUCUGUUUGAGCGGCCGCUGCCUUUCGGUCGUUGAGCGCCGGCAGUCUUUAGAUCUUUGGCAAAUCAAUUUAAUACAACCGAGGUAUGUUUUAUAACUGCUGUCUUUCAAUUUUUGUUCUGUAUUUUUGUUAAUUUGGAUGAAGCUCUAAUAAUUUUGUUUUGGAUCAGUUGUGGUCCUCUGUUAGGAUUUUCCUGGCUAAGAGGGUAUUUGCAUUUUUGUUGCUUGGUUGGUCGAUCCAGUGUAUUAAAAGCGUGAGGCGUGGGCGAGGCGUCCGAGGGAAGCUCGGCCUAGGCGUGAGGCGUGAGGCGAAGCCUCAUGGGACCUAAAUUUUUUAAUAUAUAUACAUUGAGCGUACACAUAUAUUAUAUUAAAAAUAAGAAGAUUAUUAAUCAAUAAUCACCUUGAGCACACACAUAUAUUAUAAAUAUAUACACACACACAUAUAUAUACAUAUAUUAUAUUAUAUAUGCAUAAAAUAGAGGAUGAAAAACACAAUGAGCACACAUAUAACAAUGCACGCAAACAACACACACAUCCAUUAUAUAAAAAUAAAAAUCAGAAAAAAGGCAUAGAGACAAAAGUGCAAGGAAGAUGUAUGAGACAGUUAAAAUCCUACCCAAAAUUUGGGUUUGGGAGUAAAGAAAAAAAAAAAAAAAAAAAAACUCACUGAGGCGCGCCUAGGCGGCUCCGGCGACGCCUAGGCGGCCUUUCGCCCACUCCAGCAAAACUGAGGCGUUAGCCAUGGAGCCAAGCCUCAAGGGCGCCCUAGGCGCGCCUCGAGGCGAGUUUUUUAAAACAUUGGGUCGAUCACAAAUUUACGAACAGCUGUGGUGGUCCUGUUAGAGCCAAGCCUCAAGGGCGCCCUAGGCGCGCCUCGAGGCGAGUUUUUUAAAACAUUGGGUCGAUCACAGAUUUACGAACAGCUGUGGUGGUCCUGUUAUUUUUUUGGUAUGUUUUUUCUCCUUUUUGGUUUUUUCCCGGUUUGAGCACCCAUUCAUGAAGAAUUAAAAUGUGUUUAUAGUUUUUCAGGAGAGAUUAGAAAAGUGAUUUCAAUUUGGGAAAAUUUAAUGUUGGUUAAAAUUUGUUUAUAAUUUUUGGGAAGGAAUGAGAGGACCCAUUGAAGUAUGUGUUGUGAUUAUUUUUUAUUCAUAUUUUUAACAAAUUGGGCAUGAAUUGGUAGGUUAACUGUGUGUGUUUAUUAUUUGAAUCGGCCAUGUUUGUCUUUCUAUGGUUCUAAAAAAUUUGUAAAGGCUGUUAACUUGGAAGAAAAUGGGAUCGAGGGUGAGGGGAAAACAGCAGAGAAAGCAUGGAAGAGAGAUUUGGGAUUAGGGGUAGGAAAACAGAUGAAAAGAAUAUGAUAGAGGAAUGGGUUCAGUUCAUUUUCACUAUUUUUUUUAACUGAUUUGGAUUUUGUUUGGGUUUGAGGCCAUCAUUGGCGUUAAGACGUUUAUUAUCAGAUCGUGUGUGUUUUUUGCUAACUUUUAUUGGUAAUUUUUAUGUUGUUCUUAUGAUUUUGUGUGGUAGGGUUUCUGAAUUUUAUCGUUGUUCAUUUGGUUUUUUCUGAAUUUUAUCUGAUUUUGUGUGGUGAGUUUACAAAAUAAUACUAAAUAAAUUUAUUUGUAAUUUCGGAUGAUUGUGAUUCAAUCCUACUACAAUUGAAAUUCACAGAAAGAAUGAAAAACCAGAACAAAACUGCAGCACCUAAAAAGUUGUCAUACAAAAAAACAUGGAAUGUAAAAAUAUGUUAAGAAAUCUAGUUCGUUAAUUUCCAGCUGGUAAGCGGCAUUAUGUAACUUUAGUAGUAUAACUAAUUAACUACUUAUCUAGUGGGUUGCACUUCUAUCCUUGAUCUCAGUUGUGGCUGCAAAGUGCAGGCCACCACCAAGUCUCAGUGUUUGUGUAUUAGCAAAACACUUAAAUAAAUUAAAUUCUGAAAUGUAAAUUAUAUUCCUAUAACUUUAAGAUGCACAUAUAGUAUUGUUGAAGUCGAACUGAAAGCACUGACAAUUCCAAGCAACAGAGCAGCAAUUAUUAAGAGCCAAAACUCAUUCCUAGUCUCCUCAUCCUGGUACUCUACUCCGUAAUCUUCGUUCAGCAUCAUUGACUGAAAUUAGGAGAGAAAAAGAAAAGGAAUUUCAGAAAUUGUCUAUGAAGCAAAGGAUACUGCAGUUACUUCAAGACAUGUAAAUUGCAUAUGUAUAAAGUAAUUUUCUACAUAAAGUAACGAGGCAUAACUCUCUCUCUCCUCUUCAAACCCUAAACAGAGCAAAGCCACAAACUUUACAGAGAUUAGAAUGAGAACUGGAAUUAAUAGAACAAUGACUGAAAAGUAACAUACUUGAGGAGUGAAUGAUUUAGUGUUUCCAUCAUCGGAAAGCCGGAGUAAGUCGCUAAGAGAGGUCGCAAACAGCCCAAAGGGACAAACCCAGACCCCCGGCCCCGAUCCAUACCCUUCCCCCUCAAAUCCCGACGGCCCCCAUACUUUUCUCUGACUGUACCCCCUCUCCCACUCAUGAAAUCGAGGAUCUGUAGCAAUGGUACUGAGAUCCCCACUCCUCCCCCUCCCUUUCUCUCUGUCACUCUGUCUCCCUCUCCCUCUGUCUGUCUAUCUUUAUCCCAGAGCGGCAUGGCCUCGCAUCCCUGAAACCCUCACCGAAAGGUGGCAAUUUUGUAAAUAACUUGAAAUCCACCAACAGCAGGGGCAGAGAAUUGAAACAGACAUUUAGGCUCGUUCGAUAACCAUUUAGGCCAAAACUGAGCACACCUAAACCAUUCCUACUCGUGCCAAAUGUUAGCGGGGAAGCAAGAUGAUGACUUUAUUGUUCAAAACCAAAAGAAAAAAAGAGAGAAAACAAAAUAACAAAUCUAAUGGUUGUAGUGUAAAAGCUGAGAACGUAAAUAAACAUGCAGGGAAAAAAAUUGAAGAUACAAAGUAGCUGCAUCAUGAAACACUUGCUCCAAUUAGACGCAAAAAGUGAUGGUGAUGAGAAGAGAGAGAAAAUGCAGUCGUUUUGAUUUUUCUGGCUUUUAAAGGGAGCAGCUUUCUUCGACCACCAAAAAAAGGAAGCUGCUUUUCGUGUGGUUGUGAUUUCCUGAGUGUAUGUGAGCGGGUCUAUGGCACUUGCACUUUUUGUGUCGGUUACGGUAACCGGGCGAGGUGGACACGGCGGCGUGGGACUGAAUUCGGAGAGGUGAGAAAAAUUAAAAACACAAAAAGAAGGUGUUCAUUUUGUCACAUUUUUAUUACUAAAAAUUCAAUAAAGUACAUUCAUUAGUAUGGUAACUUAACUAUUUAAUUCCAUCUCAUUAAACUAAAAAAAACAAUUACAUAAAAAUAAGGGAAACCUUGUCCAGAGAGACCUGAGAGAAAGUGACGACUUCUCCUCUCAUUCCACUCCAUACUUGAUCUCUAAAGUCCAUUUGGCAUGUAAUUGAUGUUCAAUUUCAAAUUUAGUGGUAGCAAUUAGCAAAGCUAAUGAAAGAAUAAAAUAAAAUGAAAGAAAAAGCAUCAUGAAAUAAAUCAAGAUGAAGAAUGAAAUUUUGGCAACUCGCCAUUCUCUUCUUUUAUACAAAAGAUACAUCCUAUUUGUAGUGAAAACAGGUCCCGACAAACCCAGUUAUCGUCAAGAAGUAUUUUGUAUGACUUUAAAAACAUAUUCCGAGAAAUUAUCUCUUGGCUGAGAACAACAACAAAUCUUCAUGCAUAGCUUGUAGAGAAAGACAUCAGGCAUACAAAAGAACACGCAAGCAUAAAAUAAACGACGCAGGGAAAACCAAAAAUACAAUUGGAUACGCUGUCAAAAGAACAUAAAUAAAUGAAAAUUACAAAACAAAGAAGUGAUGAGAAACCAAAGUACCCAUUUCAUAAUCUAAUUGCUUUUUAGUUUGCUUGCCAUUUUUAGUUCUUCAAUUUAGAGAGAAACCAUAAUUCAGCACAUGAAUAAAGUGAAAACAUAAAAGAUAUGUGGGAUAAGCUAACAGCCAUCCCUGAGUAAUGCAUUCACUUCUGAACCCCAAACACACCAAAACAAAAAUUCACACACAUGAACUACAGCUCUGCUAUGUAACAAGAAUUAAAAGCAUCUCAAAACAAAAUGGCAAACUAUAAGAGCAAUGUAAAAGUAAAAUUGCAAGAAAUCUAAUACUUGGAGGGCAAGUACUAAUCAGACGAAAAUGAAAGAUUGAACUACCUCGCGUGGAACUGUGCCUUGGUUUUUUCCCAUGCUUACAGGAAGCUUUGCACUGAGCUCUUAUAGCCCAAAUUUUCUCUGAAGGGAAAAAAACACAAUUUUGAAAUAAGAUUUUCAUAUUAUACCUUAAAGAGAAGAAUUAGACAACAAAAAAGAGAACAAUGAGUACUUUUCAUCAUAUAUUGUUAGAGUAUGUGGUCCUCUAGUCCAAUGGUCCUGCAGCCAUAUUUACUUUAUAACUCUUUCUUUAGUCUAAAAACAUCUUGGAUCUCAAAUUAAUAUGAAUACGGAUUCAUACGCAUGCAUUGCAUUACAAUCACAAUGCAACAUCUCAUUAGAAAUCCCCACACAAAAUUCUUUUAUUGCUACUUUGAUUUUAGUUUAUAUUUUUUCUGAAGCACGAGGGAGCUAAUUUUUUUUUAAAAAUUUUUUAUUCCAAUAAUGUUAUAGGGUUGAAAGGAUAUUAUCAAUUUAAUUGAUUGUAUUUGAUUGGUGGAACUUCUAUAUCUAUAUUUCAGGUUUUCAAAUUCAGCACUGGGAGAGUCAUUCAUAAAAUGUUUGACAGUGAGAUUACCUCCAUGGAUUAUGCUCACAAUGGACAGCUCAUUUUCCGCGGUGAUGGGACAAUAUAUUUCAGUCAUUCGCCAUUCAAUCAAUUCAAACCGAGGAACAAGCAACAUCAAGAAGAGGAUCUGCCAUGUCAGGAUCACUGUCGUCCAAUUAAUACAAAAAAUCUAGAUAAAAACGAUCAAUUUACAUAAAAGCCUUUCAUUUUCUCAGCAACCAAGCAAAAGAAAAUACCUAUCCGUUAAACACUCGAUUUGGGAGUAAACGUUGCUGAAACUGGACUUCAAUCCCCUCAACCGCAACAAUCGAAUCGAGGUGUGCAAGUCAUUGAAAAACUCACCCAAGAUUUCAAAAUCUGCAUAAAGAAAUAAAUAAGCACAUAAAUUAGCCAACCCUGUUAUGAUCCCACAUCGGGUACACAAGAAAUUGUGUAGUGGUACUUAAGUGCAAGGGGUCAUCCCACCUAUUGGACUAGUUUUUUGGAUUGGGCUCUUCCCUUGGGCUUGAGUACCUAACAUUGGUAUCAGAGCCUAGGUUCCCGACGCUGCGAGACUUGGCGAGUGGUGCCGCCUCAUGGUGCCGCCUUGGGAGUAUGGGCUCCCAAGGGUCUUGGAGACGGGCAAGGUAUGAAAUGUCGAUAUUAUCGCGAUAUUUCGCCGAUAAUAUCGGUUUUUUGAGUUACCGAUAUUUUAAUACUUAUCCACUGAGUUUUCGUCAAAAUAUCGCAAUAUUAUCGAUAAUAUCAACAAUAUCGCGAUAUUACCGAUAAUAUCGCGAUAUUUUGGAGAUGUGCGAAUCGGAGAAGAAGGCCGGAGCUUCUACAGCUCCUGCCGACUGUAAAAGAGCACCCUAGACUCCGAUCUAGGUAUCAAAAUGAAAUACAAGACGAGAGGAAUGUUUUUAUAACUUCCGUUUGCCGUGAAACGGUCGAAGGUGUUCGGAAAGUUCGUCGACACCCACGGCCUCGCCAGAGAUGGGUGUGCCUAUUCUCGAGCCGAUUUCGUCCCAAAAACCUUGCAAAAACACGAGAUAGAACUUAAAUUUCACAUCUAAGCUUCAAUCUAGAAUAGAAUGAGGUAAACCCGAAGCUUACCUAACCGGAGAAAUUCAAGAAACUCGCCAGAGGGUUCCUGCGUCGCCGAGUUGCAGAGACGAGAAAGAGAUGGAGAAAGACGAGGUUGCUGAUAACGAUGGGUGUCUUCCUCAAGCAGGUGCGAUGGUGUGCGUGUGUGUAUGUGGGUCUCGGUGCAGAGAGAAAGGAGAGAGAUGAGAGUUUCAAGAAAGAGACGGCGCCAACGAGAGCUAUUUGUUUUUUUUUAUCUUAAAAAGAGAGAGGUCUAAGAGAAAUGGGAAGAGAGGGCCGAGUGAAAUGAAAGGAGGUCCUUGAAUUAUUGAGAGAUAUCUCUGAGAGAGGCCUAGGAUUUCUAAAAGGUAAUUAGAAAUGGGAAAAAUGGGGCACAUCUUAGCCUUUAUUUUGGAAUCCUAAGAAGUUCACCACAUGGAUGCAUGACAUGUGUGCAUGCCAUGUCUGUUGAAUGGGAAAAGUCUGACAUGGAAAGACAAAGAGUCGUUUGGUCCUCUGGGCUCGAGGCAAGAUAGAAAGUGCUAGGGUUUUUUUUUCUGAAAUGAACAUAAGCUGCUAAAUUCGCAUAUAUUAUAGUUGUUGCUAAAGAUUGACACUAGUGCGGACUUGGACGUGUUGGUCAACAUGUCCUCACAAUCCCCAAGUUCUCCGGUUCGAACCCUUACGCCCAUCAAAUUUUUCUUUCUUUUCGAUGCGCUUUUUCCAUGGCUCUAGGUCUUGAUUUCGAAUCCAGGUGAGCCCUUUCCUUUUUCUUUUUUUUUUCUUUUUGUUUUAUUAUUUGUUUAUUUUAAUUUAUUUGUUUCUUUUAUGUUUUUCCUUUCUUUUAGUUUCUUUGUCUUAGGCGUUCGUGUUUAUUAAAGUAGGAUGUAAAAUCAAUUAUCUUAAAAUUAUGUGUUUUUAAAUUUUGGACUUGUUUGUUGGAUACUUUUUUUGCAUUUUAUCAUUAUUUUAUUAUGAAAAUAUGCUAAAAUAUGCUAAAAUAUCACUUAUGUUUUUGUGAAAAUAUGCUAAAAUAUUUAUAUAUAUGGUUUUGUUUUGAAUUCUUUUUGUACUAAUUCAUUAUAUAUAAAUGAUUAUGGUGUGUUUAAACUUCUUUAAUUAAUUACUACAUAUUUUCUAUACUCACAAUGUUUGCUAGCUCGCUAUAUAAUCAACUUAAAUCAGUAAAAUCCAUCAUGCAAUGCAUUUGCUUCCAAUUUUUUGUGAUAAACUAAUAGAUAAUUGAUUAAAUAAACAUCCUGCAAAGUUUCAAUAAAAAUUUCCAAGUUUUUCUUACAAUUUCUGUGGUUUCCAUAUUAUUUUUAUCAAUAUCGAUAAUAUCCCGAUAUUUCCAUCGAUAUUUCCGUGUUUUUGGACUACCGAUAUUUCCGAUAUCAUCGAUAUUUAUACCUUGGCGACGGGGGACUUGCCGACUGGUGCCGCCAUGGACGUUGGGUCUUUCGAAAGGUGGUGUAAUGUUAUGAUCCCACAUCGGCUACACAAGAAAUUGUGUAGUGGUACUUAAGUGCGAGGGGUCCUCCCACCUAUUGGACUAGUCUUUUGAGUUGGGCUCUUCCCUUAGGCUUGAGUACCUAACAAACCCAUAAAUCAAAGAAAUCAAAAUCCACCCAGAAUCAAAGAAAUCAAAAUCCAUCCAAAACCAAAGAAAUCAAAAUCACACACAGAUAUACAAGGUGUACAGUAUUGACAUGCCUUAAAUGAUAUUAUUCACAAGAUUUAUAAAGCUCAUGUUGUAAUACUUGUGCAGAAUCUAUCAUUCACGGCGUCACUUUUGUGCAAGUCGUAAAUAAAAUUAUUCACGAUUUAAACAUUGUGUGUCGUAUUUGACAAUUUAUACUACGCACUUUCUUUUUCUUUUAAAGCUUUGCGUUAUGUCGUAAAGUUGACUUUCUAUAUAUUUGGGUUGUACCUUUUAUGGCGCAAAUAACACGUCGUAAAUAAUGGCUUUUAGCACAGAAGUUUUGUGGUAAAGAAGCCCGCGCACUAAUUCAUUCUCGCGCCUUCUCUUUUUUAUUUAGCCGCUUCUUUUUUUGGUUUUUUUUUUUUUUAAAAUUCCCCUCAAAUCUUAAAAGGGUUUGUAUUUUCUUUGGUAAACUUGAAAGAGAAACAUUGCAAUUGCAUUUUCAUUUACCCAAUAUUAAUUGUCGAGAGCCCACCCCCUUCCCUUCUCUCUGACAUCGUAACUCUCUCCUCUCCAUCGAUCUCGCUCCAUCUGCUCGCCGUCGCUCUAUAUGCUCGUCAUCGCCGUCGAUUCGUCUGCUCGUCGUCACCGUCGCCCAUCUGCUUUCCGUCACCGUCGAAGUGCCCCGCCAUUCAAAAUCUGAAAUCCCCAAUACAGGGUGCUUUGCGGCAUUUCGUUCUCCAAAACUUUAGGUAUGCUCUCAAUCUGUAUCAACCCUAUCCUGUCACCUCUACUUCAAGGUGAACAAUUUAUAGUUUAUAAAUUUUACUUGUGUUAAUAUAUAUUUUUUGGUAAAUGUUAUGGAUAUUUUAUCAAAUCAGAGAGUAAAUUCGUAUUAAGUGAAGAUUGGCAAAGAACAUAUUGUUUUGAAAGGUUGAAUAAUGUUUGCAGAUCACAUAAAUCAGUAGUUGUCAAGUCCAUAAGAGAAGCAAGAAAUCGGAAAGCAAGGCUUCGACUAAAACCAAAUAAUGUCAAAUUAAUUCAAGAUUGGAAGACUUUCCUUGCAAAGUGUAAGCUCAUUUUCAUUUUCUUUCAUUUCUAAGAUUAGUUAUCUUCUUUUGAGUUCAAAAUUGGGUCAGAGAAAUCAAACUGAUAGUAGUUAAAAGUCUAUUUCAACACCAAGCCUUGUCUACACAAGAAUUUGGUGUUAGUUAAACAUGUGUAUGAUUCUAUCUUGAUUGCAUGUUAAUUUAGUUUGAAGAUAGAUUUGGUACAUGCUAGCUAAUUGAUACGUGAUAUGAAUCUUUGGUUUCCUUUUGAUAGGACAAAAGUGAAACAUUCAGAGAGAUGAAGUCUAAGCAACUCCGCACACAUGUAGUCGCAAGGGAUAUGGUAGGUUGGCCGAGGAUUUGGUAAUUACAUUUCAUUCUAGUGCCUUCUUUUCUACAGGACAAGAACAAUUUACUAAUUUUAUUCUGUGUUCUACUGUGUGUUUACUACAUAUAUGUUUCUAUUUUGUAGAAAAGAAAAAGUGUAGACCCUUCUCUAGUUUCUAGAGGUGAUGUUUGGAUUGCAGCACAUACUAAAAAGGGUGGUGGACCAUCCAAUUUGCUUGCUGCAGAGACUAUUGUAAGUAAUUUUUAACCAUUUAUUUCUUCUUGUUUGUUGAUAUGCAAUGACGGAUGAGGUCUUAACUUUGAUGUGCAACGUUAGGAAAAAAAUUAAGCAAUAUGGAAAUGGAUCAUCAUCUGGUUUUCGAGGUGACGUUCUUUCCAAAGUUUUUGGUGCUGAGCGACAUGGUCGUGCAAGAGGAGUUGGAGGUGGUGUUCCUCCUACAAAGCUUGGAAUAUUUUCACAACAAAAAUUGCGUAAUCACCAAAUGGAUGAAAAGGUGCACAAUUUAACUAAUCAGGUCAGAGCACUGACAGAAUUGGUGCAUCUUUUUAUGAAAAAUCAGGUUAGUGAUUUAAUAACAUUGGUAUCAUAUUGAAUAUUUGUGAAAUCAGUUGUAGUGACACAUCAAAUCACAGGGUAAUGAUCUACCAAGUGAGGCAUCUCCUGACACACAGGUUGCAGCUCCUGAGGCACAUGUUGAUACUGUCGCAAGAACUGAAACUCGUCUUUCCCAAUGCGCAACAAAUGAAUCGUGGUGGCGAGGUUGAUACACUUUUUCAAUGAGCCUUCUAACUAUUAAUGCUCAUUGACUCUGUUAAAAGCUCUGCCAUUUUCAAUCUAACUAGACACUAGAAAUGAUCAUUGACUCAGUUAAAAGUUUUGAUGCUUUGGUCCUUUUGCAUAGUUGCGCAUCUACUGAUUUCUAUUUUUUUUCAAAUCCUGCAGGUUAUUUCUGAAAACAUUGAAACAUCGUGGUGUGCCAGAUGGUUUGAUUAUAAGACACCUUCCUUUUGGUCCACCAACUUAUUUAUAACUGCUAAAUGGUACGUAGUGUGAUAAUUUUCAAAUAUUUUGAUAUUAAGACAGGUGUAGGACAACAUAGAAAUUCUUAGGGCCUUCAGCAACAAAAUUAUGAAAAAGUGAGUGAGAUACAAUUAAAAAAAUGAAAGAGAAGGAUCAUGAUUCAUGAUCUAAAGGUUUGAAUAGGGUAGAAAGGAUUUAGUUUCGUUGUUAAAAUCGAUUUGUGAGUCUAUUGUUAUUGUAUUGUCAAUUUGUUUAUUUACUUGAACUUCCUAGUAUCAAUUUGGUUCGAUAUAUCUAGCACCACCAUAGAUAUAUCUAGUAUCAAUUUGGUUAGAUAUUGUCAAUUUGUUAUUUUAUUGUCAACUAUAGAAUGUGCAUCAGUUGUAAAAGGAACAAAACAAUUCAGAUUUUUUGUUUAUGUCCAAACUUAGAAUUGUAUUGUAAUUGACAAUUUCUACUAAUUAAUCCAAGUAUUUGGAGUUUAAUAUGUUUAUGAUCAAUAUUGUUAUCCUUGUAUUGUAUCAGUUUAGAUGUUAUGAAGUGAGGUCUGUCUAAAAAUGAUAUGCUAAAUAUAGAUGUAAAUUACGGCAUCUAAAAUCAGCAAUAAUUGUUGAUGGUAGUCUUUUUUUUACGAUGUAUGCCGUAAUCACCUUCACAAUAUUACGACACUCAACAAAUGCUGUAUCAAAUAUAAAUUACUGCACACUAGUAUGUCGUAAUUGUUUUUCAGUAUUACGACACCCUAUUAACGCUGUAACUAAUACCAAUUAAGGCACGUAGGACAUGCCUUAAGAACAUUUAUGGCGUGUUUUACUUAAAUUAUUCACGACUAUUAGAGUACGUUGUAUUUGUCAAAACAUCUUUUACAACAGGGGCUUUUACUGCUUGGAGGCUCAAGCCGUGAAUUUCCAUUUAUGGCACCCUUUGUGCGCCGUAAAAGGCCAAUUCUAUUGUAGUGAUCCAUGGGUACAUUUUUAAUCUACAUGUUUCGUUUUAAUAUAUCUAUUGCUAUAAUAUGUUUUGGUUGGUUCAAAUUCGUUUUACAUAAAUAUAUGGGUACAAAGUUUUUGGAGAAUAUUAUGUAAAAUGGUUUUUAAGGUUGUUGCAUUUUAUGUACCCACAUAUGCAUGUCUAUAAAACAAUGUGGUAUGAUGUACAUUCUUUUCCUUGAGUUUUUAAAUGUACCCAUGAGUUUUCUUGUAAAUUCGGUAUGUAUCCAUAUGCUAUUUAUGUUAUGGGUACAUACAUUAUUUUUGGUCUAAGUUGGUGGGUACAUUGCUUUUGUAUGUAUGAAUUCAUUGGGUACAUUAUUUCCCUUAAUACUACUCAAUAAAAUUCACAAAAAUGUGCAGUGUGCAUGAAUUUUUAUUGUAGAAAUUGUUUUUUUUUAUUUUUAAUUUUUAAGUCUCAUAAUUCGUGAAUUUUGUACAUAUUGAUCCCAUAAAUUUUUGAAUUUUAUUAAAUUUUUUUUAGACUUGAUCGAUUGAUUGAAUCUCAUAAUAAUCCCUUAAAUGUUCCAAUCAAUAUUUUAAAAUACAGCUUUUUAUUUAAGAUUUCAAAAAGAUGACAUGAAAACAUAGUAAUACUAAAAUUUUGUUUUAAAUUACAUUUGUGUAACAAUCAAUGGUAUGUUAAAACUGGGCAAAAAAAAAAAUGGUAUAUUAAAAAAUUAUAAUUUAUUCUUUUUUUCAUAACUGUCUUCUGCUUAGAUUAAUUUUUUCCAACGUUUCUCUUCGGGAGAAUUAGUUCUUACCAAUAUAUAUGCACAUUAUCUGCUUUUUACCUGGUCUUAACACAUGAUUAAUUACUUUCCUACCUGCUAACGCGUUGACUUGCGCAUCCAAAGUAUUAUCAAAGUCACUGCCACCAAAAAGGUGCCCACUCCACAACCUUUGGUUGAACCAAAGAACAUCACAACAAUAAGGAAAUCGUUAAAUCUAUCUCCGCAACAUUUUUAUUAAUCAUUAGAUAGAUUAAACGAUCCCCCUAUUCAUAUUGUGUUCUUUUGUUGAACCAAACCAUGUCAACAAAAUAUAUCUAUGGUUAAAGCAUCUAGAUUCAAGCUUUUGGAUGUGCAACUUAAACCCCUCAAUGAAUAGCCAAGCAAUUUAUCAUGUGUUUACAGUAGGUCAAAAGAAGAAAGUGUUUGUCUAUAUAUUAAUAGGAACUAAUUCCUCUGAAGAGGAGAGAUGGAAGUGAUGAUAAUAAAAAAAAAAAAAGUCGUAUUCAGUGCACAAGGCUCCCGCUUUACGCAGGGUCUGAGAGAGGUGAAUGUCGGCUAGCCUUACCCCCAUUUUAUGGAGAGGCUGCUCCCAAGUCUCGAACCCGAGACCUACCGCUCAUGGGCGAAGACACUUGCCAUCGCACCAAGUGCGACCUCUAAGGGAUAAGAGAGUAAUCAUGAAAAUUUUGAAAGUGAAAGCAUUGCCUUGGAAUAUAUAUUCUCUUUAGGAAUUCUGUGCCCAACUAAAUUCUAGAUUCUCAAAAUAUGAAAUUAGCAACUUCACCAAACACUUGGACAUGUAACAGGUCACACGUAUGGUACCAACCUUACCAACCUUACCAACCAUCUAUAUACCUAUGUUUUCGAACAUCGUUAGAUAAUUAAAGUACAGUUCACACAGCAUUUCACAUAAAAAUGGCAUCAUACAACACAUGAGAAGUACUUCUUACAGUAGCAGUCUCGUAACAUGACUAUAGUUUUUGUUACUUCUUAAGAAAAAAGAGUUUAAAAUCCUAUUGAAAGAUAAUUGUAGAGACAGAAACCCAAACUAGUUAAUUAGGUUUCUUUACAUCUCAAUAAAAUUGAAGGGAAUGUAUCUAAUAUUAUCUACUAGAGCCUCUACAAUCAUCAUAGAAUCCACAACCCACAUUUUAAUUAAUCGAAAUUCCAUGAACACAAAUAAGCAAAAGUUGAGUGAAGCCUAAGCAAUAUGUGAUCAUUUAGAGAGUCAAACUCCAUCUUUUUAGAAUUAGGGACUUUUCAAUAUGAAAAGGUAACCUCCACAAUCCAAUAUCAUAUGAAAAGGAAAACCCAAGAAAAAUACAGUAUAAUUGUGUGCAAGAGCAACACAAAAAAAGUUGAAGAAUUAGAAAUCAUAAAGAGACUUGAGACGAUUGUUGCUCACUUAGCUAAAGAGCAUUUGCACUUGAGGUCUCGAGUUCGAUUGCCCCCUUUCUUUAGAUCGCUUGAGAGGAAAAACCUACCAUUCUCUAGUCUAAAGAUAUAUGCAUCUUUGACAUGAAUGACUAGAGGGGAAGAAAGUGCAGACAAAUCACACAUACCUUCAAAAAAUUUUAUGGGGUUGGUGAAUGGUGAUUAGGGAUACUGACUUUUAAUAGCCGUUGAUCAGUGUAUAUUGCACACGCCUUCAUCAAUGGCUAGCGUCGGUACAACUGUGAUUGGGAGGGCCUUUUUACGAUAAUAGAUGGGUAAAGGUUUCAUUAGAAGGGGAAUUUUGUUCUGGUUUGCCAUAAUAACUUGAAAUUAAUGGUUUUUUGUAAUCCUUAAGUUAUUGUCAUUUUAGGUUAACUUUGUACCUGGACUCUUUACUGGAGCUAUCAAUUGAAACCCCCAUUUUCUUACCAAAAUAUGAAAAACAAAGAGUCCCAUUUUUACAGCACAGUCCUACUCUAGUUGAAAUCCGAUCGACGGUCAAGAUUUUCUAGUCAUGUGAAAGUAUCACAUAUAUAAAAUUGACUGGAGAAGGCAUGCCACAUUGCCAUGCCCUUGACAGCUUUACUUUGUUUACAAACUUUCUAAAAGAAAGAAAGAAAAAAAUCUAAAAUGGAAGGUGAUAGCGAUUUUACCACUUGUAAAACAAAGGGUUAAACCAUAGAAAAUUCUUGCAAGAGAACAAGUGUUUGUAGUAUAGAAUGGCUCAAGCAAGGUCGAUCUCCUCAGGGACUGAUAUAAACAAUUUACGAGUUUUUAUGUAUUUAACUUAUUUAACUCUAAGAAUUACACUAAUUUAACGAAACUAAAUAUUAUUGGAUGUGACUUAAACAAAUAUCUAAAAUGGGAAUUGGUUUUAGGGAAUAAUGAUUCAACUUAAACAAAACAAGUAAAUGAGGAAAUUCAAGAUAAAAUAAAUGAUUAAGAAAAAUAGAUUGACAAUAUGCUAGAGUUCAACAUUUACCAACAACACUCUUACGUAGCUAUUCCAAUUGCUUAAAUAAUUGAAAACACAUAUGCUUUGAAUGUUGGAUUUUCCUUGUGUAUGUUUUACUUGUGACAUUCAAGCUAAAACGCAUACCACUACAUGCAACUUAUCCAUGACAUUUGAAUUAAAUAUAAACAUGAGUGAUUCAUUAAUCUUGGUGAAAAUCCUUUUGUUAAACCAUAUAAUCCCUAAGAGCAUGAUAUUUACCUUAGGAGAUUACAAUUCUCAAUCACAAGAAGCACAACCAAUUUUAACGUGACAUUCGUUCAAAAUUGCAUCCGAUAACUUUUCUAAGCAUCCUAAUGGUGAUCAAGCAUCAAGGUACAUAGAUAGUUUAAUUCAGUGAUUGAAAAUAUCAAAACAAGCAUGUAACAACACUUAAGCAAUUGAAAAAUAAAACUACGUAUUCAUGUUGCGGCUCAUGGCCUCACUCUAGCAUAAUACUUUAAAUAAUUAAAGCCCAAACAAUUUACCAAAUUUCAUCUCUGUACUCCGCAGAGACGCUAAACGAGACAUAUUUGGUCCAUCUCUGAACAUCUUUUCUUACUGUUCUUACAAUAGAAAGGGCACAAAAUUGACUUACACAGUCUUGCACAAUACUCACUUUGCUUCAACCCAUAUUUCACUUUGUCAAAUCAUACACGUUCCUGCAACAGGUGAACUCAUAUUUAUCUACCACUUCUUGCUAAUUUUAAUUUUUCCAUUCCCAUUUUUACUACAAGUUUUCACAUAAUUUUUUUAUUGCAUUUGUCAAUUCUUUAUACUUUUUAAUUGUAUUUUUUUUUUUGUCUUUUAUGUGUUUUCUAUGUUGGCACAAGGUUACAACAGUAUUAAACAAUUACAGGUCCUCCAGAGGUUUGCUUAUUGCCCUAUUUCAUCAAGCUCGGUAUAAAUAGAUCUUAAUUUUUUACUACAGUUAAAUACAUGGACAUGCCUCCACAAAUACAAAUUAGUUCUUGCUUAAAUACUUUGUGUGUUUACAUAGAAAAUGUUCCCAUCGUCUACCAAAAUCCUCCACACAUGAAAACAAAAAUUCUUACUCAAAAUACUUAUUACAAUACCACCAUAUCUGUUGUUUUUUAUUAAAUUAACACACUGUUUUCAAUUUUAUCUUCAACACAAAAGAAAAUGCUCUUACACAAUGUGUUUGCUUACAUUUUAUAACUUAUCUACCACAUGUUAAUCGCAGUUAUAUAAAUAGGAAAAUACGUGUUCAAUAGAAGUGUGAUGCAUGUCACUUCGUUAACAAUAGUGGAAACUAAACAAUUAAAUAAUUUGUUUCAAUUAGUUAGUACAUUUUAUAAAUUUCUCAAUUAGAACUGUUUCAGUAUAUUUAAUACAUUUUUAAACAACUUUCCAGUUAGUUGCCCAAACUAAUUAUUCCAGCUUAUUCACAGUAUAAUACCAACAAUUUAACAACCAAUGAUACUUCGUUUAACAUAAACUUCAUUUGGAAAAAACAAAAAAAAUCUUUUUCUCUGCUGAAAAAAUCAACAGAUUUAAUGAUGUAGAUCAGUUAUACCAACAAAUUACCAUAGUUUACCCAAUGCUAUACAGGUUUGACUUUUGUUUAUAUUCUUGGAUCUGUUGCUUGGUUGUAUAAUUUGGCUGUGUGUUUUGUUUCAGGACAAUUUGUUCUUCGUUUCUUGAGGCUUCUAUGUGUAGAUUUGAACCGUUUAGCUUUCAAACCGUUUAUACUCAAGGUAAAUAAUUUCGUUUGUUUCUUUUUAACCUUUUUUGUAAGAAUUUUUUAUUUAAUGUUGUGAGAGUUGUGUUUUCUAUAGUAUGGAAAUUGAAUCUUUGUGAUCUUAUAUCGUUAGAUACGUUGCUUGGUUAAUGUGAACACGGAAAAUUCCCGAAACGAAAAAGACAAGAACAACGUGCACAAACAAAUAUUUUGUAUUUGAUGAUUAUUUUGGGUUACAAUCUCUCUCUAAUUUGAUCCUCUGAUUCGAUCUCCGUAAGAUAUUGGUUUGUGGAUGUGCGAUUGAUCCAAGGGCCGUCGAGGCUUGAUCUUGGAUGAACGGUGAUGAACGGAUCUUCAAGGGCUUUUGGGCUUGAUCUUGAAGAAUAGUGAUGAACGGGUCUUCAAGGGCUUUUGGGCUUGAUCUUGAAGGAUGGUUGGAUGUGUGGAUUUGUCGACGUUGUUAAUCCAAAGGGCUGUUGGGGCUUGAUCUUAGGAUGAACGGAUGAUGAACGAAUAACACUUUCUUCAAGGGCCGUCGGGGCUUGAUUUUGAAUUGGUGAAAGUUCUUCAAGGGCCGUCGGGGCUUGAUCUUGAAGGUAGAUGAUUGUUGAUCCAAGGGCUGUCGGGGCUUGAUCUUGGAAGAACGAUGAACGAAGAACGAAGAAGGCUUUCUUGAUUCUUCGGGAACCUGGAUGCUUGAGAGCUUCGGAGUUUCAGAGCUUCAGAGCUUCAAGGUGUAAUAUGAAUUUGGUUCCCUUAAAUGAAUGAAAUUGGCUUCUAUUUAUAGAAUUUUCCAAGGCCUAAUUUUGAAUAUAAUAUUCCAGAUGAAAUAAGUCGUUUCUGCCAAGUGUUGACACGUGUCCUAUUUGAUGACUUUUCCGACUCAUUUCAAUUUUUCGUCGAGUCACACACUACGUGUAAAAUUUAUGUAAUACAUGAGCGUUGAAACUUUGAUUUAUCAGUCAACAUUUAUUUACCAAAAUUUCGAUGUCUACAAAUGCCCCCACUUCAAGGCGCGUCGUAUACAUGUGCUUGUCACGUGUAGGAGAUGCGUUUUGAAGUCCCCUUACUGUAGAUGUCGAUCCAAGGGCCGUCGAGGCUUGAUCUUGAACCGGGCUGGAGAUUUCUUCAAGGGCCGUUGAGGCUUGUUCUCGAACUUUGUUCGAAAUUUCUUCAAGGGCCGUUGAGGCUUGAUUUUGAAUUGGGCUGAAAGUUUCUUCAAGGGCCGUUGAGGCUUGAUCUUGAAUUGGGUUGAAAGUUUCUUCAAAGGCCGUUGAGGCUUGUUCUUGAACCUUGUUUGAAAUUUCUUCAAGGGCCGUCGAGGCUUGAUCUUGAAUUGGGCUGGAAGUUUCUUCAAGGGCCGUCGGGGCUUGAUUCUUGAAGGUGGAUGAUUGUUUAUUCAAGGGCCGUUGAGGCUUGUUCUUGAACCUUGUUUGAAAUUUCUUCAAGGGCCGUCGAGGCUUGAUCUUGAAUUGGGCUGGAAGUUUCUUUAAGGGCCGUCGGGGCUUGAUUCUUGAAGGUGGAUGAUUUUUUCUUCAAGGGCCGUUGAGGCUUGUUCUUGAACCUUGUUUGAAAUUUCUUCAAGGGUCGUCGAGGCUUGAUCUUGAAUUGGGCUGGAAGUUUCUUCAAGGGCCGUCGGGGCUUGAUUCUUGAAGGUGGACUCGAACACAUGGCAAGCAGGCACGAGGUGAAGGUGACGGUCUGUUUCUUUGCUCAAUCUUUCCAAGUGCCGACCGAUUGCUUUUCUUUCUCCUUGUCCCGCAGGCAAGAGCAAGGGUAAAAGAAAAGCAUGCCAUGAGAUAUCUUUGUUUUUGACUCUGAUGAUAUGAGGUACUUCUGCUUUUGAAGAAGUUGCGGAUGAAUCGACACGUGCUUUGUUGUGCUUGUCUCCACAUGCUCAGACUCUUGGCAGAAUGUGAAAGGUGGCAUUUUCUCGAGUUACUCAACUCAGACUCAUUCUGCUGAGUUGACUGUGCGGGCCGCAUUCUUCUCUGCUUGUUUCUUCUGGCAGCCUUGCUCUCGAGUACUCAUCUUUAACAUCUUAUGUUUCUUCUUUGUCUACCACACUGUGGAAGACGAGUACUCGAGAGUAAUACCAUGUAAGCAAUCAGAAAAGGGUUCCAAGCAGUCGGUUCCAGAUCGGAAGAUUGAUACCAAGUGUUGGCUGAUUGCUUUCCUUCUCAUUGUCCUACAGGUUAGAACAAAGACAAGGAAAAGGACACGGAGAAUGCAUGAUAUGAGAUACUCUUGCUUUCUCCCUUCAUGAUAUGAAAUACUUUUGCUUUUCAAGAUUUGUUUGCAGAGGUAUCCUAUGGGAUGAAGAACACUGAGUGAGUUGAGAGGGUUUGUUGGAAAGCCAUUUGUCGGAGAUGACGGAAUGUUAUGUAUGUCUGCCUUGCCAUGGAGCGUGAAGGUCGACAUUUGUAGGAAAUAAUAACUGGUACUGUUCUUUCACUCCUGUCGGCAACCGUUGGAUGAUUGAACAGUAAACUUCACGUGAUUUCCUCAAAGCUUUUUCUGCAUGCGACAAGUGCUGACGAGGCUGAGAGAGACAUGCGAUUGGAAUCGGCGCUUCGACAAACUUUUCCAUGAUUUUCGCAAAGCUGACGAGGCUGAGAAAGACAGAUGGUUUGGAAUCGGCGUUUCGAUAAACUGCCCGUGAUUUCCGCAACGCUGACGAGGCUGAGAAGGACAGAUGGUUUGGAAUCGGCGUUUCGACAAAUUGCCCGUGAUUUCUGCAACGCUGAGUUUGCGUGUGACAGGUGCUGACGAGGCUGAGAAAGCUGACACUUCUUCGAUUUUUGAGAUCAGUCCGUGAUCCUUGAGUAGGCCUAGCUUUGGAGAAAGCAGGCGCUUCAUCGAUCUCUGAACUCGCCUCUUCGAUCUCUGAAAGCCCAUCGCAUGCUGUUUUUUUAUAGAGGUACGCAAGACAUUCAAAGCACACUUGAAUUUCUACCUGUGAAAAAAAACUCCCCUUUUGCAUAUCUGAGAUCUUUAAUUUGCCCGACCUCUUCAUUUUGUUGAACACCUUCGGAAAUGUCUUUCCCAUCUGACCGUCGUCUUGACUUGAAUAUCGAAGAAGAUAUUGACAUGUCUUCUCCAGGCAACAUUUGGCAGCUGUCCUUCGUAUCCUCCAACGAACCUCUUACGGUUGGGGACACUGUGAUGAGGAAUGACGCAACGGCUGCAGUGGUUGCUAGAAAUCUUCUCACUCCUAGGGAUAGUAAGAUGCUUUCCAAGCGGUCCGACGAGAUGGCUGUUCAAGACUCUCUGGCCUUCAGCGUCCAAUGUGCGGGCUCAGUAUCAAACAUGGGCCAACGCCUUCUUGCUCGAUCUCGUCAGGUUGAGUCUUUGAUGGCCGAGGUGGCUAGUCUUCGGCAGGAGAUCAGAGGGCUUAGGCACGAGAAUAAAGAGUUGCAUAUGCUAGCAACUAGUUACUCAACGAGCAUGAAGAAGAAGCUAGACCAACUGCAGGAGUGUGAAGUUCGGGCUCGAAAUGAUCAUCAAAGGUUUAUGGCGUUACUCCCGAGGCAUCUUCUGCCUUCGUCAUCUGGCGCUUCACCAAAUGUUGAGGCUCCGGAAAAUCAAACUCUGGCGCUUCGUCUUUCUGGAGCUUUACCAAGUGUGGAGGCUUCAGUUGAUCCACCUCCGGUGCUUCGUCUUUCUGGAGCUCCGUCGAGUACUGAGGCACCACAUGAUCAUCCUUGAAGAUCCUUUCCUGUAAAUUUGAUUUGACUUUUUUUUUAAGGUAUGUAUAAUGUAAAAUUUCUAGAAAAAUAAAAUGGACUUUAUUUCUCUGAACAUGUUUUUUUUGUUUUUUUUUUUGGCUGUAUAUUUUCUCUUUAAUCAUGGUGCACCCAUUUUCCACAUGGUGCCAGACGGACCAAAGAUCAAACAUUUCCUUUUUUUAUUUUUUUAUUUUUUCUUUAAUCAUGGUGGCAGACGCAUAAACAAUUUCAUUUAUAUUUUUUUUUCUUUUUGCUGGCACAUGGUGCCAGAUGCACCAUUCAUUUAUAUAUAUUAUUAUAUAUGUUUUUUUUAUUUUUUUUUAUUUGCACAUGGUGCCUGAUGCACCACCUCUUUUUUUUUCACGUGGUGCCAGCAUCACUUUGCUCCACCAUCCAUUUUUUUUAUUUUUAUUUUCUGUAUAAAUUUGGGUGAUGGGUAGAGGAUUUUGCAGGCAGGGAGCAAGGAGGCCGAGAAGAUGGUGCUUCGAACUUCAUGACCGGCUAGUCGUUUGACGGCGGUCGUUGAAGUCGUUGGCAGUUGCGAGGCAAAAGACGGAGGAGAAGGUGGAGUAGGUGACCUUGAUGUCGGAUCCAGCUAGAACCCAGAGCACAGCGACUGAGCCCAAUCACCGAGCACAACCGCUGCACACCCGUUGUACUGCCACCGAGCACUGCCACUGCGCAUCUGUUGCACUGCCAAUUGCUGCAAAGGAUUAUGUUUAACGGCGGAGACGCUGCCCUAUUUGCCAUGCUAUGCCGACGUGCUUCACAUAAUUAACCAUCCAGAAUUGUUAAACAUUCCAUCUGGGUUUAUCGCAAAAACAGAAGAAGAAAAAAACCAAGAUCCAUCCAUGCCAAACACCAAUCUGCCAUCUUUUUGGGAUUUGUACGACAUCAUCAGCCAAAACCUGCUUGGUCCGCUCGCAAAUUGUGGGAGAGGAAGAGUUGGCGGAGCAGCUGUAACACUGGAAAAUGGAGGACGUUGACGAGUCCUCCAAGUUGUUCUUGACGUUGGUGCUGGAGAAACCUGCCUCUCUCAUGACUCUGCUGACACUUGGGUCGUCAAGGAUGGGGAUGAUGAGCUGCUCGAGCUCGACUUUGAUGGUUAAGAGCGGCUGCUGCUGCUGCUCGAUGCAGUCUCUUCUCUGAUGGGCUUGGGCUCUCUUGAGGGCGUUGGAGAGAGAGGGCUGCCCGUGGAGGAGAGGGCAUGGAGUUGUUGGGAGAAAUCAGGGCCGGAAUGGAAAAUAUUCCCGAGCUGCAUCAACGAGGAGAUAACACCGCUAAGUUAUUCAUCUGGUUUGCUUUAGUCAAAUGGAUCAAUCCGCGGGUCAUGCUCGCUUGCCAUCAUCAUCCCAGUGCACAGGCAUGUCGGGCACAUGACCUUUCCAGCACCAGAGCAAUUUGGGCACCUCUCAGUUGUGGGCACUCGCAAAGGUUGGUCUGAUGCACUAGAUGCUGAUAUAGGAUUGAUGUUCAAGCACACUCCACUUGCAGAACAUCUAGCACAGGCCAAGUACCCAGUUCCAUGGCAAUAUUUGCACCUUUUCUUCUCUUGCUGCUCAACAUUAUUAGCUUCAAUCAACAUCAAUGCUGAAAUGACACCCACUGCCCCACCGGAGAAGGAUGCCACAAUAGGAUCAACCUGACUUAAUUGUAAAGGCAGAUGCAUGCUACGAAUGAAAUCUUCAUACGAGGUACCUCCUAUACCUAAUUUUAGUUCCAACGAUGGCGCAAUGAGACCCCCAAAUACAAUUACACUAGAUAUCAUAGAUAAGCUUGUGAGGUAGAGCUGCUUCAACGUCUUUGGUGUCAUAUGAGGGAGAAAAGGGAUAGUGGAUGGAAUGUCAGGCAUCUCAUUUGACUCUUCCUCACAAGCCUCAUCCAUAUCUCUCGCCAUCUUUAUCCGUUGCUGCACCCGCAAUCUCCUUAGCUCUUCCAUGAGAAGAAAAAUCUUGUUGUGCCGGCUUCUUAUGUUGUCCUAAAUUUCCUGUAGUUGCAUCUGCACAAAGUCCUGCACCGUCUCCGGCUCUUCUAUGAUACAAAAAGUGCUUGGCGUGUUAUCGCCGGGGAAUGAUUCCUUGGAAGCAGAACAGGAAAUUUGGGGAUGCGGGGAGGUGAAUUUGGACAGAGAGAGACGUCUAGGGAUUCCAUGGGAGGGGGGUUGAGAGUGGUUUUUUGCCGGCGCCUCUAGGGUAGUCGUCGUUGGCUAUUGCUAUAGAGAGGUCAAUGACUUCACCGGAGAUGGCGUUGUUCUGGAGCCCGAGCGUGAGAAGCCGGGUGAGAUUGUCUGGAAAGGGUCCCCAGAGGUUGUUGUCGGCGAGGUCGAGAAGCUUGAGCUUGGUGCAAUUGACGAGAGGAGAAACGGUGUCGUUGAGGCGGUUGUUGUGGAGGUCGAAGAGUGAGCUGGGCGAGAUCAGAGAACCUUGACGAAUUCGGAGCGUUGAGGGUUAUCAACACGAUCCCAUCGACGAAGAAGAAGCAGAAUGGGCCUCUUGCGGGGCCUAUGGCAUCAACCGGUCUUUGGGCUUCUGGGCCAGUAAAUUGGAGAGAAGCCUGGGCUUUUGACUUGCAGAGAGAUUAGGCUCUGGGAGCCGCUUGUAGUAUUGUGGCUAAAGGGGUUGCUUCCUGUGGCCACUUAUAUAUAUAUAUUUUGUAAAUACAUAAAACAUUUAUCUCUUUUUUUUUCUUUUUUUUUUGUACAAAGAAAUUGUAAUAGCAUCAAAACUUUUAAUAAAAUCUUUAUUCCUUAUUUUGGUGUGACUGAACUCAAAUUUUGAAUAUUCGAGUUGCCUACGUACCUCUCCAAAGAAGAGAUCAAGUCGUAACGUAGUUCAAAUGAGUGAUGAAUUUAACAGUGAUUUUGAUGAUGAUUUUGUCGUACACAGUUUAUGCUCUUGCGGGCCAGGAGCUUUGGUUCGUGCAGUUUAGGCUCGUGCGAACAAGGAGUGUUGGUGUUGCCUUUUAUGCUCGUGCAGACCAGGAGCGUUGGUGUUGCCUUUUAUGCUCGUGUAGACCAGGAGCUUUGUGCCAUGCAGUUUAGACUCGUGCAGGCAAGGAGCGUUGGUGUUGCCUUUUAUGCUCGUGCAGACCAGGAGCGUUGGUGUUGCCUUUUAUGCUCGUGCAGACCAGGAGCUUUGUGCCAUGCAGUUUAGACUCGUGCAGGCAAGAAGUGUUGGUGUUGCCUUUUAUGCUCGUGCAGACUAGGAGCUUUGUUGUGCCAUGCAGUUUAGGCUCGUGCAGGCGAUGAGCUUUGGUUCAUGCAGUUUAGGCUCGUGCGAACAAUGAGCAUUGUGCCAUGCAGUUAGGCUCAUGCAGGCGAGGAGCGUUUAUUGGUUCGUCAAGCGAUCCAGGAGAGUCGUUCCUCGCAAUCUUCAUAGCAAGGAGCCUUGACUGAGUGAUUGAAGAAGUCUUUGGGGAAGAAAUCGCGCAUCGUGAUGGGGAUGGACGAUAUUUGUGUCGUCAUUUCAUCAUCUUCAACACUUUCACUUUUCUUUGAAGGUUGACAAGAGCUGCUUUGCCCCAUUUCCGAUUGGCGGACUUGUGGAUGAGACGUAUGCUUCUUCUGCAGUUUCUCUAGAGUGACAUGAGUCAUUCCUUCAACUUCGCUUGGCUCAACUGGCAUGGUUUUGGAGCAUGCCCCCAGCGAUUGAGGUGAAGAUUUUGAGUUGACAAAGCCGGAAGUGACGUCUUCUUCCAUGAUUUCAUCUUCUUUGUCUUCUUGGGCUUGUUGGCGUGAAGAUUGGCCGGCGUAGAUGAUGGUGCGCCUCUUUACCUUCAGUGGUCCUUUUGUGUCGACCUCCCAAGCUGUUUGGCGCUUUAUCCUUGAAUGAAUCAAGCUUCGAACGUCGUCUUUUCCUGCUAGACCGUCGAGCUUUUCUUCCUUUGGCGUUGUCUUCCUAUUUCUAGAAUGCUUCUUGGUUUCUUCAAGUUUUUCCAAAGCCGAUCGUUGGGGAGGAGAGCCAGCCUUGCUGCUUUGUUUCUUAGGUUUUGACAACCUUUCAAAAACAGAGCUUUGGGGUGUUGGCGUGUUAAGCCGUUUGAAGAUGGAAGUUCGGUCUUGCCCACCAAUGCGAUCAAGUGCCGACCUUCUGGGUUUUGAACGAUUCAGCCUAUCGAAGACUGACACUCGAAUAGGAGGUUGAGGCUCCUCUUGAUCUUGUUCAAUCCUCAAGCUGAUGUGUCGAGUGCUAGCAUUUUUUGCUUUACUUGAAAUCUUCACGGGUGCAUUUGGUGUGAAGCCAAGUCUAGCUCUGUUGUUGUCAACUCCGUAAUCAUGCUUUUCCAACUUCUUCUGAGUCUCGGUGAAGUCAUGAUCUUUGUCGUUGAUGGUGUUUGAAACCUUCUUCUCAAGAUUUGAAGAGGAAGCAAAGUCGUACCCAGCCUUUAACAUGAGUUCGUAGGCGUUUGGGUUGAGACCUUCUUCGGUCCUCUUAGUUGGAAUGAAGCUUGGGUUCGCUUUGACGCCAUGAUGCGCCUCCAGACGGUUGAUAAGUCCAACGGUUUGCAAGUUUUUCUCCUCCGCAGUCUUUAUCAGCCUUGCAAUUGUUUCCUUCAUCUGAACUAGUUGUUCUUCAAUAGAGGUAGCGCCGAUGGUCAUGACUUGUUCUUUGUUUGAAGCCAUGAAGUGUGCUUGAAUUUCUUGAACAGAGAAAGAGAUGAGAGGUAGAGAUUGUCCCACUGGGCGUGCCAAUUUGUGAACACGGAAAAUUCCCGAAACGAAAGAGACAAGAACAACGUGCACAAACAAAUAUUUUGUAUUUGAUGAUUAUUUUGGGUUACAAUCUCUCUCUAAUUUGAUCCUCUGAUUCGAUCUCCGUAAGGUAUUGGUUUGUGGAUGUGCGAUUGAUCCAAGGGCCGUCGAGGCUUGAUCUUGGAUGAACGGAUCUUCAAGGGCUUUUGGGCUUAAUCUUGAAGAAUAGUGAUGAACGGGUCUUCAAGGGCUUUUGGGCUUGAUCUUGAAGGAUGGUUGGAUGUGUGGAUUUGUCGACGUUGUUGAUCCAAAGGGCCGUUGGGGCUUGAUCUUAGGAUGAACGGAUGAUGAACGAAUAACACUUUCUUCAAGGGCCGUCGGGGCUUGAUCUUGAAUUGGUGAAAGUUCUUCAAGGGCCGUCGGGACUUGAUCUUGAAGGUAGAUGAUUGUUGAUCCAAGGGCCGUCGGGGCUUGAUCUUGGAAGAACGAUGAACGAAGAACGAAGAAGGCUUUCUUGGUUCUUCGGGAACCUGGAUGCUUGAGAGCUUCGGAGUUUCAGAGCUUCAGAGCUUCAAGGUGUAAUAUGAAUUUGGUUCCCCUAAAUGAAUGAAAUUGGCUUCUAUUUAUAGAAUUUUUCAAGGCCUAAUUUUGAAUAUAAUAUUCCAGAUGAAAUAAGUCGUUUCUGCCAAGUGUUGACACGUGUCUUAUUUGAUGACUUUUCCGACUCAUUUCAAUUUUUCGUCGAGUCACACACUACGUGUAAAAUUUAUGUAAUACAUGAGCGUUGAAACUUUGAUUUAUCAGUCAACAUUUAUUUACCAAAAUUUCGAUGUCUACAGUUAAAUGAUUUGGCUGUGUGCAUUGUUUCAGGACAAUUUGUUCUUCGUUUUUUGGGGCUUCUGUGCGUAGCUUUGAAGUCCUUUGUAGUCAACAUAAAUAAUUUUAUUUUUCUUUGUUUUUAGUCUUCUAUGUAAGAAUUUCUUAGUUAAUAUUCUGAGAAUUAUGUUUACUAUAGUAUGAAAAUUGAAUCUUUGUGAUCUUCGAAGUGUAACGUCAUUGCAACAUGGACGACUGCCAUUAUCGAACAUGAAAAACAUUUUGAUUUCUGUACUCCGUCUAGUAGAAAACUCUCGACUUCUUCAGAAACCACGAGAAACUUAAAACUGAGAAAGCUUCGCGGUCUCCCUUCCAUCUCUGCUACGCGGUCUCUGCUUUGCGAUCUCUGCUUCCUUCGUGAUUUCUUCCUUCCUGAACGACAUCUAUUCGAAUUGAAAACCUUCUGGAGCUCUCUUCCCCAAAUUUCAGCAGCAACUUUGCUCCAGAUCUUUCCAAUUGAAAUUCCUCUCCUUCACAUUUUGCAUAUUGAAUUUCGCAUCAUCAUCAUCUCCCUAGAACCUAGGAGUUCGGUUCGGUUUCGAGUUUUCCGACGGAAAUCCGGCGACAGCGGCCAUCGAGGUUGGUCUGAAACUAUUCCUCAUCACCACAGGUACUUUCUACACCUAUUACAUUUUAGAAAAAGUUUCAUGACUUUGUGGAAUCCAAUUUAACGAUUAGAAAAAUUUUCAUUAAUUUUCUGGGUUCGUGAGUUGGAGGGGGAUUAGAAAUUUUUUCAUUAUUUUUCUGGGUUUGUGGUUUUUUUUUUCCAAAACGUUUUUCCUUUCUACUAAUCCAAGUUCCUUCACAUCAAUCUCUCUGUUUUGUUCUUGAUCUUCCUCGAGUAGAAUACCUCUUCUUGCUCUGGAGCGCGUGGGCAGUCUCUCUAAGGCAGCCCAUGACGUCAUUUUCCGAUUCGACUCGGAGGAGGUUGGCUGCUCUUCUUGGCUGAGCUUCAUGGCUGGCCGAAUUCCCCUAUUCCCUUCCUCUUAUACUUUUUUAUAUUCGUUCACCAAAACAAUAGGAAAACGUCUCCGUCUGUUUGAUUGACGGCGAAAAAAAAAAAGACGGAGAAUAAAAGCCUGACGGAAGCUGAAAGCUUGGACUCUGUUUGUAUUUUUAAUGGAUUUUCAGAACACAGGUCAAGAAUAUUGCGAUUUGAGAAAAAAAGAAAGAACCACGUUGACAUAAUAUAUUCACAAUAGGUGUACAAGGUUCAUAAAGCUUUACUGUGGUUCCAUUUUUUGUUAAUGGAAUUAGCCUUUUGUUUUAGGAAGAACUUGGAACCCCCUCCGUCCAUUCUAUCCCCAAUGGAAUUAACACUUAGAUAGUACUAUGACAAUGUGUCAUUAUUUGAUGCAUACCUGUAUAAAUUUAGGCUAAGUGUUUUAUACACAAAUUGAUACAGAUUAACUAUACAAUGAUAACUAUAUACCGGAGAGCUAACUAUACAAUGAUACAUUCUUAUCUGUUAAUUAUCUUUGGUUACCAGCUAUCCAUGUUGCUGUCAUAUUAAACUACACAACAUCAGUUGUAAUUUAUGUCUUAUUAGUAUCAUCAUUUUUGUUCAUUAUUUCAAUGUCUAACAUAACUCCGCCUAUGUCUUACAUGGCCGGUCCCAAGCCCGGAUAAAGGAGGAGGGGGAGGGCGUCAGGUAGUCGACAGCCGGCACUCCAUGAUCACGUCGAAUCCUUAUGAAAAUGAAUCCAGAACAAAACCCCACUUAGUGGGAAAAGGCUUUGUUGUUGUUGUAUUUCAAUGUCUAACAUGAUGAUCUGGUUUCAAUUUGCUACAGGCAUUAUUUCCAGACAAUAGCUAUGGUUUUGAUUGUAGCGGUGACUGAAAAAUUAUUCCGAAACUAACAUUUGAGGAAUUCAAGGUUUGUUAGUUAAUUUGUACAUCAGAAUACCAUGACAAACUAUGAAGUUGUAAUUGUUGACCUUACAAUGUAUCUUUUUUGGUUUGGAGCAUUAGACUUAUAUGUGUUGCUUUCACCUCAUGAAGGCUAACUCUUUAUUUUAGGCCGUAAGAGUAUAAUUUCUUGGAGAAUCUACAUUGUUGAUAAUUUUUUGAACAAUAUUAUCCCCAAAAUUUCUCCGCAUGUUACCCUCAACGUAGACAUCAUAUAACCAUCAUUGAACUUCUGAACCAAAAAUUUGAGUUUUAUGAUUAUAACUAAACGUCUAUAAACACAUGAUACAGAUUGAGACGAAUGUCAAAUUUAAAAUGGCAUUAAUACAGCUGCAAACUCUGAUUUGCGGGAUUUGAAAUGGAGCAGUUACUUCUUGCUUCACUUCAGCAGCAUAGUCCAGCUUCUAAAUUCAGUUCUCAGGUAUGAGGUUUCUCAGUUACCUCUUUUUUGUAAUAAAACAUUUGAUCAGUACUUGCCAGGAUAUCCAAUUAAUUAGGUCAGUUUUUGUUAGCAGUAAUAAUUUGUUUUUGCAGCUUUAUAUGUGUCUCUGUCUCCAAAUAUGAUGAUCUCUUAAUUUGCUUCUAUAGCUUUUGUAAUAUAAUGAUCUCUUAAUUUUCUUUUGCAUAUCUUCUUUGCUUCCUCUGCUAGCUCUAUAUGAGAUUCCAUCUCCAAAUAAUUAUUCCUUAUUUCCUAUUUUUACCAGAAGCAAAUCAUUGAAUACACAUGGUAAAUUAAAAGGGUUUUAGUUUUUGGAGUAGUUUAAAUUUUUUGUUUGUUAUUGCUUGUAUUGCUGUUAAAUAUUUGAUGGGUAGUUUGAAAUGGGGAACUUGGUUGAUUGAGUAUUAACUUUUAUUAAAUUAAUAUUCUUAUUCAAUAUUGAAUUAAGACUCCUCUUAUUAAAUUAAGACUCUUAAGGCUCUAAUCUAAUGUUCAUGCUCAAUAUCUCCUCUAUCUUUCUACAAUUGGUAAAACUUUUGUAUUAUUAUUCCAAUUUUGGUUACUGGGUUGUGGAAUUUUCCAUUUUUUUUCUGGGUAAUCAAUACUAUAUAUAUGCAUGACAAGUAUAAACAAUAUUUUGGGGCAAAUUUAGUUGUUUAAUUUUUAAUUUUUAUGUGACAGUGAGAUUAUGGUAGGAUUUCGUUUAGAUUCUGCGGCCCAAUGGGAGUCUCUGCUUUGAUAAGAUUGGGGUUGAUGCCAAGAAAGCCAAUAAGCCUACUGUGGACGCCGUAGCCGCCUGGCGCUGUUUUCCAAAAUCCUCUCUCACUUGGUUAAGCAAUUAAGACUUUUUGGUUCAGUUUUUAUUAUGCCCAAUUUUGUAUUUAAACCUUAAAAAAAUUUAAACUGAUAUGGGGAUACUGAAAUAGGCUGCAGAGCUGCCAUCCCUGAAUCAGAAGAUGUUCAGAAGGAAGAAGAAGAACAAGAAGAAAGUCGUGGAAUAUCAAAAGCUUUUAGCUUUGUGAAGGUAUGCUUUUUCCCAACUCACCUCUUGCUUUUGUUGCACUGAAUUGGUAGAUUGGGUUCAAAAAUAUAUAUAUGUGAUUUUUCGUGUAACUAUUUCUUUACAUAAUUACCAAUUGGAGGUGAUUUGAGAUCAUGUAACAUUUCCUCGCUAGAACCGAAGAUUGCCGUCGCUCAGAGCUGCGUUUCAUGAAACAAGUUCAUCUCCUGCCAAUUUUGUGUACCCACCUUUUAUUCAUGAGGGUUGGUGCUUGCUUGCAACACAAUUUGGUGCUAUUAAGUUUUGCGGUUUUACAAUUUGUUCAUGCUUAAACCUCUUUCAAAUUUUCAUUUCUAUGUAAAUCUUGCAGGUAGGACGACACACCUAUCUUGGCAAUGUCGGGAUGUCUAGGCUUGGGUGGAGACGUGGUCUUAUGGAAGAGGUGAAGUAGCUUAGCUCGAUCUCAUUAGCUCUUAUCUGUUCUAUUAUGCUAAGAUCAAUAGUAAAAAGUUCUAUUGAUUUUAUAAUCAAAGAUACAUAUAUUAUAGAAACAGAGGGUAUAUAAUUAAUUUCUUGAUGUAAACAAUUAUAACUUGAGGAACCAUUUAAAGUAUUUUGGUAAUCAGCAUACUUAAACUUAAAUGUGAUAUAUCCGUUUAGUAUUUUUUUUAUACAGUGAUAAUACUUAAGUAUAAUUUACAUCAUAUAUCUUUUGAAGUACAUGAAACUAUGAAGAAAAUGAUAAACCAAAUCCCAUUCCAUCUCUGUUUGCUACUGCACAAUCACAAUCCAAUUCCAACAUGGAAUCCUCAGACGACAUGCCUACUGCAGAACAAGUUUCAUCCUGACUUAACUUAUAUUUAGUCCACGUCCUGUUUAGAUUGUAAUCCUAGUUCUACGUGUGUUUGUAUAGUACUCCUAUAAAUAUCAAUGAACAUCGCUCACUCUAAUUAAGAGUUGAGAUUCUGCAAAUCAUAUUUACUAUCUUUCAUGGUAUCACGAGCCAGCGUCUAACGACAACGGUUCCUAUUAUAAUUUUUUUCUCUUUUGCAGAUCCUAAACUAUGGCAUCUUCUUCCUCCUCCGCUGCUCCCUCCAUCACAAAUUUUCUUACGAUCAAGCUCGACCGCAACAACUACCCUCUUUGGCAUGCUCAGUUUCUUCCCUUGCUGCGCAGCCGCAACUUACUCUCUUAUGUUACUGGCGAAACUCAAUGCCCCUCUUUCUUCUUGAUGACAAUGGUAAAUUCACCGAUAAAGUCAAUCCAUUAUAUAAUGAAUGGAUCCAGACUGACCAGAUGAUCCUAUCUUGGAUUACGAGUUCUCUUACUCCCAAGGUUCUUGCUACGAUCGUCAACAAAAUUGAUUCGGCCUCUGCUUGGUCGUCAAACUCGAAUUAAUCUGAUUGUGAGGGUUUUGUUUUAUAUCAAUAUAUUGCAACAGAAGUCACACUUUGAAGAGUUCAUGCUGCACAGAAAGAUGAUGAAAUGCUACCCGUUGAGUCUAUCAUUGCUCCAUUGGAGACAGAGCUGAAGCUUACUGCAGGAGUUAUACAUUUGUUAUGCAAUAUGACCCCUUUAAUUUUAUUUUAAAACUGAUACAAAAAUACUACAAAAAUUUAUGUAGUAUUUUUGUAUCAGUUUUGAGUGUCUAUUUUGGCUUCCAUAUAUCGUCUGUACAUGUGAGAGGUAUAGUGUUCAAUAUGUAUUUGGUUUCUAUAUUGUUAAUGGAUCCUUUUUUUUUUUUUAAUUUUAAUAUAAUUUUAUUAAGGUAACCAAGUUGCAGGAUGACAUCAGAACACUUGAUCUGCAGGUAAACCUUCAAUUUCCAUAUGAAGUUUGCAUGUUCGUUGUUUCUGGAAUUUGAGUUUUUAUUAUUUCUCAAUUCUAUCACAUAGAUUACGAUUUCACAUAUGUGAUUAUUAAUGGCAAUUAUAUGAUAGAAGAAUUGGGAUUGGAAGAAGAUAUUGAGUUGUUUAUUUAUGGGGAUUAGAAAAUGAUUAUCAUACAAGUGAUAUUUAUUUUUGUGUGGAUUGUUAAUAUAUAAAACUAUAAGCUUUUGAGAUUGGGAGAUAAAACCCACAAAUUCAAAUCAGACAAAAUAAAUAAAAAAUUUAACUGACUUAAAGAUCAAACUCCAAAAGGGUAUUAAAAACAAGGCUUAUUUGAUCCAUUGAGUGUGAAAGUUUUGAGCUUUGAAGAAGCAUAGGAGGAGAGUUGUUAACCAAGCUGCAUUAUCCAUGUAUUAGGAUGUUGAGGGUAGGCAGGAAAAAUACUUUUUGACGCCAUAUCCAGAGGAGCAUAACGACAGGCCUGCAUUUUUGCAGCAAGGACCAAAACAAGUAGAAGUGAAGGCUUGACUGUUUGGGUAUUAAUCCUAAACCUAAUUAUUCUUAUUUAGGUUUAGGAUAAAUGAUUGAGUGUGUCUCGAUGAUUGUAUUACCAUGUUUGAUGAAUGACUUGAGGAGUUGGAAAUGGUUUAUUGCUUAUGUUUUUCUUAGGUGUGUACUUUGGUUAUUUCCGAGCUUUUCACGACUCUUGAUACCUAAUAGAGAAAAUGGAAACCCCAACUUUAAUUUUAUGAAUUGGUUUUGGUGCCUAAAAUGAAAUCUAGCAUAGUGAAAUCUUGCAUAAUGAAAUUAUGACAAAUUUCCCUUCAUCUUUAGAUUUUCAUUUAGUUCAAUUUGUAUGCAAUUUAGGGUUAUUCAAUUCAUGAGUGAUCAAAUUAUGUUUUUAAUUCCUUCUUCUUUUGAUUUACAGUUCAACAUUGUCGUACAAAAUGAAAAAGGUGCCAGUAACAUAGUUAUGGAUUUGGAUGCCUUUAGCGGAAUAAAACUGAAUUUUUUAACUUUGUAUAGUUGUAAACAUAAAAUACUCCAUCAGAUAGACUCAUAGCAUUUGAAAACAAUCCUUGAGGAUGGCAUAACAACAUCUCCAACUUUUGUCAUGUAAUGUAUGAAUGUAAAUAGCACUUUGUAAACAUAUGGAUGUAAUAUAUGUAUAUAAACAGUCUUUAGCAUGUAUAUUUUUCAAAACUUUCUACAUCUUCAACAAUGUUUCAAUGAUUUCUUGAUGUAAACAAUGAUAAUUUGAAGAACCAUUUAAAGUUUUCGGUAAUCAGCAUACUUAAGCUUAAAUGUGAUAUAUCCGUUUAGUAUUUUUUAUACAGUGAUAAUACUCAAGUAUAAUUUACAUCAUAUAUCUUUUGAAGUACAUGAAACUAUGAAGAAAAAACCCUAAUUAAUCUGAUUAUGGGGGUUUUGUUUUAUAUCAAAAUAUUGCAGCAGAAGUCACACUUUGAAGAGUUCACGCUGCACAGAAAGACGAUGAAAUGCUAUCUGUUGAGUCCAUCAUUGCUCCAUUGGAGACAGAGCUGAAGCUUGCUGCAGGUGGUAUACUUUUGUUCUGCAAUAUGACCCCUUUAAUUUUAUUUUAAGACAGAUAGGGUUGAAAAGAAUUUAUGUAGUAUUUUUGUAUCAGUUUUGAAUGUCUAUUUUGACUUCCAUAUUUGGUCUGUACAUGUGAGGUAUAGAGUGUUCAAUAUGUAUUUGGUUUCUAUAUUGUUAAUGGAUCUUUUUUUUUUGUUUUUUAGGUAACCAAGUUGCAGGAUGAAAACAAAACACUUGAUCAGCAGGUAAACCUUCAAUUUCCAUAUGAAGUUUGCAUUUUUGUUGUUUCUGGAAUUUGAGUUUUUUGCAGGAUGAAAACAGAACACUUAAUCUGCAGGUAAACACUUGAUUUGUUAUUUCCAAGCUUUUCACGACUUUCGAUACCCAAUAGAGAAUAUGGAAACCCCAACUUUAAUUUUAUGAAUUUGUUUUGGUGCCUAAAAUGAAAUCUAGCAUAGUGAAAUCUUGCAUAAUGAAAUUAUGACAAAUUUCCCUUCAUCUUUACAUUUUCAUUUAGUUCAAAUCGUAUGGUUUAGGGUUAUUCAAUUCAUGAGUGAUCAAAUUAGGUUUUUAAUUCCUUCUUCUUUUGAUUUUCAGUUCAGCAUUGUCGUAUUUUGGAUGCCUUUAGUGGAAUAAAACUGAAUUUUUUUAACUUUGUAUAGUUGUAAACAUAAAAUACUCCAUGAGAUAGACUCAUAACUUUUGAAAACAAUCUUUGAGGAGGGCAUAACAACAUCUCCAACUUUUGUCAUGUAAUGUAUGAAUGUAAAUAGCACUUUGUAAACAUAUGUAUGUAAUAUAUGUAUAUAAACACCACUCUUUAGCAUAUAUAUUUUUCAAAACUUUCUACAUCUUCAACAAUGUUUCAAGCCCCGCGGCAACGGGCGGGUACACUUGCUAGUAUACAUCUAAAAUUAUAAGACUAAAUCCUUUAGUUCUUGGAUUCAUCUAAGAACUACUUAUUCCAGCAGAUGCUAUGCUUGCACUACUAGAAUUUAUGGCUUGCCCUGUCAACUAUUGCGCGACAGAAGAUUUCGUCGGUUUCACCUUUUUUAACCGACAGAAUAUAAGUUUAGUAGGGCAAAAUCAGUCAACAAACUGGGUUGAUUGAAUAAAUUUACAGGAUGGCUAGAGUUCGUAGGUUAAGACAUCGGUCGUUGGGCAAACAUUUGGAGCGAAGAUGUGAGUGUUUUAACUGACGAAUAAGCUGGUCGUCAUGUAGAUCUUCUUUCCCGACGGACGGUUCAACAGGUAGCUCUUUGGAUAAUAAUUCAUCUUCAAGGGGAACAGGUUGCCCCUCAGAUGAAUGGUUAGAGGCAAUUGUGAGACUAUAAUUUUCUAGGGCCGGAAUAAAAAAUACAUAAACCCUCACCUAUUCUGUCUCUGUAACCAUCCACCAAAUACCCAUUUUUCCCUUUCUAUUUCUCUCCUAGUAAUUUCCCCUGACCGAAUCACACAAUCCAACCAACUCUCUUUAAGCCUCCCUCACUGAUUCCAUGGAUUUCAUGGACUUAUCCCACCCUCUCUCCUUCCUUCUAUAUAUAGCAAGUCCCCUUGCCUCAGUGUCCCUGGCAACAGAAUUUAUGGCGUUUCUUCGUUCUUUCAAUUAUUUGAAAGCUUCCCUGCCCUGCAAUCUUGUAUAAAGGCGUAUGGUGUUUCAUCAGUUCCAUUUGGUGGUCGGGUGGGAAAUGAAAUUAAAACACUGCAUUUCAAAUGCAUUUCAAAUGGUCUAAACCAAAUUGAAUCAAAUGUGAAGCAAAGGGCAAGAGGUGUAGAUUGAAGAACAAUGGCACCAAGAGCGAAAUUGAACUUGUUGACAGGAGGAAACCAAGUAAGGAUAACACGUCUAAAUCUUAUUUUGAAUCCAUUCAGCUCAUGAUGUUUUGAAUGAUGAUGAUCGGUAUACUCUGCUACAUGCUGUGAUUUUUCCGCUUUCAUGUAAUUAACGGCUUAUAUUUGUGGUAACCAUAUUGAUUAAAAAAGGUCGUACCCAGUGCACAAGGCUCCCGCUUUACGCAGGGUCUGAAAGGUGAAUGUCGGCUAGCCUUACCCCCAUUUUAUGGAGAGGCUGCUCCAAAGUCUCAAACCCAAGACCUACCGCUCAUGGGCGAAGACACUUGCCAUCGCACCAAGUGCGAUAUUGAUUAAUUUCGAGAAAUGACAGUCUAAUUUUUGCAACUGUCUUUUGCAGGCAAAACAAAGACGUUUGCAAGGGUGAGUUGUGUAGGAGCUUUGUUUCAUGUCCAAAGGACACUUGAGAAUAAAUGUUUACACUCAUGGAUAAUAUCUAUCUAUUUGCAGGAGUAACCCUGGGUUCAUUUGUUCUGUAACUGCUGGUCAUUGCGGCAUAUCACGCCUAUAGCACUGACAAAAGUAAAAAGAGAAUCGAAUGAAAUUUGAUAAGUUUUCAGCGGACUACAAAGAUCUUAAGCCAAGCAUAUAUUCCCAUGCAGAUAUUAAGAGGUUUACAAAUCAAUUCAAGUACAAGUUGGGCCAAGGAGCAUACGGAACUAUUUUUAAAGGAAUGCUUUUUUCUGAAUGCUUUGUUGCCAUGAAGUACUUAACAAUGGGCCAUAUUCACCAUGUCAAUGUGGUUCACUUGGUUGGUUUUUGUGCUGAUGGAUUUAGAUGAGCUCUGGUUUAUGAGUUCUUUUCCUUUGGUUCACUCCAGGAUUAUAUUUCAUCAGUAGAUAGAUUUCUUUCCUUGGUUGGCAUAAGUUACAAGAUAUUGCUAUCAGCAUAGCCAAAGGAACCAAGGAUGUGAUCUACAAAUCCUCCAUUUCGAUAUCAAACCCCAUAAUGUUUUGCUCAACCAAAAAAUCACGCCAAAAAUCUCUGAUUUUGGUCUGGCCAAGUUAUGUUCCAAGGAUCAAUCGGCGUGACUAAAGCAAGGGGGACUAUGUGACUAAAGCACCCGAAGUGUUUUCCAGGAAUUUCGGAAAUGUGUCUUACAAGGCAGAUGUCUUGAAUGCUGCUGCUUGAGAUGGUAGGAGAAAAGAAGAAUAUUGGUUCAACCAGAGGACACGACAAAUGAAAUCUACUAUCCAAAAUGGAUUUAUAAUCUUCUAGAGGAAGGAAAUGACCAACAGAUCCCUAUUGAGGAAGAAUGUUAUGGUAAGAUUCCAAAGCAACUUGCAAGUUUAGGGCUCUGGUGCAGCCAGUGACACUCAGUGGAUCGGCGGUCCAUGAAAACGGUGGUUCGGAUGUUAGGAGGAGGAGAAAACUUGAUGAUGCAAGCAACCCUAAAAGCCUCAUACAGUUAGAAGCAAUUGCUGAAUUAGAGUAACAUACGUAUAUGUAUACGCACCAACACAAGUCGUUCUUAGAUGAAUCCAAGCCAAACAAUUACAGACAAUAGUUAUUCACUAAAUCACUUUAAGGCAAGAAUUUAAUUAAUAAUACAUUACUGCACUUUCUUAACCAUUUGACUAUCACCUAGCUGACAAUGAACACGUUAGCUCCGCGUUAGAACAUCUUGGGUUCAAUUCAUUGUCUUGAAUAUCACCCACUGUCACAGGCGUCUUUUGGGGGCAUAGAGAAGGCCUGAGAGGCAUUUGCAGACAUUCAACAUCUCCUCCAAGCAUUUUGACAACUUUGGACAUCGAAGGGCGAUCACUUGGUUUCAUUUGAAUACACCACAAGGCGGUUAUAACCAUCUUUCUUAUUACUUUCUUUUCCUCCUCUGUAACAUUGUCCAUUUCCAAGUCAUUUCCUACAAUAUACUGAUCGUAUACCCACAUUGGGAAGUAGAUUUGGCUUGAAUGCUCUACCGUUGGAUUCAAAUUCCUCCUUCUGCUUGCCAUUUCCAUCAACAACAUUCCAAAACUAUAGACAUCUGACUUAUAUGAGACGCCUCCAAUAUUUUUGUAGAACAACUCAGGAGCAAUAUAUCCCAGUGUACCCCGUGCUGCUGUCAAAGAGACAAUGCUAUUAUCUACAUGAUACAAUUUUGCAAGCCCAAAGUCAGAAACCUUUGCUUUAAAGUUCUCAUCAAGAAGGAUGUUAUGAGGCUUGAUGUCGAAAUGUAGAAUUUGCAUUUCGCAACCUUGGUGUAGAUAUUCGAUCCCUUGAGCCACUCCAAGAGAAAUCUCGUACAUGUUCUUGAUAGUUAAGGGGACACUUCCUUCUUUGGAAUAAAUGUAUUUAUCAAGAGAACCAUUAGGCAUGAAGUCAUAGACUAGAGCGCGUUUUGAUCCCUCAACAUAGUAUCCAACAAGUUGCACCACAUUGGCAUGGUGAAUCCUUCCGAUUGUAGCUAAUUCGCUAAUGAAAUCUUGGCCAUCAGCUUUGGGCUUGGCCAAAACUUUAACUGCUACAAAUCGACCACUGCGUAGCUUUCCCUUAAAUACAGAGCCAAAGCCACCUUUGCCCAACUUGUCCUUAAACUUGCGAGUCAUUUUCUUGACGUCCGAGUAAGAGUACCUUAUAGGCAUGAAGUUGUUAUUGCAUUGCAGAAAAUCUUCUAUUGUGCUAUACAUUGAUAAAUGUCUUCUGCGCCAUGUGUAGAUUAGAAAUGCAGUCACAAUUGGAACUCCAAAAACAAAUCUGGCUAGGAAAAAUAACCCUACAUGCAUUGACAUUAAUAUGUUAGAUCCACUGCGUACUACUUUUUCUUCCCUUUCUUUCCAAAUUACUUUGUCUUUGAUGUAAUUAAAGAGAGAAUGGGAAAUGUACAUAUGUUGAUAAUACAAUCUCGUCUUAGUCCUUACCGAUGCAUAUGAGUAUAAACCAUACACGUACUGCAACAAAAUCAAUCGACUAUGAGUUUGAAAAGUGCAUAAAGUGAAAAAAAAAUAAAAAAAAUCAAAGGGUGCCUUUAUUGACAUCCAAAUUUUAGUUAGUUUUACUCAACUAAAAAAUUUUUGUCAUCAAACUUUUUAAUUUGCCGUCGAAAUUGAGUUCACCCAACCCACAAAGCAGCAACUACCACUCACCAAAAAAACCAACAACACACAGCCACCAGUACCAUUCACCAAUAGAAAGAGAAGGAACACACAGACCCACCAAGGAGCCGGCAUCGACGCGUCUACGAGGGAGGGACCGGAGGGUGGUGUAGUUUUGUUGGGCGCGCGGUAGUGGUUUUGUCUGUUCAUUUUCUCUUUGUUUUGGUAGGUGGAGGCUGGUGUGGAUUUGGGCGAACUUAAAAAUGAGGGGAAACUAUGAAGUUUGACAAAAUGUUUUAGUUAGGUGAACUUCACUAAAAUUUGGGUGCCGAUAAAGAUACCCAAAAUCAAAAGACUAGAUGGACUAAUUAAAUGAAGCUCUUACCCAUAUAUAACGAUGGACGCAACUUGCCAGCUGCUGCAGUACAUACCACGGAAAAGUGAGCAAAGACAUACAGUUACUAGGUUUAAGAAGUACAGAUAGAGCACACAAAAAAUAAAAGAAGCUUUUGGGAAGAAACUUCUUACGCAAAUAGAUUUUUUUCAUGACCUACAGUAAAAAAAUGUCAAGAAGAAUACACAACAUUAGCAAUAGCUCACCCAGUCUUCAAAAUUUAAAAAAUCAAGUUUGUCGAUCGAAAACUUGUAAAUAAAACAAAAAGAGGACCCCUUACCGAUUUGUUGCCAUAGAUAUUGAAAGAAACCUACAAGAACAAAGAAAGAACAAGACCACAUGCAUUAGAAUAACAAGUGUGAGGUGUAUAAGCCGUUAGAAAAUAAAUUUAAAAUUCUAGUGCUGUCAAUACAUUGAUAAUAUAUAUAUAUAUAUAUAUAUAUAUAUAUAUAUGUAUGUAUGUAUUAUUUUUUCUGAAAAUUUAACUUUUCCCGUCCAAACUCAUUUUUCUAGUCUCUAGCCCAACAUAUAAUAUUUAUCUGAAUAAAACCAAAUGAUUAGGAUCCAACUAAGAAACUUACCAAAUUAAGUUUGUGUGUCCAUUUUUAUAUUUUUUGGAUCCCUAAUAUACCCCAUCUAAGCCAGUAUGGAAAGGUCUUGUAAUUUUGCUUUAAGUGAUUACGUGCAUUGAAUUUGGCAAGGUCUUAUAGCCAUGAAAUAUGGUUCUAGAUGGAGGAAUUAAUUUGGAAUUUUUUUUAAUUUCGACAACAAAUUUCAAUUUGAAUAUACCUAAUUUAGUGUUUAUUUUCAACAAUAAAUGUGCCUACUUUUUAAAUUUGUAACAAAAUUAAUUUACCUACUUUUUAUGGUAUUAGUGACACACCCUGUCCCGAAGGAGGGCAUGCUGGCCGUCACGAGAGAGUGACGUAACCAUUUGCACAGUACGGAAGCUUUAAGAUACAAUUUAUAAGUUGAUACACCCGAAGGUGAGUCCUAAUUUUUGUCCAAUCUGUCAGAACACCGUCAAAUUCCUCGUAGUCACCACACCUUUGUGAUUCCUGAACCUGGAGGGGCGCAAAACCAAAAUUGAGUGGGUCAGUAAAACAAUUCUUUUCCAAAUCCAAACAUUUCUCAAAACGUUGUAACCCUCUCCGUAAAACUUGUAUACUUUCCCAGAAAUGUAAAAUAUAAAUAUACAUAUAUAUUCUCAAACUUCAUUUUUACUAUCUCAACAUUUUUCUUUAUCAAACAUGCCAUGCCAUGUCUAAUUCAACAGUUAAGUAUGGAUGCAUCAACAAUAAUCAUAUCAGGUGCAAGAAAGUAAUCAACCGGAGGCCCUCUAAUAGCCCUGUACGGUUGAACCUAGAGCUCAAAAUCUAUCACUCUCACUCUGCCGGGAGUCACCUCUGUGACCUGUCCGGCCUUCUGCACACAAGUUACGCUCUAGUGCUUUCUCAUCAAUCAUCUGUGCACAUAAUCUAAGGUCACCCACCAGUCGAAAUCUCACUAACACUCUUCGACUGGCCCGUCGCACCCACUCCGCGUGGACUGUGCGACCAGCAUCUACUUGGAUCCAAGGCGAGCGUGCGAUGCGGUGAAUACUAUAAGCACUAAACCAUGGUGCAGGAUUUGAGCUCAAUAUAUAUCAACAUCAUCAUAACAGUACUUAAAUACUCACCUGAUACUCACCUGUGCGUCCGCCGCACCAAUUCAUACAUAUGCAUCAUAUUUCAAUUCAUAUCAUUUCAUGCAUGGCAAUUCGAUUCACAUUUCUAUAUACAUUUCAUAUACUUCUAUGCAUGACCUUUCAAUUCACGUUUUCAUAUAAUUCUAUAUACCUUUCAUUUAAAACAUAAUUUCAUUCUAAUUCAAUUUCUGGGAAAACGUCAAGUAUAUAUAUACGGAAAACAAAACUGCCCACUCACCUGGAGUUCGUCCAACAACUCCCUAGCACCACACAUCAAGGCGUCAUGACGAUCGCCGUCUAGAACAGUAAUCAAAUCCAGCCUCAGAAUUCAUAUCGAUAGAACAUAUAACUUAUAUAAAAUAUGUCACUACGUAGAUCGAUCCGGAAGAUCUGCCACUCAGAUUUUAAAUCCAUAACUUCCAGAGGUCCACAAUAUAUCUCUAGGAUAACAUCCUAAAAUUUCAUUACCAUCCAACGGUCGGAUCUCCGUCAAUUUCCAAAACUAAGUGACGGUUAACAUUUUAUUUUAUGAACUUACAAUUCUAAUUCCGGAAGAUCCGUAACUCGGAUUCCCAAUCCGUAAGUUCCAAUAAUCCUCAAAUAUUACGUAUUACAACGUAUCAAAGUUUGGUAACGAUCCAACGGUCGGAUCAUCAAUUCACAUUUUCACCUAAUGCGAAAACUAUAAAACGUUAUUCGAACACCUAACCAACAAUCCUUAAUAACUUUCUCAUACGGUGUUCAAUUUGGGUAUAUGAAUAUACCACAGUGAUCUACUCAUUAAAAUAAUUUUUUACUGUAGCACGCGCCCCCACGCGCCAAGGAAGGCACGGACCUACGCGCCCCCACGCGCACCUUCUUCUUCCUUGGGUCGCCGGACUGGUUUUUCCGGCGGCCGUUUUUCAAAUUGCCAUAACUUUGUCAUUUCUCAACGAAAUCAAGUGAUUCAAAAACGAAAGUUGUAGCCCUUGAAGAGACAAAGAGAAUGGUACCUUGCACAACACCUAGUUCGCCGUGGUUUGGCCGGAAACUGCUUCGAAAGCCUCGGAGGUCGCCAGAAACUGGGUAUUUUUCAAAUCAGUAUAACUUCUUCAAUACUCAACGAAAUUGAGUGAAACAAAAAGGAAAGUUGUAGUACUUGACGAGACGAAGAGAUUGAUACCUACCUCGACUCCUAACUCACCGGAUAUUCGCCGGAAAAUGCCUCGAAAGCUCCGGCCAAACUUUGAACUUGUCGAUCUCCGUGUUCUUACAUCCAAAAACUUCCAACGAAGCACUCCGAGCUUCCUUGGGACCUCACUAAGCUCGCUAUGAUCUUGUUUUAGCCUAAAACGUAGUCAUUUAGAAGAUCAUGAACAAUACCAUUUCACGGGAACUUUGAAACUAGGGUUUUCCGAAGCAAAACUUACCUGAAAUGGAUACCAUCGUGAUCGUGGAGGUUCCAGGAGUUUGAUGGUGGUCUUAACUCUGUCGUUGGUGGAAGUUUAAGGUUGUUUUGUGGUUGGUUUGUUCGAACGGAGAAGAAGAGUGACAGAGAGAGUGAGAGAGUCGUGAGGGAAGAGAGAGAGAGACAGCAUGCAGAAAAUAGGGAGAGGAUUGAGGGGUGUGGGGAUCCCACGUGGUCCUUUUCCAAUCCCCAACUCCAAACCAUAAAAUUUUAACCUAAAAAUCUAAGUUCAAUCCUUAAUAAAUUCCAUUUUAUUUUCAAAACUUAGGAACCUAGAUAAUUAUCAACUUGAGCUUCACAUACUUAGUAUUUCUUAAGGGCAAUUUCGUUCAUUCACAGCCACGAAUGUAAUAUUUUGGAACGGGCUGUGACAAUUAGUAUACAUAAAUGUAGAAUAUAUGUCCGUAUAUAUUUGAUCCAAUUAGUAUUAGGGAGAAUGACAAGUCAUCCAAGUCUGCUACUGUUAAUAAUUCUGUUACUGUAAAUUAACUGAUUGUAUUAGUUGUGAUUAGUUAAGAUAGUUAUAAAGUAGUUAGGGGUAUCUAUGUAAAUAGCCAAAGGCUAUAUAUAUUCCUACACAAUGUGUAAAGUUCUCAGUCAAGUAAAUACAAUCAAGAAAACUUACUGUUGAAGUUUUCUGUUUCUACAUGGUAUCACGCCAUUCCGCUUCACAGCUUCGAUCUUUCUCUUCGCUUGCUGCAUCGAUCGACUCUUGAUCGAUUUUUCUUCUCUGAUCUUCUCUUCGCUUGCUGCAUCGAUCGACUCAUGAUCGAUUUUUCUUCUCUGAUCGUCACUUCUUCCCUUCCGAUCUUGUAGUAUUUUCUUGAUUUCUGUCAGUAAUGGCGGCUCAAUCGACUGGUUCAUCUUCUCCGGUCAUCUCCCCCUCGAGCCCAAACCCUAAUUUUCUCUGGAAACCCUAAUUCCUCUGGAAAUCCGAGUCCUCUGACUUCCUACACUUCUCUCUCACAAUUCAUAACAUCGGCAGCAUGGUGCCGAUCAAGCUCAAAAGAUCCAAUUACCUACCAUGGCGCGCCCUGUUUGGCCCGAUUUUCCGGCGAUACAAGCUUCUUGGAGUAAUCGAUGGUACUGACGUCUGUCCAUCGCCAUUUCUGCCUGAUCGUAGCAUCAAUCCUGCUUUUGAGGACUGGUAUGAGAAAGAUCAAAAUCUUUUUGAUCUGGUUGAAUUCCACACUUUCUGAGGAAAUCAUCCCGUUCACGGUUGGGGUUUCAUCCUCUCGAGAACUUUGGGUAAAGCUUGAACAGCGCUUUGGUGGAAUUUCAGAGGCUCAUAUCCAUCAGUUGCGAUCGCGCCUUCAAUCUGUUCAGAAAGGAUCGCGUUCUAUCUCUGACUAUCUUCAAGAACUCAAGGAAAUUUCAGAUUCUCUGCAAGCUGCUGGUGCUUCUGUCUCUGAUCGAGAUCUUAUCGCCGCCACACUACAUGGCUUGCCUGAUGAAUUUGAGUCUUUCAUCGACUGUAUCAUGCUCCGAUUGUCCUCUACCUCUCUGAUGAACUUCAUGGCCUCCUUCUCACAAAGGAAUUGUCUAUGGCCAGACGCAAAACUGUCAGUUCAUCUCCUGUCCCUGAAUCUUUUCAGGCUUUCUCGGUGCAGUCUCAGCCUCAUCUCCUUCCUACUCCAUCUGCUUUUGCUGCUCAGAAUCUCCCUCUUCAAUCUGCAUCUCGGUUCAACUCUAAUCGUGGCAGGAACACUAAGGGCCAGUUCUUUUCCAAUCGAGGUCAUCGAGGUAAUCGUGGUAAUUUUCCUAAUAAACCGUGGCAAUCGAGGUUAUCAAGGAUUUCGCAGCAAUCAAGGCUCUUCUCACUUCAAAGUGCUUUGUCAAAUCUGUGGUUCUACCAGUCAUGAGGCUAUUGACUGCUUUGAUCGUAUGAAUCCUGACAUCUUGUGGUCGUAUUCCUCCAGCUAAGCUUGCUGCCAUGUGUGCCACAACAUUCUGCUAAACCAUCUCAGCCUUGGUUAAUUGAUUCAGGGGCAACCUCUCAUAUCACUAAUGAUGUUGCUAACCUCACCUCUCCUACUCCCUACACUGGCGAGGAUUAAAGUGUAUAUUGGAGAUGGUAAAGGUUUAUCCAUCCUCAAUGUUGGUUCAUCUACUCUGCACACCUCUCAUAAUUCUUUUCAAUUGCGAAAUGUUUUACAUGUUCCCCACAUAACCCAUAAUCUUAUCUGCUUAUCAGUUUUGUUAAUGAUAAUAAUUGUUCAUUGACACUUGACCCUUAUGGAUCCUAUGUCAAGGAUCGUAUUUCGGGGAAGAUGCUUUUACGGGGACCGGUUAGAGAUGGCUUCUAUCCUCUUCAAAGUUCCAGCAAUCUUCAUCCUCUUUCACAUACCGCUUUACUUAGUAUUAAAGCUCCAGUUACAAUUUGGCACAAGCGUUUGGGUCACCCUUCCUCCUCCAUUUUUAGAAGGCUCCUUUCAUCCAAUAAUCUUGCUUUACAAGGCAAGUCUACUGUGGACUUUUUCUGUUCGGAUUGUGCUCUUGCCAAGAAUCAUAAGCUUCCAUUUAAAGCUGCUACUUCAUCAUCAACUCACAGCCUUCAACUACUGCACUGUGAUCUGUGGGGACCUGCCUCAAUCACAUCAAGUAGUGGUUUUCAAUAUUAUUUGCUCAUUGUUGAUGACUAUAGCAAAUAUAGUUGGUUCUUUCCUUUGAAAUCUAAGUCAGAUGUAUUUUCUACAUUUGUUGUCUUCAAAUCAUAUGUAGAAAAUUCACUUGGAAAUAAAAUAAAGGUUCUGCGUUCAGAUUCAGGGGGUGAAUUUACUAGUCACUCUUUUGCAUCAUAUCUCAGCAAACAUGGCAUUCUUCAUCAGUUCAGUUGUCCCCACACCCCUGAGCAAAAUGGUUGUGCAGAAAGAAAGCACAGGCACCUUGUUGAAAACAGCUCGCACUUUGCUUCUUGCAUUCUCAUGUCCCUCAUAUUUUCUGGGUUGAAGCAUUCUCCACUGCUAUCUAUCUUAUUAAUCGCCUUCCUAUUUCUGGCAUUUCACAGUCCCCUUGGCAGUUGCUAUUUCACAACCAUCCAGACUACUCUAAGCUCAAAGUAUUUGGUUGCCAAUGCUUUCCUUGGCUCAAACCUUACUUUCAUAGCAAAUUGGAUCCCAAGAGCAAAAAGUGUGUUUUCUUGGGGUAUAGUCUUCAACACAAAGGCUAUAGGUGCCUUGAUCCUAUCACCAAUCGCAUCUACAUCUCUCGUCAUGUCUGUAUUCGAUGAAAGUACUUAUCCAUUUCAGUUGUCCCACAUUCAACACUCUUUUCCUGUUCCAAGUCCUCCAUCUUCCUCACCAACAAUUUCUUCCUCUCUGGAUCUUCAUUUUUUAGCAAACACAUUCCUCCUGUUUUCAGUCAGCCAUCUACAUCACCAUUAUGUGCUUCUGUGCCUGUUCCUAUUUCUUCAUCUUCAUCUUCCCCUGCACCUGUCUCAGUUGGCUCUUCUUUCCAGUUUUGUUCCUCCUUCAGCACAUUCAUCUUUCUCCCAAAAUCAACAGAGUCAUCCUCCUGCCCCUGUUAAUUCUCAUCCAAUGAUUACUAGAUCCAAGGCUGGUAUACUCACGUCGAGAGCCUGUGCAGCAACUAAGCACCCACUUCCGGUUGAUAUGGAUUAUGUUCCUACAACAUACUUGCAAGCUUCUAAGCAUGCUCAUUGGAGGCAAGCUAUGCAAGAUGAAUUUAAUGCCUUGCUAACCACUGGUUACUUUGGUCUCUUGUUCCUUCUCACCAUUCUCAAAACUUAGUGGGCUGCAAGUGGGUUUUCCGGAUUAAGAAGAAGCCCGAUGGCACUGUUGACAGAUAUAAAGCCCGGCUUGUGGCCAAGGGUUUUCAUCAACAAGAAGGUAUUGACUUUUCAAGAAAACCUUCAGUCCAGUUGCCAAACCGGUUACAAUUCGGAUCCUUCUUACCCUUUGCUGUGCAAUAUAAUUGGUUUCUCAAUCAAUUGGACAUUAGUAAUGCCUUUCUUCAUGGAGACUUAAAGAGAGGAUGUCUACAUGCAACAACCCCCUGGUUUUGUUGAUCCCUUUACCCUACAUUUUGUAAGUUGAGGAAAUCGUUGUAUGGUCUCAAACAAGCUCCUCGAGCUUGGUUUGAUAAACUGUUCCAAGCUCUUCCUCUCUUGGAUUCACCCAAUCAUCCUCAGAUGCUUCUUUAUUUGUUCUCAAUGGUCCUCAGUUUAGUCAUUGUCCUUGUCUAUGUUGAUGACAUUCUUGUCACCGGACCCUAUCCUUACCUCUGUCAACACUUCAUUCAGCAACUUGGGGCUCAAUUUCCAGUAAAAGACCUUGGUCCUCUUCAUUAUUUCUUGGGAUUAGAAGUACAUCGAUCUUCCCAGGGUAUAUUUCUCCAUCAAACAAAGUACUUAUUGGAUCUUCUCAAGAAAACAAAUAUGGAGGGUGCAAAACCUUGUUGUACUCCCCUUGGCUCUAAGAAAUUAGAUCACAGUGGCCCUCUUCUGUCCAAUCCUACUGAAUAUCGCUCCAUUGUUGGUGGUUUACAAUAUCUUACUUGGACUAGACCCGACCUUGCUUUUGCUGUGAACCAAAUCUGCCAAUUCAUGCAUGCUCCCAGGGAACAACAUCUCCAGGCAGCAAAAAGGGUUCUCAGAUUUCUCAAAGGCUCUAUCUCACAUGGUGUGUGGUUCACUAAAGGCCCUGUCCAUCUUUCUGCCUACUCGGAUGCCGACUGGGCUGGUUGCACAAUUGACAGGAGAUCAACCACUGGUUAUUGUGUAUUUUUGGGUUCCAAUCUUAUCAGCUGGAGUGCCAAGAAGCAAAGUACUGUUGCCAAGGUCCUCUACAGAGGCUGAAUAUCGCUCCUUAGCUCACACAGCUGCUGAGAUAACUUGGGUUUGCAGAUUCUCAAAGAUCUGCACUAUCCUCUCUCUUACAUUCCCUACUUUUGGUGUGACAACAUAUCAGCAAUAUCUUUAGCAUCUAAUCCUGUCUUUCAUGCUCGAACAAAGCAUGUUGAGAUCGAUUAUCNGAAGUUUUCUGUUUUCUACAUGGUAUCACGCCAUUCCGCUUCACAGCUUCGAUCUUUCUCUUCGCUUGCUGCAUCGAUCGACUCUUGAUCGAUUUUUCUUCUCUGAUCUUCUCUUCGCUUGCUGCAUCGAUCGACUCAUGAUCGAUUUUUCUUCUCUGAUCGUCACUUCUUCCCUUCCGAUCUUGUAGUAUUUCUUGAUUUCUGUCAGUAAUGGCGGCUCAAUCGACUGGUUCAUCUUCUCCGGUCAUCUCCCCCUCGAGCCCAAACCCUAAUUUCUCUGGAAACCCUAAUUCCUCUGGAAAUCCGAGUCCUCUGGACUUCCUACACUUCUCUCACAAUUCAUAACAUCGGCAGCAUGGUGCCGAUCAAGCUCAAAAGAUCCAAUUACCUACCAUGGCGCGGCCCUGUUUGGCCCGAUUUUCCGGCGAUACAAGCUUCUUGGAGUAAUCGAUGGUACUGACGUCUGUCCAUCGCCAUUUCUGCCUGAUCGUAGCAUCAAUCCUGCUUUUGAGGACUGGUAUGAGAAAGAUCAAAAUCUUUUGAUCUGGUUGAAUUCCACACUUUCUGAGGAAAUCAUCCCGUUCACGGUUGGGGUUUCAUCCUCUCGAGAACUUUGGGUAAAGCUUGAACACAGCGCUUUGGUGGAAUUUCAGAGGCUCAUAUCCAUCAGUUGCGAUCGCGCCUUCAAUCUGUUCAGAAAGGAUCGCGUUCUAUCUCUGACUAUCUUCAAGAACUCAAGGAAAUUUCAGAUUCUCUGCAAGCUGCUGGUGCUUCUGUCUCUGAUCGAGAUCUUAUCGCCGCCACACUACAUGGCUUGCCUGAUGAAUUUGAGUCUUUCAUCGACUGUAUCAUGCUCCGAUUGUCCUCUACCUCUCUUGAUGAACUUCAUGGCCUCCUUCUCACAAAGGAAUUGUCUAUGGCCAGACGCAAAAACUGUCAGUUCAUCUUCCUGUCCCUGAAUCUUUUCAGGCUUUCUCGGUGCAGUCUCAGCCUCAUCUCCUUCCUACUCCAUCUGCUUUUGCUGCUCAGAAUCUCCCUCUUCAAUCUGCAUCUCGGUUCAACUCUAAUCGUGGCAGGAACACUAAGGGCCAGUUCUUUUCCAAUCGAGGUCAUCGAGGUAAUCGUGGUAAUUUUCCUAAUAACCGUGGCAAUCGAGGUUAUCAAGGAUUUCGCAGCAAUCAAGGCUCUUCUCACUUCAAAGUGCUUUGUCAAAUCUGUGGUUCUACCAGUCAUGAGGCUAUUGACUGCUUUGAUCGUAUGAAUCCUGACAUCUGUGGUCGUAUUCCUCCAGCUAAGCUUGCUGCCAUGUGUGCACAACAUUCUGCUAAACCAUCUCAGCCUUGGUUAAUUGAUUCAGGGGCAACCUCUCAUAUCACUAAUGAUGUUGCUAACCUCACCUCUCCUACUCCCUACACUGGCGAGGAUAAAGUGUAUAUUGGAGAUGGUAAAGGUUUAUCCAUCCUCAAUGUUGGUUCAUCUACUCUGCACACCUCUCAUAAUUCUUUUCAAUUGCGAAAUGUUUUACAUGUUCCCCACAUAACCCAUAAUCUCUUAUCUGCUUAUCAGUUUGUUAAUGAUAAUAAUUGUUCAUUGACACUUGACCCUUAUGGAUCCUAUGUCAAGGAUCGUAUUUCGGGGAAGAUGCUUUUACGGGGACCGGUUAGAGAUGGCUUCUAUCCUCUUCAAAGUUCCAGCAAUCUUCAUCCUCUUUCACAUACCGCUUUACUUAGUAUUAAAGCUCCAGUUACAAUUUGGCACAAGCGUUUGGGUCACCCUUCCUCCUCCAUUUUUAGAAGGCUCCUUUCAUCCAAUAAUCUUGCUUUACAAGGCAAGUCUACUGUGGACUUUUUCUGUUCGGAUUGUGCUCUUGCCAAGAAUCAUAAGCUUCCAUUUAAAGCUGCUACUUCAUCAUCAACUCACAGCCUUCAACUACUGCACUGUGAUCUGUGGGGACCUGCCUCAAUCACAUCAAGUAGUGGUUUUCAAUAUUUAUUUGCUCAUUGUUGAUGACUAUAGCAAAUAUAGUUGGUUCUUUCCUUUGAAAUCUAAGUCAGAUGUAUUUUCUACAUUUGUUGUCUUCAAAUCAUAUGUAGAAAAUUCACUUGGAAAUAAAAUAAAGGUUCUGCGUUCAGAUUCAGGGGGUGAAUUUACUAGUCACUCUUUUGCAUCAUAUCUCAGCAAACAUGGCAUUCUUCAUCAGUUCAGUUGUCCCCACACCCCUGAGCAAAAUGGUUGUGCAGAAAGAAAGCACAGGCACCUUGUUGAAACAGCUCGCACUUUGCUUCUUGCAUCUCAUGUCCCUCAUAUUUUCUGGGUUGAAGCAUUCUCCACUGCUAUCUAUCUUAUUAAUCGCCUUCCUAUUUCUGGCAUUUCACAGUCCCCUUGGCAGUUGCUAUUUCACAACCAUCCAGACUACUCUAAGCUCAAAGUAUUUGGUUGCCAAUGCUUUCCUUGGCUCAAACCUUACUUUCAUAGCAAAUUGGAUCCCAAGAGCAAAAAGUGUGUUUUCUUGGGGUAUAGUCUUCAACACAAAGGCUAUAGGUGCCUUGAUCCUAUCACCAAUCGCAUCUACAUCUCUCGUCAUGUUGUAUUCGAUGAAAGUACUUAUCCAUUUCAGUUGUCCCACAUUCAACACUCUUUUCCUGUUCCAAGUCCUCCAUCUUCCUCACCAACAAUUUCUUCCUCUCUGGAUCUUCAUUUUAGCAAACACAUUCCUCCUGUUUUCAGUCAGCCAUCUACAUCACCAUUAUGUGCUUCUGUGCCUGUUCCUAUUUCUUCAUCUUCAUCUUCCCCUGCACCUGUCUCAGUUGGCUCUUCUUCCAGUUUUGUUCCUCCUUCAGCACAUUCAUCUUUCUCCCAAAAUCAACAGAGUCAUCCUCCUGCCCCUGUUAAUUCUCAUCCAAUGAUUACUAGAUCCAAGGCUGGUAUACUCACGUCGAGAGCCUGUGCAGCAACUAAGCACCCACUUCCGGUUGAUAUGGAUUAUGUUCCUACAACAUACUUUGCAAGCUUCUAAAGCAUGCUCAUUGGAGGCAAGCUAUGCAAGAUGAAUUUAAUGCCUUGCUAACCACUGGUUACUUGGUCUCUUGUUCCUUCUCACCAUUCUCAAAACUUAGUGGGCUGCAAGUGGGUUUUCCGGAUUAAGAAGAAGCCCGAUGGCACUGUUGACAGAUAUAAAGCCCGGCUUGUGGCCAAGGGUUUUCAUCAACAAGAAGGUAUUGACUUUCAAGAAAACCUUCAGUCCAGUUGCCAAACCGGUUACAAUUCGGAUCCUUCUUACCCUUGCUGUGCAAUAUAAUUGGUUUCUCAAUCAAUUGGACAUUAGUAAUGCCUUUCUUCAUGGAGACUUAAAGGAGGAUGUCUACAUGCAACAACCCCCUGGUUUUGUUGAUCCCUUACACCCUACAUCUGUUUGUAAGUUGAGGAAAUCGUUGUAUGGUCUCAAACAAGCUCCUCGAGCUUGGUUUGAUAAACUGUUCCAAGCUCUUCACUCUCUUGGAUUCACCCAAUCAUCCUCAGAUGCUUCUUUAUUUGUUCUCAAUGGUCCUCAGUUUAGUCAUUGUCCUUGUCUAUGUUGAUGACAUUCUUGUCACCGGACCCUAUCCUUACCUCUGUCAACACUUCAUUCAGCAACUUGGGGCUCAAUUUCCAGUAAAAGACCUUGGUCCUCUUCAUUAUUUCUUGGGAUUAGAAGUACAUCGAUCUUCCCAGGGUAUAUUUCUCCAUCAAACAAAGUACUUAUUGGAUCUUCUCAAGAAAACAAAUAUGGAGGGUGCAAAACCUUGUUGUACUCCCCUUGGCUCUAAGAAAUUAGAUCACAGUGGCCCUCUUCUGUCCAAUCCUACUGAAUAUCGCUCCAUUGUUGGUGGUUUACAAUAUCUUACUUGGACUAGACCCGACCUUUGCUUUUGCUGUGAACCAAAUCUGCCAAUUCAUGCAUGCUCCCAGGGAACAACAUCUCCAGGCAGCAAAAAGGGUUCUCAGAUUUCUCAAAGGCUCUAUCUCACAUGGUGUGUGGUUCACUAAAGGCCCUGUCCAUCUUUCUGCCUACUCGGAUGCCGACUGGGCUGGUUGCACAAUUGACAGGAGAUCAACCACUGGUUAUUGUGUAUUUUUGGGUUCCAAUCUUAUCAGCUGGAGUGCCAAGAAGCAAAGUACUGUUGCAAGGUCCUCUACAGAGGCUGAAUAUCGCUCCUUAGCUCACACAGCUGCUGAGAUAACUUGGGUUUGCAAGAUUCUCAAAGAUCUGCACUAUCCUCUCUCUACAUUCCCUACUCUUUGGUGUGACAACAUAUCAGCAAUAUCUUUAGCAUCUAAUCCUGUCUUUCAUGCUCGAACAAAGCAUGUUGAGAUCGAUUAUCACUAUAUUAGAGAAUUGGUUUUGGCUCAACUUCUCAAAGUCAAGUUCAUCUGCAGUGAAGACCAAUUAGCUGAUCUUCACACCAAGUCUCUGUCUAAAACCAGAUUUAAUUAUCUGUGUUCCAAGCUUCCCAUUGGUCUCAUUUCUGAUCCCCCUUCUCGCUUGAGGGGGUGUAUUAGGGAGAAUGACAAGUCAUCCAAGUCUGCUACUGUUAAUAAUUCUGUUACUGUAAAUUAACUGAUUGUAUUAGUUGUGAUUAGUUAAGAUAGUUAUAAAGUAGUUAGGGGUAUCUAUGUAAAUAGCCAAAGGCUAUAUAUAUUCCUACACAAUGUGUAAAGUUCUCAGUCAAGUAAAUACAAUCAAGAAAACUUACUGUUGAAGUUUUCUGUUUCUACAGGUUUUGGAUUGGAGGAGUUGACACAAAAUUAUAAAUAUAUUAAACAAAUUUAUCUAUUCUAAAGUUGGAGGGAAAUUGGCCUGUACAUUGCUACAGUAAUUUUUUUUUACCCAAUUUCACGUUAUUUACAACAAAGCUAUCAGAUUUGGGUUGGGUUGGAGGGUAAUUUGUUAAAAGUUAGGAGGGUAAUUUUGUGCAUAGGGUUUAGGUGCCCUCCUAUACAUGACCCUUGAUUUUACUUUAUUUACACCACUGCCAUCAAAUAUGUGGCUGAAUUGGAGGGUAUUAUUAAAAGUUAGGAGGGUAGUUUGUUCAAGGGGUGAGGGCGACAUUCGCAGACAGAGAGCGAUGGGAGCCAUGGCCAUUGCACAGAGAGAAAGGGAGUGAUGGGGGAAAUUACAGACAGAAAAGGAAGGGAUGGGGGGGAUUUGAUGGAUGGUCACAGAGAGAGAUUGGGUGAGGGAUGUGAGAGGAGAUUACAGAGAGAUAAAUAAAAGGGAGGGAUCGGGGGAUGUGAGGGAUGGUCAGGGAGAGAAAUAGUGAGGGAGGGAGGGAUGGGGGGGCUGAUUUUCGGUUCCUCCUUCCAGAUUUGUUCCGUAAAAACCUGUUGGGUAGAAUUCAAUUUCCUCCCCCUUUCCCCUGAACGAAAAAUUCGAAACCUACAACUCAAAACUCACUCAUUUGUCGUCCCUCCUUGGCUUUCCGCUUUACUCAUCUCCCGGUGGUUCUCUCUCCAUACGAUUCCAUUUCGGUGAGUUCUUCGUUGCCCUCAUGAUUUCCCACUUUUAUUUUUGGGGCGUCCUUAGUCGUCGUUUUUAUCUGGGUUUACUGCAUUGUUGCUUUUAGUUUCUGGAUUUUUAUUUUUUUGGCACUUGGAUGAAUCGUGGUUAAUAAUUUCACAUCAUGGGAUUUUCGCACUUCUGAUGGAAUUGAGCGCGGGGAUUCGGGGUGGGGUUUUACUGAUAAUUUGUCUUCAUUCAAACGAAGGGUUAAAAUUUAUGAGUAUUAACAAAUUUUGUAAAUUAUUCUUAUACAUUUUAUUGAGGGAUCUAAUCGAUUUCUUUCUGUAGUGGGAUUGAAAUUGGGGCUUUGUGGUACUCUCUCUCGCUCACUCUCUCUCCUAUGUGUAUGAAUUGAGUUCUGCAGUGAGUUUGCAGGUGGGCGCGUUCACUAACUAAGCUUUCAAGGGAACCGAUCAACGGUUUGCUUGCUGGGGGAAUUCGGAGACUACCAGUGUAUGAUUUAGUUAUCAUUAAUUUUUUUACUUAAUUUUAUCCAUAUAUAAUAUGUGGGUAAAUUUAGAGGUCGCACUUGGUGCGAUGGCAAGUUCCUUCGCCCAUGAGCGGUAGGUCUCGGGUUCGAGACUUGGGAGCAGCCUCUCCAUAAAUGGGGGUAAGGCUAGCCGACAUUUACCUCUCCCAGACCCUGCGUAAAGCGGGAGCCUUGUGCACUGGGUACGAUCUUUUAUAAUAUGUGGGUAAAUUUAUACUAAACAAUUGUGAUAAGCCAAUAUGCUAUACGACUUUGAAAGCAUUGAUUUUGUGUUUAGUUUGCAUUUUUGCAUUGUGAAUGUUGAAUUUUGUGUUUAAUUUGGAUUUUUGUGUUUGAAUUUGUAGCAUGAUCUUCCGCUGCAGCAUCCAAAUUUUGCAUUUGUAAAUUGUCAAAGAAAAACGAAGUAUGAGGAAAUUAUAGGAGAUUGUGUCGGCUUUGGCCAUGAAGGGUAUCAGCAGCUUGUUCCCCCAUACAGGUGAUUAAUCGCAGUCUGUUCUAUUUGGAUGAGAAAGUGAUUGAAAAAUAUGAUUUUUUAUUUGUUGGUUGAUUUUGUAUAACUCCGCCGUGUAAGUUUAUCUUACAUUGCCGGUCCCAAGCCCGGAUAAAGGAGGAGGGGGAGGGCGUCAGGUAGUCGACAGCUGGCACUCCAUGAUCACGUCGAAUCCUUAUGAAAAUGAAUCCAGAACGAAAUCGCGCUAAAGCUAGGGCGUCACCCAUAAGUGGCGCGCUGUGUGGCCCGAGCACAGUGAUAAGUGAGCAAGGGUCGUUGUAUCUCCAUCGGCACCCGGAUGCAGUGUUAAAUGAGCAAGGGGCUAUAGAAACUUCUUUUCGAACGACUCCACUCAAAGUUGUUUGGGAGCAUAUGCUCCUAUCAACUUUACACGGGACACACAAAAGAAGUACUUUGAUCCUAUUAGACGGGGAAGGGUGAAGAAGCUAGGACAGAAGGGUAGAGUUCAAGAGAGCAAAAUGCGUUUAGGAACGUGGAAUAUAGGAACCUUGAACGGGAAAAUCUAUGGAAGUAGUAGAAGUUAUGGUGAGGAGAAGGAUAAAUAUUAUGUGCCUACAAGAAACUAAGUGGGUUGGUCGUAAGGCAAAGGAUCUAGAAAACUCAGGGUUUAAACUAUGGUAUUCGGGCACAAAUAGAACGAGAAACGGUGUUGGCAUCAUCGUGGACAAGACCUUGACACAAGAUGUUGUAGAUGUCAAGAGGGUAGGAGAUAGAAUCAUGGCAAUCAAGAUUGUAAUAGGACAAGAACUUAUCAAUGUGAUUAGUGCGUACGCACCUCAAGUAGGGUUGGAUACGAGUUCGAAGGAGAAAUUUUGGGAAGACCUUGGAGACUUGGUGCAAGGAAUUGCUCAGACGGAGAAGUUAUUUAUAGGAGGAGAUUUAAAUGGACACGUGGGCAGGGAGACAGGCAACUAUGGAGGUUUUCAUGGUGGCCAUGGUUUUGGGGAGAGAAACGAGGAUGGGGAAGCUAUCUUGGAUUUUGCAAUGGCAUAUGAUCUCUUCUUAGCCAACACCUUCUUUAAGAAGAGAGAAGAACAUGUGAUCACCUACAAGAGUGGGUCGUCAAAAACACAAAUAGAUUUUCUUCUAAUGAGGAAAGGGGAUCGUAUAACUUGUAAGGAUUGCAAAGUUAUACCAGGAGAGAGCGUGGCUAAUCAACAUCGCUUGUUGGUGAUGGAUGUACAUAUCAAAAGAGUGAGAAAAAAGAACAAGACUUGGAAGUGCCCAAGGACUAGAUGGUGGAAUCUAAAAGAAGAAAAACAAGCCAUUUUCAAAGAGAAAGUAAUCACCCAGUGUGUGUGGGAUAGAGAGGGGGAAGCUAACCAAAUGUGGGAUUCCAUGGCUAGUUGUAUCCGAAAAGUAGCAAAAGAGGUAUUAGGAGAGUCCAAGGGCUUUGCCCCACACCAAAAGGAAUCUUGGUGGUGGAAUGAGGAGGUACAAACAAAGGUGAAGGCUAAGAAGGAAUGUUGUAAAGCCUUAUACAAGGAUAGGACCGAUGAAAAUGGUGAAAGGUAUAGAAAAGCGAAGCAAGAGGCGAAGAAAGCUGUGAGAGAAGCUAAGUUAGCGGCUUAUGACGAUAUGUAUAAGCGACUAGAUACCAAAGAAGGAGAGUUGGAUAUCUAUAAACUAGCUAGAGCAAGGGAAAAGAAGACAAGGGACCUAAACCAAGUGAGGUGCAUCAAGGAUGAGGAUGGAAAGGUUCUUGCUACAGAGAACGCGGUUAAAGACAGAUGGAAAGGUUAUUUUCAUAAUCUUUUCAAUGAAGGACAUGAAAGGAGUGCUUCUUUAGGGGAGUUGAGUAACUCAGAAGAGUGUAGAAACUACUCUUUUUAUCGUAGAAUCCGGAAGGAAGAAGUGGUUGUAGCUUUGAAGAAGAUGAAGCAUAGAAAAGCAGUAGGCCCAGACGAUAUACCAAUCGAAGUGUGGAAAGUUUUGGGAGAGACAGGUAUAACAUGGCUCACUGACCUUUUCAAUAGGAUUUUGAAAACGAAGAAGAUGCCAAAUGAGUGGCGAACGAGCACUUUGGUGCCUAUCUACAAGAAUAAGGGCGAUGUACAAAAUUGCAUGAACUAUAGGGGUAUUAAGCUAAUGAGUCAUACAAUGAAGCUCUGGGAGAGAGUCAUUGAGCAUAGAUUGAGGCAAGAGACACGGGUUUCGGACAACCAAUUCGGGUUCAUGCCAGGGCGCUCAACCAUGGAGGCAAUCUAUCUCUUACGAAGAUUGAUGGAAAGAUAUAGAGAUGGGAAAAAGGAUUUACACAUGGUCUUUAUAGAUUUGGAAAAAGCGUAUGAUAGGGUCCCAAGAGACAUUCUUUGGAGGAUUUUAGAGAAGAAAGGAGUACGAGUAGCAUAUAUCCAAGCUAUACAGGAUAUGUAUGAAGGAGCAAAGACUGCCGUAAGAACUCAUGAAGGACAAACCGAAAGCUUUCCCAUAACUGUAGGAUUACAUCAAGGCUCAUCCUUAAGUCCUUACCUUUUUGCGUUGGUAAUGGAUGAGUUAACAGGACAUAUUCAAGAUGAUAUUCCUUGGUGUAUGCUUUUCGCAGACGAUAUAGUGUUGAUAGAUGAAACUCAGGAAGGGGUAAAUGCAAAGCUUAACCUUUGGAGAGAAGUGUUGGAAUCUAAAGGUCUUCGCCUAAGCCGAUCAAAGACAGAAUAUAUGGAGUGCAAGUUCAGUGCAAAUGGAGGCCAAAACGAGUUAGGGGUGAGGAUCGGAGAUCAAGAAAAUACCAAAGAGCGACCGUUUUCGUUACCUAGGAUCUAUCUUGCAAAAGAACGGAGAAUUAGAUGGAGAUCUCAACCAUAGAAUACAAGCUGGAUGGAUGAAGUGGAAGAGUGCAUCCGGCGUGUUGUGUGACCGCCGUAUGCCACUGAAGCUCAAGGGAAAAUUUUAUAGGACGGCAAUAAGGCCGGCGAUGCUGUAUGGCACAGAAUGUUGGGCGGUGAAGCAUCAACACGUACACAAAAUGGGUGUAGCGGAGAUGAGGAUGCUUCGUUGGAUGUGUGGGCACACGAGAAAGGAUAAGAUUAGGAAUGAGGAUAUCCGGGGUAAAGUAGGAGUAGCCGAAAUUGAAGGAAAGAUGAGAGAAAAUCGGUUACGGUGGUUUGGACAUGUGCAAAGAAGGCCUACUGACGCUCCGAUUAGAAGAUGCGACUAUGGGACAGAGGUUCAGGGCCGAAGGGGUAGAGGAAGACCUAGGAAAACUUUGGAAGAGACCCUAAGAAAAGACUUAGAGUACUUGGAUCUAACGGAGGACAUGACACAGGACAGAACACAAUGGCGUUCUAAGAUUCAUAUAGCCGAUCCCACUCAGUGACUUGGAUUUUCCAAGUCUCCAACCGAGAAGUUUUCCUCACUCGGGAAAUUAAGGGAACACUACCUCAACCUACAUGCUCCACUCACAAAGCUUCAACAUACAAGCUUCAACAAAAGAAAAUUCAAAGAACUUAGCGAAGAAGGCUUUGGUGUAUUUAACACAAUACGUUGAAAUGAAGGAAAGCUUAUUUAUUGAUAUCCCCGAUAAGUUACAAAUAUGUACAUAUACUUGAGUCAAAAUAAACAAACAAGAGGGAGCCUUCACAAAGGUUGCUUAGGAGAAGUCUCAGCAGUCGGUAGAGCCCCAGAAAGAGAAGGCACCGGAGGGGGAUCAUUCGGAGCCUCAGUACUGGACAGAACCCUAGAAGGAGGAGGCAUCAGAGGUUGAUCAUUUGGAGCUUCAUUACGCGGUACAGCCCCAGAAGACGAAGGCAAUAAAUGCCUUUGGAACAAACCCACAAAUCUCUGAUGAUCAAGUAAAACCUGACCAUCAGAUUCCUUCAUCUGGUCAAGCUUCCUCUUCAUGUUUGUAGCAUAGUCAUGUGCGAGCCGGUGCAACUGUUUAUUCUCAUGCUUGAGCCCUCUAAUCUCCUGUUUGAGACUCAUCACUUCAGCCGCCAAUGAUUCAACUUGGCGGGUUCGAGCAAAUAGGCGUUGGGCCAUAUUAGACACAGAACCUGCACACUGAACACUGAGAGCCAGAGAAUCCUUAACAGCCAACUCAUCAGACCGUUUGGAAAGUAGUCUGUUAUCUUUGGGAGUGAGAAGGUUCCUGGCCACUACCGCAGCGGUCAUAUCAUUCUUCAUCACGGAAUCCCCAACGGUAAGAGGACCAGUAGGGGAGACGAAGGAUGGGCGCCAUAUGUUGUCUGGAGAAGGCGGGGCUGCCUCUUCAACAAGGUUCAAGUCAAAACGACGGUCGGAGGGGCCAGACAUUUUCAAAGGUGUUGAAGAGAGAAGAGGUCGGACAAAUCAAGAUCUUAGAAGUGCAAGAAUGGAGCUUCUACUGGUGGAUAUUCAAGUGUGCUUUGGAACUUAAUGUCAGCCCCUAUAAAAAUCUGCACUCGACGAAGCUUCAGAAAUCGAAGAGGCGCCUGCUCAGAAAUCGAAGAGGCGUUUGCUUUCUCAAAAGCUGGGCUGCUCAGAGACCACGAGGGUCGAUCUCAGAAAUCGAAGAGGCGUUUGCUUUCUCAAAAGCUGGGCUGCUCAAAGACCACGAAGGCCGAUCUCAGAAAUCGAAGAGGCUUGCUUUCUCAAAAGCUGGGCUGCUCAGAGACCACGAGGGCCGAUCUCAGAAAUCGAAGAGGCACCUACUUUUCCAGCCUUGUCAGCACCUGUCACACGCACACUCAGCUUUGCGGAAAUUAUGGGCAUUCUGUCGAAGAUUUCUGGCGAAGUAGAAAGCACAUGAAUCGUACUGUUCAAUCACCCACUUCCCACACGCAACAGUAGCUCAUGGGUACCACAGAUAACUUUGCCAAAGUUCUCUGACAAAGUUGAGACACGUGAAGCUUGCAGCUCCCACUACAUCGCUCUGACCAAGAAGGGUAAAAGAAUUAGCAAAGAAACAACACUAACAAAGUUUAGACACAUAAAUUUUGAAGGUCUAGCUACCAUAUUAUUACCCACAAGGGUAAAGGAACAGUACCACUGCUGGAUAAUUGGAAAGUCCCGGUGUGUCAACCUCUGUGCUUCGUGGCAAGGUAGACUAGCAAACAUGCCCAACCUUUACUCACAUUCGAGAAAACACUCCCAACAAGAUUGCUUGCUCCAAAAUCGAAGAGGCACCGCCCUCCGAAUCUCGAGAGCCAGACUCCCAACAUGAUUACUUUCUCAAAAAUCGAAGAGAGGGUAAAGGAACAGUACCACUGCUGGAUAAUUGGAAAGUCCCUGUGUGUCAACCUCUGUGCUUCGUGGCAAGGUAGACUAGCAAACAUGCCCAACCUUUACUCACAUUCGAGAAAACACUCCCAACAAGAUUGCUUGCUCCAAAAUCGAAGAGGCACCGCCCCUCCGAAUCUCGAGAGCCAGACUCCCAACAUGAUUACUUUCUCAAAAAUCGAAGAGAGGGUAAAGGAACAGUACCACUGCUGGAUAAUUGGAAAGUCCCUGUGUGUCAACCUCUGUGCUUCGUGGCAAGGUAGACUAGCAAACAUGCCCAACCUUUACUCACAUUCGAGAAAACACUCCCAACAAGAUUGCUUGCUCCAAAAUCGAAGAGGCACCGCCCUCCGAAUCUCGAGAGCCAGACUCCCAACAUGAUUACUUUCUCAAAAAAUCGAAGAGACACCGCUCUCCGAAUCUCGAGAGCCAGACCCCCAGCAGGAUUGCUUUCUCAAAAAUCGAAGAGGCAUCGUUCUCCGAAUCUCGAGAGCCAGAUCCCCGACAGGAUUGCUUGUUCGAAAACCGAAGAGGCACCACUUUCCCAACUUCAAGAGCUGGAUCUCCUUGGAUAAAGCUUGUCUGUAAUCUUCACACGCAACAUCAGCUUUCCAGAUACCACAGACCACUUUUUCAAAGUGCUCUGACAGAGUUAAAACAUGUGAAGCUGGCAGCUCCCACUACCGUGCUAUGACCAAGCAGGGUAAAGGAAUAGCAUUAUUACUUGAUGUUAGGGAGACUCCUAUAUAUGUCGACCUCCAUCCCCAACGGACAGGCAGACCUGCAAAAAUGCUCAACCCUUCCUCUUAUCUGAGAGGGCACUCCCAACGAAGCCUUUCGAAAUAUUCAGCUUUCUUUCCCCCCGAUAAUACCUCUGUAAACAAGCUAUACUAGAGCAAGAAUAUCUCAUAUCAUCAGGGUUAAAAGCAAGAGUAUCCCAUAUCAUGCUUUUUCCCUGUCUUUUCCUUUGGCCUUGUUCUUACCUGCAAGACAAGGAGAAAGAGAGCAAUCAGUCAGCACUUGGAAUCAAGCUUCCAGCCAGGAACUGACUGCCUGGAACCCCUUACCUGAUUACUUACCUGGCAUUGCUCUCGAGUACUCAUCUUCAACAUCUUAUGCUUCCAGGGAAGAUACCGCAUCUGCCUGAGGAACAGAUAGGGCAAGUGAGAAGGAUACAAGGAAGCAUGUGGAGACAAGCGUAACAGCACACGUGCCGAUACAUCCAUUACUCUGUCAAAAGCAAAAGUAUCCCAUAUCAGCAGGGUCGAACGUACUCUAGAUUUGAUGGACUUGUUUUGACCCUCAAAUUCUUCAGUCGGCCUUAUACUCUGGAGGAAACCAGAAAACCCUCCAGCCCAGUUCAAGAAUAAGCCUGUGGAAAGUUACUUCUUCAAAAGCAAAAGUAUCCCAUAUCAUCUCUUCUCAUUUUUCUUCUCUUUAUCCUUCAUGCUGCCUGCAAGAUAGGGAGAAUGUGAACAAUCAGCCGGAGCUCUGAUUGCUUACCUUGUCUGUCACCUCUUUCAGCAGAUCCCCUAGCUCGGCGACUUGGGGGACUCCUACUACAUGGUUUGUAUCGCGCUUGACCAAGCCUGAAACUACAAGUAAGCUUCAAGUGACAAUUGAUACAUUACCUUGUGCAUCUCCACCAGUUACAGAUACCACCCCUGGAUGGAGGAAGAGUACUUCCAGAGAAGAUGCCACAUCUACCUAUGAGACAGAUAAGGAAAGUCAAGACGAUACCACACUCCGGUACUUAGAAGUUUCGUGGUUACGAGAUCAUUCUCCCACAAUAUUUCCUAAUGUCAUUUGUACUAAAUCAUUCACUUGUACUCACUAAAGGAGAGCUUGAACCUAUGUACUUGUGUAAACCCUUCACAAUUAAUGAGAACUCCUCUAUUCCGUGGACGUAGCCAAUCUGGGUGAACCACGUACAUCUUGUGUUUGCUUUCCUAUCUCUAUCCAUUUAUAUACUUAUCCACACACUAAUGACCGGAGCAAUCUAGCGAAGAUCACAAAAAAGUGACCGUUUUCGCUACCUAGGAUCUAUCUUGCAAGAGAACGGAGAAUUAGAUGGAGAUCUCAACCAUAGAAUACAAGCUGGAUGGAUGAAGUGUAAGAGUGCAUCCGGCGUGUUGUGUGACCGUCGUAGGCCACUGAAGCUCAAGGGAAAAUUUUAUAGGACGGCAAUAAGGCCAGCGAUGUUGUAUGGCACAGAAUGUUGGGCGGUGAAGCAUCAACACGUACACAAAAUGGGUGUAGCGGAGAUGAGGAUGCUUCGUGGGAUGUAUGGGCACACGAGAAAUGAUAAGAUUGGGAAUGAGGAUAUCCGAGGUAAAGUAGGAGUAGCCAAAAUUGAAGGAAAUAUGAGAGAAAAUCGGUUCUGGUGGUUUGGACAUAUGCAAAGAAGGCCUACUGACGCUCCGGUUCGAAAAUGUGACUACUGGACAGAGGUUCAGGACCGAAGGGGUAGAGGAAGACCUAGAAAAACUUUGGAAGAGACCCUAAGAAAAGACUUGAGUACUUGGAUCUAACGGAGGACAUGACACAAAACCGAGCGCAAUGGCGUUCUAGGAUUCAUAUAGCCGACCCCACUUAGUGGGAAAAGGCUUUGUUGUUGUUGUUGUUGGUUGAUUUUGUAUGGACGAUGUAUUAAUUUUUUUUUUUUUUUGGGAUUUUGUGUAUUGGGUAUUGUGUAGAACCAGCAAUGCAGGAUCUGAUCAGUCACGCCCGAAAAGGGGUUUGUUUCUCAAAUCACAUUAAUUAAUUAGAUUAUUAAUGUGCGUUGGAAGGCUCUUCAAUAUGAUUUCUAAUUUCUCCUUUCCAGCAUUCUCUUUUUGGUUUUUGGAGUAUGUAUGUGAUUUGUAUUUGAUUAUAGAAUAAAAAUUAAUAAAACACGAGAUGCAGCAAUUAAUUUGCAUCCUUAUGACAACACAUAUAUGAAAGUGCAUUCAAUUUCAAUGUGCGAAUGUGUGACAGGACAGGAUGUGCCUGCCUGCUGGUGGUGGUAUGCUUGCUGUUGUUUCUUGCGUUGUUAAUUUUUUGUGUGUUGAUUUGAUUAACAAUUCAAGCGUAUCUUAUUUUUUUUGUGUUGGUUAGCAGCCAGUUUUAUGGCCCCGAUCUAGUGAUGCUUCUCAGUGACUGGUAAUUGCAGUUCAUUGCCACCAGUUGGUCAGCUACCUGCUCUGAAAGAGCUCUACGUAGAAGGGAUGAAAGUUGUUAAGAGUGUUGGUGUUGAGUUGUACGGGGGAAAUCAACCAUUUCAAUGUUUAGAGAAGGUAAAGUUUCGGGAGAUGCCAGAGUGGGAGGAAUGGCAGCCUAGUCCAAGUGGAUGUGAAAGUCCAGACUUUCCUCAUCUUAAGGAGCUGAGGUUAUCCGAAUGUCCGAAGCUGAGAGGAAACUUGCCCACUCAUCUUCCCUCCUUGAAAACACUUUAUGUGAACAAGUGUGAGGUUCUACAUAAAAACAGGGCCAGUAAUACCCUGAACGUGGAAUCCUUACGAGGAUCUCUUGAAAAACUGACAAUAAAUGGAUGCCCGGGUCUCUCAUUGUUACUAGAGUCGAUGGAGACGCUGCCGUCGCUUCAGAAGCUUGAUAUUGAUAGUGUUGGUGGGAAAGAGUUGUUGGUGCAAAUGGUGCACAACAGCAAUCGUCUUCAAAGUUUUGACUUUAUAUAAAUGUUCCUCACCCUUGUCGUUCCCUACAAAUGGUCUGCCCACCACGCUGACGUCACCGAGCAUAACAGAUUGCAAGAAAUUAGAAUUCCUAUCACGUGAGAUGAUGGCCAAAUUGACUUCCCUUCAGUCUUUGCGUCUAUCCAACAGCUGUGAAUGCAAAGGCUUGAGUAAUUUUUGUGAGUCUGCUGUUUGGUUUUUUUUUCUUCAUUUUAGAGAUUUUUCUACUGUUUGGUUUUUGGGUUUUGUCUAAUUUUUGUGGUCUGCUUUAUAGAUUGUUCUCUUUGGAAGCUUCUUUCCAGCCUUGACCUUCUUCUUGCCUGGUGCCUUCUCAUUGAGUAUUGGAGGAGCAUUAAAACACAGGUGUGUGUGUUUUGUCGAUGUAAGAGAUGAACGACAUAAAAACAUCCGUCUUUGUAUUUUUUUGUGCUUUUUCUAACCCAUCAAUUUCUUUUGAGUCAACCAAAUAGUCCCAAAUUGCAACUUAUGUUGUGAGGUAUUAUUGUCUAAAAUUAAGUAUGCAUGUAUAUUUUAUGUUUGUGCGCGCGCACACCUCCGCAUGGUGUUAAUCUCUGUGGGUCAUCUAUGUAUAUGUAGACAUAUCUAUAUGUGUAUGUGUGGAAUGCAACAUAUCGGAUUUAGGUUAUACUGUGCAUAGUUUUAUUGCCUGUUAUUAUCUACGAUAUCACUAUGCCAUUUCUAUGCAGGCUCUGAAAGUUAUCCAUGAGCUUUAUAAGCACUUACCAUAAUUUAAGCAGUCUGUUUUGGGUUCUUUUUCAUUAGGUCAUUAGCUACAGAUUAAUGGAGAAACGAGGACCAUGCAACUGAUUUGGGUUCUUUUUCUAAUUUUCUGAUUUUGGGGUUUUGCAGGGAGUACUGAUGUACUGAUUUUCUGGGAUUUUUUUUGUCCUUGCAGGAUUUUUGGUCUUUGGAAUGGGUAUGUGUUGUUUUUAACGUUUCAGUUCUAGCUUGUUCCGUUCUUCGUUGCUUCGUGAUUCUCAUUUUUUAGUGUUGGGUGAUGGAAAUUUGUUCAAGUAGUUGGUAGUUUUUUUAGAAAGUUGGCAUUUUUAGUUAUAUUUUCUGUUUAAUCCUAAAUGUUAGACUGGAAAAUCAUUGAAAUGACGGUUUUUUAAAAACUCAUAAUUUUUUUGUUCUGGGAGUUAAAAGCAUCUUUUCCAGAUUGGUUAUAAGGGUUAUGUUCUCUUCAAUUGGUUCACCUAAUUUUGAUUAGUUUUAAGUUUUGUCCUUUUAAGUUUUGUCUUUUAAGUUUUGUUCUUUAAGUUGUCUUUUAAGUUUGUUCUCUAAGUUUUGUCUUUUAAGUUUUAUCUUCUGUGCUGUAAUGAGAGAUUUCUGUUGGCCUUUCGGAUUUUGGCAUGGGAAAGUUCACUUAUUUGUCUAAUUAGAUUGUGUAUGCCUUCGAUUCUUUAUUUAAUUGUUCUGUUUGUGUUCAGGUGUGAUGAUCUAAAUUUCAUAUGUUUGGAAUUAUUCACUUAACACCAAUUUGUUACAUUCAGAUCUCCACCCCACAUUUCACUAGUUCAAAUUCCAUAGAAGUCGGUUACUGCAGAUUGCGUCUACAAUUAGAUCAGAGAUCAACUGCUCUUUUGUUAUCCUGCAGAAGAUUGCUUUUGGGAAGGAUCUGAAGUAGUUUCUUUCUGUAAGUUUAUUCCCAUGUAGCUCUGUCUUUUCUAAUUGAUGGUGUUGAUAUUACACUGUAAUUCAUGAUGAUGAUUUAAUUGUUUAUUGAUUUGUAAUUGUUUGUGAAUAAUGUGGCAUAUAUGACUUGCAAUAUGUGUUUGUAUGAAAGGGAUGACAUAUUAUGUUGCUGACUUAAUUGUUUAUGUUUUUCAUAUUUGCGAAUGGUGUUAUGAUCAAUUAGGUGAUUGCUGACCUGUGACUUUGUUUGGAGCUCAAAUUUUGUGAGCAUUACAUUGGAUUGUUUUGAUGUUGUUUUGGUUGACAAUGCAGGGAUAGGAGAAACAAAGAGGAUGACACUUAUAACUGCCCUUCCCCAUCGGCCGUCUUCAAAUUUGGAUCACAAGAAGGGAGCAACAUAGGUGUUUUCCUUCUUCAUUUAGAUAUGGUUAGUGUAAAUAAUUGGACAAAAGAGCCAAACAAACCCUGUUCUCUCAAAUGGAGUCGAUGAUGUGGUCGAUGGCCACCAGCCCCAACUCAAGAGUUUGGCCUUCAUAUAAUUGGAUUGUAGUAUAAUUUUAUUUUGGUUCAUUUCUUUUUUCCUUUAUAUAAGUGCAGGUGUUGUGAUGUUUUGAAUAAAGGGUGAUGAAAGGUGGUUCACACACUUCCUCCUUACUUAAAGCAAGUGGAGAUGAUGGGUUGUAUAAAAAGAAAAACUUGCCAGGUACUUCGAUUUUCUAUUUUAUUAAUUAUUGUUUGGUUUUCCAAAUGUUGUAUUCACAAAGAGAGACCAAUGAUGUCUUUGAGAAACAAGUUUCUUUGUCUACAUUGCGAGAAUUUGCAGUUUGCAACUUUCAUUGGUUAUUAUAUUUGAUUGAGUUAAACUUGGAUUUCUGGAUUUUGACUUUUUCGUUUGUUUCUUUGUUGUAGAGUUGGCUUCAUUUCAUUCCAGUAACUCUAUUCCAGUAACUCUCUAAAAUAGGGCCAAGAACUCACUAAAUAGGUAGUCAAGAGGAAUUCAGUUUUGCCUUCAAUUUUUGCCUUCUGUUUACAUUCUUCCUGGAUGCACUCUCACCGCUUCUCUCGCUUACCACUUUUGUCUCACUCACCGCUUCAUCUCUUCUGUUGCUUACAAGGUCGUGUCAUAUAUUUUUUUAAUUUUUGUGUGUUUAAUUUAUUGAAUAUUUGAAAAAAGAGAUAAAAUUUUCAAUUUACAAUUACUGAUAUGAUGUUUGUUUUGAAAAUCAUUAAGGUGAAUGGAGAGAUUUACAACCAUGAAGAGCUGAGGAGCCGUUUGCCAAAUCAGAUUUAUAAGGUCUCAUCAAUUAUAAAUAAACGACUUUUCAUUCCCAAUGACCUUUAUCGUUUUUCUUAAUGGGUUAGCUGAACAUGAGGUAGAUGCUGACUUUAUAAAAUAUGAGAAUGUUUUAGGAUUUCAUUCUAAUUUUUUGGCUGUUUGAUUACUUUGCUUUUCGUAAUUUGUUUUGCUUAUCGUCAAUUGGAUGGGACAACAUAUUUUUGUAACCAGUUUGUACUUUUUUUUUUUGUGGAAACUAACCAGUAUGUACUUUUACCAUCUCGGUUUUGAUGGAAUUGGAGCUUUCAGUAAUGGGUUCUGAGGGAAUUGGAGUUUUGAGUAAUGGGUUUUUUAACAACUAUAGUAUCAUUUGUGAUUCUUUUAUUUAUAAGAUAUUAUAUAGGAAACUGUUAUUAGCACUCUAAUAAUCUUAUUCUACACUCGCGACAAGUGUAUUUUUCUUUCUAAUUAUGGAAAGUUUGGAGUGCAAAAUGAGAAUUUUGGAGUGCCAAUAACAAUUCCCUAUUAUAUAUAGCUCUACUAAGAAGGCGACUGUAUAUGUCUUCAUCCUGUUAAAUUGUAUAUGGCUCUUGAUGUCGGCUGAAUUAAAUCAAAAUGAAAACCAAGCUGCUGAUCUUACCAGCCCAUAUCACUUAUCACUUAUUUAAAUUAUUUGAAGAUGCAUACGUGGAUUGGUGAUUUUGUUGGAUUCACUUAGCUCAAAUAUAUGUUAUCUGAGUCGCUACAUUUGAGAAUGUGAUUCUGUUCCUACCACCAUUUUGCCCACUUUUUGUGGAAAUUAUUCAUUCCUGUUGUGAAUAAUAUCCCCGGCAGCGAAGUGCGGGCGCAUUUUCUAGUUUAAGUUAAAUCACACAAUGGGUCAUCAAUAAUGACAAACUCGUCAUUUAUGCGAGUCAAACAUGAGACCACCUACCUACUAGUUUAGUGGAAUACCACAAGUGACAUGUUGAUACCUUUAAAUCUCAUAUAAUGGAUUGCAGAAUUAGGAUAUACCUAGUCUAAUUUAGUCAGUGCGUGAACCCGAACAAUUAACCAGGGUUUUAUUCUUGCUUGAAUGUUUGUAAUAUGUUCCUAGUUUGACAAGGCAAUUAUAUUUCCGACUACAAAAGUUAUUAAUUUAGUCGAGAAUUGACGCACCUGAAAUGGUGUGAGGAAAACAUGUAGACACAUCAGACGCGGUCCAUCCUGAGCAUUGUGUAUUAAGGAUAAAGCUCAAAGCCAUACAUGAGGGCAUUGUGUAUGUCUUUAUAAGAGAAGUUGCUGUAGUCCUCAACGUGGCCGGCAGCCAAACUCAUCCACUCUACACUGCAACCCUCAUCCAAAUCCCAUGCUUCCAACCUGCCCCCGACAUAGUCAUCGACCAUGACAUAGCUAUACGUUUUUGGUUGACUCGAAGAAGAAGAAGAAGAAGAAGUAUUAUUCAAGCAUGGAGCAGUGUCCACGUACAGAGAAGAAUUCGAUGGAUUCGAACACUUCAAGUAAUAUAUAGAUAGAGAAUUGAUGUCAUAGGUGGGCCAAUAUAGAGAAUCGAUGUCCUCGAUGGGCGGAAUAUUUUGAGACAUGGAAGAGCAAUUGUUGUUGUCAAGCCCAGGAUCUAGAAGUCGGAUUGUUUUGUUAAUGUAGUUGAUUGCCUGGACAUAGUAUUUUCCGGAAGAAGGUAGGUCUAGUACUGUAAUGUUGCUCUCACAGGACAGAGUAAACCUUACGUCGCCACAGUACUUUGGAUCAUCGUUCAGUCGAAAAGGAUGGCUUAUGUUGUGGAUAUGGCCGCAGGAUGAAGUGCAGGACUUGGCACUACUGUUGUCAGCGUUACAAGUUUCACUGCAAAAGCAAAGAAGAAGAAAGGCUAAACUUAAGGUGAAGGACCUGGUUCCACUGAUUUCCAUUGCUCUGAGAGAGAGAGAGAGAGAGAGAGGGCACUAUAGCUUAAACACCAAGGAGUUAUAUAAUAUGGGAGGGGUUAAAGCACCUCGCUUAAAGUUGCAGUAAGCCCGUCAAAUAUCCUAGGGAAAAGUCGGUCAAUGCUGUCCUAUAGAGAAAAGUCGGCCUUGAUGUUUGACACGGUCACACUCUCUCUCUCUCUCUCUCUCUCUCUCAUUGACGAGGGACACUGUAAUUGAAAAAAAAAAUUGUUAUUCAGAGAUAGAUCUUGAAAUUCUUAUUUUAUAUAAAAAAAAGGGGUAUUUAGAUUUUAGGACCUAUAUAAGAUAAUUUUUAGAUUAUAAGGUUUCAAAAUCUUAUUUUAGUCCCUAAUUUAAUAUUCAUCGCCACAUCAUAUUAUAAGAUACCUCUAUUACCUACCAUAUUUACAAACUUUGCCAUUUAAAUUGUCAACCUAUUCUAUAAUUAAGGCUUAAAUAUAUUCCGUUAAUAAACCAUUCGUCAAUAAGAUAAAUCCAACUAUGGUAAAUUAUACUAAUUUAUACUUGCUGACAAACAAAUUAAGUCUAUAGUAAUUUUAGGUCAGUCACCUUAAGAAGUCGAAGAUGAAAAAAUCAAAUACAAAACAAUAGGUUAAAAAAAUUAAAUAAUAACCCUUAAUAUAUAUAUAUAUAUAUAUAUAUAUAUAUAUCACAAAAAAAAAGUAUAACAACUCCUUAUUGUCUAUAUAUAGGAAUUGCAUAAGUGUCGGUACAUAUGUGUAGGUACAUACAUGCACAUAGGUACGGAAGUAUCGGUAUGGAAGUGCCGGUACAUACGUACACAUAGGUACGAAAAUAUUGAUACGUUAGCAUCGGUACAAAAGUAUCGGUGCGGAAGUGUCGAUACUUAUGUACAUAUAUAUAGGUACGCAAAUAUUGAUACAUAAACAUCAAAAGAAAAAAUCGGUAGAUUCGAUGUAUGAGAAGGUAAAAAUAAAUCAUCAACACUAGAAAAAAAUGAUAAAAGUAAAUCAUGCACUAUUAGAUGCAUAAGAAGAAGAAAUAUUAGAUGUGGAUGGUGGCCCUAGCCCUCUCUUCUAACACGGUUGAAGAUAAUUUUUUGGGUUGGACAAAAAGUUUCAUUUUUAAGGAGAACCAUUUAUGUUAGCAAUAAAACUGAAAAGUUAUAAAUAAAAUAAAUAUAAGACAUUAUAAUUCACUCAAGGAUAAUAUAGGAAGAAAAAAAUUACAUAAAAGGAAUUAACUCUGACAUUAAAUAUAAAUGCUGACUUGGACAUAAGUCAAAGGACUAUAAUUAGUUUUUUAUCUUGGUUAAGGUUUUAGUCUAAAGAUAAUCUUUUUCAAGGAUUAAUAUCUAGUUUCCUAUAAAAAAAAACACCUAAUAUUAAUCAUUCAAAUGAAAUUGUUAAAAUUAAGUAUAAAUAAUACAUAAUGAAAACUGAACACAUACAAUCAACGGUCACGACCAUGAAAUCCUCCGGAUCCUCAGAAAAAAAUCCGACGAUGAUCUUUUUCUGUGUAAAAUAAUUUGAGGGUAUAAUACUGGAUGUGCGAUUAAACCGAAGAACCCACCCACCUCCAUCUUCUCUGACCAACUUGAACCCAGCCACUACUACAUGUCAUCCCGACAACCCACUCUCAGCUUCCCAAACCGCCAUUUUUCACCCAAUGGAACAUUUAAAGAAAAAAUCCAUCUGCAAAUCGAAAACCACCGAAAAAAAUUAAAUCAGAUACAUUGGAAAAAACGCAAAACUCAAUGGAACAACACUGGCGUGGAAGAGAAAAAAAGCAGAAGGUGAGAAUGGAGAGAAAGAAGCGAACGGAAAGAAAAAGCAAAGAAGAGGUUGGAAACGGAACAACAGAAGAACAAUAGAAGAACAGAAAUGGGUAUGGGAAACGGAACAACAGAACAAAAAGCAGGCGGUGUAUAGAGCAAGAAAAGCAAACCUCACGAUGACCAACACGUGCUAAGAGAGGCCCCGGUUCACUGUGUAUCACAUUUUUUAAUAUUUUUUUUGGUCUUCCCACCGGCUAUACAUGGGAUUCCAAAAUUAAGAAGGUAUAAAUUUUUAUUGUUUCUUGUGCCACAAACCAUGUGGCCCAGUCUUAAUCACAUUUUUUAAAUAUUUUUUUUGCUCUUCCCAUCAGCAGUACAUGGGUUAAAAAAAUUAGGAAAGUAUAAAUUUUUAUUGUUUGUUGUGUCACAAACCACGUUGCCCGGUUUUAAUCACAUUUUUUUAAUAUUUUUUUGUCUGCCCACCAGCUAGGUUUAAAGAAUUAAAAAAGGACUAAAAGAAAGACUCCACAGAUGGAGGAACAUGGGAAUAGAAAGGGCAAAUUUGGGAUUUUACUGUACAAAAAAGACAAAAAGUAACUGCUGAAGACUAACUUGAGGGGCAUUUUGGUCUGCACACUGCCCUAGAACAGUAACCAUCGGAUUGGGUUUUAGUAUAUAUAGAAUAUGUUUAGAUAAGGACAAUAAACUUAGAAUUUUGCCAAAAGUCAGAAUUUAUAAAUUGAUACAAUCAAUUCAUUUGUUUGGAUUCAUAAACAUAGAAAUUUAGACUUUCCGCGUGAGAAAAAACUUGGAAUUUGGGACCUUCAAUUCUCAUGUUUAAAUUUCAUGUAAAUAGGUGUCAUUUAUAAAUUUCAGUAAGUGAGAGUUUAAAAAUAACAAACAUGUAUUCAAAUUUCAUUCCUCCUUUGGUUAACCAAAAAAGAAAAUUUAUAAAUUCUAGAAAAUAAAAUUUCUUUAUUUUAAUUUCUGUUAUUUUAAAAUUCUUAGGGCUUGUUUGGUAUUCUACUUGAAUCCAACUUUUUAAACUAAAAAAUAAUUUUCAAGUUUUAGGCCUUAAAAACUUAUUUGGUAGAACUAUUUAAAAAAACUGAACUUAAGACUAACUAAAAAAUAUAAUAUAUUAUCUAAAAACACAAAAAAUGAGUUUUUAGAAUUUUUAAACUUAAAUUCACUCAUUUCUUUUCUCUCCCUCCUCCCCUCUCACUCCAAAUCUCUCUCUCUCUCUCUCUUUUCUUCUUUCUCUCUCCCCUUCUCUUUUUUUUAACCUUUUUUUGUCUCUCAUCUAAUCCGCUCUCUUCAUUUUCUCGGUUCUUUCUCUCACUCAUAUUCCUCUCUAUCUCCUCCAAUUCUCUCUCUUCAUUCUUUUUCAACCAAUAAUUUCUUACUUUUUUCCUCUUCUCUCCUCUUGAUUCUCUCUCUUCAUUCUUUUUCAACCAAUCAUUUUUUACUUUUUUUCCUUCUCUCCUCUUUCUCCCUCGACUUCCUCUUUUUGGAUCUCUUUGUUCAGUUUGAGCUGUAAGAUUUAAAAUUAUUUUAAAUCGUAUACCAAACAAGUUUUUGAGUCUUAAAGAAAAUUGUUUUUCAAAAAAUGUUCUUAAGAAAUGUUUUGAGAAAUGAUAAAAAAUUUCAAAUAAGAUACCAAACAAGCCCUUAAUAAUCUUAAAUUUUCCCAUCCAAACAAAAAAUUUUCUUGUCAUAGAACUUUCAAUUGGAAUCAAAGAAGACAAUCUUUUCACAACUAAUUAUUCUCACCAAAAGCAAUUUUUAUUUUAAAGCAAUCAAUACCAAACUGCAAAAGCAAAGUAGGAAGGCUAAAAUUAAGGUGAAGAACCUGCUUCCACUAAUUUCCUUAGGAGGGAGAGAGAGAGGGGGAGAGAGAACCAAGCGAGCGAGCAGAGAGAGAAAACACCAAGUAGUAUUCUAAUGUUGGUGGGGUUAAGUCACCUUCCGUGAAGUUGCAGUAAGGACUUCUAUCCCAGAGAAAAGUCAGUAAAUGAUGUUGACACAGUCAACGACAAAGACAGAAUUGUGUAACCAUAAUUCUCUCUCUAUCUCUUUUUCAUUAUCGGAUGACAGUGUAACACUACUACGUAUAUAUCUCUGCUCAAUUAUUGAAAAGAAAAAUCCAUGUGCAUUAUUUUUAUUAUUAUUAUCUCAGAAAUGCAGAAAUUGAUCAUCUCUUCCUUUUGCAUAUUGAUACUGGUUUUCUUCAAACUAGUUGAAGCAAGUCAAUAUGUGUGCGCGAAAUCCAACUGUAGCAAUGAUCAAAGCGGGGCUAUCCAUUUCCCAUUAAACAUCAGGCGCACACAUCAUUGUGGUAAUUCUGGGCUUGAAUGCAAUGGGAGAUAUGAACAGCAAAUACUAAUAAAAUUAUUUGUCAAAGACAUAGAUUACAAGCGUCAGGAAAUCCAAGUCUAUUCCCCAAGUAACUGCCUGCUGCUAAAGCAUGUUGAAAUCCCAAACAUGCCACCCUCUCCCUUCAACGUGUCAGUCGAUGACUACAUGAGUAACCUUACCUUAUUCAGUUGUCCUACUUCUUUUGCAAGACGAGAUACGGAUGUGUAUCAAGUCCCCUGCCUCGGCGACCGUGGCAAGAGAACUUAUGCCAUUUAUUCUGAUUAUGGUUUUAGAACUCUCUUCCGGAAUCUACAAUCUUGUACAAAAAUGUAUGAUGUUUUAUCAGUUCCAAUACCCUCUGAAUAUUAUGUUCUUCGUUUCAAAUGGUCUAUACCAAAUUGCAGAAAAUGUGGAGAGGGAAAGAGGUGUGAAUGGCAGAACAAUGAAAUUAAAUGUAUUCAAUGGAGGAAACCAAGUAAGGAUAACAUAUGUAUUCAUUGCUAGUUUUAAACAUCUUUACAUUUGUUUCUCAGUAAUUAUUGUUUAAAACAUGUCCAAUCCAUUUUUACUAUGAAUAUUAACUGACAGUCUCAUUUGAAUUUGCCUUUAUCUUUUACAGGCAACACAUGGAAAUUAGUGGUCACAGGGGGAAUCCUGGGUUCUUUGCUUCUUGUUCUACUGAUGAUUGCAGCAUAUCGGGUAUAUAGCGUUGAUAGAAAGAAAAAAGAGAUUCGAUUACGAAUUGAAAGAUUCUUGGAGGAUUACAAAGCACUCAAACCAAGCAGAUACUCGUACGCAGAUAUUAAGAGGAUUACAAAUCAAUUCAAGGACAAGUUGGGCAAAGGAGCCUAUGGAACUGUCUUCAAAGGAAUGCUCUCUUCUGAAUUCUUUAUUGCUGUCAAAGUCCUCAACAGUUCCAAGGGAGAUGGGGAAGAGUUCGUAAAUGAAGUGCGAACGAUGGGUCAUAUCCACCACGUAAACGUGGCUCGCUUGGUUGGAUUUUGUGCUGAUGGAUUUGUACAAGCUCUUGUUUACGAGUUCUUCCCCAUUGGUUCCCUGCAGGAUUUCAUUUCAUCUGCAGAUAGUAAGAAUUCAUUUCUUGGUUGGGAUAAGCUGCAAGAUAUUGCCCUAGGCAUAGCCAAAGGAAUUGAAUAUCUUCACCAGGGAUGCGAUCUACGAAUCCUGCAUUUCGACAUCAAACCCCAUAAUGUUUUGCUAGACCAAAACUUCACUCCAAAAAUUUCUGAUUUUGGUAUGGCCAAGUUAUGUUCCAAGGAUCAAAGCUUGGUGUCCAUGACUACAGCUAGGGGGACCAUGGGCUACAUUGCACCUGAAGUGUUCUCCAGGAAUUUCGGAAAUGUGUCUUACAAGGCAGAUGUCUAUAGCUUUGGAAUGCUGCUGCUUGAGAUGGUAGGAGGAAGGAAGAAUAUUGGUUCAAUCACGGAUAACACUACAAAUGAAAUUUACUAUCCACAGUGGAUUUAUAAUCUUCUAGGGGAAGGGGAUGACCUACGAAUCCACAUUGGGGAAGAAGGAGACGGUAAAAUUUCAAAGAAACUUGCAAUUAUAGGGCUAUGGUGUAUCCAGUGGCACCCGUCGGAUCGUCCUUCCAUGAAAAUAGCGGUUCAGAUGUUAGAAGGAGGAGGAGAAAGCUUGAGUAUGCCGCCUAAUCCCUUUGUGCCUACUGGUUCUACAACUAGGAAUGCAAGACGCCUAGAGCUAGAAGCUAUUGCUGAAUUAGAGUAAAAUGUAUAUGCAGAUAUAUAGACGUAUAGAUAUAGUAAUAUUUACAUUGAAUAAGAUACCGUUUGAUAACCAUUUCGUUUUCAGCUUUUAAUUUUUAUUUUUCACUUUUUUGAAAACUGAAAACUAAAAUCUUGUUUGGUAAAUACUUUUAGUUAAAAAAAAAUGAAGACUGAGAACUAAAAAGUGAAAGCUCAAAGGAAGUAGAUUAAAAGUAGUUACCAAACAAACCGGAAUCUCAAUAAUAAAAAAGAUUGAAUUGCACAAUGCAAUCCAAACCAAUCAAAACAUUAAAAUAGCAAAAAAAUUAAAAUUCUAGUUGAUUAGAUUCUGAACAUAGUAAAAAUGAACAGAUCCGAUGAAAAAACAAAAAAUUCUCAGAUAAAAAUAGGGAUAAAGUAGAAUAUUUAUAAAUAGCUCAUUGUCUCUUAUGUCAUCAAUUAUUUCUAUAGUAUAUACAGGUUUUUGGAAAAAUUAGGUUCCCAUCCCUUAUUUUCAUAUUACAUUGAUUGAAAUCUUAUUAUUUUUCUAUUUUAGAUCAAGGUCCCUUGACUUAUUCCAUGUCAUCAUUUUAGUAUUUAAAAUAUUACACGUCAUCAUAAACGAAAUCUCAUCCCUUUCUGCAUUUAAGGCAAAAUAAACUAUAUAAGUAAGUUUAAAACAAGGAAAAUCCAUUUGAACUCCUCCAUUCUUCUUCUUCCCUUAUGCACAUCUGGAAUCUACAACACCCCAAACCCAAUUUUCUCCAUUUUUCUUCAUUCCUGAAUUGAUCCAAUGCAUAUAUGUUGAAUAAACCUAUUGUGAUUAAAAUACAAAUUAGCAUCAAUGAUUUUAUCGGCUUGUGAGAUUUGUGUGGCAUAGGCAAGGCAAUGCAGGCAUCGCUUUAUCAAAGAAUCUGGUUGAUUCAAACAUGCAGAGACUGUAGAGUGAGCGGGCUAUGUAAAAACUGUACCAUUUUGAAGUCAUUUUCUUUUGUUCUUUACAUUUUUUUUUCUUUUAUUAUUAUAUAUUAGUCUUGAUUAUUCAAUGUCUGGUUGGCUACACUUAUAUCCAUGGGUACAUUUUUAAUCUACAUGUUUCGUUCUAAUAUAUCUAUUGCUAUAAUAUGUUUUGGUUGGUUCAAAUUUGUUUUACAUAAAUAUAUGGGUACAAAGUUUUUGUAGAAUAUUAUGUAAAAUGGUUUUUAAGGUUGCUGCAUUUUACGUACCCACAUAUGCAUGUCUAUAAAACAAUGUGGUAUGAUGUACAUUCUUUUCUUUGAGUUUUUAAAUGUACCCAUGAGUUUUCUUGUAAAUUCGGUAUGUACCCAUAUGCUAUUUAUGUUAUGGGUACAUACAUUAUUUUUGGUCUAAGUUCAUGGGUACAUUACUUUUGUAUGUAUGAAUUCAUGGAGUACAUUAUUUCCCUUAAUACUACUCAAUAAAAUUCACAAAAAUAUGUGUAGCGUGCAUGAUUUUUUAUUGUAGAAAUUGUUUGUUUUUUUUAAGUCUCAUAAUUCAUGAAAUUUGUACAUAUAUGAUCACAUAAAUUUUUUAAUUUUAUUAAAUUUCUUUUAGACUUGAUCGAUUGAUUGAAUCUCAUAAUACUAGGAUUUUGAAUUACAUAAAUUCUUGGAUUUAAAUCCCUUAAAUGUUGAACUGCAAUCAAUAUUUUAAAUUACAGUUUUUUAUUUAAGAUAUCAAAAAGAUGACAUGGAAAUAUAGUAAUACUAAAAUGCUGAGGUGUACAAAGUCAAAGGACUUUGAUAAAAAAAUAAAAAACAAUAAGAUUUCAAUCUAACAAUUGAAUUGACUAGGGAUCGGAACCAAAAUGACCCUAGAUUUUUAUUGAGUUUAAUCUUAAUAAAAAAAAGACUUCUUGUAUCACAAAAAAUACAAGAACCAUUAUUUGAAUGAAAUAAAAGCUAUGGGAUGGAGAUAUAAAUGGAUCCUUUAUUUCACAAUUGGAUUAUAUUUAUUUGAUACACUGUUGUCAAUAUGAAUGCUGAGAAAAGACUACAAAAGAAAAAAACAAUUUAUAAAUAUAACUAACAAUUCCAAUUUCAAUCAAUUAGACAAUUAGAAUUAUAAGAAGAAAAAAAAAAGAAAUUUCAGUUUUCAGUUUAAAAAAAAUGAAAAAAAAAUGGUUAUCAAAGCCGUCCAAAUAAUACAAGUUUGUUUCCACUCUUUGUUUAAGCAUAGAUGCCAAUUUUUGUUUAUCAUUUUUUUAACCUUUAUUUUUUGUUACAGUAGAAGCCCUGGAAGGAAAUCGAGCACUGGACUUACCAAACUCUUAACUUAUUUCUACACACCAAGAGCUUGAUUUCGGUUCUUAUUUAUACUAUUUAAGCUAUAAGCCGUGACAAGAAUUAGAGAACUAUCAUUUGUUGUGAGCUUCAAUUGGUUAGCACUUUGUAUGUUUUCAUUAGAAUAUAUAUUUCACUUAGACUUUCUUAUUAAAAAAGGGAUCAGCUGGUGACUUUACCACGACAAUCCAAUUUUAUGGGGGUCAUGAAUACUCACAAAGGCAUUUCAGCCUCCCCCUAUAUCUACCGUCGCGUGAUUCACCAUUGUCAGAAAUCGAACCCAAGACGUGUUGUAUAGAAUACGGGCCUAAAAUUCAUUUCUAACCACUGAGUCACCCCGCGUUUGAUUAUAUUUCACUUAGACUUAUCUUGCGGUAUAGCAUGUCAUCCCCGCCCAAGUUUUUCCCUUCGCGUUGACUUUGGGAUACCAAAACUUGCCAAACAAAGUAGAUUGAUUAGUAAGCGAAGCUAAUUAUUCGACUAAACAUUGUUUAGAAUUUUAAUUAAAAGAACCAAUAUGAAUCUGUUUUUUUUUUUUUUGACAAACUAUAACGUUAAGGAGUUAAAUUGUUAGUUGUUAAGAGUACGGGGAUAGGUGAGGAUCGAACCUCCACCAUAGUGCAUAGACAUUAUUGGUUCUACAACUGCUGUAAAUCACAUAAAACAAAACGUAAUACUUUGAGGAUGGAAGACACUUCGUGGAUAGCGGGCAAUCAACACUAUCAGUUGCUAUCCAAAACUUGGAAUUAUGUUUAUUGUCCGAAGGAUUUUUCUUCCAUUAAAUUGCUAAGGAAGAUGAGGAUGGGUAGAGUGUCUAAAUGUCAAGGUUGAUAAGAACGUGUAUGGUGUUCAGCUUGCGAUUGAGAUUUGUUGAGUGGCACAACAAACCACAUAAAAUUUUCUAAAUGAUAAGCUUGAGUAUAAUUUUUUACCACGUAUUUAUCUUUAAAAUCAUUAUAAUUAGAUUUUCUCUUAAUUAAUAUAGACCGUUAGAUUCAUCUAAUGACCCAAGUUUUUUUCCUCUUUUCUUUCUACUCUUUUUUUCUUCUCUGAUUUUCCAUUCACCGUGUAGCAGUCGUUCUUCCCCAACUAAGUUUCUUAUUUUUCUUCACAAAAAAAUUGUAGAAAAUAUUAAGAAAAGAAAAGUCAUCAAUAUCAGACUCGACCAGGUAAUCGUUCCAACCUUCCCAGCAACUCUCAGUCUUAACAAGGCACCAAAUUUUCUCCGCCACCUAACUCGUCAUUCAUUUAUGGGUGUUUCAAGCUUGGUGAAAAUUGAUAGAGUUCCAUGUGUGUACACGGAUGUGAACAUAUUGGCCACUCUCUAAUGUGUUGGUUUAUCACAAAGAACCCAGAUACAAAAUUUUAAAAAGCAAACAAUUACAACUUCUCAAAUAUUAUCUAACAAACUUUCAAUGAAAUGUUGCUCAUAAUUGAAAAAAGGUUGACGAAGGACGGAGUUGGAGUUAUUUUAGAUGGGGAAGAGUUAAAAGAAGGAAGCACCAUUUAAUUAAUAAAAGCGAUUGGAGAAAUAGUAAUUCAAUGGUGGGCGUUUUUAAGGUGUGGACCUUGUAUCACACCCCGAUUCCAACAUACAUUGAGGAUCAACACGUGACAUGGGGACAUAGGGGACAUAAAUCUUAUGUAAGAUACAAAAUGAAAUACUAUAAAUAAUAUCCCAAAAUGAAUAUGAUAGUGGGUUCACCCCUAUAAAAUAUAUACGAGUUUGUACAUUCACAAAAAAAAAAAAAAAAAAAAAAAAAAAACACAUACACACACACAAAACUCUCGCUAGGCCAAGACUUGCCCAUGGUGCUCAAAGGAAAGUCCCAAAAGAAAGAGUACAAUGAAGGAUAAAGGGGUAACCUAAACACUCCAAGUCUCUGAUCUCUGCACUGCUACCCUCACCGGCUCCUCGUAAUCUACUCAGACCUAUCACAUGUACAAACAGUGCCUACAUUGUGGGAAUGGUGCAUCGGGCAAACAAAAACCCGGAUAAGCUGCAAAACUCGUGUGAGUGACAAUAAUGCAACAUAUGUGAUAAUCAAGAAAAACAUACCAUCGAUCGCAGUUUAUAAACCUCAAAUAUAACUUCAUACUUAUGAAAUCAUAAUCAAGUCACUGAAAACUUCGAAUGAGUCACCCAGACAUCCAACGACUUUUUAAAAUCAAAUCUCAGAGAUUCCAAAACUAUCAUUCACAAAUACACUAAAAACUAGGGCUAGAGUGACACAGUUCGGCCAAAGACUACAUAAGUAACCAAACAAGAAGUGGCCCCCCAUAGCGGAUUAACCAAGCAGAGCCACUCCUGAAAAAGUAACCAAGUAGGUAGUGACCCCCAUCACGGAUUAACCAAGCAAAGUCACUCCUACGAAACUGUUAGGUAGUGAUCACCCAUCGCGGAUUAACCAAGCAUGAUCACCCCUAAGUACGUAUGGCCAUACCUAAGAAAUAAGGAUCGCCCACCGCAGAUUAACCAAGCACGAUCCAAAAAUAUUAUGGGUCCCCUAUCACGGAUUAACCAAGCAUGACCAUCCAUGUACCACUACUACAUGGUGUAAAUUCGGUGUCACCUAACCUCGUGACACUAGGGUAACGGUCCUUUACUAGCCCUCACGUUUUUCAAACAUUUCAAAUAUAUAAUUUAAAACACAAUUCAUAAACAUUUCGAAUAAGGAAGUCACAUAGUGUUUAAUAAUGUAGGUCAAUGGAAAACUUUAAAAACAAUUAUUUAGCAUAAAACAUAUUUUAGAAAUCCAUGUUGUAUCCACAAAGUAUACUAGCAUGGGAGAUUUUCAGGGUAAUAACUCUAUCAUAUAUAUUAAAGUCACUCACCUGGAGUCCACACUAACGCACCCUAACACGAAUAUCAAGACGUCACGUACUAUCAUCUGUAACAUCCCACAUCAACCAACGGAGAGAGGGUGAUGUGCCUUAUAUGUACAUGCCCACCUCCAUAGCAUGAGACCUUUUGGGAGCUCACUGGCUUCAUAUUCCAUCGGAACUCCAAAGUUAAGCGAGUUUGGGCGAGAGUAGUCCCAGGAAGAGUGACCCACUGGAAAGUUCUCGUGUGAGUUCCUAGAAACAAAAUCGUGAAGGCGUGGCCGGGGGGGGGGGUUAAAGCGGACAAUAUUGUGCUACGACGAAAUUGAGACUGAGAUGUGACAGAAUGGUAUCAAAGCCACUCUGCCGUGUGGUGCGAGUGUGCCGACGAGGAUGUCGGGCCCCUAAGGGGGGUGGAUUGUAACAUCCCACAUCGACCAACGGAGAGGAGGUGAUGUGCCUUAUAUGUACAUGCCCACCUCCAUUUAGCACGAGGUCUUUUGGGAGCUCACUGGCUUCGGAUUCCAUAAGAACUCCGAAGUUAAGCGAGUUCGAGCGAGAGCAUUCCCAGGAUGAGUAACCUACUGGGAAGUUCUCGUGUGAGUUCCCAGAAACAAAAUUGUGAGGGCGUGGCCAAGGCCCAAAGCGGACAAUAUCGUGCUAUGGCGGAGCCGAGAUUGGGAUGUAACAUCGUCACCUAAGACAAAGUACAAGUCCACAUUUAAAGUUCUUCGUGUAUUCACAUAAUAAAAAAUUUCCAUAUGCCCCCUACAACUAAUGAAGAGAAAUCGAGACACGUUGACAAAAAGUCAACUGUUGAUCAACGGUAGGGUCCAUAACCCUACGUAACUCGAUCUGCAAGAUCCAGCCACUGUAUUUGUGAUUCAUAAGUUCCUAAGGUCCUUAAAUCUUACGUACAAUAACAUACUAAACUUUGGUGACGAUCUAAUUGUCGAAUCAUCAUUUGCUAUAAUGUUCAAAUGACGCAAAUUCAUCAAUCAGAUGUUAAAUAUGGAAUCGGUCAUCGAAUUUAGCUUAGGAAGGUCAAGUGGUGUCUCGAGCCACGUGCUGCCGUGCGCAGCAGCUGGCAACCCAAAUUCGUCGGAAAAAUCACCUAAUUCCAAAAUGAAUGUCGUUAGACGUGGAGUAAAUUGUAUACCUGUGAAGAAGCCCAAUUUGGUCGGGAAGUGGCCUGAAAUCACUUUAGACCGUCGGAAACCCUAAAAUAGGUGAAUCUCGAUUCGUCAUCUCCGGUAUUCCACCGUCCUCAAACUUGUUUAGGGUUUGCUCCUGGUCUCAAAAGAAUGCUAAUGAUGGUGGUGAUUGAAGGAGAAUGUUUCAGAAAUAAUGAAUCGUCGACGAGGGUUUCACGAAACCGACAUGGGUGUUCCUUGUGGAACUAAGACCAAAUCUCAACGGUUUUGGCUAGAAAUGGAUGCUGGGAUGUCGUGGUGAGGUUUGGUAGUGAUGGGAGGUCGAAGAAAGCCAAAAAAAUCGACGAAAAAACAGUCGUCGGAGUCGCAGGAAACGGGUUAGAAAAACGAGUCGCCAGGUCUGAAACGGGUCGAAGGCUUUUGGGACAGCUACUUACUCUCUCUUCUUUGAUUAGUCACUCCACUCACUCUCUCAUUUGAUUAGUCCAGCCUUCCCACAUGGUGGGAGUUCCCUCAUAUAGUAACCCAAAAUUUACUAUUUAAAUCUGGUAUCGAACGUUCGUAACUUUUUCGUUAUAGUUUCGAUUCGCAAACAGCUUUCGCCUACGCGCUCGUAUGAUCGAAUUAUACUCGAAAACAUUAAUUGUGACCUCGAAAAGGUCUACGAGUUUUAAAAGAUUAAUUACAAAAAUUCACACCUUGUAACUAUACGAUCCAAAUUCUAAAAUUAACGGAAUUAAAAUAAACUAAAAAUAAUGUAAACACGAAAUACAGACUUUAAUAAUGAAAUACGUAAUUAAUAGUAGUAUUCCGGGAACGGGAUUUCACACCUUGCGUCCGGACCUUGAGUGCGGAUCAGAAUCCAAAGGUCGUGAUCUGACAAGCUCAUGCAUAGAACGGAGUCGUUGUGACCCAAUGCAAUUCAAAACUUUUAUGUUUUUUAUUUGCUGGGUACGUUUUUGUAGGAGGAAAAGGGGAAGUCGAGGGAUUCUUUGCGCAUUAAAGAGGGAAAGAGAGAAAGGGGGAGCUAAGAGGUUCUUCGCGCGUUAAAUUUUUGCUUCUAAUUUUGCAACCUAGAAAUAAAGUAUUUUCUUUAUGGUUUAUGGUUCAAGAAUAUAAUGGAUGCAACCUAAAAAUGUUUCUUUUUUUAUUUUUUACUUUUUUUCUUCUUAUGUUGGCUUUUGGUUUAUUUUUAUAACGCACUAUAUAUUAACUAAAUUUAUAAACAUUUUGUAUCUUUGUUGCAGUCAAAUUAAUCAUAUGGGUCGGCAUGACUAAGUUCGACUGAGACAUACAGAUGUUUUGCAAUCUUAAGUCUAACCUGACACACCUCGACCUCAAUAUCCAGUGAACACCAAAAUUAAGGUGUGCUGGCCAUCAUCCGGAUGGGUGACGAAACCAUAAUAUGCAUGAAAACAUAACUAAAUUAUCAACCAAUAAAAUCUAUUGAAAAAUUUGGCAGAACAUCCCUUAAAAUAGGGAUAUGCCCAAAUUAAAAACACUUGCACAUGAUCACAAUUAUUCAAACACAUCCCGAAGGGCCACACUUAAUGGGACUUCGACCAUCUAUUACAUGCAUGAGAAUAUGUUCAGAGAAUAAUUACCCAAAUACGUCUUAUUAAAAUAUUGAGUAAAUACCAUACAAGAUAGAAUACGUCAGAGCUGUUGCAAAAUACCUCAACGUCGGAUGUAAUCACUGAUAGAAUUACUGAAUCAUGUAUAAAUGGAAAGCUGAUAAAUACAUGUAAUUUGAGUGGAUACUUACCAACAGCAUGGAUACAAUAUCAUCCACCAGUCGUAACUAGUGAAAACUGGAUAAUAUAAUCAUGUCAUUGCCGAGUAAUCUCAAGGCAAUGACAAGAUGAGAAUGUAACUGAGUAAUCAUAUCAUUACUAAAUAAUUUCAAAGCAAUGACAAGCUGAGAGUAUAACCGUAUAAUCAUGUCAUUACCGCGUAAUCUCAAAAUAAUGACAAGCUGAGAGUAUAACUGUAGUACCUCUUAUUAGUGCAAUGCAUGAUAUGAAUUCCAUCUCACAUAUAUAUGCAAGCCAUAAUCAAACCAAUAAACAUCCAACAAAAGCCACAAUCCUUUUAACAUUCGACCACAAGAUCAAUUUUCAUAUUUCCCAAACCUAGGUUCCGAAGCAUUGUUUCGAAUUAUUAAUACAAGAAACCACCACCACCUCAAUCAAUUCCUAUUCAUAAGUGUAAGCAAUUACUAAAUGCAUCACUUUCGACUCUAGUCUUAAUUAGAUUACUUGGGAUACUCAUUCACACCAUCAGAUCCACGUACAAUUUUGAUAAACUUUAAAUAGCAUGGUUAAAAUAAAUGAAACAUUUGAAUGAAACACUUUUAGAAAAUAAGUGAAGAUGUUGUUUACAAAUAUAGAUGCAUCUGUAUAUAAAAGCUUUGGCGGUUGAUUCGUAUACUUCCAGAGAUAUAAGCAAGUUCAUUGGAAUAUGCAUACAUGGUUAAUGUAUUACGGUAUAAUUAAUAAGAAAACAAUUGCAUCCCCUUCAGAUUAUAUAUAUAUAUAUAUAGACACACACACAUACACAUACAUACACACAGGCCCUUUAUGCAAAGGAAUUUCCAUUUUUUUUCAAAAAAUGGGGAUUAGUUGUGGGGCCCACGCUGCAUUGAACUUUAACGAUCCGAACAAUCUAUUUUGUAAGUCUCGAUUCAUAGAUCAUCCUUGCAAAAAUUCAAUUCAAUCCGAACCCUUUUGCCUAUUUAAUUAUCAAGAUAAAAUUUCAUUGUUUCUUAUAUAACAAAGUAUUCGUUAAUUUCUUUGAACUCAAUUAGAUAUCUUAAACAUUUCCGAUUUGGCUAAUAUUUUGCAAAGAUGAUCUAUGUGGUGCAACUUGAAAAAUAGACGAUUUCGAUUGUUAAAGUUCGAUGUGGUGUGAACCCUACAAUUAAUCUUCAUUUUUAUAAAAGAAUGGGAACCCCUCCCCUUAAAGGUUUCCUAUGUAUAUAUUUGUUCUUCAGACAUAUGCAAAAGGUAAUGUAAAACCAAUGAGAACUUAAAUAGAUAUUCCAUACAUAGGACAAUUCCAUAUAUGCUUUUUCAACAUUUAUAUCGAAAAGCCAAAUUGUUUUGAGGAAAUUAAUUGUAGUAAUGGUCCCUUAACUUUUAUCUUAUUGGAGCAAUGGUCUCUCAACUAAAAAUUCAUGACCAUUGGUUCCUUAACUCCACAAAACGUGUAGUUAUGGUCAUUUUCAUUAACUCCGUCAGAACUUUUGUUAAAACAAGUAAUGUUAGAAGAAUCAUUGCUACAAUCAGGUUAAAGUUGGGGACCAUUGCUCUAAUUGAAUUAAAGUUGAGGGAUCAUUACUCCAAAUUGCUUAAAGUUCAAGGACCAUUUCUACAAUUUUCUCAUCUAGUUUCCCAUAUUUACCCCAUGAUUCAGCUUCACAUGCAUUGCACAUGACUCAUUUUGACAAAAGUUUUAACGAAAUUGACGAAAAUGACCAUAAAUGCACGUUUUGAAGAGUAAGAGACCAAUGGUCGCAGAUUUUAGUUGAGGGAUCAUUGCUCCAAUUUGGUUAAAGUUGAGGGACCAUUGCUACAAUUUGCUCAAAUGUUUCGUAUGCGAAAAUAGGCAUUUGUAAAGUUUGGCUUGUUCAUGGCAUUAUUACUUUAGUCUAAAGUAAGGCUGGAAAUGGCACUGUAGAAAUGAAUAGUGUUCCAAUCCGAAUUUCAGUUUAAUUACAACAAUGCCAUUGCUCUUUGUGUUGCCUUUAGGUGAGCAACCCAACUUCCAGCCAGGCCCAAAUGUAUUGGUUUUAGCUGAGAAGCCCGACCUUUGGUCAGGCCCAAAACUUUAAAUUACAGUUUUGCCCAUACAAAAUAACAAUUUGAUUGUAUCGGGAAGGACAAUUUUGUCCUUUUAGUUUUGGGCGAGAUAGGGGGUAACCGGGUAGAUUUCAUUUGCUGUCGUUGAAUGAAGGUUUCGGGGAUGAAGGUUGUGUGUGUGUGUGAGGGAGAUGACGAUGGAAGGAGAGCGAAGGGGAGGGGAAGGGUUCUCGGCACUGUUGCUGCAUGUGGAUUUCACAAGUGGGUGAAUGGGUAUGGUUAGAGAAUACCAUAUAGGUUGUCGGGAUUUCAGGAAACGGGGUAGGGGUCAUGAAUGAACCCUGCUGAGAGUGGGUGCCGGAUCUUGCGCUGCAUGCCUCAAAUCAAAGAUAAGUUCAUUUUUUUAUUGUAUUCUUUAAUGGUAGCUUAGCUUUUGGAAUUGUUUAGUAUGUUAGGUCCAGUUUUGGGGGAUUUAUCUUUUAGAGAGAGAGAUGGACAGGGAGAUAAAGAUAGACAGAGAGAGAGAGAGGAGGAGGAGGCGGAGGAAGUAUGGCUGUGUGCUAUUUUUGGUGUUAAUUAAUGGGUUGGUGCGCAGGGUGAGUGACAGAGUGACAGAGUGACGGAGGGAUGUGUGGGAGGGUAUGGGUUUUUAGUUCUUUCUUUUGAUUCAAUAGGUUAUACACUGUUUGAAAAACCUUUUUUUUAUUUUUUUGUUCUCGUUUGCUUUGUUAAAACCAUCAUUUGAAUUUUUGGGUUUCACUGUGCUCAUUUCUCUGUUUCUUCAUAAUUUGUUGGUGUUUGCUUCUCAUCCCUCUGUUGGUAGAUCUUUUUCUCAUUUCUUGGUUCCUUAUGUAUUCUUUGGUACAAAUCUGUUUACUUUUUGGUUGUGUGAUAAUCUUAGCAGGUGAACUAUAUGAACGUUUUUUUGAAACGAGCACAGUGAAGCAAGCGUAGAUUGGGAGGCAACCCAAUAUUUCUAUUCAUUGCCUUUUUCUGUCAUUUUCAAUUUUCUUGCAUGCUAAACUGAAUUAUUUCUUUUCUUUGUAUUUGGGUUAUGUCCACCCUUGGAGUUGAUUGCGGAAUUAUAGUUUGGGGGUCAUCAUUUGAUUUCACUGCAAAUUGGGGAAGUUUUUAGUCCAAAUGCCGGAUCACUUCAAGUAUCACCUUCCAUUCGAAGUUCACUUCCAUGCCAUGGAACCUAUGGGAGUGUGACUGGAGGCAUCGUCCGGCUGCAAGACGUUAAAGAAAGCGCUUCUUGGGAGGCAACCCAAGCUUUCUAUCUUUCAUCUUUAUUUUGAAUAAUUUUAAAUGUUCUUGUUCUGUUUUUCUCUUAUUUUCUGGUUUUUGUAUUUAAGUCCUACUUUUGUUCCUUUAUGCAGGUAAUGAUUUUGCAAUCUCUACCACAACUUCUUGCAAGGUAGUUUUACAUUCAUAAAAACGAAAGGAACAUUAAGCAUAUAAAUACAAGAGGGAGCCUUCACAAAGGCUGCUUAGGAGAAGUUUCAGCAGUCGGCGGAGUCCCAGAAGGAGGAGGCAUCAGAGGUUGAUCAUUUGGAGCUUCAUUACGUGGUACAACCCCAGAAGACGAAGGCAAAUGCAAAUAAGGAAGAUCUAUGAAUCGCUUCACAAUCGAAAAGGAACAUAUGGUAGAAAAAUUCAAAGAUGAGCAUACAAACAAGAAGGAGUCUUCAUUGGUCAGGAGGUGUCGCAGCAGUCGAAGGAACAUCAGAAAGACGAAGUGUCAGAGCUUGAUUGUCCGGAGCACUUGGUGAAGCACCAGAUGAUGAAGGCAGAAGUUGCCUCAGGAGUAAAGCCAUAAACCUUUGAUGAUCACUCCGAGCCCGAACUUCAGCCUCUUGCAGCUGGUCCAACUUCCUCUUUAUGCUUGUUGAGUAGUUAGUUGCGAGCAUGUGCAACUCUUUAUCUUCAUGCCUCAGCGCUCUGACCUCUUGCCAAAGGCUAGCCACUUCAGCCAUCAACGACUCCACUUGACGAGUUCGAGCAAGAAGGCGUUGGCCCAUGUUUGAUACUGAGCCUGCACUUUGGACGCUGAAAGCCAAAGAAUCCUGAACAGCCUGCUCGUCAGACCGCUUAGAUAGCAUCCUACUGUCUCUUGGAGUAUGAAGAUUUCUAGCAACCACUGCAGCUGUUGCAUCAUUUCUCAUCACAGUGUCCCCAACUGUAAGAGGACCGUUGGAGGAUAUGAAAGAUGGCUGCCAAAUGUUACCUGGAGACGAGAGGUCAAUAUCUUCUUCGAUAUUCAGGUCAAAACGACGGUCGGAUGGGCUAGACAUUUUCAUAGGUGUUAAAGAAAGAAGAGGUCAGACAAGUCAAGAUAGUAGAAAUGCAAGAAGGGAGUAUUCACAGGCAGAAAUUCAUGUGUGCUUUGAACAUCCUGCGAACCUCUAUAAAAAAUAGCACACAAUGAGAUUUCAGGGAUCGAAUAGGCGAGUUCAGAGAUCGAUGAAGCGCCUGCUUUCUCCAAAGCUAGGCCUACUCAGGAAUCACAGGCUGAUCUCAGGUAGUGAAGACGCGCCUGUCUCUCUCAGCCCCGUCAGCACUUGUCACAUGCAGAGAAAACUUUGAGGAAAUCACGGGCAGUUUGUCGAAGCGCCGAUUCCAACCAUCUGUCUUUCUCAGCCUCGUCAGCUUUGAGGAAAUCACGGGCAGUUUGUCGAAGCGCCGAGUCCAACCGCCUGUCUCUCUCAGCCUCGUCGGCACUCGCUUUCUCAAAAGCUGGGCUUGAAAUCACAGGCCAAUCUUCAGUUUCUAAAUUUGUUCGCACUUGUCACAUGCAACCUCUGCACUCAACGAAGCUCAGAACUCGAAGCGCCAAUUCCGGAUAUUAAAGAAGCCUUUGCUUUAUCAGACGUGUCAGCAUCUGUCAAUUGCACAUCUGCGUUGCGUAAAUCACGCGCAAUCUGUCGAAGAUUUCUGGAGAAACGGAAUGCACGUGAAGUUUACUGUUAAAUUACCCCAGGCUUGCUGACACGAGUACUAGAACAAUGCCUUCCCAGCCAUUAAGAAAAAUUCUACAAAUGUUAAAGGCAACCUCACUCAACUUUCAGCCUCACUCAACCUUUCUUCCUCUCUGAGAAUGUAUUCCCGAAGAAGCCUCCCGAGUCACUCUGUGUUUCUCAUCCCUUGGGAUACCCCUGCAAACAACCCACCCAGAGCAAAAGUAUUUCAUAUCAUAACGGUUGAGAGCAAGAGUAUCUCAUAUCAUGCUUUCUCCCUGUCCUUUGUCUCGCCAGCACUUGGUAUCAAUCUUCCGAGCGGGGACCGACUGCCUGGAACCCAUUCCUGAUUGCUUACCUAACCUUGCUCUCGAGUACUCAUCCUUCUUAUGUUUCCUCUUCGUCUACCACAUAGGGGAAGUGAUAAUGAUACCUCGAAGCAUGUGGAUACAACGUGCUGAUUCAUCCUCAACUAAGGACAAGGGAGAAAGCAAGCAAGAUGUGGGCACUUGGAAAGAUUGAACAAAGAAACAGACUAACACCUCUACCUCGUGCCUGCCUACCGAGCAGAAGAAACAAGCAGAGAAGAAUGCAGACUGCACAAUCAAACAACCCAGGAACUCUGAUAUUCCUCGCUCAGGAUUCCAAACCAGUUUGAGAUUCGCCUACACAAAUUGGUGUGUUCUUUCCUUUUCUUUAUGUGUCUUUAUUUCAUUUUAUAUUUCUUUCCUUCCAUUUUCAUGUCUUAUUGUUCAAAAAUUCCUUUCAUUAUCAUUGGGGACAAUGCUAUAAUUAAGUUUGGGGGUAUUUGGAAAUAUAUUUCGUUAGUUUAUUUCUCUAUUAAAAAAAAAAAAAAAUUUUGCAUUUUUAUUGUUGUUUGUAGCUACUUCUCAAUUCAAUGAUGAGAUUUGAUUUUAAUUUCCUUCUUACUUUCAAGAAAGUCUAAGUUCUUUUCGUUGUCUUUGUGUUAACUGUGAUUUCCAGAAAUCAACUUGAAAAAAGAAAUGUGCCUAGUCUUGUCAAUGUGAAACUUGAGCAUGAUUUAGCGUUUCAUAUGUGAAUCAUGUGAGAUUAUGUAAACCUUGUGAGUUUUUUAGCCUAUACAUGAUUGAACCAUUAUGCAUCAAUCUCAUUCCUUCUUGUGCGUAUGAUCUCACUGUACAUGUAUCUCUAGAACUUGCUUUAUACUACUCGAUUCAUUAAUCAAUUCAUGUAAUAACUUGGAAGUGAUAUAGGCCAUCUUUGGAUCGUUUGAGCCUUUCAUGCCUACCUUAUAUGCUAUGUUUAUCCUUAGUAGCCCUUUGAGCCUUUAACUAAGCCAUUUCUUUGUUAACCACAUCUCUUUACCUUGCUCCAAUAUUGGAGUUGAGCCCAUACACAAAAAUCGAUUCCUUAUUGUUUUGAGAAAGUAUUACAUGGGUUGUGCUUUUGGGGGUUUCAUUUAUAUAGAAAGAUGGAUGGAGUAUGUGUAUACAAUGAAAUGUGAAUUUGAUGGGUGAUGUAGAUUUUGAAAAUUAUUUCAAAAGAAAAAAAAAACGAAAAAAAACGAAAAAAAUGAAAAUUGGAGAGUGUUGAUUUGUUGAAAAUGUGUCGGUAGAGUAUAAAUUUCCUUUUAAAGUUAAAUUUGGGGAGUAACAGGUGCUCGAGGUUUUAUUAUUUUGCUUUCAAUUUGAGGUGGUGUGAUAUUGAGGUGUUGGAAAACUACCAAAGUGUACUUUCUCAAAAUUUUUGAUUUCCAUAUCCUUUCUUUCAUUAGCCUAUCACCUUUAGCCCCAUUACAACCGUAAUAAAGUCCUAUUGAUCCAAGGUAUUACUUAAAUAUUGAUAAGCGAGUUAGGUGGACAAGCAAGCACAUGGCGGCAUGUACAAUGAGAUUACUUGAGUGAAACACAUUAACAAAAAAUUAUGAGUGAAUGAGCGUAUGUCUUGUGAGAAACUCACAUGUUUGCAUAUGAUGAUUUAAAGGAGCUUGGAAUUGCAUUGACAUAGCUAGCUCACACAUGGCAUUUCAACGUUUUGUUUGAAGGAAAUUUGGUUAACUAUUGGAUGAUGUUUUGAGCUCUUGCUUACUUCUUGGCAGUGUAUCUCAUGACUAGCACUUAUCUCUGAAAUCGAAAUUGAGAAGUUGGCUACUAAGUUGUUGAAUCUAGUCUUAGUUGAGUGGUUUUGUUUUGCUAGAGGACUAGCAAAAAUGUAAGUUUGGGGGUAUUUGAUCACUCAUAUAUUUCAUGCAUUUAUACCAUCCAUUUCUAAAGUCUUUGUGAUGUUUUUGUGUUAAAGUUGUGGCAUUUUACCUUACCUUGUGUUAAUGUACAGUUAAUUUUAUUUUAGGAUCAAUUUCAAAGAAAAUGGGCUGAAAAGAAAAUAAAAGAAAAGAAAUAAAUGGGACGGAAAGGAAGACACUGACAGAAUAAAAGAAUGAAGAAAGAGGUAGAACGGCAGAUAGAGAAGUGGGAAGAAAGUGGAGUGCGCAUGGGAUGGAAGUGGAACAAAAAGCAGGAGAGGGAGUGAGGAGUGCGGGAUAAAAGCAAAGAAAAAUAGAAGAAUAAGAAAGAAGUGGGAGGACACGGACUGAGUGGAAGAAUUAAAGAGAGAAGCAGGGUGCAGGCACGGACAGAAAGGAGAACUGAAGAAUAAAAGAGAAGACAGAGAAGCAGAAAAAAGAAGAGAAACUGACGUGAAAGCCAGUGCGCAGAGGGCGCAGAGAGAUAGGAGAGAUUGUGCGGGAGCAGAAGCACAGAAGCAGAGGGAACAAAAUCACAGACUGACAGCAGACGCAAGAGGCACGGCAGAGAGCAAAGCUUCACUCUAUUUUUCUUGGUUUUAUCUUCUCAAACCCAUGUUUUACUUUUGGUUUAAUUUGUGAAUUAUGUGUAACUAAAUUUUAAGUAGUUAGGGGCUGUUUUGAAGCCCCGAAUAUGAUUGUAAGUUUGUUGUGAUAUUUUGUUUGAAUGACUUUUAUGAAAGGAUGAAAAUUGUUUCACUACUUAUGUGAUUGAUAAAUUCUUUAUGUGUUUCUAUGGAUGCAUACAUAGUGAGCAUAUCUAGGAUUUUAAUGCUAUGAAUAUAUGUUUACCUGCCCUUGUUGAAUGAGGACCUACAUAUGUUCUAGAGUAGCACUUGUUAAUUGUGGUUAACAUGUGAACCGAUUUCUAGGAUAAGUAAGACAAUGCCAGUACUUAUCAUGCCUUGUGAUGACUCAAACUCUUUUCGUUCUUAAUGAUUUCUACUUGUUAAAUCUAUGAACACGACAUUCUAGAUUACAUGCUAGGGACUACGUUAAGUUGAAAACGCUAUUCUCUUAACAUACUACGUAAGAAAAAGUAAUAGGUUGUGUUCUAACAUUGAGCCAACUUGAGCAUCUUCAUCCGGAAAUAAAAGGAAUUUGAAUGAAACAUAACAUGUUUGCAUGAUUAUUUGGUGGUGGAUAGCAUUUCCCCUAAUUCGUUUUCUUAACUUGUGAAUUAAAAUCUAUUGGUAUUAUUUAAAACUGGUUGAGGUCCUGUUUUGUCCGAUUUAAUUUAAAUAGCUAAUCAACUUCAAAAAUCCCAAACAUUUGUGUGAGCAUAGCUUGGUGUGUCUAGUUUAUGUGUAUAAAAUUUCGUUGCAUUUGGAUAAGUGUAAGUUAGUCUAAUAAUUAUUGUUCGGUGGCUGGUCAGUGGAGACAACCAUCCUGUUUUUGUGACAUUUUAAGUGUUUGGAUAAAACAAUUUUCUGCGGAAAAGACCCUUAUUUUCAUAUGCUACAAUCGACAAAAUUUUAGUGUUAAUAAGGAAAAUCAAUAGGAUUAUUGUGGGCUACUUUGUGGUGCGUUAUAAUUACUACCAUGCUGUCAGUGGGUGUUAAUAUCAGGUACCCAUGUUCAGUUUUUCGUUUUGAUUUGAAGGAAUUUCUUGCGGAGAGGAGCAAGGGUUUCUUGGUGAGUUCUUCGGGUUGUGCAUAUGGGUAAUUUUCUUUUCGGUUUAACCCUCUGCUUCUGCUGCUCUCUCUCUUUCUCUCAUCCCUGCCUGCUCCUCUCCAAUUGUUUGCUGUUCUUAAAUAUUGUGUUCAUUGCCUGAUACAAGGGGCUGCAGCAAUCUGUUUUAUCCUACACGGGACAACGAGGCAAUGGCGUGACAACAGGUGAGCUUGGAUAUCCAAAGAAAAAGAACAGUUGGUUCAUCUGCUGGAGUCUGAGCUUAGAGAAGUGGAGGAAAAUUGCAGGUGUGCGAGAAAUUUUAUUUUGCUGAUAGGACUCCUUAUUUACUGAUGCAUUUUGAAAUAAUUGAAAAGUUGGAUUUGAGUUAACAGCUAUAAAAAUGUAGACAUGAUUGCUGAGAUUAUGCUAUGAAAGUGGAAUAAAAAAAUGGUAGUUUAUAAUAUUGCGUACCAAUUGUUUUCUCUCUUUUUUACCAAAUGAUAAGGGUGGUGGCUCAGGCCGCCCCCCUAAGCGUCCCCACUCUUCGACAAGUUGAAAUCGUGGUGAUAGUUUAUGGGCUGUGGUCUUGGGAUUCUGCAAAUAGAAUGAAAAACAGACACUUAACUAUCUUGUUAUUAAGCAUUUCUGCAUCAUUCAGUUGCUCUUGAUUUUCGUCUUUUAAGCGAUCUUAUUUCUGCGAUCUGACUUGAGGAGGGUUUUUAGACCUAUGGUUGUGGGUGUUUUCUCUGACCCCAUUAUCCGAGAUUUGUAGACUUGCGAUCGGCGGUCAAACAUUUUGUGAUUCUUGUUUUCUCUGCCUUUCGGUCGUUAAGCGCCGGCAGUCUUUAGAUCUUUGGCAAAUCAAUUUAAUACAACCGAGGUAUGUUUUAUAACUGCUGUCUUUCAAUUUUUGUUCUGUAUUUUUGUUAAUUUGGAUGAAGCUCUAAUAAUUUUGUUUUGGAUCAGUUGUGGUCCUCUGUUAGGAUUUUCCUGGCUAAGAGGGUAUUUGCGUUUUUGUUGCUUGGUUGGUCGAUCACAGAUUUACGAACAGCUGUGGUGGUCCUGUUAUUUUUUGGUAUGUUUUUUCUCCUUUUUGGUUUUUUUCCCGGUUUGAGCACCCAUUCUUGAAGAAUUAAAAUGUGUUUUAUAGUUUUUUCAGGAGAGAUUAGAAAAGUGAUUUCAAUUUGGGAAAAUUUAAUGUUGGUUAAAAUUUGUUUAUAAUUUUUGGGAAGGAAUGAGAGGACCCAUUGAAGUAUGUGUUGUGAUUAUUUUUUAUUCAUAUUUUUAACAAAUUGGGCAUGAAUUGGUAGGUUAACUGUGUGUGUUUAUUAUUUGAAUCGGCCAUGUUUGUCUUUCUAUGGUUCUAAAAAAUUUGUAAAGGCUGUUAACUUGGAAGAAAAUGGGAUCGAGGGUGAGGGGAAAACGGCAGAGAAAGCAUGGAAGAGAGAUUUGGGAUUAGGGGUAGGAAAACAGAUGAAAAGAAUAUGAUAGAGGAAUGGGUUCAGUUCAUUUUCACUAUUUUUUUUUAACUGAUUUGGAUUUUGUUUGGGUUUAACUCCGCCUAUGUCUUACAUGGCCGGUCCCAAGCCCGGAUAAAGGAGGAGGGGGAGGGCGUCAGGUAGUCGACAGCCGGCACUCCAUGAUCAUGUCGAAUCCUUAUGAAAAUGAAUCCAGAACAAAAUCGCGCUAAAGCUAGGACGUCACCCGUAAGUGGCGCGCUGUAUGGCCCGAGCACAGUGAUAAGUGAGCAAGGGUCGCUGUAUCUCCAUCGGCACCCGGAUGCAGUGUUAAAUGAGCAAGGGGGCCAUAGAAACUUCUUUUCGAACGACUCCACUCAAAGUUGUUUGAGAGCAUAUGCUCCUAUCAACUUUACCCGGGACACACAAAAGAAGUACUUUGAUCCUAUUAGACGGGGGAGGGUGAAGAAGCUAGGACAGAAGGGUAGAGUUCAAGAGAGCAAAAUGCGUUUAGGAACGUGGAAUAUAGGAACCUUAACGGGAAAAUCUAUGGAAGUAGUGGAAGUUAUGGUGAGGAGAAGGAUAAAUAUUAUGUGCCUACAAGAAACUAAGUGGGUUGGUAGUAAGGCAAAGGAUCUAGAAAACUCAGGGUUUAAACUUUGGUAUUCGGGCACAAAUAGAACGAGAAACGGUGUUGGCAUCAUCGUGGACAAGACCUUGGUACAAGAUGUUGUAGAUGUCAAGAGGGUAGGAGAUAGAAUCAUGGCAAUCAAGAUUGUAAUAGGACAAGAACUUAUCAAUGUGAUUAGUGCGUACGCACCUCAAGUAGGGUUGGAUACGAGUUCGAAGGAGAAAUUUUGGGAAGAUCUUGGAGACUUGGUGCAAGGAAUUGCUCAGACGGAGAAGUUAUUUAUAGGAGGAGAUUUAAAUGGACACGUGGGCAGGGAGACAGGCAACUAUGGAGGUUUUCAUGGUGGCCAUGGUUUUGGGGAGAGAAACGAGGAUGGGGAAGCUAUCUUGGAUUUUGCAAUGGCAUAUGAUCUCUUCUUAGCCAACACCUUCUUUAAGAAGAGAGAAGAACAUGUGAUCACCUACAAGAGUGGGUCGUCAAAAACACAAAUAGAUUUUCUUCUAAUGAGGAAAGGGGAUCGUAUAACUUGUAAGGAUUGCAAAGUUAUACCAGGAGAGAGCGUGGCUAAUCAACAUCGCUUGUUGGUGAUGGAUGUACAUAUCAAAAGAGUAAGACAAAAGAACAAGACUUGGAAGUGCCCAAGGACUAGAUGGUGGAAUCUAAAAGAAGAAAAACAAGCCAUUUUCAAAGAGAAGGUAAUCACCCAAUGUGUGUGGGAUAGAGAGGGGGAAGCUAGCCAAAUGUGGGAUUCCAUGGCUAGUUGUAUCCGAAAAGUAGCAAAAGAGGUAUUAGGAGAGUCCAAGGGCUUUGCCCCACACCAAAAGGAAUCUUGGUGGUGGAAUGAGGAGGUACAAACAAAGGUGAAGGCUAAGAAGGAAUGUUGUAAAGCCUUAUACAAGGAGAGGACCGAUGAAAAUGGUGAAAGGUAUAGAAAAGCGAAGCAAGAGGCGAAGAAAGCUGUCAGAGAAGCUAAGUUAGCGGCUUACGACGAUAUGUAUAAACGACUAGAUACCAAAGAAGGAGAGUUGGAUAUCUAUAAACUAUCUAGAGCAAGGGAAAAGAAGACAAGGGACCUAAACCAAGUGAGGUGCAUCAAGGAUGAGGAUGGAAAGGUUCUUGCUACAGAGAACGCGGUUAAAGACAGAUGGAGAGGUUAUUUUCAUAAUCUUUUCAAUGAAGGACAUGAAAUGAGUGCUUCUUUAGGGGAGUUGAGUAACUCAGAAGAGUGUAGAAACUACUCUUUUUAUCGUCGAAUCCGGAAGGAAGAAGUGGUUGUAGCUUUGAAGAAGAUGAAGCAUAAAAAAAGCAAUAGGCCCAGACGAUAUACCAAUCGAAGUGUGGAAACUUUUGGGAGAGACAGGUAUAACAUGGCUCACUGACCUUUUCAAUAGGAUUUUGAAAACGAAGAAGAUGCCAAAUGAGUGGCGAACGAGCACUUUGGUGCCUAUCUACAAGAAUAAGGGCGACGUACAAAAUUGCAUGAACUAUAGGGGUAUUAAGCUAAUGAGUCAUACAAUGAAGCUCUGGGAGAGAGUCAUUGAGCAUAGAUGAGGCAAGAGACACGGGUUUCGGACAACCAAUUCGGGUUCAUGCCAGGGCGCUCAACCAUGGAGGCAAUCUAUCUCUUACGAAGAUUGAUGGAAAGAUAUAGAGAUGGGAAAAAGGAUUUACACAUGGUCUUUAUAGAUUUGGAAAAAGCGUAUGAUAGGGUCCCAAGAGACAUUCUUUGGAGGAUUUUAGAGAAGAAAGGAGUACGAGUAGCAUAUAUCCAAGCUAUAAAGGAUAUGUAUGAAGGAGCAAAGACUGCCGUAAGAACUCAUGAAGGACAAACCGAAAGCUUUCCCAUAACUGUAGGAUUACAUCAAGGCUCAUCCUUAAGUCCUUACCUUUUUGCGUUGGUAAUGGAUGAGUUAACAGGACAUAUUCAAGAUGAUAUUCCUUGGUGUAUGCUUUUCGCAGACGAUAUAGUGUUGAUAGAUGAAACUCAGGAAGGGGUAAAUGCAAAGCUUAACCUUUGGAGAGAAGUGUUGGAAUCUAAAGGUCUUCGCCUAAGCCGAUCAAAGACAGAAUAUAUGGAGUGCAAGUUCAGUGCAAAUGGAGGCCAAAACGAGUUAGGGGUGAGGAUCGGAGAUCAAGAAAUACCAAAGAGCGACCGUUUUCGUUACCUAGGAUCUAUCUUGCAAAAGAACGGAGAAUUAGAUGGAGAUCUCAACCAUAGAAUACAAGCUGGAUGGAUGAAGUGGAAGAGUGCAUCCGGCGUGUUGUGUGACCGCCGUAUGCCACUGAAGCUCAAGGGAAAAUUUUAUAGGACGGCAAUAAGGCCGGCGAUGCUGUAUGGCACAGAAUGUUGGGCGGUGAAACAUCAACACGUACACAAAAUGGGUGUAGCGGAGAUGAGGAUGCUUCGUUGGAUGUGUGGGCACACGAGAAAGGAUAAGAUUAGGAAUGAGGAUAUCCGGGGUAAAGUAGGAGUAGCCGAAAUUGAAGGAAAGAUGAGAGAAAAUCGGUUACGGUGGUUUGGACAUGUGCAAAGAAGGCCUACUGACGCUCCGAUUAGAAGAUGCGACUAUGGGACAGAGGUUCAGGGCCGAAGGGGUAGAGGAAGACCUAGGAAAACUUUGGAAAGAGACUCUAAGAAAAGACUUAGAGUACUUGGAUCUAACGAAGGACAUGACACAGGAUCGAGCACAAUGGCGUUCUAAGAUUCAUAUAGCCGAUCCCACUCAGUGACUUGGAUUUUCCAAGUCUCCAACCGAGAAGUUUUCCUCACUCGGAAAAUUAAGGGAACACUACCCCAACCUACAUGCUCCACUCAGAAAGCUUCAACAUACAAGCUUCAACAAAAGAAAAUUCAAAGAACUUAGCGAAGAAGGCUUUGGUGUAUUUAACACAAUACGUUGAAAUGAAGGAAAGCUUAUUUAUUGAUAUCCCCGAUAAGCUACAAAUAUGUACAUAUACAUGAGUCAAAAUAAACACACAAGAGGGAGCCUUCACAAAGGUUGCUUAGGAGAAGUCUCAGCAGUCGGUAGAGCCCCAGAAAGAGAAGGCACCGGAGGGGGAUCAUUUGGAGCCUCAGUACUGGACAGAACCCUAGAAGGAGGAGGCAUCAGAGGUUGAUCAUUUGGAGCUUCAUUACGCGGUACAGCCCCAGAAGACGAAGGCAAUAAAUGCCUUUGGAACAAACCCACAAAUCUCUGAUGAUCAAGUAAAACCUGACCAUCAGUUUCCUUCAUCUGGUCAAGCUUCCUCUUCAUGUUUGUAGCAUAGUCAUGUGCGAGCCGGUGCAACUGUUUAUUCUCAUGCUUGAGCCCUCUAAUCUCCUGUUUGAGACUCAUCACUUCAGCCGCCAAUGAUUCAACUUGGCGGGUUCGAGCAAAUAGGCGUUGGGCCAUAUUAGACACAGAACCUGCACACUGAACACUGAGAGCCAGCGAAUCCUUAACAGCUAACUCAUCAGACCGUUUGGAAAGUAGUCUGUUAUCUUUGGGAGUGAGAAGGUUCCUGGCCACCACCGCAGCGGUCAUAUCAUUCUUCAUCACGGAAUCCCCAACGGUAAGAGGACCAGUAGGGGAGACGAAGGAUGGGCGCCAUAUGUUGUCUGGAGAAGGCGGGGCUGCCUCUUCAACAAGGUUCAAGUCAAAACGACGGUCGGAGGGGCCAGACAUUUUCAAAUGUGUUGAAGAGAGAAGAGGUCGGACAAAUCAAGAUCUUAGAAGUGCAAGAAUGAAGCUUCUACUGGUGGAGAUUCAAGUGUGCUUUGGAACUUAAUGCCAGCCCCUAUAAAAAUCUGCACUCGACGGAGCUUCAGAAAUCGAAGAGGCGCCUGCUCAGAAAUCGAAGAGGCGUUUGCUUUCUCAAAAGCUGGGCUGCUUAGAGAUCACGAGGGUUGAUCUCAGAAAUCGAAGAGGCGUUUGCUUUCUCAAAAGUUGGGCUGCUCAAAGACCUCGAAGGCUGAUCUCAGAAAUCGAAGAGGCGCUCGCUUUCUCAAAAGCUGGGCUCCCUAGAGACCACGAGGGCCGAUCUCAGAAAUCGAAGAGGCACCUACUUUUCCAGCCUUGUCAGCACCUGUCACACGCGCACACUCAGCUUUGCGGAAAUUAUGGGCAUUCUGUCGAAGACUUCUGGGGAAGUAGAAAAAACACAUGAAUCUUACUGUUCAAUCACCCACUUCCCACACGCAACAAUAGCUCAUGGGUACCACAGAUAACUUUGCCAAAGUUCUCUGCCAAAGUUGAGCACGUGAAGCUUGCAGCUCCCACUACAUCGCUCUGACCAAGAAGGGUAAAAGAAUAGCAAAGAAACACAGCACUAACAAAGUUUAGACCCAUAAAUUUUGAAGGUCUAGCUACCAUAUUAUUACCACACACAGGGUAAAGGAACAGUACCACUGCUGGAUAAUUGGAAAGUCCCUGUUUGUCAACCUCUGUGCUUCGUGGCAAGGUAGACUAGCAAACAUGCCCAACCUUUACUCACAUUCGAGAAAACACUCCCAAUAAGAUUGCUUGCUCCAAAAUCGAAGAGGCACCGUCCUCCGAAUCUCGAGAGCCAGACUCCCAACAUGACUACUUUCUUAAAAAUCGAAGAGAGGGUAAAGGAACAGUACCAUUGCUGGAUAAUUGGAAAGUCCCUGUGUGUCAACCUCUGUGCUUCGUGGCAAGGUAGACUAGCAAACAUGCCCAACCUUUACUCACAUUCGAGAAAACACUCCCAACAAGAUUGCUUGCUCCAAAAUCGAAGAGGCACCGCCCUCCGAAUCUCGAGAGCCAGACUCCAAACAUGAUUACUUUCUCAAAAAAUCGAAGAGACACUGCUCCCCGAAUCUUCGAGAGCCAGACCCCCAGCAUGAUUGCUUUCUCAAAAAUCGAUGAGGCAUCGUUCUCCGAAUCAAUCGAAGAGGCGCUCGCUUUCUCAAAAGCUGGGCUGCUCAGAGACCACGAGGGCCGAUCUCAGAAAUCGAAGAGGCACCUACUUUUCUAGCCUUGUCAGCACCUGUCACACGCACACUCAGCUUUGCAGAAAUUAUGGGCAUUCUGUCGAAGACUUCUGGUGAAGUAGAAAGCACAUGAAUCUUACUGUUCAAUCACCCACUUCCCACACGCAACAAUAGCUCAUGGGUACCACAGAUAACUUUGCCAAAGUUCUCUGCCAAAGUUGAGCACGUGAAGCUUGCAGCUCCCACUACAUCGCUCUGACCAAGAAGGGUAAAAGAAUAGCAAAGAAACAGCACUAACAAAGUUUAGACACAUAAAUUUUGAAGGUCUAGCUACCAUAUUAUUACCCACAAGGGUAAAGGAACAGUACCACUGCUGGAUAAUUGGAAAGUCCCUGUGUGUCAACCUCUGUGCUUCGUGGCAAGGUAGACUAGCAAACAUGCCCAACCUUUACUCACAUUCGAGAAAACACUCCCAACAAGAUUGCUUGCUCCAAAAUCGAAGAGGCACCGUCCUCCGAAUCUCGAGAGCCAGACUCCCAACAUGACUACUUUCUCAAAAUCGAAGAGAGGGUAAAGGAACAGUACCAUUGCUGGAUAAUUGGAAAGUCCCUGUGUGUCAACCUCUUUGCUUCGUGGCAAGGUAGACUAGCAAACAUGCCCAACCUUUACUCACAUUCGAGACAACAGUCCCAACAAGAUUGCUUGCUCCAAAAUCGAAGAGGCACCGCCCUCCGAAUCUCGAGAGCCAGACUCCCAACAUGAUUACUUUCUCAAAAAUCGAAGAGACACUGCUCUCCGAAUCUCGAGAGCCAGACCCCCAGCAUGAUUGCUUUCUCAAAAAUCGAAGUGGCAUCGUUAUCCGAAUCUCGAGAGCCAGACUCCCAACAUGAUUACUUUCUCAAAAAUCGAAGAGACACUGCUCUCCGAAUCUCGAAAGCCAGACCCCCAGCAUGAUUGCUUUCUCAAAAAUCGAAGAGGCAUCGUUCUCCGAAUCUCGAGAGCCAGAUACCACAUACCACUUUUUCAAAGUGCUCUGACAGAGUUAAAACAUGUGAAACUGGCAGCUCCCACUACCGUGCUAUGACCAAGCAGGGUAAAGGAAUAACAUUACUACUUGUUAGGGAGACUCCUAUAUAUGUUGACCUCCAUCCCCAACAGACAGGCAGACCUGCAAAAAUGCUCAACCCUUCAUCAUAUCUGAGAGGGCACUCCCAACGAAGCCUUUCGAAAUAUUCAGCUUUCUUUCCCCCCGAUAAUACCUCUGCAAACAAGCUAUACUAGAGCAAGAAUAUCUCAUAUCAUCAGGGUUAAAAGCAAGAGUAUCCCAUAUCAUGCUUUUUCCCUGUCUUUUCCUUUGGCCUUGUUUUUACCUGCAAGACAAGGAGAAAGAGAGCAAUCAGUCAGCACUUGGAAUCAAGCUUCCAGCUAGGAACUGACUGCCUGGAACCCCUUACCUGAUUACUUACCUGGCAUUGCUCUCGAGUACUCAUCUUCAACAUCUUAUGUUUCCAGGGAAGAUUCCGCAUCUGCUUGAGGAACAGAUAGGGCAAGUGCGAAAGAUACAAGGAAGCAUGUGGAGACAAGCGUAACAGCACACGUGCCGAUACAUCCAUUACUCUGUCAAAAGCAAAAGUAUCCCAUAUCAGCAGGGUGGAAAGUACUCUAGAUUUGAUGGACUUGUUUUGACCCUCAAAUUCUUCAGUCGACCUUAUACUCUGGAGGAAACCAGAAAACCCUCCAGCUCAGUUCAAGAAUAAGCCUGUGGAAAGUUACUUCUUCAAAAGCAAAAGUAUCUCAUAUCAUCUCUUCUCAUUUUUCUUCUCUUUAUCCUUCAUGCUGCUGCAAGAUGGGGAGAAGGUGAACAAUCAGUCGGAGCUCUGAUUGCUUACCUUGUCUGUCACCUCUUUCAGCAGACCCCUAGCUCGGCGACUUGGGGGACUCCUACUACAUGGUUUGUAUCGCGCUUGACCAAGCCUGAAACUACAAGUAAGCUUCAAGUGAAAUUGAUACAUUACCUUGUGCAUCUCCACCAGUUAAAGAUACCACCCCUGGAUGGAGGAAGAGUACUUCCAGAAAAGAUGCCACAUCUACCUAUGAGACAGAUAAGGCAAGUCAAGACGACACCACACUCCGAUACUUAGAAGUUUCGUGAUUACGAGAUCAUUCUCCCACAAUAUUUCCUAAUGUCAUUUGUACUAAAUCAUUCACUUGUACUCACUAAAGGAGAGCUUGAACCUAUGUACUUGUGUAAACCCUUCACAAUUAAUGAGAACUCUUCUAUUCCGUGGACGUAGCCAAUCUGGGUGAACCACGUACAUCUUGUGUUUGCUUUCCUAUCUCUAUCCAUUUAUAUACCUAUCCACACUAAUGACCGGAGCAAUCUAGCGAAGAUCACAAAAAGCGACCGUUUUCGCUACCUAGGAUCUUAUCUUGCAAGAGAACGGAGAAUUAGAUGGAGAUCUCAACCAUAGAAUACGAGCUGGAUGGAUGAAGUGUAAGAAUGCAUCCGGCGUGUUGUGUGACUGUCGUAGGCCACUAAAGCUCAAGGGAAAAUUUUAUAGGACGGCAAUAAGGCCAACGAUGUUGUAUGGCAUAGAAUGUUAGGCGGUGAAGCAUCAACACGUACACAAAAUGGGUGUAGCGGAGAUGAGGAUGCUUCGUGGGAUGUGUGGGCACACGAGAAAGGAUAAGAUUGGGAAUGAGGAUAUCCGAGGUAAAGUAGGAGUAGCCGAAAUUGUAGGAAAGAUGAGAGAAAAUCGGCUCCGGUGAUUUGGACAUGUGCAAAGAAGGCCGAAUGACACUCCGAUGUGACUACGGGACAGAGGUUCAGGGCCGAAGGGGUAGAGGAAGAUCUAGGAAAACUUUGGAAGAGACUCUAAGAAAAGACUUAGAGUACUUGGAUCUAACGGAGGACAUGAUACAAAACCGAGCGCAAUGGCGUUCUAGGAUUCAUAUAGCCGACCCCACUUAGUGGGAAAAGGCUUUGUUGUUCUGUUGUUGUUGUUGGAUUUUGUUUGGGUUUGAGGCCAUCAUUGGCGUUAAGACGUUUAUUAUCAGAUCGUGUGUUUUUUGCUAACUUUUAUUGGUAAUUUUAAUGUUGUUCUUAUGAUUUUGUGUGGUAGGGUUUCUGAUUUUUAUCGUUAUUCAUUUGGUUUUUUGUGUGUGUUGGUUUGUUUAUUUUGCAGGUUGUGUUUGUGCUGGGACAACAUUUUCCACCUUCUGUUUGCACUGGGAUGAUUGCGUUUUAAAACUGUUGGGGUGAGAUUUACAUAUGGAAUCAUUCCAUUUUUUUUCUUCCAAAUAUGUGCAUUUAGUUCUCUUUUAUUUUAAAUUUUAAAAAUUAAAUCGUUAUUUGAGUAAAAUGUUUUAUCAGUUUAUGUUAUGUGUUGUGACCAGGAAUUCUGUUGGAUUUGCGAAUUUUGGUUUGAUGAGAGAAAUGAGGAGUUUUUUUUGUUUGAAUUUUUUAUUGGACCGAUUUUCAAUUGGAUUGCAUUCUGCCUUUUUGCACCAUUCGUAUGCAAGCAAUUCAUUGUUUUAAAUACAAUUUGAAGAGAGCUGGGUUGCGGGUUGGAUAUAAAAUGUUAAGGUGAGAUAAAAUCGAGAUACCAAGGGUGGAAGAAUGAUUCAGAAUUGGGGGAGGAAAACAGAGGGAAGAUAGAAGAGUAUAAGAGAAGGAUAGGGUUGACCUCAUUUAGAGUUUUUAUUUACUUAUUUUUUUUUAUAAAUUGAUUCAGGACUUGCAUAUCAUUUCUAAAUUUCUAACAUUUUUGUUUAAUUUGACUCCAGUUGAUGGAAAACAGAGCUCUUACUCCUAUCAAUCAGUUGGUCCCGUACAUAAAUGCAGAAAAAUCAAGGUUCGAGUUUGCAGAGUAUGCAGACCAAGGUUUCCCGAAACUACUGGUGCAUAUUCAGGCUUGCAUUGUAUAUUACUUACCUAUUAAAAAUUUGUUUGGAAUUUGCUUUUCCCACAGAGGAGAAGAGCUGACAGUUACGCUGUGGGCAGAUGUUGCUCGAAGUAUUGCUUCUUUAUCCAUUGAAUCAUUGUCUCUGCCGAUCAUUGUGGUUUUCACAAGUUUAAAGGUCAAGCUGUACCUAGGUAUUUGACUUAGUUAAAAACUAAUCUAUUUACUAUUAAUUUUUCUAUUAUAUUCAAACGUUAUUUAAUAUAUACUCUACUAAUAUUUUCUUAACAUGUCACACAAACAUAUUCACUUCUUUUGAUCAAUUUUUUACAGCGUUUCAUAUAAAAGCUAACAUUUAGUUGAAAUUGAUUAGCAACUCUUUUCUUGCAUGUAUACAUACGAAUUAAACAAUAGUAUUAAACUAUUUGUUAUCAUUCUCAGUUUUUGUUUUAGAAUUAGAUUAAUAUAUUUAACCUGUUUUAGAAUUAGAAUUAUUUGGUAUCACUCUCAGUAUUUGUUUUAGAAUUAGAAUUAGAUUAAUAUACUGAGAUUAUUUAGACAAAUCUAGCAUUUUCUCAAAAUAUUUGACUUUUAAACUUAGAUUAAUAUAUUUAGCAGUUUUUUAACAUGCAAUUUUUCAUUAAUUUUUCAACACACAGACAAGAUAGUCUUGAACACCAUUGGUUCAUCACUUUUCUUCAUUGAUCUAGAUAUUCUGGAAGUAAAUUCAUACAAAUCAGUGUAAGUGUGUUUACUUUGUUUAAAAAAAUAUUAUAUGCUCUCACAAUAAAAGAAGGGCUAUUCUCACAAAAUUUAUGAACUAAUGUUCUGUUUUAACCUCUACAGCUUUUCCAAAUGCACAGAACCUCUAAAAAUACUGCCACCUUUUACAAAACAGGCCCGUGAAGCUCAAAUCUUGCAGACAGCGAAGGUCACAAUUGCAGACGCUGAAAUUUUCAUGCCAAAAUAUGAUGUGGAGGAUGAGAAAUUGUUUGCUGUUGUUCUCUUUUCAGUUUUGCAGGCGAUGAUCUUUUACCAAAUGUCGAGGAGCUUCCAUGGGACAUGCUCUAUGCUCUCGCUUCCCAGUUGCCUCUGUUGGGGUUGGAAAAGCUACAGAUCACAAUGUAAGUCAAAAACAGUAAAGUUCCCAAGAUGUUCUGUGCUGGAGCAGAUUUAAAGGUACGAAUUUUUAAUUUUUUUGUGAAGUCGAUGUUUUGUUUUAAAAGGAGUUAUAAUGGAUUGAUUGGACAAGUACAGAGUGUUUGUUUGUUUGGUUGAAUGUAAAAAGGAAUUGGAAGAAUGAUGAAAGUACUUGCAUUUGGUUGUAGUUGGUCAGGCACUGAAGGACCGGUCAAUACGAAGUGCAUCUGUGGGACAAUAGUUGAAAGAAGGCCAGAGCAGGAAGAGAAGGCAAGGUUUGUGAAGAAAAACAGUAAAAGGUCGUACCCAGUGCACAAGGCUCCCGCUUUACGCAAGGUCUGGGAGAGGUGAAUGUCGGCUAGCCUUACCCCCAUUCUGCUUUUGUUUAAUUAGAAGAAAUGUGCAUUUUUUUUUCCCAGUCAAAUUCUGCUUUUGUUCUGACUAUUUUCCUUACUGUAUGCUGAUUUUAUUAUUUAAUUUUUGGUUUUUCCUUGAUUGGCUUGGGAAUUACAAUCAAAUGAUGAAUCUUCAGUUUACUUGGGUAAGCAUUUUUUAACAUAUAAUUUAGCUGACCAUUUUAACUGUCAGACCAUGUUGUUUUUGGUUAUCUAAUCAUUCCAAGAUGGCAAGUUAGGAUUGGAAGGGUUGCUAGAAAUAAGGAUUAUAUCUUGGGACAUUCGGUGAGUGAUUUUUCAAACUUUCAGUUUUACAAGACAAAAUAUCUAUUUUUGUGUGUAUUCUUCAAGCAUGUUAUCAUUAUUUAGGUUGUAGGAAAAAAAGAGAGUGACUUGAGGUGUUUUUAGAUAUUUUUGUGUGUAUUCUUCACAAUGUAUUAAAAGCGCGAGGCGUGGGCGAGGCGUCCGAGGGAUAGCCCACGCCUCACGCCUUACGGGACCUAAAUUUUUUAAUAUAUACACUGAGCGUACACAUAUAUUAUAUUAAAAAAAAUUAUUAAUCAAUAAUCACCCUGAGCACACAUAUAUAUUAUAAAUACAUAUAUACACAUAUAUAUACAUAUAUAUACAUAUAUUAUGUUAUAUAUAUAUAUAUAAAAUAGAGGAUGAAAAGCACAAUGAGCACACAUAUAACAAUGCAUGCAGACAGCACACAAUAUAGUGCAAGGAAUAGGUAUGAGGUAGUUAAAACCCUACCCAAAAUCUGGGUUUGGGAGUAAAAAUAAAAAAAAAAAAAAAAAUUGCAUGAGGCGCGCCUAGACGGCUCCGACAACGCCUUCCGGCGCCUUCCGCCCACUCCCUCAAAACAAAGGCGGCAACCCUCAAGUCCAGCCUCACAGGGUGCCUAGGCGCACCCUGAGGUGAGCCUUUUAAAACAUUGAUUCUUCAAGCAUGCUAUCAUAAUAUUUGUAACUAUAAAAAAUAAUAUACUAUUAUACCUCUGUUUCUCUUUUCUUUGUUUUCAUGAGAAAUUAAUUGCCAUUGGCAGCACUAUAGAAAGCCAUCUUUCUCCAUUAUUCUCCGCUUCAUGCAUAAUUACAUAAUUCUACUAUCACAGUUGUCAGUCCUGAACAAUAAUGCAAGUCUAGUGGCAAAAACCACCUCAAUGAACAACUCACACACACACACAGACACUGAUCAUACAUCUCUAACUCUCUUUUUCAAAUAACACACUCUGAUCCAAAACAGGGUAAAUAAAAUGCACAUCCUUAUACAUUUCUAACUUUGUUUUUCGAAAUCCAAAAUAGGGUAUUCUAACUCUCUUUUUCAUUCAUUUCUUACAAACCAAUCAUACAUUUAAAAUAGGCUUUGAAUAAAAAUAGGGUAUAUAAUUAUAUACCUCAAAAUGCCUAGGAACCAACUUCCCCCUCCAACGAUUCAAAUUCUUGAAAUUGCCAACACAGUAAAUCCAUUAGUACUAUAUAAAUGAAAACACAAUUGAAACCCAUCAAACAAAACAAUCCCACAAUUUAAAUGAUUCAAUCCUACUACAAUUGAAAUUCACAGAAAGAAUGAAAAACCAGAACAAAACUGCAGCACCUAAAAAGUUGUCAUACAAAAAAAAACAUGGAAUGUAAAAAUAUGUUAAGAAAUCUAGUUCGUUAAUUUCCAGCUGCUAAGUGGCAUUAUGUAACUUUAGUAGUAUAACUAAUUAACUACUUAUCUGGUGGGUUGCACUUUUAUCCAAUUGGUAAGGAAAGGAAAAUAAAAAUCAACCCCUUGGUCUUAGUUGUGGCUGCAAAGUGCAGGCCACCACCAAGUCUCAGUGUUUGUGUUUUAGCAAAACACUUAAAUAAAUUAAAUUCUGAAACGUAAAUUAUAUUCCUAUAACUUUAAGAUGCACAUAUAGUAUUGUUGAAGUCGAACUGAAAGCACUGACAAUUCCAAGCAACAAAGCAGCAAUUAUUAAGAGCCAAAACUCAUUCCUAGUCUCCUCAUCCUGGUACUCAACUCCGUAAUCUUCUGUCAGCAUCAUUGACUGAAAUUAGGAGAGAAAAAGAAAAGGAAUUUCAGAAAUUGUCUAUGAAGCAAAGGAUACUGCAGUUACUUCAAGACAUGUAAAUUGCAUAUGUAUAAAGUAAUUUUCUACAUAAAGUAAUGAGGCAUAACUUUCUCUCUCCUCUUCAAACCCUAAACAGAGCAAAGCAAACUUUACAGAGAUUAGAAUGAGAACUGGAACUAAUCGAACAAUGACUGAAAAGUAACAUACUUGAGGAGUGAAUGAUUUAGUGUUUCCAUCAUCGGAAGCCGGAGUAAGUCGCUAAGAGAGGUCGCAAACAGCCCAAAGGGACAAACCCAGAUCCCCGGCCCCGAUCCAUACCCUUCCCCCUCAAAUCCCGACGGCCCCCAUACUUUUCUCUGACUGUACCCCCUCUCCCACUCAUGAAAUCGAGGAUCUGUCGCAAUGGUACUGAGAUCCCCACUCCUCCCUCUCCCUUUCUCUCUGUCGCUCUGUCUCCCUCUCCCUCUGUCUGUCUAUCUUUAUCCCAGAGCGGCAUGGCCUCCCAUCCCUGAAACCCUCACCGAAAGUUGGCAAUUUUGUAAAUAACUUGAAAUCCACCAACAGCAGGGGUAGAGAAUUGAAACAAACAUUUAGGCUCGUUCGAUAACCAUUUAGGCCAAAACUGAGCACACCUAAACCAUUCCUACUCGUGCCAAAUGUUAGUGGGGAAGCAAGAUGAUGACUUUAUUAUUCAAAACCAAAAGAAAAAAAGAGAGAAAACAAAAUAACAAAUGUAAUGGUUGUAGUGUAAAAGCUGAGAACGUAAAUAAACAUGCAGGGAAAAAAAUUGAAGAUACAAAGUAGCUGCAUCAUGAACACUUACUCCAAUUAGACGCAAAAAGUGAUGGUGAUGAGAAGAGAGAGAAAAUGCAGUCGUUUUGAUUUUUCUGGCUUUUAAAGGGAGCAGCUUUCUUCGACCACCAAAAAAAGGAAGCUGCUUUUCGUGUGGUUGUGAUUUCCUGAGUGUAUGUGAGCGGGUCUAUGGCACUUGCACUGUUUGUGUCGGUUACGGUAACCGGGCGAGCUGGACACGGCAGCGUGGGACUGAAUUCGGAGAGGUGAGAAAAAUUAAAAACACAAAAAGAAGGUGUUCAUUUUGUCACAUUUUUAUUACGAAAAAUUCAAUAAAGUACAUUCAUUAGUAUGGUAACUUAACUAUUUAAUUCCAUCUCAUUAAACUAAAAAAAACAAUUACAAAAAAAUAAGGAAAACCUUGUCCAGAGAGACCUGAGAGAAAGUGACGACUUCUCCUCUCAUUCAACUCCAUACUUGAUCUCUAAAGUCCAUUUGGCAUGUAAUUGAUGUUCACUUUCAAAUUUAGUGGUAGCAAUUAGCAAAGCUAAUGAAAGAAUCAAAUAAAAUGAAAGAAAAAGCAUCAUGAAAUAAAUCAAGAUGAAGAAUGAAAUUUUGGCAACUCGCCAUUCUCUUCUUUUAUAUAAAAGAUACAUCCUAUUUGUAGUGAAAACAGAUCCCGACAAACCCAGUUAUCCUCAAGAAGUAUUUUGUAUGACUUUAAAAACAUAAUCCGUGAAAUUAUCUCUUGGCUGAGAACAACAACAAAUCUUCAUGCAUAGCUUGUAGAGAAAGACAUCAGGCAUACAAAAGAACACGCAAGCAUAAAAUAAACGAAGCAGGGAAAACCAAAAAUACAAUUGAAUACGCUGUCAAAAGAACAUGAAUAAAUGAAAAUACCAAACAAAGCAGUGAUGAGAAACCAAAGUACCCAUUUCAUAAUCUAAUUGCUUUUUAGUUUGCUUGCCAUUUUUAGUUCUUCAAUUUAGAGAGACACCAUAAUUCAGCACAUGAAUAAAGUGAAAACGUAAAAGAUAUGUGGGAUAGGCUGACAGCCAUCCCUGAGUAAUGCAUUCACUUCUGAACCCCAAACACACUGAAACAAAAAUUCACACACAUGAACUACAGCUCCGCUUUGUAACAAGAAUUAAAAGCAUCUCAAAACAAAAUGGCAAACUAUAAGAGCAUUGUAAAAGUAAAAUUGCAAGAAAUCUAAUACUUGGAGGGCAAGUACUCAUCAGACGAAAAUGAAAGAUUGAACUACCUCGCGUGGAACUGUGCCUUGGUUUUUUCCCAUGCUUACAGGAAGCUUUGCACUGAGCUCUUAUAGUCCAAAUUUUCUCUGAAGGAAAAAAACACAAUUUUGAAAUAAGAUUUUCGUAUUAUACCUUAAAGAGAAGAAUUAGACAACAAAAUAGAGAACAAUGAGUACUAUUCAUCAUAUAUUGUUAGAGUAUGUGGCCCUCUGGUCCAAUGGUCCCGCAGCCAUAUUUCCUUUAUAACUCUUUCUUUUAAUCUAAAAAACAUCUUGAAUCUCAAAUUAGUAUGAAUACGGAUUCAUACUUUAUAACUAAAGAUCUUACUGCUCUUGAUAAGAUGAACAAUACGCCAUUUCUCGCAUGCAUUGCAUUACAAUCACAAUGCAACAUCUCAUUAGAAAUCCCCACACAAAUUUUUUUUAUUGCUACUUUGAUUUUAGUUUAUAUUUUUUCUGAAGCAUGAGGGAGCUAAUUUUUUUUUUUAAAUUUUUUAUUCCAAUAAUGUUAUAGGGAGGGUUGCAAGGAUAUUAUCAAUUGUAUUUGAUUGGUGGAACUUCUACAUCUAUAUUUUAGGUUUUCAAUUUUAGCACUGGGAGAGUCAUUCAUAAAAUGUUUGACAGUGAGAUUACCUCCAUGGACUAUGCUCACAAUGGACAGCUCAUUUUCCGCGGUGAUGGGACAAUAUAUUUCAGUCAUUCGCCAUUCAAUCAAUUCAAACUGAGGAACAUGCAACAUCAAGAAGAGGAUCUACCAUGUCAGGAUCACUAUCGUCCAAUUAAUACAAAAAAAUCUAGAUAAAAACGAUCAAUUUACAUAAAAGCCCUUCAUUUUCUCAGCAACCAAGCAAAAGAAAAUACCUAUCCGUUAAACACUCGAUUUGGGAGUAAAUGUUGCUGAAACUGGACUUCAAUCCCCUCAACCGCAACAACCGAAUCGAGGUGUGCAAGUCAUUGAAAAACUCACCCAAGAUUUCAAAAUCUGCAUAGAGAAAUAAAUAAGCACAUAAAUUAGCCCAACCCAUAAAUCAAAGAAAUCAAAAUCCACCCAGAAUCAAAGAAAUCAAAAUCCAUCCAGAACCAAAGAAAUCAAAAUCACACACAGAUAUGCAAGACAACGCAAAUUUGAAGCCUUACUUUUCGGGUAGCUUGGCGGCUGACAUGAGUCUUCUUCAGAGUUUCAUCCAUCCAUGGAUCCAUUUGGUCCGCCCGUCGCUUCUGGGUCGUACAAUCUUAAAAUCUGCAAAAUGAAUUUAAAGAAUCAAUUUUUACGAUUGAAAAGCCAAAAGUGCUACAAACUCCAAAUUGCUGAGAACCAAAGUGGAGUAACAGUUACAGGUCACGAGAUGAGAUGAGGACAUUGUCGGAUUUCAGGGCGAACCUGACUCUGGAAAUUGCAUCUCGGAUCGGGCUUUCGAACUUCAAAGGAGCUCCGCUCAUUGUGGUCCUUGCAGACCGAACUGGCCUAACAAUCAGCGAGAGAAAGGAGACGGCGGCAAGAUGAGGGAUACAAUGGAUGCGAGAUCGUCUGUAUCGUUCUCGCGGGGGGUUUGCAAGACGGACGAGGAAAGUAGGGUUUGAUGAGGCAUUGUCUUCGCGCGGGGUAUGUGUCCUUCCCAUUCCAUGAUUAUCAACACGUGUGCAUCAACAGAAGCGGCAGAGAGAGGCAUUAUUGUAAAUAAAGUGAAAUCGAAGGGCAAUGGCCCUUUUUUUUUUAAGGUAAUGGCAUGGCCAUAAAUAGAAUGAAAUCCAGAUCAAAACACUGUCAUUUGUACAGUACAAUUUCUCCAUCUUCUUUAGACUAAAGUAAUGUAUAUGUUAUACGCACCAACACAAGUCCUUCUUAGAUAAAUCCAAGCCAAACAAUUACAGACGAUAGUUAUUCACAAAAUCACUUUAAAGUAAGAAUUUAAUUAAUAAUACAUUACUGCACUUUCUUAACAAUUUGACUAUCACCUAGCUGACAAUGAACAUGUUAGCUAUGCGUUAGAACAUAUUGGGUUCAAUCCAUUGUCUUGAAUAUUACCCCCAGUCACAGCCGUCUCUUGGGGGCAUACAGAAGGCCUGAGAGGCAUUUGCAGACAUUCAACAUCUCCUCCAAGCAUUUCGACAACUUUGGACAUCGAAGGGCGAUCACUUGGUUUCAUUUGAAUACACCACAAGGCGGUUAUAACCACCUUUCUUAUCACUUUCUUUUCCUUCUCUGUAACAUUGUCUAUUUCCAAGUCAUUUCCCACAAAAUACUGAUCGUAUACCUACAGCGGGAAGUAGAUUUGGCUUGGAUGCUCUACCGUUGCAUUCAAAUUCUUCCUUAUGCUUGCCAUUUCCAUCAACAACAUUCCAAAACUAUAGACAUCGGCCUUGUAUGAGACACCUCCAAUAUUUUUGUAGAACAACUCAGGAGCAAUAUAUCUCAUUGUACCCCGUGCUGUCGUCAAAGAGACAAUGCUAUUAUCUACUGGAUACAAUUUUGCAAGCCCAAAGUCAGAAACCUUUGCUUUAAAGUUCUCAUCAAGAGGGAUGUUAUGAGGCUUGAUGUCAAAAUGUAGAAUUUUCAUUUUACAACCUUGAUCUAGAUAUUCGAUCCCAUGACUCCAAGAGAAAUCUUGUACAUAGUCUUGAUAGUUAAGGGAAGACUUCCUUCUUUGGAAUAAAUGUAUUUAUCAAAAGAGCCAUUAGGCAUAAAGUCAUAUAUUAGAGCGCGCUUUGAUCCCUCGACACAAUCACAAUCACAAUCACAAUCACAAUCACAAUCACAUUCCAACAUGGAAUCCUCAGACGACAUGCCUACUGCAGAACAAGUUUCAUCCUUACUUAACUUCUAUUUAGUCCACUUCCUGUUUAGAUUGUAAUCCUAGUUCUGCGUGUGUUUGUAUAGUACUCCUAUAAAUAUCAAUGAAAACCGCUCACUCUAAUUAGGAGUUGAGAUUCUGCAAAUCAUAUUUACUAUCUUUCAUGGUAUCACGAGCCAAGGUCUAACGACAACGGUUCCUGUUAUAAUUUUUUUCUCUUUUGUAGAUCCUAAACUAUGGCAUCUUCUUCCUCCUCCGAUGCUCCCUCCGUCACAAAUUUUCUUACGAUCAAGCUCGACCUCAACAACUACCCUCUCUGGCGUGCUCAAUUUCUUCCCUUGCUGCGCAGCCGCAACUUACUCUCUUAUGUUACUGGCGAAACUCAAUGCCCAUCUGCCUUUGUUCUUGAUGACAAUGGUAAAUUCACAGACAAAGUCAAUCCAUUAUAUAAUGAAUGGAUCCAGACUGACUAGAUGAUCCUAUCUUGGAUUACGAGUUCUCUUACUCCCAAGGUUCUUGCUACGAUCGUCAACAAAAUUGAUUCGACCUCUGCUUGGUUGUCAAACCCGAAUUAAUCUGAUUAUGGGGGUUUUAUUUUAUAUCAAUAUAUUGCAGCAGAAGUCGCACUUUGAAGAGUUCAUGCUGCACAGAAAGAUUCUUAAAUGCUACCUGUUGAGUCUAUCAUUGCUCCAUUGGAGACAGAGCUGAAGCUUGCUGCAGGAGUUAUACAUUUGUUAUGCAAUAUGACCCCUUUAAUUUUAUUUUAAAACUGAUACAAAAAUUUAUGUAGUAUUUUUGUAUCAGUUUUGAGUGUCUAUUUUGGCUUCCAUAUUUCGUCUGUACAUGUGAGAGGUAUAGCGUUCAAUAUGUAUUUGGUUUCUAUAUUGUUAAUGGAUCUUUUUUUUUUUAAGAUAACCAAGUUGCAGGAUGACAGCAGAACACUUGAUCUGUAGGUAAACCUUCAAUUUCCAUAUGAAGUUUGCAUGUUCGUUGUUUCUGGAAUUUGAGUUUUUAUUAUUUCUCAAUUCUAUCACAUAGAUUACGAUUUCACAUAUGGGAUUAUUAAUGGCAAUUAGAUGAUGGAAGAAUUGGGAUUGGAAGAAGAUAUUGAGUUGUUUAUUUAUGGGGAUUAGAAAAUUUUUAUCAUAAGUGUGGAUGCAAAUUUCUUCCUCCUUGAUCUUGGACAAAAUUGCACCUACAAAACAAUUAACACCUUAGGUCAAGGCCAAGAGCCUCACGCGCUCACGAUGAAGGGGGGGGCUUUGGUCGAAGAACCUCCGAUGCCAAAGUUAGAAUUUAGAGAGAAAAAGUGUUUGAGAAUUCUAGAGAAUUUUAGCAAGAGUUGCAACUAGGUUUUGGUGAGAAAUGUGGGGCUUUCUAUAGAGGAGUGGCCGGCCUCUUAGGGUGAGAAAGGACCGGUCACAUAGCCUAGUUUGUGGGUUUUGUUCAUGAUUUAAGAUGAUUUUGGGAGUUAUGUGAUUAAUUGACUAAUUAAUUAGGAAAACUAAUAAAAAGGGCUUGAAAACUUUGAGUUUUAAUGAUAAGGACAAAAUAAAGGGUAAAGUGAAUAGUACCAGGAUUGACUUUUUAGUGUAAAAAUGUGGUUUUUCGUUAAAAUGAACAGUACCGGGUGCUUUUCGUUAAAGUUCCCUAAUUAAUUUGGCGAAAUAAAAUUAUUACCAAAUGAAUUAGCUAAUUAAUGGGAUGAAAUGGGCAAAUAUCAAGAGAUAAACAAAACAUGACCAAUUCCUUUUCUAACAAUAGGUGGCCGGCCCUUCACUUGUUUUUGGGGUUGCAUGGAUGUUUUAAUUGACAAUUAAGGAAUUGAUUAGGCAAUUAAUCCCUUAAUUAGUCAAUUAUUAUGAUUUUAAAGGAAGAUUUUAGGAAAUAUGAAAGGAAUAUAUUAUUUAGCUAAUUGAUUAGCUAAAUGGAAUAAAUUAGGUUUUGGGAAUUACCUUAAAUGAGGAUGGAUGAGAUAAUUUGGAAUUGGUUACCUUUUUGGAGCAUUUUUGACUUGGUUAAGGAUGAUUGCCCGCUACUUGCGCAUAGGAAUCCCGUUAUACCUCAAGGGUAUUUUUGUCAUCUUUUACCCAAAAAACCACGUGUCACCUUGUGAUUAUUUUUGGCUCCACAAUACGAGUGAUAUUUAUUUUUGUGUGGAUUGUUAAUAUAUAAAACUAUAAGCUUUUGAGAUUGGGAGACAAAACCCACAAAUUCAAUUCAGACAAAAUAAAUAAAAAAUUUAACUGACUUAAAGAUCAAACUCCAAAAGGGUAUUAAAAACAAGGCUUAUUUGAUCCAUUGAGUGUGAAAGUUUUGAGCUUUGAAGAAGCAGAGGAGGAGAGUUGUUAACCAAGCUGCAUUAUCUAUGUAUUAGGAUGUUGAGGGUAGGCAGGAAAAAUACUUUUUGACGCCAAAUCCAGAGGAGCAUAACGACAGGCCUGCAUUUUUGCAGCAAGGACCAAAACAAGUAUAAGUGAAGGCUUGACUGUUUGGGUAUUAAUCCUAAACCUAAUUAUUCUUAUUUAGGUUUAGGAUAAAUGAUUGAGUGUGUCUCGAUGAUUGUAUUACUAUGUUUGAUGAAUGAUUUGAGGAGUUGGAAAUGGUUUAUUGCUUAUGUUUUUCUUAGGUGUGUACUUUGGUUAUUUCCGAGCUUUUCACGACUUUUGAUACCUAAUAAAGAAUAUGGAAACCCCAACUUCAAUUUUAUGAAUUGAUUUUGGUGCCUAAAAUGAAAUCUAGCAUAGUGAAAUCUUGCAUAAUGAAAUUAUGACAAAUUUCCCUUCAUCUUUAUAUUUUCAUUUAAUUCAAUUGGUAUGCAAUUUAGGGUUAUUCAAUUCAUGAGUGAUCAAAUUAUGUUUUUAAUUCCUUCUUUUGAUUUACAGUUCAACAUUGUCGUACAAAAUGAAAAAGGCGCCAGUAACAGAGUUAUGGAUUUGGAUGCCUUUAGUGGAAUAAAACUGAAUUUUUUAACUUUGUAUAGUUGUAAACAUAAAAUACUCCAUGAGGUAGACUCAUAGCUUUUGAAAACAAUCCUUGAGGAUGGCAUAACAACAUCUCCAACUUUUGUCAUGUAAUGUAUGAAUGUAAAUAGCACUUCGUAAACAUAUGGAUGUAAUAUAUGUAUAUAAACACUCUUUAGCAUGUAUAUUUUUCAAAACUUUCUACAUCUUCAACAAUGUUUCAAUGAUUUCUUGAUGUAAACAAUGAUAAUUUGAAGAACCAUUUAAAGUAUUUUGGUAAUCAUCAUACUUAAGCUUAAAUGUGAUAUAUCCGUUUAUUAUUUUUUAUACAGUGAUAAUACUCAAGUAUAAUUUACAUCAUAUAUCUUUUGAAGUACAUGAAACUAUGAAGAAAAAACCCUAAUUAAUCUGAUUAUGGGGGUUUUGUUUUAUAUCAAAAUAUUGCAGCAGAAGUCACACUUUGAAGAGUUCACGCUGCAUAGAAAGACGAUGAAAUGCUAUCUGUUGAGUCCAUCAUUGAUCCAUUGGAGACAGAGCUGAAGCUUGAUGCAGGUGGUAUACUUUUGUUAUGCAAUAUGAUCCCUUUAAUUUUAUUUUAAGACAUAUAGGGUUGAAAAAAAUUUAUGUAGUAUUUUUGUAUCAGUUUUGAGUGUCUAUUUUGGCUUCCAUAUUUGGUCUAUACAUGUGAGGUAUAGAGUGUUCAAUAUGAAUUUGGUUUCUAUAUUGUAAAUGGAUCUAUUUUUUUUUUAGGUAACCAAGUUGCAGGAUGAAAACCGAACACUUGAUCUGCAGGUAAACCUUCAAUUUCCAUAUGAAGUUUGCAUUUUCGUUGUUUCUGGAAUUUGAGUUUUUGCAGGAUGAAAACAGAACACUUGAUUGGUUAUUUCCGAGCUUUUCAUGACUUUCGAUACCCAAUAGAGAAUAUGGAAACCCCAACUUUAAUUUUAUGAAUUGGUUUUGGUGCCUAAAAUGAAAUCUAGCACAGUGAAAUCUUGCAUAAUGAAAUUAUGACAAAGUUCCCUUCAUCUUUAAAUUUUCAUUUAGUUCAAUUCGUAUGCAGUUUAGGGUUAUUCAAUUCAUGAGUGAUCAAAUUAGGUUUUUAAUUCCUUCUUUUGAUUUUCAGUUCAGCAUUGUCGUAUUUUGGAUGCCUUUAGUGGAAUAAAACUGAAUUUUUUUAACUUUGUAUAGUUGUAAACAUAAAAUACUCCAUGAGAUAGACUCAUAGCUUUUGAAAACAAUCUUUGAGGAUGGCAUAACAACAUCUCCAACUUUUGUCAUGUAAUGUAUGAAUGUAAAUAACACUUUGUAAACAUAUGGAUGUAAUAUAUGUAUAUAAACACCACUCUUUAGCAUAUAUAUUUUUCAAAACUUUCUACAUCUUCAACAAUGUUUCAAACCCCGCAGCAACGGGCGGGUACACUUGCUAGUAUACAUCUAAAAUUAUAAGACUAAAUCCUUUAGUUCUUGGAUUCAUCUAAGAACUACUUAUUCAAGCAGAUGCUAUGCUUGCACUACUAGAAUUUAUGGCUUGCCCUGUCAACUAUUGCGCGACAGAAGAUUUCGUCGGUUUCACCUUUUUUAACCGACAAAAUAUAAGUUUAGUAAGGCAAAAUCAGUCAACAAACUUGGUUUACUGAAUAGAUUUACAGGAUGUUUAGAGUUCGUAGGUUAAGACAUCAGUCGUUGGGCAAACAUUUGGAGCGAAGAUGUGAGUGUUUUAACUGACGAAUAAGCUGGUCGUCAUGUAGAUCUUCUUUCCCGACUGACGGUUCAACGGGUAGCUCUUUGGAUAACAAAUCAUCUUCAAGGGGAACAGGUUGCCCCUCAGAUGAAUGGUUAGAGGCAAUUGUGAGACUAUAAUUUUCUAGGGCCGGAAAAUCUGUAACCAUCCACCAAAUACCCCUUCUUCCCUUUCUAUUUCUCUCUCAGUAAUUUCCCCUGACCUAAUCACACAAUCCAACCAACUCUUUUUAAGCCUCCCUCAUUGAUUCCAUGGAUUUCAUGGACUUAUCCCACCCUCUCUCCUUCCCUCUAUAUAUAGCAAGUCCCCUUGCCUCAGUGUCCCUGGCAACAGAAUUUAUGGUGUGUCUUCGUUCUUUCAAUUAUUUGAAAGCUUUCCUGCCCUGCAGUCUUGUACAAAGGCGUAUGGUGUUUCAUCAGUUCCAUUUGGUGGUUGGGUGGGAAAUGAAAUUAAAACAUUGAUUUCAAAUGGUCUAAACCAAAUUGAAUCAAAUGUGAAGCAAAGGGCAAAAGGUGUAGAUUGAAGAACAAUGGCACCAAGAGCGAAAUUGAACUUGUUGACAGGAGGAAACCAAGUAACGAUAACGCGUCUAAAUCUUAUUUCGAAUCCAUUCAGCUUAUGAUGUUUUUAAUGAUGAUGAUCUGUAUACUUUGCUACAUGCUGUGAUUUUUUCGCUUUCAUGUAAUUAACGGCUUAUAUUUAUGGUAAAGAUAUUGAUUAAUUUUGAGAAAUGACAGUCUAAUUUUUGCAACUGUCUUUUGCAGGCAAAACAAAGACGUUUGCAAGGGUGAGUUUUGUAGGACCGGUGUUUAGCUUUGUUUCAUGUCCAAAGGACACUUGAGAAUAAAUGUUUACUCAUGGAUAAUAUCUAUCUAUUUGCAUGAGCAACCCUGGGUUCAUUUGUUCUGUUACUGCUGGUCAUUGCGGCAUAUCACGCCUACAGCACUGACAAAGUAAAAAGAAAAUCGAAUGAAAUUUGGUAAGAUUUUAGCGGACUACAAAGAUCUUAAGCCAAUCAUAUAUUCCCAUGCAGAUAUUAAGAGGUUUACAAAUCAAUUCAAGUACAAGUUGGGCCAAGGAGCAUACAUAACUGUUUUUAAAGGAAAGCUUUUUUCUGAAUGCUUUGUUGCCAUGAAAGUACUUAACAUUUCCAAGGGUGACGGGGAAGAGCUUGUAAAUGAAGUGGGGAACAAUGGGCCAUAUUCACCAUGUCAAUGUGGUUCACUUGGUUGGUUUUUGUGCUGAUGGAUUUAGAUGAGCUCUGGUUUAUGAGUUCUUUCCCUUUGGUUCACUUCAGGAUUAUAUGUCAUCAGUAGAUAGAUUUCUUUCCUUGGUUGGCAUAAGUUGCAAGAUAUUGCUAUCAACAUAGCCAAAGGAACCAGGGAUGUGAUCUACAAAUCCUCCAUUUCGAUAUCAAACCCCAUAAUGCUUUGCUCGACCAAAAAAUCACGCCAAAAAUCUCUGAUUUUGGUCUGGCCAAGUUAUGUUCCAAGGAUCAAUCAGUGUGACUAAAGCAAGGGGGACCAUGUGACUAAAGCACCUGAAGUGUUUUCCAGGAAUUUCGGAAAUGUGUCUUACAAGGUAGAUGUCUUGAAUGUUGCUGCUUGAAAUGGUAGGAGAAAAGAAGAAUAUUGGUUCAACCAGAGGACACGACAAAUGAAAUCUACUAUCCAAAAUGGAUUUAUAAUCUUCUAGAGGAAGGAAUGACCAACAGAUCCAUAUUGAGGAAGAAUGUUAUGGUAAGAUUCCAAAGCAACUUGCAAGUUUAGGGCUCUGGUGCAGCCAGUGGCACUUGGUGGAUCGGCGGUCCAUGAAAACGGUGGUUCGGAUGUUAGGAGGAUGAGAAAACUUGAUGAUGCAAGCAACCCUAAAAGCCUCAUACAAUUAAAAGUAAUUGCUGAAUUAGAGUAACAUAUGUAUAUGUAUACGCACCAACACAAGUCGUUCUUAGAUGAAUCCAAGCCAAACAAUUACAAACAACAGUUAUUCACUAAAUCACUUUAAGGCAAGAAUUUAAUUAAUAAUACAUUACUGCACUUUCUUAACCAUUUGACUAUCACCUAGCUGACAAUGAACACGUUAGCUCCGCGUUAGAACAUCUUGGGUUCACUUCAUUGUCUUGAAUAUCACCCACUGUCACAGGCGUCUCUAGGGGGCAUAGAGAAGGCCUGAGAGGCAUUUGCAGACAUUCAACAUCUCCUCCAAGCAUUUUGACAACUUUGGACAUCGAAGGGCGAUCACUUGGUUUCAUUUGAAUACACCACAAGGCGGUUAUAACCAUCUUUCUUAUUACUUUCUUUUCCUCCUCUGUAACAUUGUCCAUUUCCAAGUCAUUUCCCACAAUAUACUGAUCGUAUACCCAUAUUGGGAAGUAGAUUUGGCUUGAAUGCUCUACCGUUGGAUUCAAAUUCUUCCUUCUGCUUGCCAUCUCCAUCAACAACAUUCCAAAACUAUAGACAUCUGACUUGUAUGAGACACCUCCAAUAUUUUUGUAGAACAACUCAGGAGCAAUGUAUCCCAGUGUACCCCGUGCUGCCGUCAAAGAGACAAUGCUAUUAUCUACAGGAUACAAUUUUGCAAGCCCAAAGUCAGAAACCUUUGCUUUAAAGUUCUCAUCAAGAAGGAUGUUAUGAGGCUUGAUGUCGAAAUGUAGAAUUUGCAUUUCGCAACCUUGGUGUAGAUAUUCGAUCCCUUGAGCCACUCCAAGAGAAAUCUCGUACAUGUUCUUGAUAGUUAAGGGAACACUUCCUUCUUUGGAAUAAAUGUAUUUAUCAAGAGAACCAUUAGGCAUGAAGUCAUAUACUAGAGCUCGUUUUGAUCCCUCAACACAGUAUCCAACAAGUUGCACCACAUUGGCAUGGUGAAUCCUUCCGAUUGUAGCUAUUUCGCUAAUGAAAUCUUGGCCAUCAGCUUUGGGCUUGCCCAAAACUUUAACUGCUACAAAUCGACCACUGCGUAGCUUUCCCUUAAAUACAGAGCCAAAGCCACCUUCGCCCAACUUGUCCUUAAACGUGCGAGUCAUUUUCUUGACGUCCGAGUAAGAGUACCUUAUAGGCAUGAAGUUGUUAUUGCAUUGCAGAAAAUCUUCUAUUGUGUUAUACAUUGAUAAAUGUCUUCUGCGCCAUGUGUAGAUUAGAAAUGCAGUCACAACUGGAACUCCAAAAACAAAUCUGGCUAGGAAAAAUAACCCUGCAUGCAUGGACAUUAAUAUGUUAGAUCCACUGCGUACUACUUUUUCUUCCCUUUCUUUCCAAAUUACUUUGUCUUUGAUGUAAUUAAAGAGAGAGAAUGAGAAAUCUACAUAUGUUGAUAAUACAAUCUCAUCUUAGUCCUUACCGAUGCAUAUGAGUAUAAACCAUCCACGUACUGCAACAAAAUCAAUCGACUAUGAGUUUGAAAAGUGCAUAAAGUGAAAAAUAAAUAAUAAAUAAAAUCAAAGGGUGCCUUUAUUGACACCCAAAUUUUAGUUAGUUUUACUCAACUAAAAAAUUUUUGUCAUCAAACUUUUUAAUUUGCCGUUGAAAUUGAGUUCACCCAACCCACAAAGCAGCAACUACCACUCACCAAAAAAACCAACAACACACACCCACCACUCACCAAUAGAAAGAGAAUGAACACACAGACCCACAAAGAGCUGGCAUCGACGCUGUCGAUGAGGGAGGGACCAGAGGAUGGUGUAGUUUUGUCUAGCGCGCGGUAGUGGUUUUGUCUGUUCAUUUUCUCUUUCUUUUGGUAGGUGGAGGCUGGUGUGGAUUUGGGCGAACUUAAAAAUGAGGGGAAACUAUGAAGUUUGACAAAAUGUUUUAGUUAGGGGAACUUAACUAAAAUUUGGGUGCCGAUAAAGAUACCCAAUAUCAAAAAUACUUGAGCGUAUAGACUAAUUAAAUGAAGUUGAUCAAGUUUGUCUCGAUCGAAAACUUGUAAAUAAAACAAAAAGAGGACCCCUUACCGAUUUGUUGCCAUAUAUAUUGAAAGAAACCUACAAAAACAAAGAAAGAACAAGACUACAUGCAUUAGCAUAACAAGAGUGAGGUGUAUAAGCCGUUAGAAAAUAAAUUUAAAAUUCUAGUGCUGUCAAUACAUUGAUAAUAUAUAUAUAUAUAUAUAUAUAUAUGUAUUAUUUUUUCUGAAAAUUUAACUUUUUCCCUCCAAACUCAUUUUUCUAGUCUCUAGCCCAUCAUAUAAUAUUUAUCCGAAUAAAACCAAAUGAUUAGGAUCCAACUAAGAAACUUACCAAAUUAAGUUUGUGUGUCCAUUUUUAUAUUUUUUGGAUCCCUAAUAUACCCCAUCUAAGUCAGUAUGGAAAGUUCUUGUAAUUUUGCUUUAAGUGAUCACGUGCAUUGAAUUUGGCAAUGUCUUGUAGCCAUGAAAUAUGGUUGUAGAUGGAGGAAUUAAUUUGGAAUUUUUUUUAAUUUCAACAACAAAUUUAGUGUUAUUUUCAACAAUAUCUAUUGUUUAAUUUUAUGAAAAUAAUUUACCUAAUAUGAAAAUUAAUUUUAUGAAAACAAUAUCUAUUGUUUUAUUUUAUACCUACAGGAUAAUUACAUGAAAAUAGUUUACCUACUAUGAAAAUUAAUUUUUUGAAAGCAAUAUCUAUUGUUUAAUUUUAUGAAGAUAAUUUACCUACUAUAAUUACAUGAAAAUAGUUUACCUACUAUGAAAAUUAAUUUUUUGAAAGCAAUAUCUAUUGUUUAAUUUUAUGAAGAUAAUUUACCUACUAUAAUUACAUGAAAAAAUUUACCUACUAUGAAAAUUAAUUUUUUGAAAACAAUAUUAUUGUUUAAUUUUAUGAAAAUAAUUUACCUACUGUAUAAUUACAUAAAAAUUAAUGUGCCUACUUUUUAAAUUUGUAACAAAAUUAAUUUACCUACUUUUUAUGGUAUUAGUAUACAUAAAUGUAGAAUAUAUGUCCGUAUAUAUUUGAUCUAAUUAGGUUUUGGAUUGGAGGAGUUGACACAAAAUUAUAAAUAUGUUAAACAAAUUUAUCAAUUCUAAAGUUGGAGGGGAAUUGGUCUGUACAUUGCUACAGUAAACAAAUGCUACUCAAUUUCACGUUAUUUACAACAAAGCUAUCAGAUUUGGGUUGGGUUGGAGGGUAAUUUGUUAAAAGUUAGGAGGGUAAUUUGUUAAAAGUUAGGAGGGUAAUUUUGUGCAUAGGGUUUAGGUGCCCUCCUAUACAUGACCCUUGAUUUUACUUUAUUUACACCACUGCCAUCAUAUAUGUGGCUGAAUUGGGGGGGGUAUUAUUAAAAGUUAAGAGGGUAGUUUUGUUCAAGGAAGAAAAUAUCGGUAAUAUCGGAAAUAUCGGUAGUCCGAAAACACGGAAAUAUCGAUGGAAAUAUCGGGAUAAUAUCGAUAUCGAUAAAAAUUACAUGGAAACCACGGAAAUUGUAAGAAAAACUUGGAAAUUUUUAUUGAAAUUUUGCAGGAUGUUUAUUUAGUCAAUUAUCUAUUAGUUUAUCACAAAAAAUUGGAAGGAAAUGCAUUGCAUGAUGGAUUUAACUUAUUUAAGUUGAUUAUAUAGCGAGCUGACAAACAUUGUGAGUGUAGAAAAUAUGUAGUAAUUAAUGAAAGAAGUUUAAACUUUAUAUAUAAUGACUUAGUACAAUAUUUUACACUUUAUACAUUGCAUGGUAAGAUACAUGAGUUACACAAACAACGGGAAAUUAAUGAGAAAACCCUUCCCAAAACGUCAGCACCCGCUUUUUUAAAUAACUUAUAUAAUGAACCUGUCUGGAUCACUUGUUCUAAUAUAUAAACACAAAACAAUACUAUUUGUAUCACAUUUUCUGACAAUCUCAUUGACCGCUUUUAAUUAAUAAAUUGGUCUCAAGUCUAGUUUCCUAAGAAUUUGUUUGUUUGGGCUCAUCUUUGUUGUAAUAACUUAAUUGGGCUUAGAGUUUUAUUGGGUUUACCUAGCCCGUGCGAGCUCAUCUUUGUAUUUAUUUGACGGAUACCCCGAUUUGUUAUGGCAAAAGCAACCACGCAGUCGACGCCCGAAAACCCUUCCCUCUCUCAUUUGGUCUUCGUCUGUUUUCCCGCAUCAUCCAACAGGUGGACUCGGCGCUUCUCUCUCUCUCCCCCCUCUUCGCCCUCUCCACCAAACCCUAACCCCCCAAAUUCCAACCUUCCACCAUUCAAUCCAACCAAAAUCCCCCCAAUCGGACCCCUACCCGACCCAGUUCAUCUCCGAUUGCCUCCAAUUCCACUCCGCCCCGACCCAUUUCUUCAAAAUUCCAAUUCCACUCCGCCCCGACCCAGUUCCUUCAAUUUCUCAGGUAGGUAAGCUUCGGGUUUUUCUUUUUAUAUUCUAGAUCGAAGCGUAGAUGUGAAAUUGAAGUUAUAUGUCGUGUUUUUGCAAGGUUUUUGGGAUGAAAUCGACUCGGGAAUAAGUACACCCAUCUCCGGCGAGGCUAGGGGGUAGUUUUACAGUCGACCGGAGCUGUAGAAGCUCCAGCGUUCGUCUCCGACGUGCACAGUUCCGAAAUUUCGCGAUAAUAUCGAUAAUAUCGCGAUAUUAUCGAUAUUAUCGCGAUAUUAUAACGAAAACACCUUGGAUACCAUUUAAAAUAUCGGUUCGGGAAAAAACCGAUAAUAUCGGCGAUAUAUCGCCGAUAUUAUCGAUAUUUUCUUCUAUGGUUUUGUUCAAGGGGUGGGGGCGACAUUCGCAGACAGGGCGAUUGGAGCCAUGCCCAUGCCCAUUGCACAGAGAGAAAGGGAGUGAUGGGGGAAAUUACAGACAGAAAGGGAAGGGAUGGGAGGAUUUGAUGGAUGGUCACAGAGAAAGAUUCGGUGAGGGAUGUGAGGGGAGAUUACAGAGAGAUAAAUUAAAGGGGGAUCGGGGGAUUUGAGGGAUGGUCAGAGAGAGAAAUAGUGACGAAGGGAGGGAUGGGGGGGCUAAUUUUCGGUUCCUCCUUCAGAUUUGUUCCGUAAAACUUGUUGGGUACAAUUCAAUUUCCUCCCCCUUUCCCCUGAACGAAAAAUUCGAAACCUACAAUUCAAUUUCCUCCCUUCUUGGCUUUCCGCUUUACUCAUCUCCCGGUGGUUCUUUCUCUCCAUACGAUUCGAUUUCGGUGAGUUCUUCGUUGCCCUCAUGAUUUCCCAGUUUGAUUUUUUGAGCGUCCUUAGUCGUCGUUUUUAUCUGGGUUUAUUGCAUGGUUGCUUUUAGUUUAUGGAUUUUUAUUUUUUCCGCGGUUUGAUGAAUCGUGGUUAAUAAUUUCACACCAUGGGAUUUUUGCACUUCUGAUGGAAUUGAGCGCAGGGAUUCGGGGUGGGGUUUUACUGAUAGUUUGUCUUCAUUCAAAUGAAUGGUUAAAAUUUCUGAAGUGAGUGUGCAGGUGGGCCCGUUCACUAACUAAGCUUUCAAGGGAACCCAUCAACGGUUUGCUUGCUGGGGAACUCGGAGACUACUAUGAUUUAGUUAUCAUUUAUUUUUUUACUUAAUUUUAUCCAUAUAUAAUAUGUGGGUAAAUUUACACUAAACAAUUGUGAUAAGCCAAUAUGCCAAACGACUUUGAAAGCAUUGAUUUUGUGUAUAGUUUGCAUUUUUGCAUUGUGAAUGUUGAAUUUUGUGUUUAAUUUGGAUUUUUGUGUUUGAAUUUGUAGCAUGAUCUUCCGCUGCAGCAUCCAAAUUUUGUAUUUGUAAAUUGUCAAAGAAAAACGAACAACAACAACAACAACAACAAAGCCUUUUCCCACUAAAUGGGGUCGGCUAUAUGAAUCCUAGAACGCCAUUGCGCUCGGUUUUGUGUCAUGUCCUCCGUUAGAUCCAAGUACUCAAGUCUUUUCUUAGGGUCUCUUCCAAAGUUUUCCUAGGUCUUCCUCUACCCCUUCGGCCCUGAACCUCUGUCCCGUAGUCACAUUUUCGAACUGGAGCGUCAGUAGGCCUUCUUUGCACAUGUCCAAACCACCGGAAUCGAUUUUCUCUCAUAUUUCCUUCAAUUUUGGCUACUCCUACUUUACCUCGGAUAUCCUCAUUCCUAAUCUUAUCCUUUAUCGUGUGCCCAUACAUCCCACGAAGCAUCCUCAUCUCCGUUACACCCAUUUUGUGUACAUGUUGAUGCUUCACCACCCAACAUUUUGUGCCAUACAACAUUGCUGGCCUUAUUGCCGUCCUAUAAUAUUUUCCCUUGAGCUUCAGUGGCCUACGACGGUCACACAACACCCCGGAUGCACCCUUACACUUCAUCCAUCCAGCUUGUAUUCUAUGGUUGAGAUCUCCAUCUAAUUUUCCGUUCUCUUGCACGAUAGAUCCUAGGUAGCGAAAACGGUCACUUUUUGUGAUCUUCGCUAGAUUGCUCCGGUCAUUAGUGUGGAUAAGUAUAUAAAUGGAUAGAAUUAGGAAAGCAAACACAAGAUGUACGUGGUUCACCCAGAUUGGCUACGUCCACGGAAUAGAGGAGUUCUCAUUAAUUAUGAAGGGUUUACACAAGUACAUAGGUUCAAGCUCUCCUUUAGUGAGUACAAGUGAAUGAUUUAGUACAAAUGACAUUAGGAAAUAUUGUGGGAGAAUGAUCUCGUAACCACGAAACUUCUAAGUACCGGAGUGUGGUAUCGUUUUGACUUGCCUUAUCUGUCUCAUAGGUAGAUGUGGCAUCUUCUCUGGAAGUACUCUUCCUCCAUCCAGGGGUGGUAUCUGUAACUGGUGGAGAUGCACAAGGUAAUGUAUCAAUUUCACUUGAAGCUUACUUGUAGUUUCAGGCUUGGUCAAGCGCGAUACAAACCAUGUAGUAGAAGUCCCCCAAGUCGCCGGGCUAAGGGAUCUGCUGAAAGAGGUGACAGACAAGGUAAGCAAUCAGAGCUCCAGCUGAUUGUUCACAUUCUCCCUAUCUUGCAGGCAGCAUGAAGGAUAAAGAGAAGAAAAAUGAGAAGAGAUGAUAUGGGAUACUUUUGCUUUUAAAGAAGUAACUUUCCACAGGCUUAUUCUUGAACCGGGCUGUAGGGUUUUCUGGUUUCCUCUAGAGUAUAAGGCCGAUUGAAGAAUUUGAGGGUCAAAACAAGUCCAUCAAAUCUAGAGUACGUUCGACCCUGCUGAUAUGGGAUACUUUUGCUUUUGACAGAGUAGUGGAUGUAUCGGCACGUGUGCUGUUACGCUUGUCUCCACAUGCUUCCUUGUAUCCUUCUCACUUGCCCUAUCUGUUCCUCAGGCAAAUGCGGUAUCUUCCCUGGAAGCAUAAGAUGUUGAAGAUGAGUACUCCAGAGCAAUGACAGGUAAGUAAUCAGGUAAGGGGUUCCAGGCAGUCAGUUCCUGGCUCGAAGCUUGAUUCCAAGUGCUGACUGAUUGCUCUCGUUCUCCUUGUCUUGUAGGUAAGAACAAGGCCAAAGGAAAAGACAGGGAAAAAGCAUGAUAUGGGAUACUAUUGCUUUUAACCCUGAUGAUAUGAGAUAGUCUUGCUCUAGUAUAGCUUGUUUACAGAGGUAUUAUCGGGGGGAAAGAAAGCUGAAUAUUUCGAAAGGCUUCGUUGGGAGUGCCCUAUUAGAUAAGAGAAAGGGUUGAGUAUUUUUGCAGGUCUGCCUGUCCGUUAGGGAUGGAGGUCGACAUAUAUAGGAGUCUCCCUAACAUAAAGUAAUAAUGUUAUUCCUUUACCCUGCUUGGUCAUAACACGGUAGUGGGAGCUACCAGCCUCACAUGUUUUAACUCUGUCAGAGCACUUUGAAAAGGUGGUCUGUGGUAUCUGGAAAGAUGAUGUUGCGUGUGAAGAUUACAGACAAGCUUUAUCCAAGGAGAUCCAGCUCUUGAAGUUGGGAAAGUGGUGCCUCUUCGGUUUUCGAACAAGCAAUCCUGUCGGGGAUCUGGCUCUCGAGAUUCGGAGAACGAUGCCUCUUCAAUUUUUGAGAAAGCGAUCAUGCUGGGGGUCUGGCUCUCGAGAUUCGGAGAGCAGUGUCUCUUCGAUUUUUGAGAAAGUAAUCAUGUUGGGAGUCUGGCUCUCGAGAUUCGGAGGGCGGUGCCUCUUCGAUUUUGGAGCAAGCAAUCUUGUUAUGAGUGUUUUCUCGAAUGUGAGUAAAGGUUGGGCAUGUUUGCUAGUCUACCUUGCCACGAAGCACAGAGGUUGACACACAGGGACUUUCCAAUUAUCCAGCAGUGGUACUGUUCAUUUACCCUCUCUUCGAUUUUUGAGAAAGUAAUCAUGUUGGGAGUCUGGCUCUCGAGAUUCGGAGGGCGGUGCCUCUUCGAUUUUGGAGCAAGCAAUCUUGUUGGGAAUGUUUUCUCGAAUGUGAGUAAAGGUUGGGCAUGUUUGCUAGUCUACCUUGCCACGAAGCAUAAAGGUUGACACACAGGGACUUUCCAUUUAUCCAGCAGUGGUACUGUUCCUUUACCCUCUUUUCGAUUUUUGAGAAAGUAAUCAUGUUGGGAGUCUGGCUCUCGAGAUUCGGAGGGCGGUGCCUCUUCGAUUUUGGAGCAAGCAAUCCUGUUGGGAGUGUUUUCUUGAAUGUGAGUAAAGGUUGGCAUGUUUGCUAGUCUACCUUGCCACGAAGCACAGAGGUUGACACACCGGGACUUUCCAAUUAUCCAGCAGUGGUACUGUUCCUUUACCCUUGUGGGUAAUAAUAUGGUAGCUAGACCUUCAAAAUUUAUAUGUCUAAACUUUGUUAGUGUUGUUUCUUUGCAAUUCUUUUACCCUUCUUGGUCAGAGCGAUGUAGCGGGAGCUGCAAGCUUCACGUGUCUCAACUGUCAGAGAACUUUGGCAAAGUUAUCUGUGGUACCCAUGAGUUACUGUUGCGUAUGGGAAGUGGGUGAUUGAACAAUACGAUUCAUGUGCUUUCUACUUCGCCAGAAAUCUUCGACAGAAUGCCCAUAAUUUCCGCAAAGCUGAGUGUGCGUGUGACAGGUGCUGACAAGGCUGGAAAAGUAGGUGCCUCUUCGAUUUCUGAGAUCGGCCUUUGUGGUUUCUUAGCAGCCCAGCUUUUGAGAAAGCAAGCCUCUUCGAUUUCUGAUAUCGGCCUUCGUGGUCUUUGAGCAGCCCAGCUUUUGAGAAAGCAAACGCCUCUUCGAUUUCUGAGAUCGACCCUCGUGGUCUCUGAGCAGCCCAGCUUUUGAGAAAGUAAACGCCGCUUCGAUUUCUGAGCAGGCGCCUCUUCGAUUUCUGAAGCUUCGUCGAGUGCAGAUUUUUAUAGGGGCUGACAUUAAGUUCCAAAGCACACUUGAAUAUCCACCAGUAGAAGCUCCAUUCUUGUACUUCUAAGAUCUUGAUUUGUCCGACCUCUUCUCUCUUCAACACCUUUGAAAAUGUCUGGCCCCUCCGACCGUCGUUUUGACUUGAACCUUGUUGAAGAGGCAGCCCCGCCUUCUCCAGACAACAUAUGGCGCCCAUCAUUCGUCUCCCCUACUGGUCCUCUUACCGUUGGGGAUUCCGUGAUGAAGAAUGAUAUGACCGCUGCGGUAGUGGCCAGAAACCUUCUCACUCCCAAAGAUAACAGACUACUUUCCAAACGGUCUGAUGAGUUGGCUGUUAAGGAUUCUUUGGCUCUCAGUGUUCAGUGUGCAGGUUCUGUGUCUAAUAUGGCCCAACGCCUAUUUGCUCGAACCCGCCAAGUUGAAUCAUUGGCGGCUGAAGUGAUGAGUCUCAAACAGGAGAUUAGAGGGCUCAAGCAUGAGAAUAAACAGUUGCACCGGCUCGCACAUGACUAUGCUACAAACAUGAAGAGGAAGCUUGACCAGAUGAAGGAAUCUGAUGGUCAGGUUUUACUUGAUCAUCAGAGAUUUGUGGGUGGGUUUGUUCCAAAGGCAUUUAUUGCCUUCGUCUUCUGGGGCUGUACCGCGUAAUGAAGCUCCAAAUGAUCAACCUCUGAUGCCUCCUCCUUCUAGGGUUUUGUCCAGUACUGAGGCUCCGAAUGAUCCCCCUCUGGUGCCUUCUCUUUCUGGGGCUCUACCGACUACUGAGACUUCUCCUAAGCAACCUUUGUGAAGGCUCCCUCUUGUUUGUUUAUUUUGACUCAAGUAUAUGUACAUAUUUGUAACUUAUCGGGGAUAUCAAUAAAUAAGCUUUCCUUUAUUUCAACGUAUUGUGUUAAAUACACCAAAGCCUUCUUCGCUAAGUUCUUUGAAUUUUCUUUUGUUGAAGCUUGUAUGUUGAAGCUUUGUGAGUGAAGCAUGCAGGUUGAGGUAGUGUUCCCUUAAUUUCCCGAGUGAGGAAAACUUCUCGGUUGGAGACUUGGAAAAUCCAAGUCACUGAGUGGGAUCGGCUAUAUGAAUCUUAGAACGCCAUUGUGUUUUGUCCUGUGUCAUAUCCUCCGUUAGAUCCAAGUACUCUAAGUCUUUUCUUAGGGUAUCUUCCAAAGUUUUCCUAGGUCUUCCUCUACCCCUUCGGCCCUGAACCUCUGUCAUAUAGUCGCAUCUUCUAAUCGGAGCGUCAGUAGGCCUUCUUUGCACAUGUCCAAACCACCGUAACCGAUUUUCUCUCAUCUUUCCUUCAAUUUCGGCUACUCCUACUUUACACCGGAUAUCCUCAUUCCUAAUCUUAUCCUUUCUCGUGUGCCCACACAUCCAACGAAGCAUCCUUAUCUCCGCUACACCCAUUUUGUGUACGUGUUGAUGCUUCACCGCCCAACAUUCUGUGCCAUACAGCAUCGCCGGCCUUAUUGCCGUCCUAUAAAUUUUUCCCUUGAGCUUCAGUGGCAUACGGCGGUCACACAACACGCCGGAUGCACUCUUCCACUUCAUCCAUCCAGCUUGUAUUCUAUGGUUGAGAUCUCCAUCUAAUUCUCCGUUCUUUUGCAAGAUAGAUCCUAAGUAACGAAAACGGUCGCUCUUUGGUAUUUCUUGAUCUCCGAUCCUCACCCCUAACUCGUUUUGGCCUCCAUUUGCACUGAACUUGCACUCCAUAUAUUCUGUCUUUGAUCGGCUUAGGCGAAGACCUUUAGAUUCCAACACUUCUCUCCAAUGGUUAAGCUUUGCAUUUACCCCUUCCUGAGUUUCAUCUAUCAACACUAUAUCGUCUGCGAAAAGCAUACACCAAGGAAUAUCAUCUUGAAUAUGUCCUGUUAACUCAUCCAUUACCAACGUAAAAAGGUAAGGACUUAAGGAUGAGUCUUGAUGUAAUCCUACAGUUAUGGGAAAGCUUUCGGUUUGUCCUUCAUGAGUUCUUACGGCAGUAUUUGCUCCUUCAUACAUAUCCUGUAUAGCUUGGAUAUAUAUGCUACUCGUACUCCUUUCUCUCUCUAAAAUCCUCCAAAAGAUGUCUCUCUUGGGUCUCCCCCUAUCAUACGCUUUUUCCAAAUCUAUAAAGACCAUGUGUAAAUCUGUUUUCCCAUCUCUAUAUCUUUCCAUCAAUCUUCGUAAGAGAUAGAUUGCCUCCAUGGUUGAGCGCCCUGGCAUGAACCCGAAUUGGUUGUCCGAAACCCGUGUCUCUUGCCUCAAUCUAUGCUCAAUGACUCUCUCCCAAAGCUUCAUUGUAUGACUCAUUAGCUUAAUACCCCUAUAGUUCAUGCAAUUUUGUACAUCGCCCUUAUUCUUGUAGAUAGGCACCAAAGUGCUCAUUCGCCACUCAUUUGGCAUCUUCUUCAUUUUCAAAAUCCUAUUGAAAAGGUCAAUGAGCCAUGUUAUACCUGUCUCUCCCAAAACUUUCCACACUUCGAUUGGUAUAUCGUCUAGGCCUACUGUUUUUCUAUGCUUCAUCUUCUUCAAAGCUACAACCACUUCUUCCUUCCGGAUUCUACGAUAAAAAGAGUAGUUUCGACAUUCUUCUGAGUUACUCAACUCCCCUAAAGAAGCACUCAUUUCAUGUCCUUCAUUGAAAAGAUUAUGAAAAUAACCUUUCCAUCUGUCUUUAACCGCGUUCUCUGUAGCAAGAACAUUUCCAUCCUCAUCCUUGAUGCACCUCACUUGGUUUAGGUCCCUUGUCUUCUUUUCCCUUGCUCUAGCUAGUUUAUAGAUAUCCAACUCUCCUUCUUUGGUAUCUAGUCGCUUAUACAUAUCGUCAUAAGCCGCUAACUUAGCUUCUCUCACAGCUUUCUUCGCCUCUUGCUUCAUUUUUCUAUACCUUUCACCAUUUUCAUCGGUCUUAUCCUUGUAUAAGGCUUUACAACAUUCCUUCUUAGCCUUCACCUUUGUUUGUACCUCCUCAUUCCACCACCAAGAUUCCUUUUGGUGUGGGGCAAAGCCCUUGGACUCUCCUAAUACCUCUUUUGCUACUUUUCGGAUACAACUAGCCAUGGAAUCCCACAUUUGGUUAGCUUCCCCCUCUCUAUCCCACACACACUGGGUGAUUACUUUCUCUUUGAAAAUGGCUUGUUUUUCUUCUUUUAGAUUCCACCAUCUAGUCCUUGGGCACUUCCAAGUCUUGUUCUUUUUUCUCACUCUUUUAAUAUGUACAUCCAUCACCAACAAGCGAUGUUGAUUAGCCACUCUCUCUCCUGGUAUAACUUUGCAAUCCUUACAAGUUAUACGAUCCCCUUUCCUCAUUAGAAGAAAAUCUAUUUGUGUUUUUGACGACCCACUCUUGUAGGUGAUCACAUGUUCUUCUCCCUUCUUAAAGAAGGUGUUGGCUAAGAAGAGAUCAUAUGCCAUUGCAAAAUCCAAGAUAGCUUCCCCAUCCUCGUUUCUCUCCCCAAAACCAUGGCCACCAUGAAAACCUCCAUAGUUGCCUGUCUCCCUGCCCACGUGUCCAUUUAAAUCUCCUCCUAUAAAUAACUUCUCCGUCUGAGCAAUUCCUUGCACCAAGUCUCCAAGGUCUUCCCAAAAUUUCUCCUUCAAACUCGUAUCCAACCCUACUUGAGGUGCGUACGCACUAAUCACAUUGAUAAGUUCUUGUCCUAUUACAAUCUUGAUUGCCAUGAUUCUAUCUCCUACCCUCUUGACAUCUACAACAUCUUGUGUCAAGGUCUUGUCCACGAUGAUGCCAACACCGUUUCUCGUUCUAUUUGUGCCCGAAUACCAUAGUUUAAACCCUGAGUUUUCUAGAUCCUUUGCCUUACGUCCAACCCACUUAGUUUCUUGUAGGCACAUAAUAUUUAUCCUUCUCCUCACCAUAACUUCUACUACUUCCAUAGAUUUUCCCGUCAAGGUUCCUAUAUUCCACGUUCCUAAACGCAUUUUGCUCUCUUGAACUCUACCCUUCUGUCCUAGCUUCUUCACCCUUCCCCGUCUAAUAGGAUCAAAGUACUUCUUUUGUGUGUACCGUGUAAAGUUGAUAGGAGCAUAUGAGCCUAAACAACUUUGAGUGGAGUCGUUCGAAAAGAAGUUUCUAUAGCCCCCUUGCUCAUUUAACACUGCAUCCGGGUGCCGAUGGAGAUACAGCGACCCUUGCUCACUUAUCACUGUGCUCAGGCCACACAGCGCGCCACUUACGGGUGACGCCCUAGCUUUAGCGCGAUUUCGUUCUGGAUUCAUUUUCAUAAGGAUUCGACGUGAUCAUGGAGUGCCGGCUGUCGACUACCUGACGCCCUCCCCCUCAUCCUUUAUCCGGGCUUGGGACCGGCAAUGUAAGAUAAACUUACACGGCGGAGUUAAAGAAAAACGAAUGAGGAAAUUAUAGGAGAUUGUGUCGGCUUUGGCCAUGAAGGGUAUCAGCAGCUUUUUCCUCCCAUACAGGUGAUUAAUUGUUUUUCAGUCUGUGUUCAGUUUUAUUUAUUGGAUUUGGUUAGCAGCCAGUUUUAUGUAUUGGAUUUUUUAUUUGGAUUUAUAGCACUAAGGGUAUAGGUGAACGGUGAAGCGGUUUGUAUGGGCUCAUGUGUGUUUUAGAUAAUCUCAAGGACUAUGUAGAUACUAUGAUUUGGGGUUGCUUUUUUAAACCAUGAUAAAGCAUUCCAAGUAAUUUUAACAUAGAUAUCAUUUUUUAUGUAAGCAUGAGUAUAUGAAAUGUUAAGACGAUAAUAUAUCAUGUGAUUUAAAAUUCAAAGAGAGACAAUGAACCGUGUUUGAUAUUUUGUUUGUCUUGGUUCGUUUAAAUUUGGGCCUUUUUCAGUUGGAUUCAUGGGUUUUGUUUAAGAUAUCAUUUUUGGUUUAUGAAUGGUUUUAAACAUCCACAACAUCGCGCAGGCACACUUUCACUAGUAUUUUACUAAACUAGUGCACUUGAAUGUCCGUAGCUAAAUAUAUUAUAAUGAAUUAGUGGAACAUAAGAAAAUAUGGAAAAACGUAAGUGUACCAAAAAGUCCGUACCUAAACAUGGUAUACUAAAUUAGUGUAACAUUAUGUCUGUACCUAAAUAUAUUAUACUAAACUAGUAUACCGAAAUAUUCAUACCUAAACAUAUUAUAUUAAACUAGUGUACUGAGAUGUCUGUACCUAAAUACAUUGUAAUAAAUUAAUGGCACAUAAGAAAAUAUGCAAAACAUAGGUGUGCCGAAAAGCCUCUACCAAAAUAUUUUCUUAUAUAAGAUACUUACAAUAAAUUGGUGAUGCAAAAUGUCAACAAAUAAAAGCUAAUUCAUUUGAAUUCAAAUGAGUAUUAAAAUUUAAUUCAUAUCAGCAUAAAAUUAUAAAUAGGAAAAAAAAAUAAAGACAUUGAAUGCAUAUGCUGCCAUUAAAUAGAGUCUAGGAACUAAAAUAAAUUUUUAAUCUUGUGUGAGACAUUUUUCUAAAUUUUAUUUUAUUUAAGGAUUAAAAUCUAGUUUUCUAUUACUUAUAUUUCUGACUACAUAUGGUUAUUAGUUACUUUAGUCGAGAGUUGACGCACCUGGAAUGGUACGUGGAAAACAUGUUAGCACUUGAUUCCCAGUCAAAGCCACACACGAGAGCAUUGUGUAUGUCUUUAUAAGUAAUAAAAACUAAUAACCUGAAAUGCUCUCGUAUUUCUAAAGGCCCGACUCCAAGUUCAAAGCCAUACACGAGAGCAUUGUGUAUGUCUUUAUAAGAGACGUUGCUGUAGUCCUUGACGGAGUAGUCAAAGUGACCCAAAUUCAUCCAAGCCUUCCCCUCUGCACUGCAACCCUCAUCCAAAUCCCAUCCUAUCAUGGCCCCGACCUUGACGUAGCUAUACGUUUUUGGUUGGCUCGAAGAACUUGUAUUAUUCAAGCAUGGAGCAGUGUCCACGUACAGAGAAGAAUUCAACGGAUUCAAACAUUUCAAGUAAUAUAUAGAUGUUGAAUACAGUGAUGAAUAUCGUACGUAUGGAUGAGUAAUGAGCGGAAAAUUUCGAGGCCUGGAAGAGCAAUUGGUGUUCACAAGGCCAGGAUCUAGAAGUCGGAUUGUUGUGUCAGUGUAGUUGAUUGCCUGGACGUAGUAUUUUCCGGAAGGUAGGUAUAGUACUGUAAUGUUGCUCUCACAGGACAGGGUAUACCUUACGUCGCCACAAUAUUUUGGAUCAUGGUUCAGUCGAAAAGGAUAGCUUAUGUUGUGGAUAUGGCAGCAGGAUGAAGUACAGGACUUGGCACUAGUGUCGACCUUAGCGUUACAAGUUUCACUGCAGAAGCCAAGAAGAAGAAAGGCUAAACUUAAGGUGAAGGACCUGCUUCCACUAAUUUCCAUUGGGGAGAGAGAGAGAGAGAGAGAGAGAGAGAGAGGUGUACUAGUCCACACCAAGUAGUUAUAUAAUAUAGGAGGGGUCAAGCACCUUCCGUGAAAUUGCUGUUGAAAUAUCCUAGAGAAAAAUCGUCGUCAAUGGUGUCCUAGAGAAAAGUCGGGCGAUGGUGUUUGACAGUCAGUCAACGGCAAAGAUAUUUCUCUUUCAUUAAGGAAGGAUACUGCGUAAUUACUACGCAUAUAUCUCUGCUUAAUCACACAAAACAAAAAUUUCCAGCUAUAGUAUCAUUUGUGAUUCAUUUAUUAAUAAGAUAUUAUACAGGGAACUGUUAUUAGUACUCUAAAAAUCUCAUUCUACACAAGUUUAUUUUUCUUUUUAAUUAUAGAAAGUUUGGAGUGCAAAAUGAGAUUUUUGGAGUGCCAAUAACAAUUUCCUAUUAUAUAUAGCUCUACUUGGAAGGUGACUAUAUGUCUUCAUCGUGUUAAAUUGUAUAUGGCUCUUGAUGUCGGCUGAAUUGAAUCUAAAUGAAAACCAAGCUGUUGAUCUUACCAGCCCAUAUCACUUAUCUCUUGCUUAUUUAAAUUAUGUGAAGAUGCGUAUGUUGAUUGGUGAUUUUGUUGGAUUCACUCAGUUCAAAUAUAUGUUAUCUGAAUCGUUACAUUUGAGAAUGUGAUUAUGUUCCUACCACCAUUUUGCCUACUUUCUGUGGAAAUUAUUCAUGCCUAUUGUGAAUAAUACAUUCACCUCCUGCAGCGAAGCGCGAGCACAUUUUCUAAUUUAAGUUGAAUCGCAAUGGGUCAUCAAAAAUUACGAACUCGUCAUUUAUACAAGUCAAACAUGAGACCACCUACCUACUAGUUUAGUGGAAUACCACAAGUGACAUGUUGAUACCUUUAAAUCUCAUUUUCCAUAUAAUGGAUUGCAAAAUUAGGAUAUACCUAAACUAAUUUAGUCAGUGCCCGAACAAUUAAGCAGGGCUUUAUUCUUGCUUGAAUGUUUGUUAUAUGUUAAUAGUUUGACAAGGCAAUUAUAUUUCCGACUACAAAAGUUAUUAAUUUGGUCGAGAUUUGACGCACCUGAAAUGGUGUGAGGAAAACAUGUAGACACAUAAUCCGCAGUCCACUGUCCUGGGCAUCUAUCUUCAGGAGGUAUGAAUCCAAGCUCAAAGCCAUACACGAGAGCAUUGUGUAUGUCUUUAUAAGAGACGUUGCUGUAGCUGUAGCUAAAGCCAACGGAGUCGUAAAAGGAAUCCAAGGGCAUCCACUCUACACUGCAACCCUCAUCCAAAUCCCAUCCUAUCAUGGCCCCGACCUUGACGUAGCUAUACGUUUUUGGUUGGCUCGAAGAAGAACUUGUAUUAUUCAAGCAUGGAGCAGCAGUGUCCACGUACAGAGAAGAAUUCAAUGGAUUCAAACAUUUCAAGUAAUAUACAGAUGCAGAUCUUGGAUACCGUGAAUAUCGUACAUAUGGAUGAGUAAUGAGCGGAAAAUUUCGAGGCCUGGAAGAGCAAUUGGUGUUCACAAGGCCAGGAUCUAGAAGUCGGAUUGUUGUGUCAGUGUAGUUAAUUGCCUGAACGUAGUAUUUUCCGGAAGAAGGUAGGUCUAAUACUGUAAUGUUGCUCUCACAGGACAGUGUAUACAUUACAUUGCCGCAGUGCUUCGGAUCAUGGUUCAGUCGAAAAGGAUAGCUUAUGUUGUGGAUAUGGCCGCAGGAUGAAGUACAGGACUUGGCACUAGUGUCGACCUUAGCGUUACAAGUUUCACUGCAGAAGCCAAGAAGAAGAAAGGCUAAACUUAAGGUGAAGGACCUGCUUCCACUAAUUUCCAUUGCAGAGAGAGAGAGAGAGAGAGAGAGAGAGAGAGGUGUACUGGUACUCACCAAGUAGUUGUAUAAUAUAGGAGGGGUCAAGCACUUUCCGUGAAAUUGCAGUUGAAAUAUCCUAGAGAAAAAUCGUCGUCAAUGGUGUCCUAGAGAAAAGUCGGGCGAUGGUGUUUAACACAGUCAGUCAACGGCAAAGUUAUCUCUUUCAUUAAGGGAGGACACUGCGUAAUUACUACGCAUAUAUCUCUGCUUAAUCACACAAAACAAAAAUUUCCAUUUUUUCCCUAAAAAUUAAUUUUCUUUCACCUCCAACCCAUCAUGUAUAUUCUAUAAGAUAAGAAUAAUCCAUUGACUAGCUCCAAUUAAGCAAGUUUCAUAACUUGCUUGAUGACUCUGAUCAUGUGUAAUUUUGGGGAAUUGGAUGCUAUUUUAUCCCUACUUUGUUAGGCUUUUGUAAAUGGUUCUUUCACAUUUUUCAAAUGGUUUACAAUCUCUCUCAUUUUCUCUAUUUAUUUUUAAUCUUGUUUGUAUUUUCAAUCUUUCGUUCUUCCAAUUGCUGGAGCUCUACCAGAUUGGCUUUUCAUUGUUCUGAGUCUAUAUUAGACCCUUUUUCAGGUUUUGAUUUGUUAUGUCUCAUUUUUUUUAUUUACUCGGUUAAUUUGCUUCAAUUCUUUCAAUUCUUUCUUGUUAUUUUGAUGAUUUAUAUUAGUAUUAUAUAAAAUAGGAAGAACUUAUACAUUAAUCCGUUUAUCAAAUAUAUGAAAAAAUAAUUUACCCAACGAAUGUGUUAUGUCGUGUGUAAGAAUGUUUUUCCUUUUGUGUUUUAAUUCUGCACUUAUUUUUAUUUUUUCCACAUAAAUAUAACGAGCCUACAUUAUUUUUUCUAUGAAUUAUUUACCUACUUUAAUUAUUUUAUAUACCUACGUUAUUUAUUCUUGAAUCUUUUCACACAUGGCCAAACUUCUCUUGGAAGUUUAAUUAGAUGAAACAAUAUGAAUCUUGAACAAACCAAAGCAAAGCAAAACGUACUCAACACUUACAGGAAAUCAGUCCAAGAAUGAAAACUUUCUUAUCACUUUCUAUCCAAAAUUUUGGAAUUAUGUGUGUUGCAACGGUUGUCCGAAGGAUUAUUCUUCUUUUAUUAAAUUUCUAAGGAAAAUUAGCAUAUGGGGCGUAAAUGUUGAAUGGAUGAAUUUUCAUUGACUUGGAAAGGGAUUGUGACUUUAACACGCUAUUUUUCUUCAUCUUAUGCACUCAUGUUUAUCAAAAGACAAAUAAAUAUGACUUUACAUAAGGAGAGAGAAAGAGUAUUUUCCUUUGUAAAAAUCAACUAUUCAUUUUCGAAGUGGUAGUCAUUGACACGAUACUUGAUUAGAAGAAAAGUCAUAGUAAUUUGUUUUUAUGGGAACGAGAGUGCAAGUUCUUAAUUGGAAUAUGAGAUGAAGUUUCUACAUAACUAUCUGUGGCAAAGAAAGAAGUCUAAGUUUCUAAGUGGUAAGGGCUCCAAUUGAUGCGCGUUUGUUGAGAAAUGAAGAUGAAGAUGAAUAUUGAUAUUGAUGUGAGUUAGUGAACAAGUUGCUUCGAUCUCCUUUGGCCCUCUAAGAUGAUUAUUGAUUGGUGGACUAAGACGUACCAUACAAUUUUUUAUAACCAGCGAAGAUGAACAGUGUCGUGACAAAAUUUAUCCAAGUAGACCCAAGGGCAAGACUUAGGAACUUCAUAUACAGUGGGAUAAAAUGUUGGGCUAAUUUCCUAUUUUAUCUUAUAGUCAUUAAGUAAAAUGUAUUGCACAUUUCUGGAUGCAUACACAUUAAUGUACAUAAUAUUAGUUGAAUAUCAGAGUACGCAACUUUUACAAACAAAUUAACUGAAUAUAAAACGUUUAUAAAAUUUUAUUAAACGGAAUUGCCAAGAAGGCUACAUGAAUCCAAGAGACCACAUCUUGAUUGACUUGUUAUCUCUCAAUAACAAAGCUCUCUAUUUAUAAUAAACUAACCCUAGUCCCUAAUAAGCAAGGAAAUGAAAACCUAAUUUUAAUGGGCUAAGCCCAAAUCCAAACACUAAAUAAAUAACUAUUUUCCAACACCCCCGUCAAACUUGUGGCGGUACACGUCAUGAGUUUGCCAACAAGCAGAUGUGGAUGCAAGCUCCGUUAGGCGGACACGACAAGACAAGCUUCGUUAGGCGGACACGACAAGACAAGCUCUGUUAGGCAGACACGACAAGACAAGCUCUGUUAGGCGGACACGACAAGACAAGUCUCUAUCCCUCGCACAUCAAUCAAAAGACUCCUUUUUGGUGUGAAAACUGAAAACUUUUAUUCAUUUUAUUUCUUUCAUUUUUCUCAUCGGCUUCAUCUUCUUUCCUUUCCACUUCUUCUUUCUUUUUCUUUCCGUUUUCCUUCUGUACAUUCUCCCUUUUUUCUUGUUUCCUCUUCUUCUGUUUUGCGUUGUAAGUUCCUCUUCUUCGAUGGAUUUCAGAGAGAGGGAGUCACAACAGCUAAGAAGGUGGUGGUGCAUAGAGAGAGGGAGUCAAAGCGGUGGAAUUUCUUCUCAGGAAACCUCCACUCCGCCUACACCACCACCUAGACAGUCGCCUAGAUCGUCGCCUAGACCGCCCAAGCUGCCUAAGAGCGCCUAGGCGAGCGCCUAACAGCUCCAUGAUUUUUCUUAACGAUUCAGACCUAAUCGCAUCGGCACCACCACGCCCAGCUCCUAGGUUGCCGCUUAGGUCAUUUUUUAGAACACUGGUAAUACUCGUGUGGUGCAAUUCUAAUCUCUUAUAUAUAACUUUUUUGUGAUCCAUUUCUCCAUCACCAUGCCUAAAUCCCUUUAGAAUUUGCAAUUUCCUCACCCCAACAAACCCCAACAUUCUGUUGGAUAUGGUAAAAAAAAAAAACUCAGAAUUUCAUUUAAACUUGAAAAUUUAGGGAUGGGAAAGCAAUUUUCUCUUGUUUGGCAACUUGUAGCGAGAGAACAGGAAAAUUCCACAGGAAAAAAGUGGAAAUUGGGGAUGAAGAUUCUUGAGUUUAAUUUUGUCUAAAUAAGUGUAAUUUCACAAUUCCAACUACGACAAGAUUCACAAAUUCAUAUAUGGGGAAGUUUUGCGAGCACCAAACUUUACUAUUAGGGCACCAAAUUUCAUGAUAAAACCUGAUAAGGGUUUAGGGCUGCAUCGUUCACUCUGUUAAGUCUCCAAUCUUCGACGAGAUUUUUAGCUCGUGCAUCAUCUUCUCACUUUGUUGUAGGGUUACAUCUCUUCGUUCUUGAAUUAUUUUUAGCUUUUCGGGUAUACUUUUUCUGCUCAUUGUGAAUUUUGAAAUGGGGCAGGAAGAACAUACAAAAAAAAGAUAAGAGCUGGAGCCCAUCCCAGACAUAAUACGACAGUGUUGGAACCCCAGUGUUGUCCCACAUCGGCUAGAGGGCUCAAGUGAAAGUGCUUUAAAUAGAAAUACCCCUCUCUAACUAACAUCGAGGCCUUUUGUGAUAAAACCCCACACCUGAGGAUUGUGCAGGUGGUUAAGUGGGGACAGUAUCGAUGUUGUUGGAGUGGGCCCUCGGCCCGUCGACCUGAAAAUUUCCACAUGGUAUCAGAGCCAGGAGGCGGGCCCGUACUGCCACGUGAUUGGGUGGGUCCCCUUUGGCCCCGCGCGAUGUCCACGUAGGCCAAAGAUGCCACGUGUUUGGGUGGGUCCCCAAUGGCCCCGCAUGAUGGGUGAGUCCCCAAUGGCUCCACGUGGUUGUCGAUGUGGAUUUUCACGUGUGACCCAUAAAUGGGGUCUCACGUGCGGGGGAGUGUUGGAACCCCAGUGUUGUCCCACAUCGGCUAGAGGGCUCAAGUGAAAGUGCUUUAAAUAGAAAUACCCCUCUCUAACUAACAUCGAGGCCUUUUGUGAUAAAACCCCACACCUGAGGAUUGUGCAGGUGGUUAAGUGGGGACAGUAUCGAUGUUGUUGGAGUGGGCCCUCGGCCCGUCGACCUGAAAAUUUCCACAGACAGUUUUCCAUCCUUAAUCCGAUCAAUGCACUAAGACAAGUGGAGAGCAAAAGAGUUUCCAUGGGUUUAGUACCUAGUACCAAAAUAAGGUGGUACUUCGGCUAUUGCGAUGGGAAUCUUUAUGAACACUAAAUUUGGAAUGUAAUGUUUUUUCGAAUCAACACCAGGGGGCUUCGAGCUAUGUGUUCUGCCCUAUUAUUCAUUACUUCAAAGUUAACGUACUUUGGAAAGAUUGUUGGAUUAAAUCAUAUUCUAAAAUGUUAAAGCAAAGGAUGGAAUGUCCCAAGCACUUAGUCACUUGGGUAAGAGCUAUUUAGACACAGGCAUAAAUGAUCCAAAAGACCAUGCAUUCACAAGUAAAUUGCACCAAAAUAAGAUAUCCCCAAGUACCAUCACUAGGGAAAAGAUGUUGAAGUUAUGGAAAGGACAAGCCCUCAUCCUAGCAAACAACAAAUUAAUGCAAAACAUUGUCAACAACCCUAUUUGGCAACAACUUCCCUUUUGGAAGAAGUUGAAGGAUCUACGAAAAUACUGGCUGAUGGAUCACCAUUGGAAGUAGAUCCUCUUCUUCGGAUGCCUCAAAGUCAGAAAUUUUGCUCAGUAAGUCUUUAAGAGCAGCGAAAUCGGCAUCCCAUAUUUUUUUCAGAAUCUGGUAGGUGUCUCAACCUCCAAAAUGAUCUUACUGCGCGUAGCCAAAUAUAUACCCAAAGUUGUACCCCUCUGCAUAUUUUUCUUCGGACGCCUUCUUGUGAGAUGCACGCACGCCCAUUAUUUCUGACUCAUGCUCAUCCUUGAGUUGUUUAAGAUUUGCAAAGCGAACUUUGUCUUUCUAUUCGAUCUAACGGCGAAGUCUUUCCACCUCUAACGGCGAACAUUGUGAGAUGCACGCACGCCCAUUGUAAGCAUUCCGCUUCGAAGACAACGUUCGAUUGAUUAAGCUUCAAGACGCAACAAAGUUUGUUCCACCUCAACUUUGGCUUUGCAUUCUAGCUCCAACUUUUCCUGCAGUUCAGCAAGAGUUGCCUUGUAUUCAUUUGCUUUAAUAUAUUCAAGAGUGGCUUCAUUUAUGCAUUUCUUUACCUCUACAUUAUGGGCUACUCUCAUAAUUUGUUGCUCUACCUAUACCCUCUUGAGCUUCGCCAAUUGAGCUUGCACUUGUUGCUUGAGCUGUAUUUGGCCUCUGAUUCAUGCAAGGAAAACCGCUUAAGAUGACAAAUUCACUUCGCUUGGCCAAAAAGAGUCGCCUCUGUCCAGACAUGAGUCUGACCAAUGCAAGUAAAGGAAAGGAAAAACAAAAUUACCAAAGUUAUUUUGUAAGAAAAGAAUGAAGGAUUACCUCAUAUCGACUUUCGUGACAUCGCAUCAUGGCGUCUUCAAAGGACGUGCGAGCUUCCUAGUAGUCCGCAUGGGUAAUUGCAGCGCUAAGAAAAGCUCGGGUAAAAUUUAUGUUUCGAGUCUUAACGACAAGCAAGGGCAGCGCGCCCCCUUCAAUUCUGGUUAAAGUCGCCAGCAAGGGAAUGUUAGGUUCGAGAGGCACCUCGACAGGUUCAGGUAAACUCCUUGUCACUAGAGGAAUCAGAACUGGGAUAUAAAGGGGUUUAAGGACUCGAACAUCAUUCGGAAGUGGUGGCAAAGCUGUCUGCUAUUGCGCAGGUAGAGAUUCAAGCUUGGAUUCAUGUGGUUGUUGUUGCGUCAGUUCUUAAAAUGGAAGGAAAAGAGGUUGAGAUUCUCUUAUGAGAUGAUGCGGAGCAGGAGUAUCUGGAGUUGUAUUUAUCGAAACAACCAGACGUCUUUUUCUCCUCAUAGUGGAAUUUCUUCCUCCUCUUUGGGAUUCUUGGGUACCACCUCUAUUAUUGGUAGACUUAUUUGAAAAGGUGUAGCUAACGACGUUGAGGAAGUUUUACCAGACCGUUUUAGCUUUUUUUUGCUGGAGUGGGAUAAAUUUUGGGUUUGAGAUGAUGGACCCCCUAAUAAACCUAUUUCACUUUGAUCCAAUUAGGAUCCAGAAUGGGGAACUUAGAACAAUGAUUGAUGAUUGUAUUAUUCCCCCAAUCCAAAAAUCGAACUGAGGAAGUCAGCCAGUUCCAAUUACGGUGCUUAGUAAGGAUUUGCGUUGCCUGAGUGAUCAACUCUGGUCAACACGUGCCAAUAUUCUUCAGGUCAUUGUUCAGACAAAGGUUGCAAUAAGUGAUGUGAUAGCAGCAUAUUUAUGCGACUUAGUUAGCUUGUUUUUCUUGCAUUUAUGUUGUGAGUUCUUACUUAUUAUAGUGUUUUAAGCUAUUUUCGUGUGUUUGUAGGUCCAAUUGACAAAGUUGGCAAGAAAAUGCAAUUUGGAGCAUUUUGGAGCAGUUUUGGGCAUCAAAUGGAUAGCUUAUGAAUGGAGUAAGAUGGAUGGACGAAUUUGAAGUUCAAGAGGCUAGGAAUGUGUUGAAAAGAUGAAGAAAAUAAAUUCAAGAGAAAGAAGAUAAGGAAUUAGCUCAAAAGAAGGAACAUUAUCCAAAACCUUAUCCAACCUUAUCUUAUCCAAACAAACCUUAUCUUAUCUUAUCCUUGCCUAAUCUAGCUUUAUCCUAUCUUAUCUAAAUCAGUUUGUGCCUUAAAUCCAGCUGCAAGAGGACCUAAAUAUCUGAUUUCUAGAAGGCCUAUCAUUUCCUUACACUUAUGCCGCACCUUUAUCCUUCUAGAACCCCUAAAUUUGUGCCGCAUCUCAGCCCUAUAAAUAUACAUCUUUGAUGCACAAAUAAAUGACCCACGCACCCACAUAUAUUCAGAUACAAUUGAGAGAUUUCAGAGAAUUCAAAAGGUGUACCUGCGUGGAGGAAGGAGAAGGAGAAGCUUGUGUCGUGGCUUGCAAUCCAAGGGGGAGUUUGAAAUCUGCCAUUGGAGUUGCUAGGGCGUUCUUGGUUCUUUCUAUCCUUAGAUUUGUUUCAAUGUUGCUUUUAAUUUGGUUUUAUGUUUUCAAAGACAUGAGGAACUAAUCUCUUUUUAGUUGGAGGUGAAUUUGAAGCCAUGAUUAUAUGUUUUGAUAUGAAUUGAUUACAUCCAGUUAUUGUUUCUUGAGUCUUGAAUGUGAUUUGCUUAUCUGAGUUAUCAAAACUUGUUUAUGUAUGUUGAUUGAGGGUCGACACUUAAUUUGCAUGCAUGAAUUUGAUGCUAGAGUAUAAGGGAGUUUCACCUAAUCAUUAUGAACUUAUAUUCACAAGUAGUAAAGGUUGCUAGUCACAAUCGUGUUAAGUAAAUCCUUGGCAGGAGUAUCAUGCUUUUCAUAGUUACGAAUGCCUCGUCAAUGCUUAUGAUUUUCAAAGAACUUAAUGACCUUUGAUAUGUUUUCUAUCAUGCUUUUCAUAGUUAGGGAACUUGAGAAGGAUAAUUUGGUUGUGAUGUGUAUCCCGUCCAAUUCAAUGAAAUAAGGGAAAUCUGAUGGUUAAUUUGUGCUGUCACGGUUAACUUGGGGUGUUGUCAUUCAUGGUUUAAGGGAACAAUACUGGAAAUUGGUUUAUAUGCAUAUGUCAUGUGUGGAGAAAGAUCCUCUGGCUAAGUUUUCAUCAUUCAAAUCACCUAAUUUACUUUGUUUUGCAAUCUGUUUUGUUUAGUUAAUUUUCGUCCAAAUCAAUCCCCCUUCUAAUUAAGUGUCUUAGAUUAGUUAAAAAAGUGUUUCAAUCUGUCCAACUUAGUGUUUUAAGUCCCACUAGUGUUAAAUUCGUCCAAAUAGUUCUUAGAACCUGUUUUGAGUCUUUUUAACUUAGUUUUGCUGUUUUGAGUGUUUUAUGUCAAUUUUGAGUUUGUAGUGUUUAGUUGUGUGUUUUUUAGUCUAUUUGAGUGUUUCUAAGUCUAAUUUGGUAUUUCUGAGUCAUAUUUGUGUAGAUUAACAUCCCUAGUUAAUCCCCGGUUUAGAACGAUCCUUACUUACAUCUUUACUACAAUUAUCAUUCAUAGGGUUUAAUUUGUGUGUCAAGUUAAUUUUCACAUCAAAUUUGGCGCCGUUGCUGGGGAUUAGCAAACUUGCUAAUCUCUUUUGUUUGAGUAGUGUGUCUUUAUUGUUAUGGCAGAUGAGUCUACAAAAUUUGUGAAAACAUUAGAUAUAAAGAAAUGUGAGAAAUAAGAACCAAAUAACAGUGAAAUGAAUGAUAUAAGACUCAUCUGUCAGAACAACAAGGCAUUCGAUUUUCAAAAGUACACUCAACGAUCACUGGAGGAUGAUCUUAGAGUUGUAGUUGGAAUCAUCUUCCAGUGAUUUGAUAUAAAAACAGAUUUGAUGGGAUUUAGAAGCAAAUGUUGGGUUUGAAGAGAUUUAGGUAAUGGUUGGGGACGGGGAGUGAGUUGAUGGGAUUCAGUAGCAAAUGUUGGAUUGUAGAAUCUAAAAACAGAUUUGAGAGGCUAAAAUGUAAUUCGGAUAUUAGUACUACGGUCUAAUAACGUAUUUGUAAGUGAAAAAUUUUAGGUUUGUAUUUCAAGAAUAAGGAGUUCAUAACCAAUUUAUUCCAUAUAUCAUUGUGCAUAUAAAAUAAUGUAAUUCGAAAAUUAAUUUAGUGACGAUGCUACAAUUAAUUAUAUCAUCAAUUUUGGAAUCCCAUUCUUGGCUUAUGUCAAAAUCCAAACAAAUUUAAACCCUCAUUUUUUUCAGAUUUUGGAAAGAAUGGCAUCAUUGAAUUCAAUAUCGUGAUAUGGGAGACUGAGUAAGCUAAAUUUGGAGUAUUUUAAUGUCACAGUAUAAAUAUGGCACCAACAAUAGACGUAAGCCAAAGUCAUAGGUUUAAUGCAGACAAUAGUAAAUACUGAAUACUGAAUAUUGGAUACUGAAUGGAGGGCGGCUUUAACGCUUUCAGUGUACCAAAUUUUGAUACUAAUUGACUUGAUCUCUUCACAUGGUACAUAGGUAGUCUAGCUCGAAUGUUAUGCAGCCAUAAAAUUAAAUAAAUUAAUAUUGUAUCAUGUCCCGGAGUUCAGCACGUGACAUUAUUGUGAGGUCUAGGUACAGUCCUUAGAGUGAUAAAAACAAGGCUCCUCCAGGGAGGGCUAGUCGGAGGUGUGAAUGGACAUUUACUUCACACUCAUAGGAAAUCAGUCCAAGAAGUGGACAUGGAUGCUGGGUACUCAACACUCAUAGGAAAUCAGUCCAAGAACGAAAGCUUUCUUUUUAGUUGCUAUCCAAAAUUUUGGAAUUAUGUGUGUUGUCCAAAUGAUUAUUCUUCUUUUAUUAAAUUUCUCAGGAAAAUGAGCAUGAGGCGUAAAAGUUGAACGAAUGAAAUUUCAAUGAUCUGGAAAGGGAUUGUGAGUUUGCCACACCAUUUUUCUUUCUUUUAUGCCUUCAUGUUUAUUAGAAGAUAAAAAUAAAGAAGGAAAACUAAUGAAAAGUCCAAUUUUUUUUUAGUUUUAAUGAAAAAUGACAAAUAAAUGUGUAGUGAAUAGUACCAGAGAAAGGUAAAAAUGUGGCUUUUCGUUAGAAGUGAACAGUCCUGGGAGUGUUUCGUUAAAACUUCCAAAUAAAUAUGACUUUAUUUGGAGAAAAAAAAGUAUUUCCUUUGAAAAAAAAUCAACUAUUUAUUUAAGAGGAUGUGAAUGAUUGAUGGUGAAUACAAAGAACCACCUUAGAGGGAGACGAGACAUUUAUUAGAAGCCAAAAAAAAAGUUACAAUGAUUUAGUAAAAAAACAAGAAAACCUCAUUUUCUAAGUGGCAGUCAUUGACACGCUAUUUGACUAGAAGAAAAGUCAUAGUAUUGUAUUUACUUUCAAGCCUCUAGGGGGAACGAGAGUGCAAGUUUCCAAAUGGAAUAUGGGAUGAAAUUUCUACAUAACUCUAUCUGACAAAGAAAGAAGUCUAAGUUUCUAAGUGGUAGGGCUUCCAAUUGAUGUGAGUUUAUUGAGAAAUGAAGAUGAACAUGAAUAUUGAUAUUGAUGUGAGUUAGUGAACAAGUUGCUUCGAUCUCCUUUGGCCCUCUAAUAAGAUAAUACCGGAAAACAAGUUGUUACUAAUACAUGUAUCGGAUUGGUAGACUAAGACGUACGGUACAAUUUUUUAUAACUAGAGAAGAUGAACACUGUCACUGUCGUGACAAAAUUUAUCCAAAUAGAUCCAAAGACUUGGGAAGCUUCAUAUGCAGAUCUAAAGCUAAUUUCCUUUUUAAUCUUAUAGUCAUUACGUAAAAUGUAUAUGCAUAUUUCUAGAUGGAUACACACCAAUCUUGAAAUAGGGGAUGAAGAUUCCCGAUUUUAAUUUCGUCUAAAUAGGUGUAAUUUCACAAUUCCAACUAUAACGAGAAUCACAAAUUUAUAAGCGGAAAAAUCUUGCCAGCGUCAAACUUUCUUGAAUAAGGGUUUAGGGCGCCAAAUUUCAUGAUAAAACCUGAUAAGGGUCUAGGGCUGCAUCUUUCACUCGAUUAACUCUCCCAUCUUCGAAGGGAUUUUCGGCUCUUGCAUCAUCUCUUGCUUUUGUUCUAGGUCAACGCCUCUACUCUCUUCUUUCUUGAAUUAUAUUUUUAACUUUUCGGGUAUACUCUUUAUGCCAAUUGUGAAUUUUGCUAGUUAUUUUUAUUUUCUGAUAGUCAUAUGUUUGUGUGCUUUUUUUCUUCCGAUUGAAUUGUGUAUUGGUUGGAUCUGUUACACAAUUUUUUAGUUUUUUUAUGGAUUUUGAUGUUAGUUCCUUGUUAUAGAUAUUGUGUUUUUGAAGGUUUAACAAUAGGCAAGACUGAAUAUGAUGAUUUCGGUGUUAAUUACUUUCUCAUGGUACUAUACUAGAUUGUUCUCUCUUUGCAUUUACAUGUAACCAACUGUUCAUUGUAGAAAUGUAGUAUUUGGAAGACCUUUUUUUUUUUCUUUCUGAUUUAGUGUAUGUUUUUUGGACAAAAGAAACAUGUAGAAGAGAAAACAUGAUUGAUAACAUUGUGCAUCUUUUUUUUUUUUUUUUGACAGAAAGCGAUAGAGUGUUCCAUGGCCAAUUUGUUUUAUCUAGAGAUAGUUUGCACAAGAUGCAAACAUUUUGUAAACCCUAUACGGCUACCAUAAUAGACAACCACAAACAAGGGUCCCGAUAAAAUUGUCACAAAGACGACAAACGCGGCAAUCCUCACACUGGUACCUUGACAUAAAACCAUCGACAAUAAGACCAAAUAAAUCGCAUAAGAAAUACAAACAAAUCACCACAGUAACACAAAAUCUACUACCCUAACCUGCUCAAGGUCCUACAAACAAAAACUUAAACCUAAAGUCGAUGACAUGUCCACAUGCAUGUCCAAAGGGAAGAGACGUGGCAGGAGGCAUGGGUUGCACGACCAUGUGGGUGUGUCGGUGGCAAGGACAACAAAGGCUUGGGGCUUGGGUGGCAGAGGAGAUACCACGACACGCCAGAGCCACUGUCACAUUGUCAUCGCCGCCGCCACGAGCCCAUAGUAACCUGCAUAAAAUCGUUAGUGCUAAAAGCCGCCAAGGGUUUCCGCCGACUGGGAAAAAGAUAAGAUUUGUGAAGACGGAGGUCACAUGGAUGGCAUCAUAGCAAAAUUGAAAUCUUUUAAUCAUCCUCAGCAUUAUUCCGACAGCUAUCCACAAACUGAAGCAACGAAUUGGGCAAGUGUGCAACAAAUUUUCAAUGUGCGUCCAUUGUGAAUGAUUUACAAGGAGUGGGUUUAAUGACGUUUGUAGUUAAAGUGGGAUGCAACUUAGAGCACCAUCACUUGACUAUGUUCCUCUCAUUUUAUCUGUUCAUUUUUGCCUCAUUUGUUUUUUGGUUGCACCGCCUCAAAAACCUUGUGCGUCUACAUGUAUAUAGAACUUUUGGUUAAAACAGAGUCACAUAUCUUAUAACUAUUUAAAUUUUGUUGCAUAUCACAAUAUAUAUUUGUUCAUACAUUCAAACAUGUAUGGCAAAUACUGAGGAGGAACAUAGAAAAAAAAAUGAAAAUUAUUGUUAGUACAAUUGUAUAUGUUAUUGACAUGGUCAUGCAUUGGUAUAGUAAGAGUUUUCUCGUCGUAGAACUUUCAAAUGAUUGGAAUCAAGGAAGACAAUCUUUUCCCCAAUUAAUUAUUCUCGCCAUAUUUUUCCUUAGCGCCGUUAAGUUUCACUUAAAAAGCAAAAGAAGAAGGCUAAAAUUAAGGUGAAGAACCUGCCUCCACUAAUUUCCAUGAAGUUGCAGUAAGGACAUAAAUCACCUUCCGUGAAGUUUCAGUAAGGACUUCAAAUAUCCCAGAGAAAAGUCAGUCAAUGGUGUUUUGACAGAGUCAGUCAACGGCAAAAGACAGAAUUGUGUAUCAUAAUGCUCUCUCCCUCUCUCUCUCUCGUCAAUGGAUGACACCGUAUAAUUACUACGUAUAUAUCUCUGCUCAAUUACACAAAAGAAAAAUCCUUGCGCAUUAUUUUUGUUAUUAUUAGCUCAGAAAUGCAGAAAUUGAUCAUCUCUUACUUUUGCAUAUUGUUACUGGUUUUCUUCAAACUAGUUGGAGCAAGCCAUGCGUGCCUGGAAUCCAAGUGUGGCGAUGAUCAAGGCGCAGCUAUCCAUUUCCCAUUGCGCAUCAGCCGCAAACAUCAUUGUGGAAAUCCUGGGCUUGAAUGCAAUGUAAGAUAUGAGCAGCAAAUACUAGUAAAAUUAUUUGUCAAACACAUAGAUUACAAGAGUCAGGAAAUCCAAGUGUAUCCCCCAAGUAGCUGCCUGCUGCUAAAGUCUGUUGAAAUCCCAAACAUGCCACCCUCUCCCUUCAACGUGUCAGUCGAUGACAUGAGUAACUUGACCUUAUUCAGUUGUACUACUUCUGUUGCAAGCGAUCCAUAUCCGUAUCAAUUCCCCUGCCUCGGCGACCCUGGCCGCAUAAUUUAUGCCGUUGAUUCCAGUUCUACAUAUCUAUUGGAAGAUCUCUUCCAGAAAGUACAAUCUUGUUCAAAGAUGUAUGAUGUUUUAUCAGUUCCAUUCGGUUCUUGGGUAGGCGGUUAUAAUGUUCGUUUCAAAUGGUCUGAACCAAAUUGCACAGUAUGUGAAGCACAGGGAAAGAGGUGUAGGUGGAAGAACGAUGGCACAAAUAGUGAAAUUAAAUGUCUUGACUGGAAGAAACCAAGUAAGGAUAACAUAUAUAUUCAUUGCUAGUUUUAAACAUCUUUACAUUUACGUCUUAGUAAUUAUUAUUUAAAAUAUGUUGUCCAAUCCAUUUUUACUAGGAAUAUUACCUGACAGUCUCGUUUAAAUUUGCAAUGAUCUUCUACAGGCAACACAUGGAAAAAAGUGGUUACAGGUGGAAUCCUGGGUGCUUUGCUUCUUGUUCUACUGAUGAUUGCAGCAUAUCGGGUACAUAGCGCUGAUAGAAAGGAGAAAGAGAGUCGAUUAAGAAUUGAAAGAUUCUUGGAGGAUUACAAAGCACUCAAACCAACCAGGUAUUCGUACGCAGAUAUUAAGAGGAUUACAAAUCAAUUCAAGGACAAGUUGGGCGAAGGAGCCUAUGGAACUGUCUUCAAAGGAAUGCUCUCUUCCGAAUUCUUUAUUGCUGUCAAAGUCCUCAACAGUUCCAAGGGAGAUGGGGAAGAGUUCGUAAAUGAAGUGCGAACGAUGGGUCAUAUCCACCACGUCAACGUGGCUCGCUUGGUUGGAUUUUGUGCUGAUGGAUUUGCACGAGCUCUUGUUUACGAGUUCUUCCCCAAUGGUUCCCUGCAGGAUUUCAUUUCAUCUGCAGAUAGUAAGAAUUCAUUUCUUGGUUGGGAUAAGUUGCAAGAUAUUGCCCUAGGCAUAGCCAAAGGAAUUGAAUAUCUUCACCAGGGAUGCGAUCUACGAAUCCUGCAUUUCGACAUCAAACCCCAUAAUGUUUUGCUAGACCAAAACUUCACUCCAAAAAUUUCUGAUUUUGGUAUGGCCAAGUUAUGUUCCAAGGAUCAAAGCUUGGUGUCCAUGACUACAGCUAGGGGGACCAUGGGCUACAUUGCACCUGAAGUGUUUUCCAGGAAUUUCGGAAAUGUGUCUUACAAGGCAGAUGUCUAUAGCUUUGGAAUGCUGCUGCUUGAGAUGGUAGGAGGAAGGAAGAAUAUUGGUUCAAUCACGGAUAACACUACAAAUGAAAUUUACUAUCCACAGUGGAUUUAUAAUCUUCUAGAGGAAGGGGAUGACCUACAAAUCCACAUUGGGGAAGAAGGAGAUGGUAAAAUUCCAAAGAAACUUGCAAUUAUAGGGCUAUGGUGUAUCCAGUGGCACCCGUCGGAUCGUCCUUCCAUGAAAAUAGCGGUUCAGAUGUUAGAAGGAGGAGGAGAAAGCUUGAGUAUGCCGCCUAAUCCCUUUGUGCCUACUGGUCCUACAACUAGAAAUGCAAGACGCCUAGAGCUAGAAGCUAUUGCUGAAUUAGAGUAAAAUGUAUAUGCAGAUAUGUAGACGUAUAGAUAUAGUAAUAUUUACAUUGAAUAAGAGGCCGUUUGAUAACCAUUUCGUUUUCAGCUUUUAAUUUUUAUUUUGCACUUUUUUGAAAACUGAAAACUAAAAUCUUGUUUGGUAAAUACUUUUAGUUUAAGAAAAAAUGAAGACUGAGAACUAAAAAGUGAAAGCUCAAAGGAAGUAGAUUAAAAGUAGUUACCAAACAAACCGGAAUCUCAAUAAUAAAAAAUGAUUGAAUUGCACAACGCAAUCCAAACCAAUCAAAACAUUAAAAUAGCAAAAAAAAUUAAAAUUCUAGUUGAUUAGAUUAUGAACAUAGUAAAAAUGAACAGAUCCGAUGAAAAAACAAAAAAAAUUCUCAGAUAAAAAUAGGGAUAAAGUAAAAUAUUUAUAAAUAGCUCCUUGUCUCUUAUGUCAUCAAUUAUUUCUAUAGUAUAUACAAGUUUUUGGAAAAAUUAGGUUCCCAUCCCUUAUUUUCAUAUUACAUUGAUUGAAAUCUUAUUAUUUUUCUAUUUUAGAUCAAGGUCCCUUGACUUAUUCCAUGUCAUCAUUUUAGUAUUUAAAAUAUUACACGUCAUCAUAAACGAAAUCUCAUCCCCUUUCUGCAUUUAAGGCAAAAUAAACUAUAUGAGUAAGUUUAAAACAAGGAAAAUCCAUUUGAACUCCUCCAUUCUUCUUCUUCCCUUAUGCACAUCUGGAAUCUACAACACCCCAAACCCAAUUUUCUCCAUUUUUUCUCCAUUCCUGAAUUGAUCCAAUGCAUAUAUGUUGAAUAAACCUAUUGUGAUUAAAAUACAAAUUAGCAUCAAUGGUUUUAUCGGCUUGUGAGAUUUGUGUGGCAUAGGCAAGGCAAUGCAUGCAUCGCUUUCUCAAGGAAUCUGGUUGAUUCAAACAUGCAGAGACUGUAGAGUGAGCGGGCUAUGUAAAAACUGUACCAUUCUGAAGUCAUUUUCUUUUGUUCUUUAUAUUUUUUUUCUUUUUCUUUUAUUAUUAUAUAUUAGUCUUGAUUAUUCAAUGUCUGGUUGGCUACACUUAUGUCCAUGGGUACAUUUUUAAUCAACAUGGUUCGUUCUAAUAUAUCUAUUGCUAUAAUAUGUUUUGGUUGGUUCAAAUUUGUUUUACAUAAAUAUAUGGGUACAAAGUUUUUGGAGAAUAUUAUGUAAAAUGGUUUUUAAGGUUGCUGCAUUUUAUGUACCCACAUAUGCAUGUCUAUAAAUGACACACCCCGUCCCGAAGGAGGGCAUGCUGGCCGUCACGUGAGAGUGACGUAACCAUUUGCACAGUACGGAAGCUUUAAGAUACAAUUUAUAAGUUGAUACACCCGAAUGUGAGUCCUAAUUUUGUCCAAUCUGUCAGAACACCGUCAAAUUCCUCGUAGUCACCACACCUUUGUGAUUCCUGAACCUGGAGGGGCGCAAAACCAAAAUUGAGUGGGUCAGUAAAACAAUUCUUUUCCAAAUCCAAACAUUUCUCAAAACGUUGUAACCCCAAUCCGUAAAACUUGUAUAUUUUCCCAGAAAUGUAAAAUAUAAAUAUACAUAUAUAUUCUCAAUACUUCAAUUCAUUAACUCAACAUUUUUCAGUACAAUUAUGCCAUGCCAUGUCUAAUUCAACAGUUAAGUAUGGAUGCAUCAACAAUAAUCAUAUCAGGUGCAAGAAAGUAAUCAACCGGAGGCCCUCUAAUAGCCAUGUACGGUUGAACCUAGAGCUCAAAAUCUAUCACUCUCACUCUACCGGAGUCACCUCUGUGACCUGUCCGGCCUUCUGCACACAAGUUACGCUCUAGUGCUUUCUCAUCAAUCAUCUGUGCACAUAAUCUAAGGUCACCCACCAGUCGAAAUCUCACUAACACUCUUCGACUGGCCCGUCGCACCCACUCCGCGUGGACUGUGCGACCAGCAUCUACUUGGAUCCAAGGCGAGCGUGCGAUGCGGUGAAUACUAUAAGCACUAAACCAUGGUGCAGGAUUUGAGCUCAAUAUACAUCAACAUCAUCAUAAUAGUAAUUAAAUACUCACCUGAUACUCACCUGUGCGUCCGCCGCACCAAUUCAUAUAUAUGCAUCAUAUAUCAAUUCAUAUCAUUUCAUACAUGGCAAUUCAAUUCACGUUUUUCAUAUAGUUCUAUAUACUUUUCACAUAUUUCUAUUUAAAGCAUAAUUUCAUGCUUUUUCAAUUUCUGGGAAAACGGCAAGUAUAUAUAUAUACGGAAAACAAAACUGCCCACUCACCUGGAGUUCGCCCUACAACUCCCUAGCACAAUACGCCAAGGCGUCAUGACGAUCGGCGCCUAAAACAAUAAUCAAUUCCAACCUUAGAAUUCAUAUCGAUAGAAUAUAUAACUUAUAUAAAAUACGUCACUGCGUAGUUCGAUCCGGAAGAUCCACCACUCAGAUUUUAAAUCCAUAACUUCCAGAGGUCCACAAUAUAUCUCUAGGAUAACAUCCUAAAAUUUCAUUACCAUCCAACGGUCGGAUCUCCGUCAAUUUCCAAAACUAAGUGACGGUUAACAUUUUAUUUUAUGAACUUACAACUCCAAUUCCUGAAGAUCCGUAAAUCGGAUUCCCAAUCCGAAAGUUCCAAUAAUCCUCAAAUAUUACGUAUUACUACGUAUCAAAGUUUAGUGACGAUCUAACGGUCGGAUCGUCAAUUCACGUUUUCACCUAAAUGUGAAAACUAUAAAACGUUAUUCGAACAUCUAACCAACAAUCCUUAAUAACUUUCUCAUACGGUGCUCAAUUUGGGUAUAUGAAUAUACCACGGUGAUCUACUCGACGUCACGGACGUCGACAUAUUUUUAAAAUAAUUUUAUUUUAUUUUAUUUUUUUUACUGUAGCACCUUCUUCUUCCUUGGGUCGCCGGACUGGUUUUUCCAGCGGCCGUUUUCUGGGCAGUUUUUCAAAUUGCCAUAACUUUGUCAUUUCUCAACGAAAUCAAGUGAUUCAAAAACGAAAGUUGUAGCCCUUGAAGAGACAAAGAGAAUGGUACCUUACAAAACACCUAGUUCUCCGUGGUUUGGCCGGAAACUGCCUCGAAAGCCUCGGAGGUCGCCGGAAACUGGGUAUUUUUCAAAUGAGUAUAACUUCUUCAAUACUCAACGAAAUUGAGUGAAACAAAAAGGAAAGUUGUAGUAAUUGACGAGAUGAAGAGAUUGAUACCUACCUCGACUCCUAACUCGCCGGGGAUUCGCCGGAAAAAGCCUCGAAAGCUCCGGCCAAACUUUGAACUUGUCGAUCUCCGUGUUCUUACGUCCAAAAACUUCCAACGAAGCACUCCGAGCUUCCUUGGGACCUCACUAAGCUCACUAUGAGCUUGGAUUGUCCUAAAACAAAGUCAAUUCGAAAAUCAUGAACAGUGCACUUUCACGGGGAGUUUAGAAUCUAGGUUUUCCGAAGUAAAACUUACCUGAAAUUGGUGUCUACGUGAUCGUGGAGUCUCCAGGAGUUCGAUGGUGGUCUUAACUCCGUCGUUGGUGGAAGUUUAAGGUUGUUUUGCGGUUGGUUUGUUCGAACGGAGAAGAAGAGUGACAGAGAGAGAGAGAUUCGUGAGGGAGGAGAGAGAGAGACAGUAUGCAGAAAAUAGGGAGAGGAUUGAGGGGUGUGGGGAUCCCAUGUGGUCCUUUUCCAAUCCCCAACUCCAAACCACAAAAUUUUAACCUAAAAAUCUAAGUUCCAUCCUUAAUAAAUUCCAUUUUAUUUUCAAAACUUAGGAACCUAGAUAAUUAUCAACUUGAGCUUCACAUACUUAGUAUUUCUUAAGGGCAAUUUCGUCCAUUCACAGCCACGAAUGUAAUAUUUUUGGAACGGGCUGUGACAAUCUUCCCUCCUUAUAGAAUUUCGUCCCCGAAAUUCCAGCAACCAACUAAAUCAACCAUACUUCAACAAUAGCUUCGGGUAAAUCUCUCUCAUCCGAUUCUCUUUCUCCCACAUAAUUUUCUACUGAAUGAUUUCCUUCACAAAGCUUUUACCACUUACUCUGUCUUAAUUCUCAAGACUUUCUUUUUCCAAUCUAAAGUCGUCCUUGGUUCCUUAUCAAGUCGAAUCCAAUUUAAUUCUCAAUAGUUGCACCAGAAUCUCAUGUGACGAAUCUGCCACCUAGUGACAACGUAUCGAACCCAAAAUACAUUAAGUAUCUUAGCCAACUCUGAAGACAUCACCACAUGUAUGCAACUUUAUUGAUUCCUUUAGUGAUCAAAACGGACUGAUGUGUUCAAGACUUAUCUUGUCUUCCUUUCUGAAUCUUACUAUUUCUGUUCAUGGUGAAAUUUCCAAAAAUAUCAAACCAUUUACCUUACACACUCGAUUAGUGGCAUAUCCAUCUGUUAGUCUCUUUUGCCAUUCCUGGUUACUUCAGGUUAACUUAAUCACCUGAAUACUUUGAGGAGACUCAUCCAAAAUUUCGGGUCCACCAAAAUUCUUUUGUGAUCGAAUCUUUCUCUACCCAGAAGCAUUCCAUCCACAAUUCAGCAAAAAUCGACACACAUGACACGCUUCAUGGACAUUAUGGCGUUACUUUGAAAACUGGCGAAACCAACAUACUUAAGAAACUCAGCAGUCCCGUAACCCAAUUCUCUUUUCCAUAAAACAAAUAAGUACUGUUGCACUGUCUGGGAAAGGUUGUUACUCAACACUGGAGUAAAUAUACUAACUUGUUACGUUGCCCAACCAUCACUUCACAUUCAAUCGUAACCAUCUUGUAUACAAGGAAACUUGUACACAUAGUCCAAAGUAAUAUCUUUCCAUUUCUGUUUAGAAACAGAAAAUAGCUGUCUCAAUCCAAAGGUUUAUCUCUUUCCGCCUCAAUCUGCUGAUCAAAUAAACUGUCGAGUGGUAUGAUAAAUCUUAUUACUUUUGGAAUAUUGCAGAAGUUGAACAGUGAACUUUGUCCAAUAUUUGCUUGCUUCAAAUCCUCAGCAUUAGGCACAUACUUUUGGUUUUCUUGUAUCCACAUACCAUUUGAUUCACGAAUCAUGUAUUCAUUCUUUUUCCCUUCUUUCUCUACCUUGGUUAAUUCUUAAAUUUCCUCGUCAAACAUUUAAGUUUCGAGUACGACCUUACCAAACAGGCCUAACUUGAAAUUUAACAAGUAUAACUUCUUCUCGAUCUUUCAUUCUUAACUUUACUUUAGUUGGUUUCCAAUCCACAAGAAGAUAAUCAUGGCAAGCGUACCAGAUAUUAAUUAUUACUGCAGUCUUCUUAUCAAGUGCUUCAGUUACAACAAUUCACAAUCACCCUGAUCGUACAAUCAUAAUCACUAAGUAAUUCAAUCCACCUUUGUUGCCUCAUAUCACAAUCCUUCCAAGUAAACAAAUAUUGGAGACUCUUUUGAUUUGUAAAAUCUUGUAUUCUUAUCAACAUAUAAUGUCUCCAUAACUUCACAGCAAGGAUGAUAAUCGUGACUUCCAAAUCACCAGUAGGGUAAUUCAUCUUAUGAGGUUCCAUUUAUCGUGAAACGUAUGCAAUCACCCUAACAUUUGCAUCAACAUGCCUCCAAUACCAUUCAAGAAACAUCACUAAAAAUUUAUGAUUACCACUAUUCUCUGGGAAUACCAAAAUACGUGCAUGAGUGAGGAAAUACUUCAGUUGUUGAAUCCUUUGCUCACAAUUUCCUUCCCACUCAUACAUAACCUCUUUUCUCAACAGUCUCGUCAAUGACAAAGCAAUGACUAAAAACUCUUUCACAACCAUCCAAGAUAGUCUGGUAAGUUAAGAAUUUCCGAAUCUCAAUUAUGGCUUGUGGUUGUUCCAAUUUCUCAAUUCUGCUGCCUUUUAAGAAUUCAUUUGAAUACCUUAAGCAGAUAUAACCAAUCUCAUAAUGCCACUUGAUUCAUCCAACAUUCGCAUUUGCUAAACUUAGCAUACAACCAACGUUCUUUCAAUCUUUGCUUCAUCGACUUAAUACGUUUACAUGCUCUGCUCUGGCUCAGAAUGUACCAGAAUAUCGUCAAUGAAAAUGAUAUCAAUUAUCAAGGCAUUAUUGGAAUACUUCAUCCAUCAACUCAUAAAACCGCAUGAGUAUCCACAUAGCAUCACCAAACCUCAUAAGGACCAUAACAAGUCCAGAAAACCAUCUUAUGAUCAACGUCAUUCAUAAUCUUUAAUUGGUAAUAACCAGACUUCAAGUCAAUCUUUGAAAAUAUACAAGCACCUUUGAACUGAUCAAAUGAGCGUCAAUACACCACAAUGGAUAACGGUUCUCAUUCGUUACCCGACUCCAUUGUCUAUAAUCAAUGAACAGUCUCAAGAUCCAUUUUCUUCCUCACCAACAAACUGGGGCUCCUCAAAAGUGUUGUACUAGGUUGAAUAAAACUUUUAUCAACCAAUUCUUUCAACUAAAUUUCCAAUUCCCUUAACUCAUCAUGAACCAAUCUCCAAUAUAAAUUUAUACCUGGCAACAAAUCAAUAAUGAACCUCAUAUCUCUGCCUGAAGACAAUCCAGGUAUACUUUCAGGGGAGACAUCAAGAAAAGUCUAACCCUUUUGACAUUAUUCACACUACUCCAAACAACAUCAUUUAGCACCCCAUGAGCUAAGUAUUUUUAACAGCCUUUCGAAAACAAUCUCUUUGCUCUCACAGCAUUAAUAACGGCCUGACUCAAUCCACCUUGCAUACUUACAAAAGUAAUCUCUGGUCAUCCAGAUCGAUGGAAAGUACUGGUUUCCCGUAACAUUCCGUCUUGUCACAAUUAUAACCAACCGAUCUAAUGGAACAGAAUUAACUGAUACAAUAUAUAUUCUAUUAUUAUUAAGCAUUCUAAAUAAGUACAAUACUAACAUAAAAUAAUCUACCGGGUUGCUUGCUUAACGAAUCCACGAAUGAGUUAUUAAUAUUACGGUCUGCAGCCCGCAAUACUGAUAAAUCAUCGUUGUCUCGAUAAGUAGGCAACCACUCUCAAAGAUAUAACAUUACUAUUUUGUCACUCAAUGCAAAAUACAUACACUUGUCUCAACUACAUUUAUUUACUACUCUCUAGGUAAUAACAUACAUAAUAAGAAAUAUAUCAGUCGAAGUCAACUAGAAUGACCAAUACGGCUGAUUCAACUCUUAUCUCAAUAAUACGUCGGCCGGAUCCACUCCGCGUGGUCGGUACGGCCGAGCCUAUAACUCAUCCAACCUCUCUGUACUCACGGUCAAUCCGACCAAACUACUAAGUCCAUAACUCUGCUGAAUCGACACUAUGAUAUCAUGGAAAAUUAUUGAGUACAACUGAUUCUAGGGACGAUUCACAAUUCUGUGUCCCCUCUGUUCACAUAAACACAUUCAUUAAUUUCACACUUCCCAAAGUGUUAAUUUUGUACCUGCUGCACAAGGUACAUUUCCUUUACUCGAGACACCUUGUCUCAAAUAUCUGGGAUUACCAGUAUAUCCAUCACUUUUACUCUGACCAGCAACAUUAAAACCUCAGCUGGAAGAAUUAACUCUAGCUUCACUUCUUUCGAAGCUCUGAAUCUUUCUAUAUCUUUGAUAUGACGAAUCAUUAACUUUAUCGUCUUCUUUUAAUUCCCAUUCAUUUCUUAUUCUUCUUUAUUCUCGUUGCUCAUGUUCUCAGAGUCCUCAAGACUCAACAGCAUCUCGUAUAUUCCUGGUAAGAAGUACAAUGGAUAGUGGUCACCCAAAAUACCACUUCCCUUUUGCCACCCAGCUUAAAACAACAUAACACCUCCACCAAAUUAGCAGCAAUAUCCGAAUGGAAACGAGGCUAGUCUGAAAACUUUCUAUAAUAUUCAUUUAUCGUCAACUUCCUUGAUUCACAUUUGCAAAAUCUUGCUUACUACCAACGAUAAAUGCCGGAGGGAUAAACUUUUCCUUAAAUAAGUCCUUAAACAAUUUUAAAUCGGCUACUUCCUCUGAUGACAACAAUCAAUACUCCUGCUUCCAUCAGGAUACACGUUCAUAACUCAAACCAGGUAGUCGUCUCGACCCACCUGUCAGAAGGAAAUUUCCUUUGACUUGCAUAAUCUGAAACAUCUUUUCCAAUUGGUUAAUCCGUUACUUCGCUCCCUCAGGUUCAUCAUUCCAUAAGGUGAUUCAAAUUCGACUCAUAACCUGUCUUAAAAUGUCCCUUUUUAUAAUAGACUGAAUCACCAUAAUAAUAGUUUCCCCUAAACCGCUAUAUUAGGGAGACUAAAUUCCUCUAACUAAGUGGCUUGCUACGAGGCGGUGUAGUUCUGACAGAAUUCACUAGAACUUCUCAAAAUGUCCAAGAUUGCAACCAUGCUCUGAUACCAACUGACACACCCCGUCCCGAAGGAGGGCAUGCUGGCCGUCACGUGAGAGUGACGUAACCAUUUGCACAGUACGGAAGCUUUAAGAUACAAUUUAUAAGUUGAUACACCCGAAGGUGAGUCCUAAUUUUGUCCAAUCUGUCAGAACACCGUCAAAUUCCUCGUAGUCACCACACCUUUGUGAUUCCUGAACCUGGAGGGGCGCAAAACCAAAAUUGAGUGGGUCAGUAAAACAAUUCUUUUCCAAAUCCAAACAUUUCUCAAAACGUUGUAACAAUAAAAACCAGUCCGGCGACCCAAGGAAGAAGAAGGUGCUACAGUAAAAAAAAUAAAAUAAAAUAAAAUUAUUUUAAAAAUAUGUCGACGUCCGCGACGUCGAGUAGAUCACCGUGGUAUAUUCAUAUACCCAAAUUGAGCACCGUAUGAGAAAGUUAUUAAGGAUUGUUGGUUAGGUGUUCGAAUAACGUUUUAUAGUUUUCACAUUUAGGUGAAAAUGUGAAUUGACGAUCCGACCGUUAGAUCGUCACUAAACUUUGAUACGUAGUAAUACGUAAUAUUUGAGGAUUAUUGGAACUUUCGGAUUGGGAAUCCGAUUUACGGAUCUUCCGGAAUUGGAGUUGUAAGUCCAUAAAAUAAAAUGUUAACCGUCACUUAGUUUUGGAAAUUGACGGAGAUCCGACCGUUGGAUGGUAAUGAAAUUUUAGGAUGUUAUCCUAGAGAUAUAUUGUGGACCUCUGGAAGUUAUGGAUUUAAAAUCUGAGUGGUGGAUCUUCCGGAUCGAACUACGCAGUGACGUAUUUUAUAUAAGUUAUAUAUUUCUAUCGAUAUGAAUUCUAAGGUUGGAAUUGAUUAUUGUUUUAGGCGCCGAUCGUCAUGACGCCUUGGCGUAUUGUGCUAGGGAGUUGUAGGGCGAACUCCAGGUGAGUGGGCAGUUUUGUUUUCCGUAUAUAUAUAUACUUGCCGUUUUCCCAGAAAUUGAAAAAGCAUGAAAUUAUGCUUUAAAUAGAAAUAUAUGUGAAAAGUAUAUAGAACUAUAUGAAAAACGUGAAUUGAAUUGCCAUGUAUGAAAUGAUAUGAAUUGAUAUAUGAUGCAUAUAUAUGAAUUGGUGCGGCGGACGCACAGGUGAGUAUCAGGUGAGUAUUUAAUUACUAUUAUGAUGAUGUUGAUGUAUAUUGAGCUCAAAUCCUGCACCAUGGUUUAGUGCUUAUAGUAUUCACCGCAUCGCACGCUCGCCUUGGAUCCAAGUAGAUGCUGGUCGCACAGUCCACGCGGAGUGGGUGCGACGGGCCAGUCGAAGAGUGUUAGUGAGAUUUCGACUGGUGGGUGACCUUAGAUUAUGUGCACAGAUGAUUGAUGAGAAAGCACUAGAGCGUAACUUGUGUGCAGAAGGCCGGACAGGUCACAGAGGUGACUCCGGUACUAUUUUGACCAUUCUAUUUAACUUGUGUUUCAUUUAUUUUAACCAUUCUAUUUAAAGUUUAUCCCAAGUAAUCUAAUUAAGACUAGAGUCGAAAGUGAUGCAUUUAGUAAUUGCUUACACUUGUGAAUAUGAGUUGAUUGAGGUGGUGGUGGUUUCUUGUAUUAAUAAUUCUAUUUAAACUCAUACCCUCCCACACCAUCAGAUCCAAGUACUAUUUUGAUAAACUUUAAAUAGAAUGGUUAAAAUAAAUGAAACACUUUUAGAAAAUAAGUGAAGAUGUUGUUUACAAAUAUAGAUGCAUUUGUAUAUAAAAGCUUUGGCGGUUGAUCCGUAUACACUUCCAGAGAUAUAAGCAAGUUCAUUGGAUUAUACAUACAUAGUUAAUGUAUUACAGUAUAAUUAAUAAGAAAACAAUUGCAUCCCUUUCAGAUUAUAUAUAUAUAUAUAUAUAUAGACACACACACGCACACAUACAUACACACAGGCCCUUUAUGCAAAGGAAUUUUCAAUUUUUUUUUUAAAUGGGGAUUAGUUGUGGGGCCCACGCUGCAUUGAACUUUAACGAUCCGAACAGUCUAUUUUGUAAUUCUCGAUUCAUAGAUCAUCCUUGUAAAAAUUCAAUUCAAUCCGAACCUAUUUGCCUAUUUAAUUAUCAAGAUAAAAUUUUAUUGUUUCUUAUAUAACAAAGUAUUCGUUAAUUUCUUUGAACUCAAUUAGAUAUCUUAAACAUUUCCGAUUUGGUUAAUAUUGUGUAAGGAUGAUCUAUGUGGUGCAACUUGAAAAAUAGACGAUUACGAUCGUUAAAGUUCGAUGUGGUGAGAACCCUACAAUUAAUCUUCAUUUUUAUAAAAGAAUGGGAACCCCUUCCCUUAAAGGUUUCCUAUGUAUAUAUUUGUUCUCCAGACAUAUGCAAAAGGUAAUGUAAAACCAAUGAGAACUUAAAUAGAUAUUCCAUACAUAGGACAAUUCCAUAUAUGCUUUUUCAACAUUGAUAUCGAAAAGCCAAAUUGUUUUGAGGAAAUUAAUUGUAGCAAUGAUCCCUUAACUUUUAUCUUAUUGGAGCAAUGGUCUCUCAACUAAAAAUUCAUGACCAUUGGUUCCUUAACUCCACACAACGUGUAGUUAUGGUCAUUUUCAUUAACCCCGUCAGAACUUUUGUUAAAACAAGUAAUGUUAGAAGAAUCAUUGCUACAAUUAGGUUAAAGUUGGGGACCAUUGCUCUAAUUAAAUUAAAAUUGAGGGAUCAUUUCUCCAAAUUGCUUAAAGUUCAAUGACCAUUUCUACAAUUUUCUCAUCUAGUUUCCCAUAUUUACCCCAUGAUUCAGCUUCACAUGCAUUGCACAUGACUCAUUUUGACAAAAAUUUUAACGAAAUUGACGAAAAUGACCAUAAAUACACGUUUUGAAUAGUUAAGAGACCAAUGGUCGUGGAUUUUAGUUGAGGGAUCAUUGCUCCAAUUUGGUUAAAGUUGAGGGACCAUUGCUACUUUUUUCUCAAAUGUUUCGUAUGCGAAAAUAGGCAUUUGUAAAGUUUGGCUUGUUCAUGGCAUUAUUACUUUAGUCUAAAGUAAGGCUGGAAAUGGCACUGUAGAAAUGAAUAGUGUUCCAAUCUGAAUUUCAGUUUAAUUACAACAAUGCCAUUGCUCUUUGUGUUGCCUUUAGGUGAGCAGCCCAGCUUGCAGCCAGGCCCAAAUGUAUUGGUUUUAGCUGAGAAGCUCGGCCCUUGGUCAUGCCCAAAAUUUUAAAUUACAGUUUUGCCCAUACAAAAUAACAAUCCGAUUGUAUCGGGAAGGACAAUUUUGUCCUUUCAGUUUUGGGUGAGAUAGGGGGUAACAGGGUAAGUUUCAUUUGCUGUCGUUGAAUGAGGGUUUCGGGGAUGAGGGCUCUGUGUGUGUGUGGGUGAGAGAGAGAGAGAGAGAGAUGGCGAUGGAAGGAGAGUGAGGGGGAAGGGAAGGGUUCUCGGCACUAUUGUUGCAUGUGGAUUUCACAAGUGGGAGAGUGGGUAUGGUCAGAGAAGACCAUAUAGGUCGUUGGGAUUUCAGGGAAACGGGGUAGGGGUCAUGAAUGAACCCUGCUGAGAGUGGGUACCGGAUCUUGCGCUGCAUGCCUCAAAUCAAAGAUAAGUUCGUUUUUUUUAUUGUAUUUUUAUGGUAGCUUAGCUUUUGGAAUUGUUUAGUAUGUUAGGUCCGAUUUUGGGGGAUUUAUCUUUUUAGAGAGAGAGAUAGACAGGGAGAUAGAGAGAGAGGGAGAGGGAGAGAGAGAGAGAGAGAGAGGAGGAAGCAUGACUGUGUGCAAUUUUUGGUGUUAAUUAAUGGGUUGGUGCGCAGGGUGAGUGACAGAGUGACAGAGUGAAGGAGGGACGUGUGGGAGGGUAUGAGUUUUCAGUUCUUUCUUUUGAUUCAACAGGUUAUACACUGUUUGAAAAACUUUUUUUUUAUUAUUUUGUUCUCGUUUGCUUUGUUCAAACCAUCAUUUGAAUUUUUGGGUUUCACUGUGCUCAUUUCUCUGCUUCUUCAUAAUUUGCUGGUGUUUGCUUCUCAUCCCUCUGUUGGUAGAUCUUUUUCUCAUUUCUUGGUUCCUUAUGUAUUCUUUUGUACAAAUCUGUUUACUUUUUUGCUGUGUGAUAAUCUUAGCAGGUGAACUAUAUGAACGUUUUUUUUGAAACGAGUUAAGAAGAUCCAGCUGAAAAUAGCAUACAAGAUAGAGAACUGGUAUGCUGCUCGCCAGGGAAAGGCUGCUGGAGAGGCCGAGACAGAUGCCUCCUUCAGAAACCAGGUCAGUUUCCUGCUGCUCGGCGUCUUAAUGUAUCCAAAUUGUUUAUCUUUUGAUGAAAUUAGCUGGCUUUAUUUUCUAUUUUAUUUAUCUGCAUAUUAUUUUGGUUUGUUGAAAUUUUGACUAUAGUCAUUGUCACAUGGGCGCCCAGCCCAACCCAAAUUAGUUGAGGAUAUUUAAAUCUUCACCAUGGUAUUAUAGUACUCACUCACAGUUGUGAAUACUAAGGUGCAGGCAUGGCAUGAAGAAGUGGACCGUGCACGCCAAUGUCAGAGGGAUGCAGAGGGCAAGCUUUUUUCUUUGGAGGUAAGUAUCCUUUGUUUAUUGCCCAACAGUGUUGUUAUUAUCAAUUUGUAGCUUUGCGUUCUGAAUUUUUUGCUUUGUCAAACAACCUUCUUGAAAUGCUCGAUUUCAAGCCGAAGUCCAAAAAAUGAGAGUUGAGAUGGCUUCCAUGAAAAGGGAUGUAGAGCAUUACUCGCGCCAAGUGAAAUCUGCUUCCUCUCUUUUCGUAUAUCUUCAUAUGAAGAGUUUUACUAAGUUAUAUUGAGAACUAUGUUAUUUAUAGGUUAUAUUUUCCAUUUUGCAGGAACACAUGGAGCUAAGGAAGAGCUAUCGUGAACUCACUGAUCUACUGGUAAUGUCACUCAAACUGCUUUAUUUGUGCAUGCUGCUACUAUGCGCUUGAAUGCAUUUUAUUACUGGCGGGAUGCAAGAAAGCUAGAUAUAUGUGCUGGAUCGCUUGAUUAGUGUUAGGGUUUUAACAACUAAUUGUUAGCAGCUAGAAGCUCUGGUUAGAUGAAUGCUAAUUUGAUUUUCCUUACAGUACUUGAGUGCCAGUUUCAUAUUGUUUGUUCCCUGCUGGAUACCUGUUGUACAGUUUCAUUUCUGUUUCUUUAUAACUUUCUUGGCCCUGGGAUAUAUGCAUAUUGAGUACAAUGAAUAUCCAUUGUUCUCUAACUGUUGGGCUUUACUAUCUUUGUAGCAGCCUGCCUAACAUUUUUUAGGCUCUACACUCUACCAUCCAAUUUAUGAAAAAUUCAAAGAUUGAACGGUAUUGAUUGCAGAAAUGAAAAAAAUACUAUGAUAUUAGAAAGGUGAAUGUAAUUGUGUUAGAAGAAGCGUCUAGCAUGAUGGGUAAUAUUUUAAGUUUGUAUUUCUAAAAUUUUUUCGUUCUGGAGUAUGAUUUACCUCAAUUGUUUUGUACUUUAAUCUUUACUAAUUUUCAUUGUGGAGUAUGAUUUGCCUCAACUAACAACUUUUCAUUGUUUAACUUUUUCCUCCCUUAGAUAGUUGCAUAUGUUUGAUUUGUUAAUCUGCUUCUUACACAUGUUGUUUCCUAAUGGUGUAGGUGGGUUGCCGGAUGCAUGUGCAGAUUACUUGAAUAGACGAAGCUAAGAAUGACUUAGUAUUAAGUGAGAAAGAAGCUUGGGUCAGUUGGAUUUUGAUAUUUGAUUUAUUCAUGUUUUUUGUUGCUUGCAAUGUUCUCGCAUUGUUGUUCUGAGAUUCUGUGAUCUUAUUUUUCAUAGGAACUGACAUUGGUUUGCCAUAUAAUGUUUCAUGAACUAAUACAACAACUAAUCACCUUGCUUAGCUCUCAAGACACAUACUUAAUAGGUUAACAAACACUAACCUAUAAACUGAUCUGCUAAGCUGGACCAUUAACCUCUGUUUAUAUCCCUGCCACUCAUCUUUUGGCACUUAUCAAUAGCAAAAUUUAGAGUUACUGAAACCCCAAUUUUAAUGAAUAUUAUUUUUAGUUGAUAAUUAAAAUUAAUUGAUGAUUAAUCUAUUCCAUUGUGCAUUAUUUUAUCGCCAAAUACUUUGAAUAUUCAUUAGCAAAAGAUAUAGGGUUCACUAUUUAAUGAAUAGAAUUUUGAUGGUGGAUUGCAUUUCCUGAGUUAUAAAUGUGGUGAAUCCAUUAUUUACUAGCUGAAUAAUCAUAAUGUUUUGGCCACUUACCUUGAAUUUUGUUCAAAUUGAAGAAGUCACAUGUUUCUUUCUGUUGUUGAGGUAAUCUCUCUGUUGAAAGCUUCUAUUUCUUUUUUCUUUUUCUCUUUUUCAUUUGGGUAGAUUUUUUUUUUAUGGAUUUAUGUAUUUUUUUUCAGAGAAUUCGAAAUGAAAUAAGAAUAGCGGAUUGAGCAUAAACAAAUUGAUGAAAUUUUUAUUUGAGUGUUUGUGUUGGUCCUUUUUUGAUUUGUUGAGGUUUGGAAUUAUUUGAGUUUUUUUUGCUGUUAGUACUGUGAAGGAUGCUUGGCAAUCGCGAAAUGGGGGCUACCUCUUUGGAAAGAGAAGUCUCGCUAUCCAACCUCUCAUGAAUUACAAACAGGGUGCUUUCUUGCUGAAAAACCACUAAACCAGUAGAACUUUCCUCGGUUCUUCAAUUCGAUUCGAAUAAUUUUUUUACCCAGAAAGCCAGCGUUUCCUGGUGGGUUUUACAGCUUUCUCAAUGUUUUUGUGAUUUUGGAUUUGCAAAUUUGUUUUCUGUUCAAAUUUCCUUUUGUGAUUUUGGAGGUUUUGUUUAUCGAUUCUCUCACUCAUCUCUCAGCUCUCUCUCACUUUUGAGGUACAUGCCGUUGGAUUCCAUUUGCUGCUGCUGAUCUGCAGGUAAAGCUUCAAUUACCAUAUAAAGUUUACAUUUUUCAUGAUUUCUUGAAUUUGGGUUUUAAACAAAGGAAAUAUUGCUAGAUUCUUAUCUUAUGUGCAAAUUACUGGCUAUUUGGAUUGAUGCUUGAGAUUUAGAGAAUGCCUCGAAGCUUUAAUUUCUUUUUCCUUCAUUAUUACUGUUUUCAAAAUUUUUAUUGCUGGGUAUUGAUAAUUUGUAGUAUGUGAGGGCUUCAAUAUGUUGGAAUUUUGAAUGGUUAUUGCUUCAUCGGAAUUUGGGUGGUCCAAAUUUUGAAUUAGAAGAAACCCAUUUGAUUAAUAUUUUUGGUGGAUUGGUUCUCUGUGUUUUCCUUGCUAUUUCUCCCCCAGUUGGAAAUUGGAAGCCCCAACUUUGAGCUCAGAGCUUGAAUUUCUCAAUCGUUCGUUUCUCUGCACUCUCAUCAGUCACUCUUGAUCCUCUAUCUAAAGAACUGGGUAAUUUUCCAGCUCUAUCAAGUAAUACUCCAUUUAAUUGCUUAAUUGAGGUUUUUUGUUUCUCUUUUUCGCUCUUUCAUCAGUUCAUUGGCUUUGAUGUUGAGCUUAAGUAAAUGGGAGAUCAUUAAUUGGCAUUGUUCAAGAUAUAAUUCUGUGUUUUUGGAUUUGUGAAACGAUUUGCCUAAUGAUGAUAGUGGUUAAAAUAAAUUUUUCGUUAUGAAAGAGAACAUUGUUCUUCAUUUGCCUAUGGUUUUAAGUACAAAGUUAAACUACUAUGCUUUUGUUCAAUUGACUGCAACUCAUGCCGCAGUUUGCUUCACAAACCUCUACGGUUAGCUUCCAUAUAGUAUGUUGCAAGUUUGAGGAUAUCUUUACAUCUUAAUUUUUGCUCUCUCUGGUUGCUUCAAGUUUGUAAUUUUACGUGUUACAUUGCUACUUGAUUUGAUUAUAAAAAUGCAAAACAAAAUCCGUUUUGCUUUUAUUCAACUUAAAUGUAUCCUUUUGUUUGUUCAUAAUUGUGUUGAAUUUAUUCAACUUAAAUGUGUUUUAUUCAUCUGUUUACGCUUAAAACAACUGGUUUCCCUAGCAAUGCGCGGGCCUAAUUUCUAGUACAUAUACUAAAAGCCAGCAGAAAAUUACUGUUCAUCAUGGGAGAUAGAGCACUGUUCAUUAACCGUGAAAGGGCGAAAAUGCCCUCGGAUUCUUCUUUACUUCACGUACUGUUUACGAAUUGCUACAGUAUAAAGUCCGUUUUGUCCUUCCUGUCCACGCAUCUUUCAUCGUCCGUUUCUCUUGCUUCGACCACAUCUUUUUUGCUUUACCUUUCCUCUUCGUUUUUCGCAUUCGUUAGGCUACGAUUUUCGGAGGUGGAUUGUUUGCCCUCCCAUUUCCAUGGUCUCCCCAUGCCCUCCCAUUUCCAUGAUCUCCCCACGUCAAUAUUUUAUAAAAAUAAUAAAUAAAAGGUAAUAAGAAUAUAAAAUGUUGACGUGUCUUAACGUGACCACAUAGGCAUUGGGAGAGCAUGGAAAUGGGAGGGCACACAAUCCACCUCCGACUUUCUCCCUUUUCGCCAGCCCCUCUUUUGCUCUCAAAUCCUUGCUCUUUCUUUUGCAAAAUAGUCUCAGAAGAGAUCCUGGGUUUAUCGAAUCCUUUGUUGUUGGGCGUUUUGUUCUCAUCUUGCGAUCGUCGGGGCAGCAGCUUUAAGGUAAGUUUGUUUUUAAUGAUUUAUCCUCAUUUUACGAUGUCUGGGCUAACAAAUUUAAGAUCUUUAUUUUUCUUUUUGCUGCGGAUCUGCAGGUUUUGACAAGUUUUUUGUGAAAUUGGUGCUGUCAGUGGGUGUUAACAUCAGGUACCCAUGUUCAGUUUUUCGUUUUGAUUUGAAGGAAUUUCUUGCGCAGAAGAGCUAGGGUUUCUUGGUGAGUUCUUCGGGUUUUUCAUAUGGGUAAUUUUCUUUUCGGUUUAACCCUCUGCUUCUGCUGCUCUCUCUCUUUCUCUCAUCCCUGCCUGCUCCUCUCCAAUUGUUUGCUGUUCUUAAAUAUUGUGUUCAUUGCCUGAUACAACGAGGCAAUGGCGUGACAACAGGUGAGCUUGGAUAUCCAAAGAAAAAGAACAGUUGGUUCAUCUGCUGGAGUCUGAAGCUCAGAGAAGUGGAGGAAAAUUGCAGGUGUGCGAGAAAUUUUAUUUUGCUGAUAGGACUCCUUAUUUACGGAUGCAUUUUGAAAUAAUUGAAAAGUUGGAUUUGAGUUAACAGCUAUAAAAAUGUAGACAUGAUUGCUGAGAUUAUGCUAUGAAAGUGGAAUAAAAAAAUGGUAGUUUAUAAUAUUGCGUACCAAUUGUUUUCUCUCUUUUUUACCAAAUGAUAAGGGUGGUGGCUCAGGCCGCCCCCCUAAGCGUCCCCACUCUUCGACAAGUUGAAAUCGUGGUGAUAGUUUAUGGGCUGUGGUCUUGGGAUUCUGCAAAUAGAAUGAAAAACAGACACUUAACUAUCUUGUUAUUAAGCAUUUCUGCAUCAUUCAGUUGCUCUUGAUUUUCGUCUUUUAAGCGAUCUUAUUUCUGCGAUCUGACUUGAGGAGGGUUUUUAGACCUAUGGUUGUGGGUGUUUUCUCUGACCCCAUUAUCCGAGAUUUGUAGACUUGCGAUCGGCGGUCAAACAUUUUGUGAUUCUUGUUUUCUCUGCCUUUCGGUCGUUAAGCGCCGGCAGUCUUUAGAUCUUUGGCAAAUCAAUUUAAUACAACCGAGGUAUGUUUUAUAACUGCUGUCUUUCAAUUUUUGUUCUGUAUUUUUGUUAAUUUGGAUGAAGCUCUAAUAAUUUUGUUUUGGAUCAGUUGUGGUCCUCUGUUAGGAUUUUCCUGGCUAAGAGGGUAUUUGCGUUUUUGUUGCUUGGUUGGUCGAUCACAGAUUUACGAACAGCUGUGGUGGUCCUGUUAUUUUUUUGGUAUGUUUUUUCUCCUUUUUGGUUUUUUCCCGGUUUGAGCACCCAUUCAUGAAGAAUUAAAAUGUGUUUAUAGUUUUUCAGGAGAGAUUAGAAAAGUGAUUUCAAUUUGGGAAAAUUUAAUGUUGGUUAAAAUUUGUUUAUAAUUUUUGGGAAGGAAUGAGAGGACCCAUUGAAGUAUGUGUUGUGAUUAUUUUUUAUUCAUAUUUUUAACAAAUUGGGCAUGAAUUGGUAGGUUAACUGUGUGUGUUUAUUAUUUGAAUCGGCCAUGUUUGUCUUUCUAUGGUUCUAAAAAAUUUGUAAAGGCUGUUAACUUGGAAGAAAAUGGGAUCGAGGGUGAGGGGAAAACGGCAGAGAAAGCAUGGAAGAGAGAUUUGGGAUUAGGGGUAGGAAAACAGAUGAAAAGAAUAUGAUAGAGGAAUGGGUUCAGUUCAUUUUCACUAUUUUUUUUAACUGAUUUGGAUUUUGUUUGGGUUUGAGGCCAUCAUUGGCGUUAAGACGUUUAUUAUCAGAUCGUGUGUUUUUUGCUAACUUUUAUUGGUAAUUUUAAUGUUGUUCUUAUGAUUUUGUGUGGUAGGGUUUCUGAAUUUUAUCGUUAUUCAUUUGGUUUUGUGUGUGUGUUGGUUUGUUUAUUUUGCAGGUUGUGUUUGUGCUGGGACAACAUUUUCCACCUUCUGUUUGCACUGGGAUGAUUGCGUUUUAAAACUGUUGGGGUGAGAUUUACAUAUGGAAUCAUUCCAUUUUUUUUCUUCCAAAUAUGUGCAUUUAGUUCUCUUUUAUUUUAAAUUUUAAAAAUUAAAUCGUUAUUUGAGUAAAAUGUUUUAUCAGUUUAUGUUAUGUGUUGUGACCAGGAAUUCUGUUGGAUUUGCGAAUUUUGGUUUGAUGAGAGAAAUGAGGAGUUUUUUUUGUUUGAAUUUUUUAUUGGACCGAUUUUCAAUUGGAUUGCAUUCUGCCUUUUUGCACCAUUCUUAUGCAAGCAAUUCAUUGUUUUAAAUACAAUUUGAAGAGAGCUGGGUUGCGGGUUGGAUAUAAAAUGUUAAGGUGAGAUAAAAUCGAGAUACCAAGGGUGGAAGAAUGAUUCAGAAUUGGGGGAGGAAAACAGAGGGAAGAUAGAAGAAUAUAAGAGAAGGAUAGGGUUGACCUCAUUUAGAGUUUUUAUUUACUUAUUUUUUUUUAUAAAUUGAUUCAGGACUUGCAUAUCAUUUCUAAAUUUCUAACAUUUUUGUUUAAUUUGACUCCAGUUGAUGGAAAACAGAGCUCUUACUCCUAUCAAUCAGAUGGUCCCGUACAUAAAUGCAGAAAAAUCAAGGUUCGAGUUUGCAGAGUAUGCAGACCAAGGUUUCCCGAAACUACUGGUGCAUAUUCAGGCUUGCAUUGUAUAUUACUUACCUAUUAAAAAUUUGUUUGGAAUUUGCUUUUCCCACAGAGGAGAAGAGCUGACAGUUACGCUGUGGGCAGAUGUUGCUCGAAGUAUUGCUUCUUUAUCCAUUGAAUCAUUGUCUCUGCCGAUCAUUGUGGUUUUCACAAGUUUAAAGGUCAAGCUGUACCUAGGUAUUUGACUUAGUUAAAAACUAAUCUAUUUACUAUUAAUUUUUCUAUUAUAUUCAAACGUUAUUUAAUAUAUACUCUACUAAUAUUUUCUUAACAUGUCACACAAACAUAUUCACUUCUUUUGAUCAAUUUUUUUACAGCAUUUCAUAUAAAAGCUAACAUUUAGUUGAAAUUGAUUAGCAACUCUUUUCUUGCAUGUAUACAUACGAAUUAAACAAUAGUAUUAAACUAUUUGUUAUCAUUCUCAGUAUUUGUUUUAGAAUUAGAUUAAUAUAUUUAACCUGUUUUAGAAUUAGAAUUAUUUGGUAUCACUCUCAGUAUUUGUUUUAGAAUUAGAAUUAGAUUAAUAUACUGAGAUUAUUUAGACAAAUCUAGCAUUUUCUCAAAAUAUUUGACUUUUAAACUUAGAUUAAUAUAUUUAGCAGUUUUUUAACAUGCAAUUUUUCAUUAAUUUUUCAACACACAGACAAGAUAGUCUUGAACACCAUUGGUUCAUCACUUUUCUUCAUUGAUCUAGAUAUUCUGGAAGUAAAUUCAUACAAAUCAGUGUAAGUGUGUUUACUUUGUUUAAAAAAAUAUUAUAUGCUCUCACAAUAAAAGAAGGGCUAUUCUCACAAAAUUUAUGAACUAAUGUUCUGUUUUAACCUCUACAGCUUUUCCAAAUGCACAGAACCUCUAAAAAUACUGCCACCUUUUACAAAACAGGCCCGUGAAGCUCAAAUCUUGCAGACAGCGAAGGUCACAAUUGCAGACGCUGAAAUUUUCAUGCCAAAAUAUGAUGUGGAGGAUGAGAAAUUGUUUGCUGUUGUUCUCUUUUCAGUUUUGCAGGCGAUGAUCUUUUACCAAAUGUCGAGGAGCUUCCAUGGGACAUGCUCUAUGCUCUCGCUUCCCAGUUGCCUCUGUUGGGGUUGGAAAAGCUACAGAUCACAAUGUAAGUCAAAAACAGUAAAGUUCCCAAGAUGUUCUGUGCUGGAGCAGAUUUAAAGGUACGAAUUUUUAAUUUUUUUGUGAAGUCGAUGUUUUGUUUUAAAAGGAGUUUAUAAUGGAUUGAUUGGACAAGUACAGCGUGUUUUGCAGAUAAAGGGCCCUAGCCAAUUUUCUAUGACCUAUAAAGCAUUAACCAAAUUGGGUUUUGUUUGUUUGGUAACAGGGGUUGUUCAGGUUAGGUUGGAGAGGUUGGAGGUGAGAAAUGCAAUUGGGAAAGAUACGCUGAGAGUUUUACAGAACACCUUUGAAGCUGUCAGUGAGGAUUCUUCUGCUAAUGUUUUGUUGAUCAGCAGUAAAGUUCCCAAGAUGUACUGUGCUGUAGCAGAUUUAAAGGUAGGAAUUUUUAAUUUUUUCGUGAAAUCAAUGUUUUGUUUUAAAAGGAGUUUAUAAUGGAUUGCAUGGACAAGUACAGAGUGUUUGUUUGUUUGGUUGAAUGUAAAAAGGAAUUGGAAGAAUGAUGAAAGUACUUGCAUUUGGUUGUAGUUGGUCAGGCACUGAAGGACCGGUCAAUACGAAGUGCAUCUGUGGGACAAUAGUUGAAAGAAGGCCAGAGCAGGAAGAGAAGGCAAGGUUUGUGAAGAAAAACAGUGAUGUGUUUAAUUAGAAGAAAUGUGCAUUUUUUUUUCCCAGUCAAAUUCUGCUUUUGUUCUGACUAUUUUCCUUACUGUAUGCUGAUUUUAUUAUUUAAUUUUUGGUUUUUCCUUGAUUGGCUUGGGAAUUACAAUCAAAUGAUGAAUCUUCAGUUUACUUGGGUAAGCAUUUUUUAACAUAUAAUUUAGCUGACCAUUUUAACUGUCAGACCAUGUUGUUUUUGGUUAUCUAAUCAUUCCAAGAUGGCAAGUUAGGAUUGGAAGGGUUGCUAGAAAUAAGGAUUAUAUCUUGGGACAUUCGGUGAGUGAUUUUUCAAACUUUCAGUUUUACAAGACAAAAUAUCUAUUUUUGUGUGUAUUCUUCAAGCAUGUUAUCAUUAUUUAGGUUGUAGGAAAAAAAGAGAGUGACUUGAGGUGUUUUUAGAUAUUUUUGUGUGUAUUCUUCACAAUGUAUUAAAAGCGCGAGGCGUGGGCGAGGCGUCUGAGGGAUAGCCCACGCCUCACGCCUUACGGGACCUAAAUUUUUUAAUAUAUACACUGAGCGUACACAUAUAUUAUAUUAAAAAAAAAUUAUUAAUCAAUAAUUACCCUGAGCGCACAUAUAUAUUAUAAAUACAUAUAUACACAUAUAUAUACAUAUAUUAUGUUAUAUAUAUAUAAAAUAGAGGAUGAAAAGCACAAUGAGCACACAUAUAACAAUGCAUGCAGACGGCACACAAUAUAGUGCAAGGAAUAGGUAUGAGGUAGUUAAAACCCUACCCAAAAUCUGGGUUUGGGAGUAAAAAUAAAAAAUAAAAAAAAAAUUGCUUGAGGCGCGUCUAGGCGGCUCCGACAACGCCUUCCGGCGCCUUCCGCCCACUCCCUCAAAACAAAGGCGGCAACCCUCAAGUCCAGCCUCACAGGGUGCCUAGGCGCACCCUGAGGUGAGCCUUUUAAAACAUUGAUUCUUCAAGCAUGCUAUCAUAAUAUUUGUAACUAUAAAAAAUAAUAUACUAUUAUACCUCUGUUUCUCUUUUCUUUGUUUUCAUGAGAAAUUAAUUGCCAUUGGCAGCACUAUAGAAAGCCAUCUUUCUCCAUUAUUCUCCGCUUCAUGCAUAAUUACAUAAUUCUACUAUCACAGUUGUCAGUCCUGAACAAUCAUGCAAGUCUAGUGGCAAAAACCACCUCAAUGAACAACUCUCACACACACACAGACACUGAUCAUACAUCUCUAACUCUCUUUUUCAAAUAACACACACUCUGAUCCAAAACAGGGUAAAUAAAAUGCACAUCCUUAUACAUUUCUAACUUUGUUUUUCGAAAUCCAAAAUAGGGUAUUCUAACUCUCUUUUUCAUUCAUUUCUUACAAACCAAUCAUACAUUUAAAAUAGGCUUUGAAUAAAAAUAGGGUAUAUAAUUAUAUACCUCAAAAUGCCUAGGAACCAACUUCCCCCUCCAACGAUUCAAAUUCUUGAAAUUGCCAACACAGUAAAUCCAUUAGUACUAUAUAAAUGAAAACACAAUUGAAACCCAUCAAACAAAACAAUCCCACAAUUUAAAUGAUUCAAUCCUACUACAAUUGAAAUUCACAGAAAGAAUGAAAAACCAGAACAAAACUGCAGCACCUAAAAAGUUGUCAUACAAAAAAACAUGGAAUGUAAAAAUAUGUUAAGAAAUCUAGUUCGUUAAUUUCCAGCUGCUAAGUGGCAUUAUGUAACUUUAGUAGUAUACUAAUUAACUACUUAUCUGGUGGGUUGCACUUUUAUCCAAUUGGUAAGGAAAGGAAAAUAAAAAUCAACCCCUUGGUCUUAGUUGUGGCUGCAAAGUGCAGGCCACCACCAAGUCUCAGUGUUUGUGUUUUAGCAAAACACUUAAAUAAAUUAAAUUCUGAAAUGUAAAUUAUAUUCCUAUAACUUUAAGAUGCACAUAUAGUAUUGUUGAAGUCGAACUGAAAGCACUGACAAUUCCAAGCAACAGAGCAGCAAUUAUUAAGAGCCAAAACUCAUUCCUAGUCUCCUCAUCCUGGUACUCAACUCCGUAAUCUUUGGUCAGCAUCAUUGACUGAAAUUAGGAGAGAAAAAGAAAAGGAAUUUCAGAAAUUGUCUAUGAAGCAAAGGAUACUGCAGUUACUUCAAGACAUGUAAAUUGCAUAUGUAUAAAGUAAUUUUCUACAUAAAGUAAUGAGGCAUAACUUUCUCUCUCCUCUUCAAACCCUAAACAGAGCAAAGCAACAAACUUUACAGAGAUUAGAAUGAGAACUGGAACUAAUCGAACAAUGACUGAAAAGUAACAUACUUGAGGAGUGAAUGAUUUAGUGUUUCCAUCAUCGGAAGCCGGAGUAAGUCGCUAAGAGAGGUCGCAAACAGCCCAAAGGGACAAACCCAGAUCCCCGGCCCCGAUCCAUACCCUUCCCCCUCAAAUCCCGACGGCCCCCAUACUUUUCUCUGACUGUACCCCCUCUCCCACUCAUGAAAUCGAGGAUCUGUAGCAAUGGUACUGAGAUCCCCACUCCUCCCUCUCCCUUUCUCUCUGUCGCUCUGUCUCCCUCUCCCUCUGUCUGUCUAUCUUUAUCCCAGAGCGGCAUGGCCUCCCAUCCCUGAAACCCUCACCGAAAGGUGGCAAUUUUGUAAAUAACUUGAAAUCCACCAACAACAGGGGCAGAGAAUUGAAACAAACAUUUAGGCUCGUUCGAUAACCAUUUAGGCCAAAACUGAGCACACCUAAACCAUUCCUACCCGUGCCAAAUGUUAGUGGGGAAGCAAGAUGAAGACUUAUUUUUCAAAACCAAAAGAAAAAAAAAAGAGAAAACAAAAUAACAAAUCUAAUGGUUGUAGUGUAAAAGCUGAGAACGUAAAUAAGAGCAGUUCCAGCCUUGUAAAUAGGCCGGGGGACAGGGGAGAAGAAAAGGCCUGAGGGCCUGUCAAGUUGCUCCAGCUAUGAGGAGCCCGAGCUCGUGGAGAAGGCCCGAGCAGGGGGUCUGUCAAUUUGUGACAGCCUCGGAGCCCGAGCUCCAAGCCCAUUUUUUAUUUUUUUCUGUCAGGCGCGUGCACCCCACUCGCGCGUGGGGGCGCGUCGCCCGACAACUUUUCAGAAAAACAGACAACUUUUCAGCCUUUCACAGUUACCGUUGGGAAGCCACGUGGCUUCCCACGGUCUGUUCGAUCUCAACGGCUCCUUCAUUUGGACCGUUGGAUCUCAAUGGUAAAAAAAAUAAAAAAAAUCUGAUUUAAUAUCAACCGUUCGAUCCGAGAUCAACGGUCGAUAUUAAUAUGCUUUAUAAAUAAAGAAAAAAUAGUUUUAAAAUUAAGAAAAGUUACCGUUGUGACACGUGGCACAAUCUGGAGUGUUGGAAUUCAAAAUUUUUUAAAUCCAACGGCAGAAAUUAAUUAUUGGAAUUUUUUUUUAAAAAUGGAAAAAAUCCGAAAAAAUUGUAAAAAAUCUGAAAUUUUUUUUGUAAAAAUUUGUUUUUACUUUUCUAUAAAUACCACUUCUUCUCUAUCUACCUUACACCACAAUUUCAUAUUUUCUCAACUACUUUCAAUCAAAUUCCUAUCUUUCUCUUAAAGUUUCAAUCCAAUUUUUUUCCACAAAAUGGCUACUGAUGCAGGUUCGAAUUGGUCGCUUCUUGAAGAUGUUGCGUUGUGCACUAGCUGGGUUCAAGUUACUCAUAAUUCCGUUACGGGUAAUGAGAUGCAGUUGCGAGAAAUGUGGAGUUUAAUUCAUACCAAAUUUGUUGAGCAAAUGAGUGGGAAAAGAACCAAAGAAUCGAUAUCGAGUCGUUGGAAAAUACUUAGCCAUUCCUUUAGUACGUGGAGAGAUGCCUUGACACAAGCUAGUAAUAAUGUUCGAAGUGGGGCAAAUUAUGCGGAUGAGGUAAGAAUAUAUUAUAAUUAUUUGUUUGUAUUAUUAUUUUGUUACCUAAUUUGAUUAUAAUUAUUUGUUUGUUUCAUUUAUUUGUUACCUAAUUUCAUUAUUAUUAUUUGUUUGCAAUAUUUAUUUGUGACCUAAUUUCAUUAUUAUUAUUUGUUUGUAUUAUUUAUUUGUUACCCAAUAAUUUCAUUAUUAUUAUUUGUUUGUAUUAUUUAUUUGUUACCUAAUAAUUUCAUUAUUAUUAUUUGUUUGUAUUAUUUAUUUGUUACCCAAUAAUUUCAUAAUUAUUAUUUGUUUGUAUUAUUUAUUUGUUACCCAAUAAUUUCAUUAUUAUUAUUUGUUUGUAUUAUUUAUUUGGUACCUAAUAAUUUCAUUAUUAUUAUUUCUUUGUAUUAUUUAUUUGUUACCUAAUAAUUUCAUUAUUAUUCAUUUGUAGCAACUUCAAGCACAAGCAUGGUAUGCUGCCAAAAUCAAAUCAAGAAACAAAUCAUUCCACCGAUGGGAAUGUUGGAAUAUUGUUAAAGAUUGUCCUAAAUUCAAAGUUGUGCCUGUUGGUCCAGAAGUAUGCAUGAACAGCAUCCCUCUACACAGCACCUUUGUAUACAGCAACCCUCCACACUCUACACCUGAUGAUGGCACUCAGGUUGAUGAAGAAGAUGUAGAUUUAUUUAAUUUCGUAAUAUAUUUAUCCUAAUAAUAGAAUCUUUAUUCAUCAAAUUGUUCACGUAUAAUGAAAUAAUGAAACACACCAAAUAAAACUAAAAAACUCACCAAUUGGAAUUACAUAAACAUACCAAAUAAAAUUACACAAACAUACCAAAUAAUAAAAAACUCACUACAAAAAACACACCAAAUUAAAUUACAUAAACACACCAAAUACAAACAAAUAUAGUAAAUAAACUUAAGUAUCUUCAGCUUGUUUCAAUGCCCACUGGUGCUCUAUCAAGUCAAUUUGCCGAUCAUUGUGUAUAGAUGACCUUUGAAGUGCAGUAUAUUGUUGAAUAACCCUUUCAUUGUAACGUCCAUCCCUUUCUAAUGGCUCGUGUUGCACGGGUUCUUCGGUGGCAUCAUGCGCACAAUAUAUCCGUGUUCUUGAAUUGUUCAUCGUGUCUGGCUCUGGCUCAUAUUCAUCAACCGCAUCAUAAUCGAACUCAUCUUCCACAAUCAUGUUGUGAAGAAUGACGCACGUCAUCAUGAUGGAUCGAAGUGACUCUACAUCGAACAUUCUGGCAGCACCCCUGACAAUCGCCCAACGAGCUUGAAGGAUACCAAAACAACGCUCCACAUCCUUCCUGCAUCCCUCUUGACAGCUUGCAAAGUGUUUUUCCUUUGCACUUCUCGGACGUGGCACUGUUUUGACAAAUGUUUCCCACUGUGGGUAAAUGCCGUCAGCUAGGUAGUAUGCCCCGUCGUACCUACGUCCGUUGACGACAUACGUGACUUGUGAUGCCUUUCCUUGGAGGACGUCGUUGAACACUAGGGAUUGGGUAAGGACGUUGAGAUCAUUUUGAGCCCGGGAACCCCGAAAAAGGCGUGCCAUAUCCAUGUAUCAAAAGAUGCCACUGCCUCCAAAAUGAUAGAUUUUGCUCAUUUUCUGUCCCCAUAUGCGCCUUGCCAUGCACUUGGACAGUUUUUCCACGUCCAGUGCAUACAAUCGAUGCUUCCUAUCAUCCCAGGAAAACCUCGCAUCUCGCCCUUCUUCAGAAGCCUUUGCAAGUCCAUGUGAGUAGGUCUUCGGAGGUACUCUGCCGUGUACAAAGAUUCGACUGCUCCGCAAAACCUCAUCAGGGCCUCAAGAAUGGUUGAUUUCCCCAUCCUCGUUAUCUCAUCCACUUGGUCUGCAGAUGCUCCAUACGCAAGCAUCCGCAACGCAGCAGUGAUUUUUUGCUCUGGCAGAAGAUCCAUAACACCACAAGCAUCCUUCUUUUGCACGAAGUAAGAAUCAUGGUUGCAAACAUCAGUCAUGAUUCUGUUGAACAAAUGUCGUUCCAUUCUAAAACGGCGUCUGAAGUACGUAUCAGGAAAUGCACUGUUAUGGACGAAGUAAUCGUCCAACAGCUCUUCACCCCGUCGUUGCCUGCUUCUAUCAAGGUUUUUUGAACGGCUGGGCCUGCAUAUCUGAGCAACAGUCUGGAUGACUCGACGAGAAUGUGAGGCUCUGGCCAUUCUUGUUUCGUCAUCUCUCUUUCUACGCUCCUCAUCUUCUUCCAUCUCAUUUCUGCCUAUAUGAAGGUUGAACAUUCCUUCAGAUUGGUUAAACAAUUCUUUCUCUUGCUGAUUGAUUUCCCACAUCAUCCUUGAUGAAGAAGAAGACAUUGUAGGAUGGAUGGUGAAGAAGAAGCAAAAUCUAUGAAUAAUGAGAUUGAGAUGUUGAGAAAAUUGGUGUGAGAUUUGUGAGGAUGGAUGGUGGAUUAUAUGGACGAUUCAGAAAGGAUCGGAUUGUAGAUAAGGCCACGUGGCAUGCCGUCAUUCGUUAAAAAUCUGAUCGAAAUCUGUCCUGAAAGAUUCUGAAAAGAUAAUGACACGUGGCACGAUCGUAUUGGAUAAAAAUCUUAUCGAAAUCCAUCUCCAAUAAUUAUCAUUUUGGAUAAUGACACGUGGCGCAAUUUUGAACGAGUUAAAAUCUGAUUGAAAUCUGUCUUGAAAGAUUCUGAAAAGAUAAUGACACGUGGCACGAUCGUAUUGGAUAAAAAUCUUAUCAAAAUCCAUCUCCAAUAAUUAUCUUUUCGGAUAAUGACACGUGGCGCAAUUUUGAACGAGUUAAAAUCUGAUCAAAAUCUAUCGUCAAAGAUUCUCAAACGAUAACGACACGUGGCACGAUGACAUUUGAUAAAAAUCUUAUCGAAAUCCAUCGUUAAAUAAUUGUUUUUUUUUAUAAAAUGAUACGUGGCGCAACGAUAACGAUUUAAAAAAUCUUAUCCGAAAUUACAAAUAAUUUUAUUUUGUAUUAUUUAAACAAACAAAAAAAACUAAUAUUUUAUUGCCUAUUGCCAGGGGGAGGGCUCCAAGGGUGGAGAUGCAAAUGGCAAUUACUGUUCAUUAAUGUCAGUUACUAUUCAUUCAAGGCAGUUACUGUUCAAUAGGGUGGAUUCAAUAGUGGAUUGCCAGGGGGAAGGUCUUCAUGGGUGGAGUUGCUCUAAACAUGCAGGGAAAAAAAUGAAGAUACAAAGUAGCUGCAUCAUGAAACACAUACUCCAAUUAGACGCAAAAAGUGAUGGUGAUGAGAAGAGAGAAAAUGUUGUCGUUUUGAUUUUUCUGGCUUUUAAAGGGAGCAGCUUUCUUCGACCACCAAAAAAAGGAAGUUGCUUUUCGUGUGGUUGUGAUUUCCUGAGUGUAUGUGAGCGGGUCUAUGGCACUUGCACUGUUUGUGUCGGUUAUGGUAACCGGGCGAGCUGGACACAGUAGCGUGGGACUGAAUUCGGAGAGGUGAGAAAAAUUAAAAACACAAAAAGAAGGUGUUCAUUUUGUCACAUUUUUAUUACUAAAAAUUCAAUAAAGUACAUUCAUUAGUAUGGUAACUUAACUAUUUAAUUCCAUCUCAUUAAACUAAAAAAAACAAUUACAAAAAAAUAAGGAAAACCUUGUCCAGAGAGACCUGAGAGAAAGUGACGACUUCUCCUCUCAUUCCACUCCAUACUUGAUCUCUAAAGUCCAUUUGGCAUGUAAUUGAUGUUCAAUUUCAAAUAAAGUGGUGGCAAUUAGCAAAGCUAAUGAAAGAAUCAAAUAAAAUGAAAGAAAAAGCAUCAUGAAAUAAAUCAAGAUGAAGAAUGAAAUUUUGGCAACUCGCCAUUCUCUUCUUUUAUAUAAAAGAUACAUCCUAUUUGUAGUGAAAACAGGUCCCGACAAACCCAGUUAUCCUCAAGAAGUAUUUUGUAUGACUUUAAAAACAUAAUCCGUGAAAUUAUCUCUUGGCAGAGAACAACAACAAAUCUUCAUGCAUAGCUUGUAGAGAAAGACAUCAGGCAUACAAAAGAACAGGCAAGCAUAAAAUAAACGAUGCAUGGAAAACCAAAAAUACAAUUGAAUAUGCUGUCAAAAGAACAUGAAUAAAUGAAAAUUACAAAACAAAGAAGUGAUGGGAAACCAAAGUAUUCAUAAUCUAAUUGCUUUUUAGUUUGCUUGCCAUUUUUAGUUCUUCAAUUUAGAGAGAAACCAUAAUUCAGCACAUGAAUAAAGUGAAAACGUAAAAGAUACGUGGGAUAAGCUGACAGCCAUCCCUGAGUAAUGCAUUCACUUUUGAACCCCAAACACACCGAAACAAAAAUUCACACACAUGAACUACAGCUCCGCUAUGUAACAAGAAUUAAAAGCAUCUCAAAACAAAAUGGCAAACUAUAAGAGCAUUGUAAAAGUAAAAUUGCAUCUAAUACUUGGAGGGCAAGUACUAAUCAGACGAAAAUGAAAGAUUGAACUACCUCACGUGGAACUGUGCCUUGGUUUUUUCCCAUGCUUACAAGAAGCUUUGCACUGAGCUCUUAUAGCCCAAAUUUUCUCUGAAGGAAAAAAAACACAAUUUUGGAAUAAGAUUUUCAUAUUAUACCUUAAAGAGAAGAAUUAGACAACAAAAAAGAGAACAAUGAGUACUAUUCAUCAUAUAUUGUUAAGAGUAUGUGGUCUUCUAGUCCAAUGGUCCUGCAGUCAUAUUUACUUUAUAACUCUUUCUUUUAGUCUAAAAAAACAUCUUGGAUCUCAAAUUAUUAUGAAUACGGAUUCAUACUUUAUAACUAAAGAUCUUACUGCUCUUGAUAAGAUGAACAAUACGCCAUUUAUCGCAUGCAUUGCAUUACAAUCACAAUGCAACAUCUCAUUAGAAAUCCCCACACAAAGCAGCUCCACUCAUUGUGGUCCUUGCAAACCGAAUUGGCCCAACGAUCAGCGAGAGAAAGGAGACGGCGGCGAGAUGAGGGAUAUGAUGGAUGCGAGAUCGUCUGUAUCGUUAUCGCGGGGGGUCUGCAAGACGGACGAGGAAAGUAGGGUUUGAGAAGGCAUUGUCUUCUCGCGGGGUAUGUGUCCUUCCUAUUCCACGAUUAUCAACACGUGUGCAUCAGGAGGAGCGGCAGAGAGAGGCAUUGUUGUAAAUAAAGUGAAAUCGAAGGGUAAGGGCCCAUUCUUUAAGGUAAUGGCAUGGCCAUAAAUAGAAUGAAAUCCAGAUCAAAACACUGUCAUUUGUACAGUACAAUUUCUCCAUCUUCUUCAGACUAAAGUAAUGUAUAUGUUAUACGCACCAACACAAGUCCUUCUUAGAUAAAUCCAAGCCAAACAAUUACAAACGACAGUUAUUCACAAGAAAAUCACUUUAAAGCAAGAAUUUAAUUAAUAAUACAUUACUACACUUUCUUAACAAUUUGACGGUCACCUAGCUAACAAUGAACACGUUAGCUAUGCGUUAGAACAUAUUGGGUUCAAUCCAUAGUCUUGAAUAUCACCCCGAGUCACAACUGUCUCUUGGGGCAUACAGAAGGCCUGAGAGGCAUUUGCAGACAUUCAAUCUCUCCUCCAAGCAUUUCGACAACUUUGGAAAUCGAAAGGCGAUCACUUGGUUUCAUUUGAAUACACCACAAGGCGGUUAUAACCAUCUUUCUUAUCACUUUCUUUUCCUCCUCUGUAACAUUGUCUAUUUCCAAGUCAUUUCCCACAAUAUACUGAUCAUAUACCCACAUCGGGAAGUAGAUUUGGCUUGGAUGCUCUACCGUUGCAUUCAAAUUCUUCCUUCUGCUUGCCAUUUCCAUCAACAACAUUCCAAAACUAUAGACAUCGGCCUUGUAUGAGACACCUCCAAUAUUUUUGUAGAACAACUUAGGAGCAAUAUAUCCCAUUGUACCCGUGUUGCCGUCAAAGAGACAAUGAGAAAACUCUUGAGUUCUUCAGAAACCACGAGAAACUUAAAACUGAGAAAGCUUCGUGAUCUCCCUUCCAUCUCUGCUACGCAAUCUCUGCUUCCUCCGUGAUUUCUUCCUUCCUGAUCGACAUCUAUUCGAAUUGAAAACCUUCUGGAGCUCACUACCCCCUUUGUCAGCAGUAAUUAGGGGUGGGUUCAAAAAACCGAAAACCGAAAAAAAUCGACAACCGAACCGAACCGAGGCCGAAAAAAACCGAACCGAAAAAAAACCGAACCGAAACUGUCAAACCGAACCGAACCGAAUCUGACCGGUUCGGUUUCGGUUUUUGAGGUUCAAAAACUGAACCGAACCGAACCGAACCGAUAUAUAUAUAUUUAAUUUUUUUUUCAAUAUUAUAAAUAGUUUAGGCAUACAAUCAUAACAAAACAGAACUUGUUGCCAAGUUGGUUUAAGCGAAAUUUUUCACACUGGUGGCAAUGGGUUCGAACCCUCAUGCCUUUAGGAUUUAUGAGAUUGUUUUUUAAUUUUGUUGAGAAAUCAACAAAAUCCUUUAACCCUAACUUUUUUAUUUUUCAUUCCCCUCUUCUCUCUCUUGUUCCCUGCCUCCAGUCCAAACUCCCUCCAUGAACCCUAACCCAGUAACCCUCUCGCGCCGCCUGAGCUUCCUGUCUCUCUCGCUCGGUCUUCAAUCGCUCUGUCUCUCUCAAUCUCUCAGGCAACCCGCGACAGUGCGACCCUUCUCACUCUCAAUCUCUCACACCUCGCCCUCUCCAUCAGUCUCUCAUCUCGCCGUUUCGAGUCUCGAUAGCAAAAGGUUAGCCUCCUCUCUCUCUCUCUCGGUCUUCAACUUCAAUCACUCUCUGUCUCUCUCAAACUCUCUGUCUCUCUCGGUCUUGAAUCUCAGGCGACCCACGACGGGGCGACCCAUCUCACUCUCAAUCUCUCACACCUCGCCCUCGCCGUCAGUCCUUCAUCUCGCCGUGAGCUUCUUCUUGCCGUUUCGAGUCUCGACUGCAAAAGGUUAGUCUCGCCGUGAGCUUCUUCUUGUUCGUUCGCAGACGGAAGCUCUCUACUCCAAACUCUACGAAAAGUACACAAAAAUCAAGGUGUUCUGUGUUCUUUCCCACUUCUUUACAAUUUUUUUUGCUCAUUCAUUUUUUUUUGCUUAAUCAGUUAAUUGUAUGUUAAAUUUGCUCAGGGGAGAAAUUUGAGGUUAGGGAAAUAGAAAGUAAUUGUCUUUUUUUGUACUUUUGAAUUUUUUUUGCUCAUUCAUUUUUAAUUGCAUGCUAAAUUUGAGUUGGGAACUUUUGCUUACUUGUUACCCAGUUGGAUUUUUUUGAGCUACUUUUGCAGUUUCUUUCUUCGUCUUAAUUUGGGAACAAUUUGAUCAUGUUUGACUUAUCAUUUUGUUAUUGGAGGAAAUCAGCAGCUUUAUGGUUUGGCAAGGUGUAGUGACGAUAGAUAGCCUACUUUUAUGUAUAAUUUGAAAGAGGAUGGAGAUAAGUAUAUUUCUCUGGGAAUCAGAGCUUCCAUGAUAUGUGAUUACCUGUUAUCUUUGAAUUUCUCUUCCGACUCUUGUAUUUCCUUAAGUGAAACUAUGGCCCUGCAAAUUUGACAUGUUGUUGAAGGUUGUAAAUCAUAUGUUGUUCUUUUAGUGGUAAAAAUCUUGUUAAACAUGUAUUUUCAUUUAGGUUAUGGACUCUUGGACAUGCUAAGUCAUGAUGGAAAAGACCAAAGAUUCAUUGGUAACGUGUUCUGAAAAGUAGCAUAGGCAUUGCAAUUCUCUGAGUAGCGUUUUAUUAUGGAUAACGUUUUUGGUGCUGAAGGAAGAUUUCCAUCAAACCUAGCAUCAAUAGAGCAUAUUGUUUCUUGACUACAUUAUGUAUGAGUAUUAGAGUUUAAAUUGUAAACGGAUCUGGACAAUAUAUGAAGUUGGUAUUGAUUUCUCUCAGAGAACAAAUAGAAUUGAACAUCCAGGCUUGUUCUUGUUGACAUGAUUUAUAUAAGAUAUACUUAUAUCACUUUAGAGAAAACUGGUUAUAUGCAUCUGUAUUGUCUCAAAUUAAUUUUAGGCUUCCCUUCAAAGCGUUCUUUUUGUCCAUCCAUCUGGGUGGUGUUCAAUUUUAGAUUAUCCUUUGAAUACUAGACGUCCAGAUAAUGGCUUUGUGGUCCUUCAAAUAAAUUACUGAUAAUGUUCAUGCAGUUGAUGGUGAAACAGGUAUGGUAAUUAAACGACUUCAUGUUUAGGAAUGAUAGGCUUGUACUUUGUAUUUUAAAGAUGUGUGCAUUUUUCAUAUAAAUUUUGUUCAUUGUGUUAGAAUGCUUAUAUUAUAAUUGUGUUGGAGAUGUUAAAAUUUUAGAUUUCAAUUUUGUUUUCAUUUUUCCCAAAAAAAAAAAAAACCGAAAAAAACCGAAACCGAAAAAAACCGAAAAAAAAAAUGGACCGAACCGAACCGAACCGUUUUGAACCGAACCCAGCUCUAGCAGUAAUAAUUUGUUUUUGCAGCUUUAUGUGUCUCUGUCUCCAAAUAUGAUGAUCUCUUAAUUUGCUUCUAUAGCUUUUGUAAUAUGAUGAUCUCUUAAUUUGCUUUUGCAUAUCUUCUUUGCUUCUUCUGCUAGCUCUAUAUGAGAUUCCAUCUCCAAAUAAUUGUUCCCUAUUUCCUAUUUUUACAGGAAGCAAAUCAUUGAAUACACAUGGAAAAUUAAAAUGGUUUCAGUUUUUGGUUAGUUUAAAUUUUUUGUUGGUUAUUGCUUGUAUUGUGAAAUCUCGUUCCCGGAUUUCACUGUUAUAAUGUACGUGUUUGUAUUCUCGAGAAUUUAUAUUAAGUUAUUUGAAGUUAUACUUUAAUUAAACUAGUUACGAAGGUUAGAGUUUGGAAAUUAAUUAUUUAAAAUUCGUAAACCGUCCGAGGUCACAAUUUAUAUCUGUGGAUAGAGCUAGGGGUGGGCAAACGGGUCUAGGAACCGCGGGGCGGGUCGGGUCUAGCCGGUUCGGGGCGGGUACAAGUUUUGUAAACUCAAAACGGGGCGGGUCGAGGCGGGUCCAUGUAAUUGGCGGGGCGGGGCGGGUCUAAAUUUCUGAAAAACCGGGUACCCAGGCCCGGACCGUUUCCACCGUCCAUAUACGAAGAUUAAAUCUCUACCAUUCAUUACUACCACUCUUUCUCUUAGUCGCUGACUCUCGCCUCCUCUCUCGACUUUUCCAGGAUCCAUCCUCUCUCAAGAUGGACUCAGCGCCUACUCCACCGCUCACUCCUCCUCUCGUUGAAGCCACGGCGGUCUUCAUCGGUGCUACCCCUGCCCCAUAUUCUCUCAGAUCAGAGUCGUCACUCCCCUCUCCCACUCGAGUCGAGGCCUCUUGUGAACACCACCACCGCCGUCGAAACCUCCUCCAUGAAAGACACCUUCUCCAAAUAUUCUGAUUACCUCAACAAUCUCGUAAUCCCUAAUUUAAUCUUCACCAAUUUGCAGCUCUGUGAGCGACUCGAAGGUUUGUAGAAUGACAAGCGGGAAAGGGUUGUAAAAGCAAGUCGCGAUAUCACCAUUAAUAGCAAAAAGGUCAUCUUUAAGGUUCACAGGUAAGAAAGCUGCGACCUUUUGCUUCAAAUUUUGUUUCUGUUUUUUGGGUUUUUGAUUUUGGAUUUUGGUUUUUUUUUUUAUAAUAAUUUUAUUUAUAUCAUCAUUGAAAUGAUGUUGCUGUGGAAUUUGAACUUGAACAGAAUCAAUAAACACAACAAAGAGGAAGUUCUGCAGAAAGCUGAAAAGGAUUUAGUAGCUGUGAGUCUGCGACAGAUCAGUACAUUUCCCAGCUUGUUAGAGAGAUGCAGGCUAAGUUUUUUUCUUUUAUUACUGUUACUCUGGGAUUCUUUGAGAAAACUUGAAGCUUGAAUUGUUUUUGUUUUCUGGGUGAUUUGGAAAAUGGGCGAAAAAAAAAACAAGGACCCGUGUACCCGGCCCAAACCGGCCCGUUUGAAAAGGGUCGGGUUAGGUCCGGUUUCUAUUUUAAAAUUUGUUGCACCCGGCCCGCUCCGGCCCGUUUCUUUUACACCCGGGUCCGGUCCGGUCCCUUCAAAAUUGGGCCCGGCCCGGCCCGUGCCCAGCCCUAGAUAGAGCUCGAUCUCACGAACGCGUAGGCGCAAAUCGUUCAUGAAACAGAUCUAUAACGAAGAAGUUAUAGACGUUUUAGUUGUUGGAAAAUAAAUAAUUAAAUGUUUAGAAGCUGCCAAGUGGCAGCAAGGGAGAGGGGAGAAAGGAGAGAGUGCGGGAGAGAAAAGAGGGGGACACCCAAUAAGAAAGGAGAAAGGAGGGAAAUGAGAGAAAAGAAAAAAAAAAAGGGAAGAAAAGGGAGAAACGGGUUCGUACGACCCGUGGGUAUUGCCGGCCACCCAUCUCCAUUUGCCGACGAUUUUCCGACGAAUUUCUUCAAACAACCACUUGGAAACACUCCCUUGUCCUUCCCUCUACAUGUUUCACCCUAAAAAUAAAAGGUUUUGGACUUGAAUAGGGAGAAACCGCACUAAGGGUGUAGCGGGUGUGUGUGUCAAAUCUCCCAAAUCCAAAAUGUUUACACCCAACGACCACCAUCAAAAGACUUUCCUUAAGCCCCUGAACAAAGCCCAGGCAGUGGUGGAGACGUCGGAGCAAGUUUAGAGGUCGAAUUGGAGCACACCCAAUUCUAGGGUUCUUACGGGUUUUAGAGAAAUUGGAAUACUUCUUGAUCAAAUUAGCCUUGGUCACAGGUAUAAAGUUUACUCUACUCAUUGAGAUCUUUAUUUCUGUAAUUUUUGGUAAUUUUUAAAAAUAGUUGAAUUUUUCCGGCAAAUCGGGGCGGCCGACCGCCACCCGCUGCGGCGCGUGCGGCGGCGGCCUGGCCAGCGAGCCAACGAUGUCCUUUUAAGUUCAAUUAGAUGCCCUGAUUUCAUAACUGACAUCCUUAUGUUAUGGUUUGAUUGUUUAAACCUAAUUUCAUUACGAUAUGUGGGUAGGUCAAAAUGUGAUUCGACGAUCCGACCGUUGGAUCGUCACCAAACUUUAAUGCGUCAUAGAAUGUAAUAUUUGAGGAUGGUUGGAACUAACGGAUUGGGAAUCUGAUGUAUGGAACUUCCUGAUUUGGAUUUCUAAGUUUGUAAAUCAAACAUUGGUCACCACUUGAAAUUGUAAAAUCAAACAUUGCAUAUAAGCAUGCUAGAGCCUUUAAUUGUUAAUUACAUGUAUAUGUGUUGCUAAAAUGAACUUAGUUUAUCAAAUUUUUAUUUCAAUAUCAACUUCUAUGGCAUGCGUGGUGUCUCAUGUCAAUCACACAAAUGUUAUGUAAAAAGAAUAUACACGUUGUGUUGCAUGAUUGACAAUUAACGACACAUAGUGUUAUAACCGUGUCAAUGUUAUGAAGGUUUUUAUGCAAAGUCACUUGAUAUGCCGCAACAAUUAGUAAACAAUAUUAGAAAGACCUAGAGGAACCCACAAUUAAUUCCGAUUCAAUAAGUAGGUCAUGUGCAAGCAAGGCAUGGGCUUCCCAUGGGUAGGAGCUGGAAUUUACCCAUAUUUGGUAGUUAUGUACCAUAUGUUUACCCGCAUGACGCUGAGUGUAAUCCUUCUUAAGGUUCAACAAUAUUGUUUCUAUUAACAAAUAUAAAUAAAAAAUAAGCAAAAUACUAGAGAGAUUACACGUUUAUAUUACAUUGUUGUACCAUAUUGUGAUAUGGCUGUGUACAUACCAUGUCUUGUAAUGAGUUUAUCUCAUUAGAUGUUAGACUGUUAAUUAUAUGUAUCACUUGUCAUAUCAUACAAUACAUCAAUAUGAUAUAAAUAUGCCAUCUCUCAAACAUUACUCUUAUCAGAAACCCCAAAAAAUAGGAAAUGCUCUAUACUAAAGCGGAAUGAGAAAAACAUUGUUCAUAGGCAACAGUAUUUUUACUUUUUUGCCCUCAUUUUUAAUGUUUCUGUGUUCCUACUUUUAUGCCUCUAUACGGUGAAAUCGCCAAUUGACCUAUGGGCAUGGGUGUGUAUAAAAAUUGUUUUGCACACGUGGCGUGCUAGGGAGAUUUCUCUGCAGCACUGCUUCAUUAACUGUUUCAUUUCUCUGCACCGUUUCCUUCUAGCUCCACUCCGAAUUGAUACCGAAUACUGGUCAACCAAAUUUUCUCAUCAUUUCGUUCCGUCCUUCUCCACAUCUUCAUUCUUGCUCCACCAUGAAUCGAAACAAAAAAUUGCUCAUCCAAAUUGUUUGGUAUCAGCCGCUCCAAGGAGACAAAUUGCUGAGAAAAGUAAAGAAUUCAGAUAAAAAGUGAAAUUGUUCAUUCAUAACCUUUAGGGAAAUACAGAUGGGUUCUUUAUACCCCAUUUCAGCUACUACAGACAAAAGGUUAGGUAACCCCAAGUGCUGAGUCACCAUAUUCUAAUAUUCCAUUACAAUGCAAAGGAAAUAACUUAAGGGAAUGAGCUAAAGCAUAUCAAGGUCCUAACACAAGUCAAUUUCAGUUAACUCAAAUCCCUAAAACCCAAUUUUCUCCAGAUCGUUGGAUUUAGUUUGCUGUUGUUGUUGCUAAUCUACAGGUAAAGCUUAAAUUUACAUACAAUUUUUUAUUUUUCUUGAUUGGAAUUUGGAAAGAAUUAGUUGUUCUUGGAAAGAAUUACAGAAAAUUGGAAAAGGGAAAUGGGAAAGCGAGGAAAUGCAAGAAAAUGUGUUUGGAAAAUGGAAAAUGACUUUUCUUUGGCAUUCGCUUUGACUUUCAUCCUUUCUGCGUUUGCUUUUCCUCAUUUUUUUUCUCAAGAACCAAACAUAAAAUAAAUAAAUAAACCUAUAAAAAAAAGAAAAGGAAAAUCACAAGAUUAAGAACCUGGGAAUGCAACAAUCGAGCUUCUGUGCCGAAAUAUCAAUUGGGUCCCGUUGGAUCUUCGGUGCUUCUUCUGCAUUCAAAAAGUUGGGGUAUUUCUGCAUCAUUUUUGUGUGUAUUUUUAAAUUCCAGAAGAAAGUGGAUAGAGAGAGAGGAAUAUGCUUUGGGUCGAAAUGGGAACACAAUUCCAAAUUCGCCCUCAAUCCCAAAGUUCAGUAAUUUAUGCAAUUUUUGUCGAAAUUGAUAUUCUUUAUUGCUGAUAUUUGUUAAAAAAGAGGGGGAUAAGAGCAGUAAAAAGAAUCUACAGAAAAUAUUUGUUUUGGAAGAGUAUGUCUUGAUUGGAUAAAACUCGCACCAGAGGGCGAGCGCAUCUGCUAGUAUGCAUUUAAACUUAUAAGGCUAAAUCCUUUAGGGGCGUUUGUUUGCCCUCCUUAACUCUCAUUGGACUGGACUAGAUUAAGGGUUAGUCCAAUCCCGUGUUUGGUACCCGCUAAAACUAACUUUAAUGAGACUAAAGGGGAUUCGCUCCGACUAUCUCCCUCGCUAGGAGGUCUUAGCGAGAGCGCCCUGUGACUAUGGGACUGCUAAGCCCUUCGGCUGGUAUGUCCUCAUCUCCUCUCAUCCACUCUUCUUUCUCUGUUUUCUUGAGCACCGACAGCCACCAUCACACCACCACUCCCAACUUCAGCGAGAUACACUGCUAGCCCAACACCACUCUCUCGAGAUCCAAGGAAAGCAAGCAUCAUUUGGCAAUUUUUGGUAGAAUUGCAGGGGAAGAAGAAACGAAAUGAAAAGGCUUGAAUUUGUUACAGGCCAUUGAUGGACAAGAUUUUUUUUUUGGGAAAUCGAUGAUCAGGGAUUUUUUUUUGGAGAAAUCUGGAGAUCAUGCAGCUUAUGGAACUCUCUAGAUAGAUUAAAACUCACAUAACCAAUAUGGGCAAUAAUUCAUACCUGAGAUAGAGUUUGAGAGAGCUUAAGCUCUCUGCGUUAAUGGCAGAGCGCCCGAUGGUGCAUCGAUGAUACGUACAACGCCGUAGGUGGAUUCCCCAUGUCCCAAGGGUUCGAGGUUUAGAUUUUUUAGGGUUGAUUUGGUCAGCAUCAAGAGAAAUGGUGGGGGUUCCUUCUCGGAGAUUAGAGAGAGAAAGGUUGUAGAUUAUUGUUGAGGAGAGAGAGAGAGAGAGAGAGAGAGAAAAGUGCAGAGAAAGAAAGAGAGAAUGAAAGAGGGGUCACGGGGUGAGGGACCGUAAGAGCAAGUCCACCCAUGCCAAUCGGCCGGGGGACGGGCUACAGCAAAGGGCCCGAGGGCCAGUCAAUUCAUCUCCAGCCAUGGAGGGCCCGAGUGAGGGUGGGAGCCCGAGGGCCGGGGGGGUGGGUAAUUGACAGGCCUGUGGCCCGAGGCCCGUGACGUCAGGCCUGGGUCCAGGCUAUUUUUUUAUAUUUUUUUUGUGUCAGGCGCGUGCCCCUCACUCGCGAGUGGGGGCGCGUCGCCCGACAAGAAAUCAGACAAGUGGGGUUUUCGGCCAGUUACCGUUGGGAAGCCACGUGGCUUCCCACGGUCCGUUCGAUCCCAACGGCUCUUUAAUACGAGCCGUCCGAUUUGCAACGGUAAUAAAAAAAAAACUGAUUUUAUAUCAACCGUUCGAUCUAAGAUCAACGGUUGAUAUUAAUCUGCUUUAUAAAUUAAAAAAAAAUAGUUUUAAAAUUAAGAAAAGUUACCGUUGUGACACGUGGCACAAUCUGGAGUGUUGGAAUUCAAAUUUUUUUAAAUCCAACGGUAGAAAUUAAUUAUUGGAAAAAAAAAUUUAAAAAAAAUGGAAAAAAUCCAAAAAAAUUGUAAAAAAUCUGAAAAAAAAAAUUGUAAAAAAUUGUUUUUACUUUUCUAUAAAUACCACUUCUUCUCUAUCUAUCUUACACCACAAUUUCAUAUUUUCUCAACUACUUUCAAUCAAAUUCCUAUCUUUCUCUCAAAGUUUCAAUCCAAUUUUUUUCCACAAAAUGGCUACUGAUGCAGGUUCGAAUUGGUCGCUUCUUGAAGAUGUUGCGUUGUGCACUAGCUGGGUUGAAGUUACUCAUAAUUCCGUUACGGGUAAUGAGAUGCAGUUGCGAGAAAUGUGGAGUUUAAUUCAUACCAAAUUUGUUGAGCAAAUUGGUGGGAAAAGAACCAAAGAAUCGAUAUCGAGUCGUUGGAAAAUACUUAGCCAUUCCUUUAGUACGUGGAGAGAUGCCUUGACACAAGCUAGUAAUAAUGUUCGAAGUUGGGCAAAUUAUGCGGAUGAGGUAAGAAUAUAUUAUAAUUAUUUGUUUGUAUUAUUAUUUUGUUACCUAAUUUGAUUAUAAUUAUUUGUUUGUUUCAUUUAUUUGUUACCUAAUUUCAUUAUUAUUAUUUGUUUGCAAUAUUUAUUUGUGACCUAAUUUCAUUAUUAUUAUUUGUUUGUAUUAUUUAUUUGUUACCCAAUAAUUUCAUUAUUAUUAUUUGUUUGUAUUAUUUAUUUGUUACCUAAUAUAAUUUCAUUAUUAUUAUUAUUUGUUUGUAUUAUUUAUUGUUACCCCAAUAAUUUCAUUAUUAUUAUUUGUUUGUAUUAUUUAUUUGUUACCUAAUAAUUUCAUUAUUAUUAUUUGUGGUAGAUUAUUUGUUAUAUAAUAUUUAUUUGUUAUUAUAAUUUCAUUAUUAUUAUUUCUUUCUAUUAUUCAUUUAUUAUUAUUAAUUUUUAUUAUAUUUAUUUUUCCUUACAUAAUUUCUUAAUUUAUUAUUUUGUUAUUUCUUUAUUAUUGUUAUUCCAUAUUAUUUCAUAAUUAAUUUCAUUCAUAUUAUUUAUCUUCCUAGAUAAAUUCAAUAUUUGUCUUUUGUAUAAAUUUCAAAGAGAAUUAUGUUGCAUGAAGUAUGGCCAUGCAUGUUAGUGUCCCAAAAUUCAAGCAAUGGCAUGUUGGAAGUCAUGCCAUUGAAAGCCCGUUACACCCAGGUUGCAUUGAACAGCACCCUCCCAGCACAUUUUGUACACAGCAACCCUCUCCACACUCUACACCCUGAUGGACCUGAUGAAGAAGAUGUAAAGAAGUGCCUGAAACACCCAUUCCUGAACAAGCGUCAAGCGUCGGGGUCGACCGUUUCAUUAAUUAGGCUCAAGGUAAGAAGGCUUCAAAGAGGAAAGGGAGUGCUUCCAUGAAUUAUUUACAUGAAUUUUGAUCAUUGGCUAUUUGACGUUGAAUAAUGACGGCGGGAUUUAUAGAGAUUUGAGCAAAAGAAUUGAGGCAGAAGAAGGCAAGAAUUGCAAAUUUUGAGCAAACAGAACAGAACACAAGAUUGCUACUUAGAACAGGGAAAGGCAAGAGCUACUUAGAGAAGAAACCUUAGAAGAAGAAAAAGAUGAACAAGAGAUCGUCAAUUUGAACACGCGUUUAGGAAGGUGAAUUGACGUUGGCACGGGAUUUGGCGAAAUAUGAGGCUGAAAAGGCUAGAGAAGAGGCAAAAGCUGCAGCUACUGAACAAACAUUUCAAGUUGAACAGAGGGAAAGAGAGCUACUUAGGCAAGAAAGGGAGUUGCUUAGAGAAGAAAGAAAUGCACAACGAGAUCGUGACAUUAUGAACACGCGUUUAGAAGGGAUGUCUCCAAAUUCUAAAUAUUUUUGGAAGUCGGAGAAAGCGGAUGUGGUGCGAAGGAGGCGUGUAAGAGAAGCGAGAUCAAGACAAGAUGGUCCUAGCACAACAAGACAAGAUGAUCCUAGCACCACAAAUUGGUUAAGUGAUGAUGAAUAGGGUACUUUUUGUAAUCGGACCCCAUAGUUUUCCGAUCACUUUGGGUUGUAAUUUAUUAUUUAUGUUGUUUCCAAUUUAUUGAAGUUAGUACUUUAUUUAACGUGAGAGUACAUUUAUUUAAUUUCGUAAUAUAUUUAAAAUUAAACUACAGUCAAUGACGUGUCCAGAUGCGUGUCCAUAGGCAAGACACGAGUACAGACGUGGCAAGAGACGAGGGUUGUACAACCAUGAGCUUGUGUCCGUGGCAAGGACAACAAAGGCUUGGGGCUUAGGAUGGCAGAGGAAAUACCACGGCAAGCUAGAGCCACCGACACAUCGUCGUUGCCGCCAAACUUACGUAAAAUCGUUAGCACAAAAAGCCGCCAAGGGUUUCCGCUCACUGGGAAAAAGAUAAGAUUUGUGAACGCCAAGACCACAUGGGUCACAACAUAGCAAAAUUGAAAUCUUUGUCAUCCUCAGCAUUAUCCGACCGCUAUCCACAAAUUGAAGCAACGAAUUGGGCAAGUGUGCAACAAAUUUCCAAUGUGCUUCUAUUGUGAAUGAUUUACAGGGAUUGGGUUGAAUGAGGUUUGUAGUUAAAGUGGGAUGCAAUUUAGAACACCAACGUUUGAUUAUGUUUCUCUCAUUUUUUUCUGUUCACUUUUGCCUCAUUUGUUUUUUUUGUUGCAUCGUCUCAAAAACCUUGUGCGUCUACAUGUACAUGUAUAAGUAUAAAUUUUGGUUAAAACAAAAAGUCACAUAUUUCAUAAUUAACUAUUUAAAUUUGUUGCAAAUCACAGUAUAUCUUUGUUCAUACAUUCAAACAAGCAUGACAAAUACUGAGGAAGAAAAUGAAAAUUAUUGUCACUACAAUUGUAUAUAUUUUUUUCUUUUUGAACAAACGAUAUUAUCUACACUAAGGGGGUGAGGGAGUGGCCUAAGCCUAACAAUGAGCUAGCAAUAAUAUAGUUCAAUUUGCCUUUGAUGAGAAUCGAACAUAAGACAUUUCACUUACAAGUGAAGAGAAAUAUCCUAGACCCUAACUGGAUAUGUUAUUGUCAUGGUCAUGCAUUGGUAUAGUAACAAUAUGUUUGGAUAAGGACAAUAAACUUAUAAUUUUGCCAAAAGUCAGAAUUUUUAAAUUGACACAAUCAAUUCCUUUGUUUGGAUUCAUAAAUAUAGAAAUUUAGACUUUCCGCGUGAGAAAAAACUUGGAAUUUGGUACCUUCAAUUCUCAUGUUUAAAUUUCAUGUAAAUAUGUGUCAUUUAUAAAUUUCAGUAAGUGAGAGUUUAAAAAUAACAAACAUGUAUUCAAAUUUCAUUCAUCCUUUAGGUUAACCAAACAAGAAAAUUUAUAAAUUCUAGAAAAUAAAAUUUCGUUAUUUCAUUUCUGUUAUUUUAAAAUUUUUAGGGCAUGUUUGGUACUCUACUUGAAUCUAACUUUUUAAACUCAAAAACAAUUUUCAAGUUUUAGGCCUUAAAAACUUGUUUGGUAGAACUAUUUUAAAAAACUGAACUUAAAACUAACUAAAAAAUAUAAUCUAUUAUCUAAAAACACAAAAAAUGAGUUUUUAGAAUUUGUAAACUUAAACUCACUCCUUUCUUUUCUCUCCCUGCUCCCCUCUCACUCCAAAUCUCUCUCUCUCUUUUCUUCUUUCUCUCUCCCCCUUCUUUUUUUUUAACCUUUUUUUGUCUCUCAUCCAAUCCGCUCUCUUUAUUCUCUCGGUUCUUUCUCUCACUCCUCUUCCUCUCUAUCUCCUCCGAUUCUCUCUCUUCAUUCUUUUUCAACCAAUCAUUUCUUAUUUUCUUUCCUCCCCUCUCCUCUUUCUCCCUCGACCACCUCUUUUUGGAUCUCCUUGUUCAGUUUGAGCUAUAAGAUUUAAAAAUUUUAAAUCGCAUAUCAAACAAGUUUUUGAGUUUUAAAGAAAAUUGUUUUCAAGAAAUAUUUUGAGAAAUGAUAAAAAAUUUCAAAUAUGAUACCAAACAAGCCCUUAAUAAUCUUAAAUUUUCUCGUCCAAACAAAAAGUUUUCUUGUCAUAGAACUUUCAAUUGAAAUCAAGGAAGAUAAUCUUUUCACAACUAAUUAUUCUCACCAAAAGCAAUUUUUAUUUUAUAGCAGAUCAAUACCAAAUUGCAAAAGCAAAGUAGUAAGGCUAAAAUUCAGGUGAAGAACCUGCUUCCACUAAUUUCCUUAGGAGGGAGAGAGAGAGAGAGGGGAGAGAGAACCAAGCGACCGAGCAGAGAGAGAAAACACCAAGUAGUAUUCUAAUGUUGGUGGGGUUAAGUCACCUUCCGUGAAGUUGCAGUAAGGACUUCUAUCCCAAAGAAAAGUCAGUAAAUGAUGUUGACAUCCGUCAACGACAAGGACAGAAUUGUGUAACCAUAAUUCUCUCUCUAUCUCUUUUUUCAUUAACGGAGGACAGUGUAUAAUUACUACGUAUAUAUCUCUGCUCAAUUAUUGAAAAGAAAAAUCCAUGUGCAUUAUUUUUAUUAUUAUUAUCUCAGAAAUGCAGAAAUUGAUCAUCUCUUCCUUCUGCAUAUUGAUACUGGUUUUCUUCAAACUAGUUGAAGCAAGGCAAUAUGUGUGCGCGAAAUCCAACUGUAGCAAUGAUCAAGGCCCGGCUAUCUAUUUCCCAUUGAACACCAGGCACACACAUCAUUGUGGAAAUUCUGGGCUUGAAUGCAAUGGGAGAAAUGAGCAGCAAAUACUAAUAAAAUUAUUUGUCAAACACAUAGAUUACAAGCGUCAGGAAAUCCAAGUCUAUUCCCCAAGUAACUGCCUGCUGCUAAAGCCUGUUGAAAUCCCAAACAUGCCACCCUCUCCCUUCAUCGUGUC